UGAGAAUCUGUAAGAGUUGUUUGUCUUUUUGUAAUUCCAAUUCUAGGCCUUUUGCAUAUUUUCAAUUUAGUUUGUGGCAGUUGUUAAAUACUUCUACUUUAGUUUUUAGCAAUUAUAAUUUUUUAAAGCUUGCUAUUUAGGUUUAGAUUUACUAUAUGCUUAUUAGAUAUCUUAAUUCUUAUUGUAUUCUCCUUGGUUAAUAAUCUUCCAAUUUGAUUGUGGAGUUCAAAGAUUUUAACCAAAAUAGGGAUCAGGGUUUUCAAAGUUAGGAAAAGUAUUUAAUACAAUUAAUUUUUGAAUAAGUUUGCAAACUAAAUCUUUCAAUUGAACCUAAUGAGUUUACAUACUAAAUCUCUCAUUUUCAGCCUUGGUUGUUUCCACUCUUUGCAAUUUAAUUAGUUUUUUUUCAAAUAUAUAUAUAUAUAUAUAUAUAAUUCAUUUUGUGUACCUAUAUACUCAAGUUUUUGAGUAAUUAUGAGUUGUAUUGUUAUAUUUAGUAGAAUUUGACAAACUAAAAAUGAUUACCUUUGAACAAUCGAGUCCAACAGCACAUUUGUGUGGAUAGUUCAUAGCUACCAACUUGAUUCUUCAUGCCUCCUCUAUUAGGUUGACUAAGAAAAUGGUUUAAUUUCAUAGGAACACCUUAAGAAUAAAAAUGUCAAGAAAAAGGAAGGAAAAUUAUGCUUCGUCUAAUUUGACUCAAAGACUUAAAGGAAAAAACAUAAUAAUAUAAUAGUUAUUAUAAUGAAUAUAAUAAAAAGAAAAUUUGUCAUGUUCUUCCCAAUACUCAUUAAACCCCUUUCAAUGAAACUUUGUAAGCUAUACUAAUACAAAAUAAUGGUCCAAAUAGUAAAAGCUCAAUAAAUGAAUGUUUGAUAAAUUAAUAAUCUUACUUAUAAAACAAAAUAUUCUAGUCUUAACUCAAGCCAAUGUACUAAAUUAGUAAUCUCGCUAAAUACAUAAGAUAAAAAUAUUUUCAAAAGUCUUUAAGGGCUUAAGAAAUAUAAACUAAUAAUUGAUGAAGUAUAAACAAAAAAUCAUAGUAUAGCAAAUAGAACUUCAUAACAUAGUAUUAAGUAAUUUUUUAUAACUUUUAUUUUUCUAAAUUCACUUCUUUUAGAAUUAUCACAUAUUUGAAAUAGCUUUAUCUUUUACAACAUUAAGUUUUGAUGCCACAUCUUUGUUGGGGAGUCUUUUUUUCUUUUACAAUCAAUAACUAUUUUUUUUUAUUCAGUCUCUUAGGUUUCUAUUUAUUAACUUUUUACCAUGUGUACUAUUUUCAAAUUUAUAAGUUAUACAUGUACAAAUAAUGUACAAUAACAACAUAAUACUCUUCAUCAAUUAAUAAAUAACCAUUUAUCUAUAAAUCAAUAACCUUGCUAAGAUCAUAUUUUUUCUUGGUCCCAAGAGUAUUAUUUUAUAAGAGUUUUUCUCUAUAUAGUUCCUUCAUUGUAGGAAUUUCUUUAGGUUAAUAUUACUAAAGUUGUAAUUUAAAAAAAAAAACUAUUAUGGAAACUAAGAGAACUUUGAAAGCUAUAAAUUAGUGUUUUAUAUCAUUCUUUUUUUCUAUGAAUGCCAAAGCCAUUGUCAAAUAAAAAGAGUAAAUAAAGUAAUUAGUUGAAAGUGAAAUAGGUGACUUAAAACUAUUGCUUUGGUACAUGUUUGUUUUAGGUAUAGUAGAUCAUAAGAAAUAAAAUCCUCUAGCUAUGUUUAUUUGAUAGAAUAAAAAAGUGAGUGUGUGGUUGCUCCACAGGAGAAGACCACAUGUUAGCCAAAGAAUAAGUAACUAUAAAGCUUACAAAAGUGUUAAAUGAUCAAUUUCUCACCUAAGCACAUUAAUGAGAACUAAAUGAUGAAUUAAACCAUACUCAUGCACCCAUACUAAGACCCAUGCCUCCAUGCGGGGAGACCCUAAUUGGUCCCUAAAAGGAGAAGUUUAACAAUGGCCACAUCCUCUAUGCCAUGUUAUUAUUCCAAAAACAUAGAAAGUUAACCUUUGAGUUGAUGCUUAUUUGUUUGGUAGUUUCCACAUUCUUCUUACUAACUUGACAUUUGAAGGCUCUACGACCAUAAGGAGCCUAGAGUGCUCACUUUAGGUUCCUUAUGAUUGUAAGGUCCUAACCAUCCAUUGAAGUAAGAAAGUGAACUAAGAGUUGGAAAAAUGGUGUCAUCUAUGGUUAAGAUACAAAAAUUCAGCUCACCAAAAAAUCACAGUAAAGCUACUAAAAAACACCCCACCCCCAGGCAAGGACCUUCAUUUAAGUACUCCUUGAGGUAUAUCCAAAUCAAAGACCUAAAGUUGAAGAAAUGAAGUCAACUAAACUUGGUUCCAUGCAUGAUAAGGUUGAAAAGCCUGCAUAAAAACCUACAUAAAGCUUGCUCCUUUAUAAGAAUAACCUGAACCUACAAGGGAAGAAGACCUAUAAAAGGAAAUCAUAAACAACAAAGAAAAAAAAGUCCCUCUCUCCUUUGAAAAAGAUUUCUUUGAAUGCAGAAACCUAUUUUUUGUAUCAAAAAAUUGGUGGAAUAAAAAUUUUCAAUUAUCUAUGAAGAGUGUUAGCUUCUUCAUAUGGGAAUGCAUUAAAAGCCUUGAAGACAUUGUUUAGAUCUAUAGCAACAAUUGGGCAAUAGAAAACUAUGCAAUAGAGUUUUGGUAGGGAAAGGCAAUCAUGAUAGAAAUGAAGUGGAGCAAUGAGUGAGAGCAAACCCUUCAAUAGAUGGAAGAGCUCAUUAAAAGAAGCGACUAACUCACUCAAGAAAAUGUUGCCUUUAGGGUAAGGGUAGACAAAUACCAAUGUGACUUUGACCAACAGCUCUCAUUGGCAAGCACCAAUAAGAUGCAAGUUAAUGAAUAAUAGUUAUCGAAGCAACUAGACCAACAUCUAGAUUAAAUUGGGAGAGAAAGGUGGGAUAAACCUUAAUUAAACUAACCAAACAGACCACCUUGCCAAAGGCCCCAAUGCUCUAAGGGAUUCUUGCCACCAGAGCUACCACAAAAUGCAUAAUCUUGGUGAAUAAGGUGAUUGAGCCCAAGUCCCUUUAGAAGGAGAAUGAGGCCAUAUGAGAGUUUUCUCUCCCUAAGUUCAAUUUCUUUCAAUGAAACUAAAGACACCCUAGACUACUUAUGCAUUUCUAUGCAUGUGAUAAUCUUAGAGAAGGGAAACAAUCGACUUUUAUGCAAAAUCUUCCCCUCCAUCCUCCAAGGACUAACUUUGUUUUGUCUUUAUCAACUUACCUUAGAGUUUGCUCCUGAUAUCGAGACCCUAAGGGUGAAGUAUGCCUCUUAGUACAUGCACUUAAAGAUUAUCUACUAGAUUUGAGCAACUAAGCAAGGUAUCAAGAUAGUUAUAGAAGCAUAUGGCAAUUGAAGCAAAAGUCCUCACAUCCUUGCAUGAAGCAACUACCACUUGCCCACAUGUCAUAUGCUUCUCUAAUAAAGGCUUAAGAGGAGUCCAAACCCUGCUCAAGAUCCAUUGGUUAUUACUUUAAGAAUUAUUGACUACAACAUGCACCUAUUUUUAGUUGACCUAACAAGUUUAGUUAACUUGCUAAAUAUAUUAGCCCAUAUAUGAACAAGUGAAUAUGGACGAAGGAAAACUAGUGUCAAGUCUUGGGUCGUUUGUGGGACUAGACAAAGUCCUAUGUGGCUCAACUAGGGAAGUCGCUCUAAUGGUUCCAAUUGGUUGUUGCCAUAUAAUGACACAAUUCUUUGUUAUGGAUAUCCUUUUCCCGAUAAUGCCAUUAUGGGAUGACCAUGGAUAUACAACCUAAGAGGAACACUAUUCACAUACCAUCACACCAUUAAAUUCCUAAUACUACAAGGAAUAUGGGAAAUAUAUCGAGACUAGGUGGCAUCAUGAGUAUGCUACACCAUAGCCCUUAAAGCGGUCAUCAAGUGCAUCAACUAGGACCCUUAGGAAGUUCAUAAAUCAAAAGUCAAAUAAAAAUUAGUAGGUGACCCGAGAAGGCAAUUAGAGAACCUAGGGAGUCAUUAUUCUAGAGCCCCUAAACCUAGGAGGUUCCUUCUAGCCCAUGCAAAAAAAAAAAAAAAAGGUUUCAGAUGGCUAUUAGAAAAGAACACAUCUUUACUAGGAAACUACAAGACAUCGUGGGCAUUGAUCCCCAAGUUACAUGUCAUCAACUCAACAUAAACCCUAGUGGUUAGCUCCUUAAAGACAUUAGAUUGUGAAAAAAAAGGUAUCUAGGCUCUUAGAUGCUAGAUUUGGUCAUCUAGGUCUUCUGACAACAAAUAGAAGUUAGUAUGCUAGUUUACAUUAAUAACAUGUUAGUAACAAGUAAGAAGAGGAAUGACUACUUGAUCGACCUCCUAAGAACAUUUCAAACUCUUCAAAAGUAUUAAAUGAAGCUAAAUAAGUGAAGUGCAACUUUAAUGUAGGGUGUGGAAAGUUCCUUAGGUACUUGGUUACAUACAAAGGAAUGAAAGCUAACCUAGGCCAAAUAAAAUCAACUUUGGAGAUACCAAUGACCAAAAGGGCUAGAGAAGUCCAAAAGAUCACUAACAAGAUUGGUUCUUGAAAUAGAUUUAUAUAUUGAACAACAACUAUGUGUCACCCUUUCUUCGACAUUAGCAAGAAGGGAAAAUGGACUAAAAGAACCAAAAAAUGCAACUAAGCCUAUGAAUCACUAAAGCAUUACAUGAUGUUAACCCCCAUUCUGGAUAAACCCUAGGAUAAGGAGGUCUUACAAGGUCUCAAUAGCAGUAGUAAGUGGAGUCUUAUCUCAAAAAAAGAGGAAAAAAUGAGCAAUCAAUGUACUAUGUCUAAAAGACCCUCUUAGAUGUGGAAACCUGAGAUAUAUAUAAAUAUUGAAAAACUGGUGCUUGCCCCUUAGAUCGCCACAUUGAAGCUUCAAUGUUACUUCCAAGUGCAAGGUAAGAACUAAGUGAUGAGAACUCAAACUUAAUACUUUAAUGGCUUUAAAGGGCCCACUUUAGUGUAUUUGAGGUACUAAAAAAUUAACCUAAGGUUUUGUUUUUUGUAUAAUACCUUAGAAAAUUAUGUUUGAUGCAUUCUAUGACCAUUCUACAUGCUUUAAGGUGUUUUUUUUGUUAGAAUAGAAUCCUUAAAAGCAUGACAUGAUGUAAUAAAUUUGGAAUUCAUUAUUUAUUUACUGAUGUUCUAGUUUCACUUUUAUCUAUCCUUAUUCCAUGUAUUGUACUUUAUGAGUAUUCUUGCCUACAUCUUUUGCAUUGUACAUGACUUAGGUGCAUUAGGAGUUGCACAGAAGAUUUAAGUCAUGGGUUUCUUGCAAAUAGAUUAUUUGUUCACAGUCGGUUCAUGAACCUAGGCAAACCAUUAGAGGUUGUAGUGCACCACCUCCUAAUUGGAGGGAUGGUUAGUCUUGGCCAUGGGAUGAGUUUCCCAUGAUAAGUGCACUAGUGUGUAUGGUUGCACAUUGGAUAGGACCUAUGGUGAGUUAUGACUUAACCCUAUCAAGUAGUCAUGACUCCACCGAGUUGUUUCAUUGUAUUAUCUCUCAACCUUGAGAGAAUAUUGAGUUUGUGCUGAAGUUAAUAAUGACUUUGAUUUAUGGGUGAGGUCGUAAGUUGAUCAUAUAUUCCCUAUGGAUUAGGUCAAUGUUGAUGGAAGUCGGUAACAAUAGGUAUUCUUAAUAAAGGCACCAUGAUAUCUCUUAGGAUUGAGACAGUGUGUCCCAUUGGAUGAUCCUAAGGAGGUGUGUUCAUGGAAACUAUGGCUAUAGUAGUUCCUUAAGUGGAAUUUGACAUAGACUCUUUGAGAUCUAAGAUAUGUUAAUUGAACAUACAACAGGAAGAUCUGUAGCUCAAGGAUGGUAGAAGUAGUCUUGAAAAGCUAAUGGCUUUCACCUUGUUAGACUACGAACACCAAUUCAUGGGGAGACUAAACAUAAUGGACAGUAGGUCACGGACCCGAGCACUUAGUGUCUUCGUUGUUAGUUACAUAGGAUACCGGAGUUUAGUUGAUUCUAUGUAGUGCAAUGUUGAAUCAACUUUAAAAUUGGACUAUGAGGGAUCCAUGGUAUUCCUAUAGGUCCCAAUGGUCCCUGCUAUGAGCUUAUAUACCUUGUUGGAAUGGGUAAUGAGGGUUGGAUUGACUCUAGGUUCACUUUUGUGCAUAAGGGUAUUUUGGUAAUUAUGUAAGGUUAUAUAGGAGUAAAUGAACAAGGCCUCUAGAUUAGGCUAAUUGAUUAAUCAAUUAGAACCCAUUUUGGGCUGGAUUAAGUUACCCAACCCAUGUGGGCUCAAGUCACUUAAGCCUACUUAGAAACCCUAUAAAUACCCCCUAUGGGUUAGGGUUUCCAUAACUUUUGUCUUCCAUCAUCCAAAGAGAUAGAAAGUCAUAGCCUUCACCAUCUUUUCCUCCUCAUUGGAAGUGUGCCAAGAUCAAGGUUCGAGUCAUCGGGCGGAAGACUUCGAGUUUACGAGACUUCUGGGAUUUCAAUUUUCAUCUUCACCAUGUAGAUUUGAUUCGAGAACACCCAAAUCUAAUGUAUAGUUUUUGUUAGCACUUUUUGAAUCCUUUUAAAGUAUAAAAAUGUUAUUUUUCUGUUGUGCAUAGGAUUUAGAAAAAACCUAAGAUAGUUAUGCAUGUUCCUAACCUGAUUCAGACUAGGGAAACAGAGAGAGAUUCAGGUUUUUCCCAUCAUUUUUAGUGCAAUAGAACCUUGUUAGGAACUCAUAGAGACAAAAAUGCCCAAGUAAGGAGGAAAUACAAAUUGCACACCCAAAAGGUGUGCAAGACUCAAUCAUGCACUUCUUUCUUUUUGUAAAGCCACAUAGUACACCUCCCAUGUAUACCUUAAAGACCAAACACACAAGACCUCUCUAAUGCUUUGGACCAAAUUUUAUACCCUAUUCAAGCAACUCGAUCUGCAAACCUCUUAAGUGCUUUAAGCCAAGAUGUUGUGCACCCCCUCACUUGAGUCAACAGGAUGUGUAGUAGUGCAACCCCUUGAUGUCAUCUAAAUUACAAACCAUUCUUACCUCUACAAUAGCUAAGUACUUAAUAAUUCUUCUAAUGAUUGGCUCACCCACCAAAGUAGUAUGUUGUUCAUACCUCAAAGUCUUCAAUUGUACUACCAAAACGUACCCUAACCAAAUUACAUAGAGAAAAAGGUGCAACUACUGACCAUAAGCUAACUAAUCAAGAAUGAAGGUGGUUGAUUGCAAUGACAAAGGACGUGACCCUUAGUAUAAGAAGAGACAAGUCUAGAGGAGUGGUGUCCGAGUAGUUGGAAUGACCGGGGAGGGAGGGGGGACAUUGUUUUGUAUAUAAAUGGAGGAUUGUGAAUAUACAAGUGGAAGAAAAUUAUAGAAAGUGAAAUUGUAGAUAAGUUUUUCUUCUUAUAGGAACAAAAGUAGGAAUAAGAGUAACUUAAUGUAAUUUAAGUUUUUAGGUUUCCAUUGUAAUCUUUUCUUUUCAUUAUAAACUUUCCUUAAUUUCUAGUUUAAUGAAUUUUCUAGUCUUUUUAAUUAUUCUUACAUUUCAGUUUUUCAAUUUCAACUUACAAAUUUGCAUUUUUAAUUCUUUACUUAAUUUUUAACAUGCUUAGAUAACCUUUAACACUCUAAGGGGUGAGAGGAGCUCAAGUCUCCCAUAUCUUAGUUUAGCUAUCUAUUGGUUUAUUUGUGCAUUAGUUACAAACAAUAUGAUCUCUAUCAGUAGUUAUAAUGACCAAAACAAGUAACCAUGGGGAAAAAGUCUAUGUUGCAUUGGUUGUGAGCAUUGUACGUCAAGCAAAUUUGGAAGCAUACUUAGGCAUUGUUUUAAUGAUUCUUUCAACUAAGUAUAGGCCUAUUGCCAUGAAAAUAAUCUUAUCUAAAUCAUUUGGUUGUAAGGAUAUAUAUAUAUAUAUAUAUAAAGAGCAAUUAGAGAGAGAUGAACCUUAUUAAGGUGGUUCUUGUUCAUUUGAAGCAGGAAACCUUUUUUGUAUAAAUCCUUGCUUUGAGCCUAAAUCUGAAAGCAUAAGUUCAAAGCCUUGUUGGUGAGUUGUAUAUGAAAGUGGUGAUCCUAGUGAAUCUCUAGGUUUGAGGUUUUCUUUCCUUUAAUUUUCUAUCUUUUAAACUUUGUGUGUGUAUGUCCUUUUUAUUUAUAAAAUCAUUUUUCUAAUCUUUUAGCUGCCAUUCACACUCCUAAAGCUAUUACCUUAGUUGCUAACAAUUUAAAGUUCCUUGUGGAGGCAACCUAACAACUAUACCACUAUUAAUUUUUUUAUUUUUUUAUUUUUUGGUUAAGGAGUUGAGAGUUUCAAUGAAUGAUCUAGUUUAAUUUCUCUUUGUAAAACUUAACUGUUAAAUAUAUUUCCAAGUUUUGAUAAAAGGAAUGAAUUAGAGAAUGACAAACCAAAAAUUAGUGUCGUCACUAGGGAACUUUCAACAUUGAUGACUCUAUAGGUAUUUUUGUGUAUAUGCUUGUUGUUUUAGAAGCUUAACAAGUAUAUUUCACCCAUUCCCCACCUAUCUUUUAGUUGGAUUUUUUUCUUUUUUUACUUAAUUUGUUUUCUUUGGAUUUUCUUUUUAUUCUCAGUUUUCAUUUUUAGUUGUUAAAUCCAACAUUUCAAACAUUUUCUUUAAAGUGAUAUGAUGUAUUAGGGAAAUGAUUUUAAAAGAAGGGUACUAAGAGUGAGUUUGAGAGUGAUUCUAUGAAGCGUUUCUAACAUUUCUAACACUUAAGUGAUAAAAUGUUGAUCUUCAAGGCAUCAUCAGAGGGCUUCUCAAUAUCUCUUCUACUGAAAAAAAUUUCUUGACUGAAAGUGGCUCUUAACUAGAGGGGAGGGCAUCCCAAAAAUUUUAGGAAACCAUGAAGAAAAAUUUAUCAAAAUGGAUGCUUCCAAUCUACCUGUGGGAAGUAAAGAAAAAGUGAAGAGCCAUUGGCUAGCUAGAAGCUAGCCAAAAACUUGUAAAUAGCUUUCAUUUUUUAUUUUCUUUAUUAUUUUUGUUUAUAUUGCUUUGGCCAAUUUAGUGUGUAGGAGUACCAUCAUAAGAACUCUAAGUAUAAAUUUCUCUAUACUCUAUUGGUUUUAUCAUGCUUCAGAGUAGGUGUAAAUUGUUAGCACCAGGAAAGUGUUGGACAUAUAGGAAUUGCGCACUUUUGAGGUUUGCUAACCCAACUUGUAUGAUGACUUAAAUUGCGUAUCUCAAAUUGUACACUUUGAAAGCAUGACUGAAACUCCACACCCUAAGAGAUUAAUUUAAACGGUGCAUCCAAAGGAGCGCAACUAAAAACUGCACACCUUUAAGCAACCAUUGAUAUUGCCCAGCUUAAAUUACACACCAUAAGCACGCCAUCCAUACUAAAAAUGCCUUCCCAAAUAAAACCAUAAUUGCUUAGAGACUUUUGUCCACCCCACCAUCAUAUCAAUUGAGGUGUGGGUAGCCAACCAAAUUAAUUAUUAUCCAAAGACAGAAAAUUAAUUAAACAGGAUUAGCAUAAAAGAAAAUAACUUGACUUAUAAACAAAAGCAAGGGAGAUGCAAUGGCAAACACAAAGCAAUUUAAAAGGGGCAAGCGAGUAAAGAAACUAACAGUGAUAUAUUAUGAGUUGCCAUAAGUUGAAGCGACUUCCACUUCGGAAAGCCCAAGGCCUUUUAGCCAAUACCGUCAAAGGGGCUUUAUCAUCAUCAGAAUCUUUAGCAUCACCGAAAUUGCAUGUGGCAAGGUCAGGAUAACGUUCAACCAGAUGCAGUGCUACAUCUGCAUAUUAUAAAAUUGUACAUGGGAACCCGACGGUAAUUCAUAUCAAGAAAAUAGAUAGGGGAUGGUAAAUAUAGCUCACCAUGAAACCCCACCAUUAGUGCUCUGCGCAGAAGUUCGAAUCCAGGCGAAUUUGAGAAAGGAUAUGGAGGUUCAUCAUCUCUGGUGACGCUUAAUAAAUAUAAAGUCAGCUCUUUAUGACCAUACCUAACAGCGCUGUGAAGAGGCGCAAAAUUGUCGCGUUGGCAGAUAUUGGGCAAGCUUGGGUUUUUGUUCACUAACAACUUGACUGCUUUUAUAUUGCCAGCCCUUGCAGCGUUGAAAAGGGCAGUGGCGCCAUCAGAAUCCCGCAGAGCCAGUGCCUCACUUGGCAUAAACUCAACCAACUUCUCCACGAAACCCAUUCUGGCCUCUCCUAACUCAACUGCUAUGUGAAGCAUUCGGGAAUCAUCUGUUCCGAUCGGGGCAGAGAAUGAUCGUGGAUCAUCCUUCAAUAAUUUUGGAGCACUUUCCCAGUCACCAUUGAGCACAGCUUUGUACAGUUCCAAGUAAUAGAAUUCUGCAGUCACAAAACCAAAAGAUGUAUAGGUCAGCCUAGAUUUCCCUGAUAUCUAUAUUACUUCAACGUUCACAAAAUCCUAAUACUAAAAUUAUUUUUUAAAAAAUAAAUCAUUUAAGUUAUGUUUGGUUCUUAGAAAAUUUGACAAAUAAUACAAAGAAAAAUUUAAAUAAUUUAAAAUUUAAUAAAUUUAUAACUAAUUUUAAUUACAUUUGAUUUUCUUAAAUAUUUUUUUUUCGAUAAAACCAAAUACGGGAAAAUCAUUUUCCUUGAUAUCUUUUCUUUGCUAAUUAUUUUCUUAGACUUCUUUGUUUACCUCUAAUCAACAUCUUUCUAUCUUUCAAUAAUAGUUUGAACCUCCAAUAAACUACAUGAAUUAAAAUUUAAUUUAGUUUCAUUUUUUUUUAACAGCAGGUUGUAAAACACUUCUACUUGUAUACUAAUUAUGCCCAAAAGUUGCAGGAGGACCUCAAACGGAAAUGGACAUGAACAUGGUUUUUAGCAUCUUACCGGAGCUGCUAAUCCUUUGCAAAGAUGAAGGGGAAGAGACUGGAGCAUAUUCAUCAGCAAUGUCGAUUACCAUUGUUUGGGCUGUCAUCGAUUACCGAGAUGGAAAUGAAGAGAAGUCAUUGCAGUAAACUCCUCACCAUGCUCAGCAAUGUCGAUGUCACUGUUUUUAGGACUGUUUGCGCUGUUGUCAUUUCUAAGACGUAGUGAAGAAGAAGAAGCCUUUACAACAAAUUCCUUAUCGUGCAUAUAGUCAUUGCCAACUAUAUGGAAGAUUAUAUUUAACUGCAGCCCUUUUUCCCAGAGUCUUCAAAAGAUACAGGAAAUGGGCCAGGAACCAUUGAAGCAUAAGAGGUGCAAUGAUAGAGUCUUCCAAGUCAACUUUAUUUAGUUGAGUAGAUAGCGUUGAAAAGUUUUGAUAAUUUUUAUUGCGAAAAAACGAUGUUUUAUAUACUUUUAUUUCUAUCAUACUUUAUUAUUGUUUAUAAGAUAACGAAAUAUUCAAAUAUGAUAAACAAUAGUAAACAUAUAUCAAAUAUAAAAAAUUUCUCACAAGAGAUGCAAUUAAUAUUUUUUUUCUUCAAUAAUGUGUAUAAUAUAUACCAUGUGAUGUAUUAUUUCUAUUUUAAGUUUUGUUUGGAUGUAUUUUUUAUUUUUUUAUAUAUAAAAAAUGAAUUAUAUUUUAAAAUUUAUAUGUGAUAUAAAAAGGUUAUUAUUUUUUAGUAUUUGAUAUAAUACAUUUAUAUAUUUACUAAAUUAUGACAAUAAAUGAAAAUAAAGUGGAGCGGACGAUGUAGGUUAAGGAUUAAUGUCUUUCACAUUAUAACAUCUUUCACAUUUAAUCCUUUCUGAUGUGAAUGCAGUACAGCAAAAGAGAAAGUACCAUUAACUUGAAUGCGAGAAGGGUGAUUGAUCUAUCAAUCUGUACGUGUCCUUCUUGAAAGGGACCAGAUUCUAUGGGGUAGCUUAAGGAUUAAUGUGGGUGCCUGUAGCAUGAAAGUGGAAGGAAUUAAUCCUGUGCACCACACAUUGCUAUGAUCGUUUGCAAUAACCAAUUAUAUAAAAUCUAUUGAAAUAUUUUAUAUAAUUAACUUUUUGGAAUUUUUUUAUCAAGUUGUAAAAUAAAGAAAAUUUAGGAAAAAAUAUUUUUGUAAAAUGAUAAAAUUUUACAAAAAUGACAUUUUUUUUGUAAAAUGUAGAAAAGGAUACAAGGCUAUGAAUUCAUAAUUGUAUGAUAACCUUUUAGUAUUUCAAUCUUUGAAUUUUUUUGGAGAUUAUUUCCAUAAAUUCCACAUUCCAAAAACAAUGAUAAUCUUUACACAAUAUUAUUGUCAUUUAAAGUGGGAAAAAAUAUAAAAAUAAAAUAAAAUUUUCAAAAAAUUUAGAGAUUGCAAAAAAUACGAGGAUAUGAAGAAUGUGAGGAUCGUCAUAUUUUUCAUACCCUCCUCACAUUCUUCAUACCCUUACCCAUUUGAAUAUUUUAAUCUUUUAAUUUUUUUUUCAAAUAGUAUUUACUUCAAUUUCAAGUGUAAUUAGUGUUUUUACACAAUACCAUUGUCAAAUGAAGUAAAAAAAAAAAAAAAUCAAAAUUAAAAUUUUCAAAAAAUUUAAAGGGUACAAAAAUGCGAAGAGGGUACGAAGAAUGUGAAGAGCCUCACUUUUCUCGUACCCUCAUCACAUUCUCCAUACCUAUUAUAAUUUAUAAAUUUUAAAAAAAAUAUUUUUCAAUUUUUUUAACAUUAUUUGCAUCAAUUUCAAGUGUAAUUAAUAUUUUUACCCAAUAUUAUUGUAAAGUGAUGUGAAGAAAAAUUUAAAAUUAAAUAAUUAAAUAAUUUUAGAGGGUACAAAAAAAUAUGAAAAUAGUAUGAUGAAUGUGACGAGGGUACGAGAAAUGUGAGGAUACAAGAAAUUUAAAAUAAAAAAUAAAAAUCUCAUACCCUCCUCACAUUCUUCGUACCCCUACAAAUUUUUAAUAUUUUAAUCUUUUAAAUUUUUUGAACAUUAUUUGCUUCAAUUUCAAGUGUAAUUAGUCUUUUUACAAUAUAUUAUUGUCAAGUAAAUUAAAUUUAGAGGGUACAACAAAUAUGAGGAGUGUGCGAGAAAUGUGAAGAGGGUAUGAGAAAUAUAAGGGUACAAGAAAUAAAUAAUAAUAAUAAUUCUCGUACCCUCUUCACAUUCUUGUACUCUCCUCACAUUCUUUGUAUUUUCACCAAUUUUUGAAUAUUUUAAAUUUUUUUCGAAUAUUAUUUGCUUAAGUUUCAACAAAAUUUUCGUACCCCACCAAUUUUGUAAUAUUUUAAUAUAUAUAUAUAUAUAUAUAUAUAUAUAUAUAUAUAUAUAUAUUAACAUUAUUUGUUUCAAUUUCAAGUGUAUUUAGUCUUUUUACACAAUAUUAUUGUCAAGUGAAGUGAAAAAAAAACAUAAAGUUAAAAUUUUCAAAAAAAUUAAAGGAUACAAAAAAUGUGAGAAGGGUAUAAAGAAUAUGAAGAGGGUGCAUGAAAUGUGAGGGUAUAAGAAAUAAAAAAACAAAAUACUCAUCCCCUCUUCACAUUUCUUGUACCUUCCUCACAUUCUUUGUACCUUCACCAACUUUUGAAUAUUUUAAUCUUUUAAUUUUAACUCAUCUACCCUUACAAAUCGUGUCUUUAAGGAAUAUGAGCUUAGAGCAGGAACCAUUGGGAUCCAUAGGAGUACUGGCUCCCUUAGAAUCAAAUUUUGAAAUUGAUUCAACAUCCCACUAUAGAGAGUCAGCUGCACUUUAGUACCCUAUGUACAUUACAAUAAGACACCAAGUACUUGGGUUUAUGAUCUACUAUCUAUUGCAUGCAAACUCCCCAUGAACUUGUGUCCGUAAUUGAUUACUACCAAAAAGUACUAUUUUGUAGAUCUAAUUAUAAUGGUUUUAAGCACCUUUAAGUAGUAAUCAUAUUCAUUUAACCCAAUUAAUUCAUUAAGGUCCUUAGUAAUUGGUUUUAACCAUUUUGUGGCAAGUUUACAUGUUUUUAUUAGCUUGUGAACCAAUUCAAGCAUGCCAAUUGAUGGAGGAGCUAUUUGGGUGAGUUAAGCAAGGAUUUUGGACAAUUACAGGCUUGAAUUUCAAGUGGAAACACGAGCACAAGCAAUGGAGAAGAGGAAAACAGAGUGAAGAAAACAGCUGCAGUCUUCUUUCGCACUUUUGAAGCACUUCCCGAAGUCCAUUUUUUGCAUGCUAUAUACCAUUUGAAAUCUUAGAAAGUCAAGAAUCCAACGCUUCAAACCGUGUAUGAUUUGGAGUUGAAAUGAGGAAGAUAUGGCCUUUGGAAGGCAACUGUAUCAUGUCAAAUGACCAAUUUCGCAAGGUGAAUUUCACAUUGCGAAAAUUUCACAAGGAGAUUUUCUUCAUGGUGCGAAAUUUUGCCACUUCGCACCAUGAAGAAACACCUUGCGAAAUUUCGCAAGGUGGAUUUAGGCACAUUGCAAAAUUCCUUUGAAUCCCCUGUUUUGAGACGUUGUUGAUGUUAUUCCACUGCCGGUUCUCCAAGAUAUUUUGCUUGAUUUUUAGCUUUGUAAAUACCUAUUUUACCCUUGUAAUCAACCAAUGAAUAGGUUGCUUUUGUAAUAGCUCUUGUAAUUUAGCUUGUUAUUGUCUUUAAAUAGAGGUGAAGAGCCUCAGAUCAUCAAAUCUUGUAACCUGUAACUUUAUAAGUUAUAAGAGCACUUUUGUUCAUACGCUUCUUUUCUCUUUUCUUUCUCAUUUUCUUAGUAGCCAAACAUCCUUGGGGGAUGAAAUCCCCAAGGAUGAGAGGCUUAAACCUUUUAGUUUCUUGAAGUAAUGGAUGCCAUGUGAAGCUCCCGUGUCAGGAUGGAGAUUUCCAAGCCAUGAAUGUAAGUAGCUGAGCGUCAUAAAUGUUUUCAUUCAAAGUAAAGCUUUUAAUCCCUCUGACUUGCUUUGAAUGGCCAAUACUUGAUAAUCUUUUGGUCUCAAUGGAUUCUUAUUGUUAGAUCCACUGACGUUCAUUAGUUAUCUCCUACGAGCCAUUGUAUUGCAAGUCGAGGAGAUGCCCUAUAUCAUUAAAAGGGCAUUUAUGAGGUUCAACUACCCUUUUUGUAAGUUUUCAAGGACUAAAACUCAGUUGUUAAACUCAUACCGGUUCGGGAAGUAAGCAUCACCUUAGUUGCUUUCCCAACUCGAGGUGAAAAGUCCCAAAAUCUCCAUUUUUUCACAGUGAGUUAAGCAUGGCUAUCCAAAGCUUUGAGAAACUUCUUUUUCCAUCUUUUAACCUAUUUUCAUGUUAGUUUAGUUUACACACCUUCAUCUUUUUAUGUUUUCAUCUUAACCUAAUUUUUAUUAAGAAAAGUUCACUCCAUCCUCCGAACUUCACCAGUUAAAGUAAAAACUCUUCCCAGUGUUCGAUCCUAGAGCCACUAUGCUAUAGUAGCUUUGCUACUUUAGUGUAAGGACCUUAGGUAUAAAUUUUGUUGAUACCCUUACAUGCCAAGCUACCAAGAGUCGGGUUAUCAGUAAUCUAAUAAGGUGGUGUUGUCACCUAUCAAGAUUACCCCUCAAAUCCUUUAGUUAUAGAUCAUACUUAUUACGUGAUUAAAUGACAUACUUUACCUCUAAUGAGCAUAUGUCAAAUUCCACUAAAGGAAUUAUUCCAUGAUCACAUGUCCUUUGGAUCACCCAAGGGGACAUAUCGUCUCAAUCCCAUGAGAUAUCAUGGUGCCUCUAUUGAGAAUACCUAUUGUCAUUAGCCUCCAUCAACAGUGACCCAAUUCAUAGGGAUACAUGGCCACUUUAGGGUUUCACUCAUAGCUUAAAGUCUUCUAUUAACUUUGGCAUAGACUCAAUAUCCUCUAAGGUUGAGAGUCUAUACAGUAUACUAGUUUGGUGAAUCAUAACAAUUGAUAGCCUUGUGUCAUGAUUCACCGUAGGUUUUGUCUAGUGUGCAUCACAUACACUGGUACUCUUCAUAGGAAACCCAUUCCAACGGCUAAGACCAAUCAUCUCUCUAAUUAGGAGGUAGUGCACUAUAGUCUCUACUGGAUUGCCUAAAUCCAUGAACCAAUUGUGGACAGCUUAUCUACUUACAAGGAAUCCAUGACUUGUACUUUUGUGCAACUCCUAAUGCACCUGAAUCAUGUACAAUGUAAGAAACAUGGGUUGAAUGCUCAAAUCAAUGUUAAUACACUAGAGGGAUAACAAGGAGACAGUUAAGUCUAACUUUGUUACAUCAUGUCUUGCUUAGUUAAGUCUAACUUUGUUACAUCAUGUCUUGCUUAGUUAAGUUUAACUUUAUUACAUCAUGUCUUGCUUUUAGGGUCUUAAUCCUAACAAGCUCCUACUACCCCAAAAGUAGACUAGGGUACUGUAGAAAAAAUAUACUCUACAGUCACGUCACCUUUCUAUACUAUCCCACAACAAGGUAUCACUUGUUUUCUAUAUAUUAUCUCUUAUAGUGGCACUUUAGUUAUUUGGACUAUGCCACAAUCCCAUAUAACAAUAUCUUAGACGAUAUAGCCAAUGGAAAUACUCAUAAGCUAAAAGGCUUCCUUUGUUGCUAUAGAAAUAACAAAAACCACUUAGAGUGUACACAUUCCCUAAGGUAGACUUGCGAGAGUCCUCAUUAGACUGAAAGUCCAAUUUCUCGAUACAAGGACUCACAAACAUAUCAUUCUUCAUUCUCUAAGGAUACUAGAGUAUAUGUUUGAAAUUCGCUCAAAGCUCUAAUCAAGAAAUGAACUAAUAUUCACUCAUUAUUCCUACAACAAAGCAAAUAUCUGGUUUAGCACAUAGCAUUGUAUGCUUAAGGCUAUCCAUUGUAGAGGCAUUGGAUACCUCCUUAAUGUGAUCUUUCUCCACAAAUGUCUGAUUACUACUCAAAAAGUGCUAUUUGAUAGCUUGUAAUUAACUCUUUUAAACACUUUUGAGUAGUAGUUAUUGCCUUUUAACCCAAUUAACAUGUUAAGGACCCUUGCAAUCAAUUCUAAUCAAAUUGUGUUAAGUUUUGGUCUUUUGAUAGCUUUUUGAUCACCAAAGCAAUCCAAGAUUGAGGAGAGUUAUUUGGAAUCCACGACAAAGCAAUGGAAAGCUCAAAUUCAUGAAGAACAAGAUUUGGAGCUCCAUAGCUCUUUGCCAAAGUCGUUCAAAGUAUGCAAGGAAAGAACAAAGGAGAGAGGAAAAACAGAGUGAAGAAAACAGAGGACAAUAGCUGCAGUCUUCUUUCGCACUUUUAGAGCACUUCCCGAAGUCCAUUUUCUACAUUCUAUAUACCAUUUAAAAUCUUAGGAAGUCAAGAAUCCAAUGCUUUAAACGGUGAGCAAUUCGGAGUUGAAACGAAGGAGUUACAGCCAUUGCAAGUAGAUCACUCCAAGUUGAAGGAAGAAUUUUGCACAACGCUGCGAAAUCACCCUUUUGUUGCGAAAUGAUUUCGCAGCCUUUUUGUUUAGUGUUGUGGAUUCCCUCCUGAAGUUGCCCGAUAUAUGCCGCAAGUUGGAAGCUGAGCACCUCAAGAUGAAAGCCAACUUCGCAGCCCUGCGAGAAUAACCUUUUGCUGCGAAGUGAUUUCGCAGCCCUUUUUGUGCAUCUGUGAAAUCUCGCAGACCUCGUUUUCACCUACGAAAUGGUCCUUAGUGCUUCCCAAUAUUUGUGCACCGACUCUUUUAGAUCUUUUCUUCAGAUAUUUUUGUAUAAAUUUCCAUUCUCUCCUAGUAAGCCACCAAUUAUGGGAUUCCUUAGUUAUUAAGUUGGGAAAAGGGGUGAAUAACUUGAGAUAUUUUGUUUUGUAAUUUUCUUUAUAUAUAGCUCUCGGGAGCUUGUUCUCAGGGCAUCAUAUCGAUCAAUAUAUAGAUAUAUCAUAUAUAGAAUCAACGAACAGAGCACUUGCUCUGUUUUUCAUAUAUAUUCUUGUUUUCUCGUUAGUUUUCUUUCUAGCCAACCAAACUCUGAGGAUUUUUCCUCAGAGGAUGAGAGGCUAAGCUUUUUGUCUCUUGGAGUAAGGAAAACCGGCUAAGUUUCCACAUGCAUAAAUUGGAAGUUUUGUUGUUUUAGUUUUUAAUGAAGAGAAAGUGUGACCCGUUAAUGGUUUUUAUAUUUUUAGUUAACUUAAAACGCCUUUAAAUCACCUGGGCCAACACUUGGGAAGGCAAGUGAUCUCUGUCCAUGGAGAUGCACUAGUUUACCCCUUGCGAGCCUUUGGGAGGUGACUUGAAGGUAGGAUUUUCUAGAAUAGGCAACACUUGGUAAGCUUUUGGACUCCAAGGAGACAUCUAUUAGUUAUCUCUUGCGAGCUUUUGACGGGUAAUCCAAGGUUAAAGAUCACCUUGAAUGGCAAGUGCUAGGUGAGAGGUAUGAGCCAUUGCAAGGUGCAUCAGUGAGAGGGAUUUAGUGUUUGAACCCAUUAAUGGGAAGCAUCUGUACAACACCGGUUAGAGAAUUAACUAUAUGUUAAUUCUCUAAUGCGAGGAAAAGAAACAAGUGACCGAAACUCUCUUUUUUGUAUGAGGAACCUGAGCCUAGUGAUCUGAACUCCAAAAAACAUUUUUCUUUGUAAGUAAAAUCAGUUACUAUUUUUGGUUAGUUUAAAACCAAACCUUUUUCAUUCAAACAUCUUUAUGUUUUCUUUUAAAGCUAACCUUGAAAUGAAAAGGCACCAAUUCAACUUUGAAUUAAUAUCAUUUGUGAAGUGAAAACCCAUCCCAGUGAACGAUCCUAGNNNNNNNNNNNNNNNNNNNNNNNNNNNNNNNNNNNNNNNNNNNNNNNNNNNNNNNNNNNNNNNNNNNNNNNNNNNNNNNNNNNNNNNNNNNNNNNNNNNNUAAUGGGAAGCAUCUGUACAACACCGGUUAGAGAAUUAACUAUAUGUUAAUUCUCUAAUGCGAGGAAAAGAAACAAGUGACCGAAACUCUCUUUUUUGUAUGAGGAACCUGAGCCUAGUGAUCUGAACUCCAAAAAACAUUUUUCUUUGUAAGUAAAAUCAGUUACUAUUUUUGGUUAGUUUAAAACCAAACCUUUUUCAUUCAAACAUCUUUAUGUUUUCUUUUAAAGCUAACCUUGAAAUGAAAAGGCACCAAUUCAACUUUGAAUUAAUAUCAUUUGUGAAGUGAAAACCCAUCCCAGUGAACGAUCCUAGAGCCACUAUGCUAUAGUAGCUUUGUCUUUGCUACCCUAGUAAAUGGUGUAAUAGGUUAUAAAUUUUGUUGAUUACUCCCUCAAUCAAGGAGCACCAGCUGGACACGAAUCAGCUGAGACACCAAUUGGGCAUGAAUCAAUGUCCAAGGACAUUGAUCCUAAGAAAGAUAACUCCAAAUCCAAAGAGUAACAAACCUUUCUUGGAGUUUUACAUCAUAUACUUGAACAAAUGCUGAUUAAUGUAGAUGACAUGGCAUAAUUUUUCCUAUUCCUGCAAUGCUAAAAGAUCUUAACCUUAAGAAUAUAUUGCGCAUUCCUCUAAAUUUUUUUCUAGAACUAAGUAAACAACUAGAUCUUGACAGAUGACAAUAUCUUUACAUCAUAUCCAAUGAGUAGAUUAUCAUCCACCUACAAGAUCUUAGAGCAUUACUACACUCCCAUAUGCUUUCAUGUACACACAAGGCCUAUUGCUAUGAAAAUGUUUGGUUGCUAUAUCUCAUAAAUCAAACACACUGCAAUAGAUAAGAGUAAUCUACUAGAUUUGAGUAUGAUCACUAUUGAAAAGGUUUUCCAUAGUUGAAACAAAGUUUCAAACUAUAACCUUUAACUAUAGUCUUAGCCAUAUAAAACUCAAGCUUUCCAUCUACUCCUGUGUUUCUCUUAUAGACCAACUUACACCUAUGAGUUUUAUCUCUUUAGGUGUCCUACAGGAACCCAAACUAUGUUAGAAUACAAAGAUUCUAACUACCUUUUCCUAGCUCAUUACCUUAAGUGAGUAUAAACAUUGUUGAAUGCUUCAUCAUAAUCUAUGAUAUAUAAACUUCCAUUACGAUGAGGCAUUGGUGUACUAGAAAUCAUAGGAAUGGUAUGCCUUUAACCCUCUAGAUCCACAAUAUCCUAUGCAAUAUGGGACUAUUUUCUAAUUUCUCCUCCAAUCUAUAUCAUUUUUUGCCUUAUUCCUUAUCAUACAGUUUUAAAUUUUUUUUUGACAUUUGUGCUAACAAAUAUCUUUUAAUGAUCCUAACUAUAAAGGUAGUAACCCAAAAAUGCUCUUAUAUAUCCUAUAAAUUGACAUACCUCUUAAGAAAAAGGGUAACCACCUUUUUAAAAAAUAGUAGGUAAAAUAUACUUGAUACAUACCUUCAAUCUUUUGUUUGUUUUACAUUUUGGUCUCUUAUAUUUGAAAUCCAUCAUUUUACCUAUUCAAACUUAUUAGAAAUCAACACUUCCAUAUCAUUUGCAAACCCUUUAUAAAUUAUAAAAAUGAUCUUUUUUUUUUCUAUAUUCUUGUUUGAACAUUGGUUUGAAUUUAGGUAAAACCAAUUUUGAAUUCAUAGCCUUGGGUAGUAUUUCCCAAACAUCUUUAUUUUAUUAUUUAUUAUCUAAUCCUUCAUGUCUUGUGGAAGCACGUUACAAGUUAUCUAUGCUAUCCAAGUACACCCCCUAUCACCUACCUUCUAAAUUAUGUGAAUAUGCUUAUCACUGUGAACCGUGCCUAUGUUUGGUAGUGCAUGGGUGUCUUGAUAUAUUGUUUCAUUGUUCAAUUAUUUAUGAUAAAGCGCAUGCUGGGUGAUAUUCUAUUUGAACUAACUUUAAUGUCUUUUGAUAGUGCUUAAAAAGCAGUCCAGGUAUGCACCCUAAAUCUUCUUUAUGAUUUGUGAUUGGUUCUUUUGUUUAGCAUGAUAUUUGUUUAAAUCACCUUAGUCUACCUAGGCACCCUCAAUCAACCAAUUAAUUGUCCCAAUUCUCUCAACUUAGCUAGUAAAGACCUCUUUAAGGCUUAGAGGGGUGCUACCUCUUAGAGGUAACUUCCCAAUAGGUAACCUGAUCCCCGAACCUAGACUCGGGUUUUUCAAAGACACAUUUUUCCAAAAACUAUAGUCACUUCUUUAGGGUUUUCUUUCUUAUUUUAUUUUUCCUUUUAAAAUAAAAUAAAAUAAGUGGUGACUCCAACUUUUCCAAAUUUUUCUUUUUUACCAAUAAAAGCGAAUAUCAUCGAUUGAGUGGGAGCGCAUGUGAAAAAUGCAAGACCACACUAUGGCUUUUGUAGUACUCCGGGUAUUGUUCUUAAGGACUAGCUUAUGGAAAUAGUCAAUACUAGAAUAAAUGAAUUGCUUUCGUUUAAAUCCUAAAGUGAAAAACACUAUGAGAAUAAUGUGAAACUAAGUAAAAGAAAAAUAAAUUAAUAACAAAAAUGGAUGUUGAUAUUAAAUUUGAUUGAUUCAAGUUUGGGGCUUUCCACAAUCCAACCUAGGGUAUAGAAAUUAGAGAAAACAAGGGUCUUUUAAGUAAUAUGAUCUUAGGGUUUUGGGAUCCUUGGCUCCUCAUGAUCAAGUUGAGUUCUAUAACAUAAAAUUGCAUCCGAAACCUAAUUUUUCCUUUUUAAAAUAAAAUUCCUAAAACCAUCAAAUGAAUGAGAUUGAUUACUAGUUUAAAAUUUGGACUUUUAACCCUUCCUACUCCUUAUAGUUUUGUUUUGGGGCAAAUAAUGAUAGAGAAAACGAGGAUAACUAAUGAUCAAGAAUUACCAAAAAUCACUAGUAUCGGGUAAUAACCUACCAUAUCAUUCCCUAAACUAACUCACAAGGAUAGGAUAAAAAAAUGAUAAAUUGUCACCCAACCAAUAAUUAAUCUCAUUGAUAUAAUAAUUUACCCAUUGUCCCUAUAGGUUUCCUAACCCUUAGGUUUUCAUGCUUUAAGCCCCAAGUUAGCUCUUAACCUCUCAUGGGGUUAUUGUCACAUUCACAAUCCAUAAUAGGGUAAAAAUCCAUAAUUUGAAUCAAAAGAACCUAAAAUAAUAUAUUUAAUAAAGAAGAAAAAGAAAACAAACCAAAGUUCUCAUCUUCUUCCACCUUCAAUGUCAAACUCUCUAGAAAAAAAAAAAAAAAAUCCAAGGUCCCUAAAACCUAGAACUAAGAGAGUUUAGAUAAUAUCAUCAAUUACCUAACAUGUGCCACACUCUCAUUGGCCACUUAUUACAAAAAUAAUUACCUAAAAAUGAUUAAAAAUUAAUAAAAUGGUGAUUUCUAGCAGUGUGUGGGGUCCAUUUAGGGGUGAUGGAGUGUCUUAGAUGCAAUUUCCAAGGUAGAGGAGGUGAAACAUCAAAGUGGCAGUGGGUGAAUUUGAAAUUGGUGUCAUUUUGAUGUGGAUUUUGAAUUCAUAAGUUGAAUUUCGAAAUCAUUUCGAAAUGACCCUUUAGAUUUGUGUAGUCGUCUUCAAAUAACCAUAACUUCUUCAUUUCAGCUUCAAUUUGCACACUGUUUGAAGUGUUGGACUCCUGACCUCCCAAGCUUCAAAAAAAUAUAUUGUAUGCAUAAAAUGGGCUCCAGAAAAUGCUCCAAAUUUAUCCUCAAAGUCAGAGUAUAUAUUACCAUCAGAUUUUUGAGUUCUAGAUUUCCAUGUAGCUGAAUCUUGCUUCAUGCCUCAAUUCCUAUGUUUUCUUGCCUUCUUUCUUACUCCAUUAUGAUCAUUUCUCAUAUUCCAAACUCAUGAUAUCCUCGUCUUGCCUUUCCUCAUGGUCCAUGAGUCAUGACUCACCUAUUUCUUCAUUUAACCCUUUCUUGAUCUUUCAAAAUCUAAAGUGAUUCAACUUGCACCAUUUUCUUCCCUUGAACCUGAGAUAAGUCUCCAAAGUACAAAUAAAACUCCUGGCUAGGUCCUUAGCAUUAAUUUAGGUCAAGUUGGGUGAUUUGAAUGUUCUUUGGUGCACAAAUCAUAUCAAAUAUGUGUCAUUAGAGCACAUAUUUUGGCUCCAAUCAUCCCCCUCAACUAAACUUUGCUAGUCCCUAGCAAAUGAAAAGAGUAAAGAAAAAAAUUAAAAAUAUGUAAUGAGAUUCAUGAAACCAUAUUGACUCAACAUAACAUAUUUCACACACAAGAUACCCAAGUAGUCAAAUUUCUUAGAAUUGAGCAAAAUGAAACAAGAUAUGCAAUUUUUUAGUUUUCUCACCUUAUCUUCGUAUACAUAAAUGUGCAUCCACGUUUAGCAUUCCCCUUAGUGUCUCUUGAUUUUCCCCUGAUUAGUUUUUUCCACCUAAACCUCAUGUGCUUAAUUUUGGUUUCCUCUCACAGUAUUUUUCUUUAGACUUUUCUUAAACUCAAACUUCAUCAUUCUUUAAGUUAAAGAGGGGGGGAAAUUUAUUUUGAUUUUUCUUUCUUAGUUUAGGAAAUCUCCUUCUAUAUGGCUUAAUAGGGAUCCACCGGCAACUCCUAAGUUUUCACCCAUGGUACCAGGUAUUGGGAACCUUUAUAGGCUACUUACUCCUCAGGUAUUACCCUAGCUCUAGAUAGAACAAGGUCGAAUUUCCUAAACAUUUAUUUAUUUUUAUUUUUCAAAACUGAGUUUAACUUAUGUUACAAGCAAGAUACUGAUGACUCUUAACCAGUCGGUUUCGGGCACCAGGGCUUGAAGACACAAGGCCAUUACCCCCUCAAAUAAUUUCUCAAGCUUAAAUCAAUCAUUUUCAAUUUUCUUUUCAUCAAUUUGUUUUUUUUUUUUUCAUUUCCUCCUUUUAUUAGUUAAGAACAACUCCUUUUAAUCUAAAGAAAUUAUCUUAAUCAAGAUACCAUAAAGGAAUAUGUGCUUUGUGUGUGCUUUGAGUCUUAAAUAGAAAAUAACCAUAAAAAUAAAAUAAAAUAAAAUUUUGAAGGUAUUCCAAGGAUUCAACCUAAUUAUUUUUGUACUUAAAGGUAUAUAAAGAUAAGGUAAGUGAACUAAUAUUCUUGCUCUAACUGUAUUUUUUCUCAAAUUCUAAAGAAAUAAUACUACUUAAAGCAUUCUCAUGCAAAAUAAACCAUGAGUUACCAAGGCAAAUCAAGAAUCUCAUUAACUAACCAAAGAUAACAUGCAAACUUUUGAAAAAAAAAUUAGGGCUAAUAGACCUUCCCCCCUCAACCUAAAUUACACAUUGUCCCCAAUGUGUAGGAUAUUGGGUCAAAAGAAAGGAAAAAUGGAGAUGUUAUCUCAAGAUCAUCGAGUGAGAAGUUUGUUAUGAGGACUUCAUAUAAACUAGUCUUGCACAAAAGCAACAAGAUUAGUGGCAAAAGUAUGCAUAGAGAAAAAUAUAAAUGGUGAUCUAAAAGAGAGUAUAAGAGUAUCAGUAUGCUCCAAAAAUACCAUAGUGUAUACAAUUAUAUCGAAUAAGGUAUAUAUAGAAAUGAACAUCAAGCACCAAUGAUAGGAUCAACAACUCCAUCUAUCCCCUCCAACACAUGGGUGGCUACCUAGUCAAUAUCCUCCAAUAUAGGUGUAGUAGCUAAUUAGUGAUCUCCACGAUAGGUGUAACGGCCUCGCCAACAACCUGUACCAUAGGGGGGUCAUCCUUAAUAAUGAUGUCCACACUAGUGUCAGUAGUAUGAAUGAAGAUCUCACCAUCGACCUAUCCUGCAGAAUCUGGAAUAUCAAUAGUUGAGGUAAAAAUCUUAGUUGCGGCAUCACUUGAUGUUUGUAAAAUAGGCAUGGUCUCAUGGGCUACUGUCGGUGCUCUAGUGUUAGAGCCAGAAUCAAUCACCUCUGUAGUGUUGCCAUCAACCUCUAAGUUGGUAUCAAUUGGUGUAAUAAAAUCUCCCCUCUGUCUAGAUGGAAUAAUCAAAGAAGUGACCUAUUGUACACAAAAAGUGAGGUCAUCCAUCUAAGUCUCCAUCUUACUUAAGCGAGCAUCAAUGCGAGAGUCCAUGGACACAAAUAACUUUUGAAGUGUGUCUAGACGAGCCAUGAUUGAUAAGGUACUCAGGGUAGCAUCAACAACCUGAGGCAGUGAAGGUUUAAGAAGAUCAAAGGUUGGUAAUGCUAGUGUAGAAAUAGGAAUAUAUAGCAGGCUCUAAGACACAUGAAAGAGGUGGUGGAAGAGGAAUAGGAAGCACUGGUAAGCUCGUGUCAAAAGUAGGAGUAGGUGGAAGCGGGCUCUCUAUAGUAGAUGGAAGUGGAACAACAUGCAAAGCUCUCUUUCUCUUAGCGCCAUAGGUAAUCAACUAUGACCCUGAAUGAAUUGUUUGACCCACUGAUUGAUAACAUAAGUGUGAGAAGUCAUGCGAUGAUCAGACUUAGGUAACUGGCAUCCAUGACGGAGCAAGUAGUAUGAGAGCAACUGAGGCAAAGGAAUAAGAUAACUUUGAGCUAAAGAUAAUUGUUUCUCCUUAACCUUUUGAAAAAAAUAAAAGAUGGUAUCCAUGAUGAGUUGAGGUGGACUCCACCACUUGCCUGUGUACAUGUGAUAUAACCCCUAUAAGACUAAACCAGAACACUUUAUAGAGUGUCCAAAUGGAAAAUGUUGGUCUUAAUGACCUGAUCCACAAACCAUAAGAUCUAUGGCAUCUCAAGGUGAGUGAUGGCUGAACGAUAACAAGUAUCCCGAGGUGCUAAUAUAUGUGCAAUCCUCGAAAAAGCUGGUUGUGAUUGAGGUGAAAAUUGGGCUUCAAGAGGAGCAGAUGAUGGUAAACCAAAGGUUGCAACAAUGGUCUCAGUGGAAAUAAUAUCAAUUCAUCUAUUGAUAGAAAUAUGGAGCUCUCGGUAUCUCCCUCUCCAAUCCUCGAGAGUAGAGAAGAACUCUCUUACACUAGCGACAUAAAAAUAUGGCGGAGGAUCCAUCAAUAAGAGAAAAUAAUAUCGGUCAAGGAGAUGCAUGGACUAUGUAGUGGGCUAGUAAGUACUAAAUGCCUUUAUUUCAUAAGAGAACUCUUGAUCAAACUUCAGUUAAGAUAGGUCCACCCUAGGGGCAUCAUCACAAACUAUUAGAGAUGGAGGACGUGUUGGGCUCAGAGUAGGAGGAGCUGCCCAUGGAUGUGGAGGAGUGGUAGUAAGCUUGGUGGUCUUAAGAGUGGUUGAGUGAUCAAAAUGAGCCUUUGUCUUGGCUUUGACAUGCUUGGCUUGACGAGUGACAUGCCUCUCAGUAGGCUCAAUAAUCAUUCCACCACUUCGACUUUGGACAAGAGGUCGGGCAUGUUUUUGCCUUGGAGAAUGCUUAGUCUCAUUGUCACUUUGAAUAACAACUUUCCUUUUAUAUUAAGCCAUCUGAAAUAAAUGUCAAAAAAUAAACUAAACUUAAAAAAGGGAAAUAAAUAAAUAGAAAUAAAUACAAAAACUCAUAAGGGUUAAGAAAACAAUCUAAAAAAAAAAAUUGGAUGCUCAUGAAAUUUAUGGAUUCAUAUGAAACGGUGGUAGACCAUUCCUAAAAUGCGGGAGAACAUUCAAGGUGUCCAACAAUGAUGAAAACAUGAGUCUUUGAAGCCUUAGAUAUAAUCCAAACAAUACCUAAGUUCAAAUAUCAUGUGACAAGGAAAUCAAAGUGAUUGGUUAGCUUAGGAGAAUGUGUAGAACAAAUAGAAAAAUCUACUAGAGAGUUUAAAAUGUUCUAGAGCAUAUAAAACAUAAAUUAGGCAACAAUUAUGCAAAACUCAUGGAAAAAUAAGAACUUUGCUCUCAAAGUAUUCUAAGAUGUUCAACAAGCCCUAAGAAUCAUGUAGAAAAAAUUUCAAAAUUUUUCUCCAAGUAUAAACCAAAAAUUCUAACACCUUGAAUUUCCAAGCAAAACAAAUGAACGUUGUGUAAUCAAAAUCAAUCUUGUUGAGUUACGUUCAAAUUUUCGGGGGUCGAGCUCCCCGCUAAGCUUGUGGGGGUCGGGGGGCAGCACCCUCUAGAAUUGUUUUUUCAUUAUAUUUAUUAUUUUUUUUUAUCUACCCAACAGAAACAAUAGAAACCCUAAACAAUGUUAUUGAGAGUUUGGUCACACUGCAUUUUAUAUGGAGCAACACCACACAAUGAAACCAUAAAGAUCAAGGAAAAUCCAUGAAAAAUAAACAAGAAAUGAGUAUGAGUGUAAUGCGUACCUGGAAUGUGACAAACCCAUAAUGAACCCUUAAAUCACCUUCAAUGGAAGCUAGGACAAUGAACAAGGGAAGAAUAAACAAGGGGAAGAGGAGAUAAAGUGGUCUAGAAGUGGAAAUGGCCUUUUGUAAAGGAGUUUGGUUGAUUUCGGAGUGAACUCGAAAUAGAAAUUAAGUAUUUUGAAUUGGAACUUUGGUUAAGAAAAGUCAUUUUGAAAUUUAACUAUUGAAUUCAAAAAUAACCUUAUUUUGAAUUCGUUAAUUAAUGGUAAAAAAAUGCCCAUUUUAAAAUGUAACCAUUGGAUUCGAACACUAUCCUAUUUCCAAAUGGCUCACUAUAUACAAAAACAUUUCAAACACCUCAUUUCGAAAUGAAAAAAAAAAAAUCAUUUCUAAAUUGGGCAAAUUUCGAAUUCACCUUCUGAACUUAAAAAAUCUCAAUUCUAAAGCAAAAGUUUCAAUUUUGAAAAGCCCACCAUUUCAAAUUUGCUAAAUGUAGCCUCAAUACAGUGUAAAAAACCUGUUUCAAAAUUCCACUAAUGAUUUCGAAAAUAGCUUCAUUUCAAAAUGGCUCACUGUUGAUUCCAACUUCUAUUUCGAAAUAGCAAUCUUUUUUAUUUCAAAUUUGACGUCAUUUCGAAAUAACCCACUAUGGGUGUUGAAGUCCAUCUUAAAGCAUCAAAAUUGCUCAUUUCGAAAUUCAAAAUUCAUUGUAUUUCAAACUUGUUUUUUGUGAGUUCAAAACACCUAUUUCAACAUUUACUAGUGAUUUCAAAAUCAAUCUCAAUUCAAAUUCACUUUCUAUAUAUUUAAAAUUGCAAUUCCAAGACAAAAAAUUUGAAUUCGAAAGGAUCAUAAUAUUGAAAUCACCCAUUACUGGUCUUCAAAAGUGUCAUCUCCAUUUGAGAUUUCAAAUUCAAAAAUAAAGGAAUUUUGAAUUCAUCCACUAUACCUUUAGCCCUUUAUCAUAAAAAUUUAGGAUUUCUUUCCCAAGGGCUACUCAGUUUUGUAUUUCAUCCUUUGUUUUCAAAGUUCACCAAUGAUCCUCACAAGUAAAUUUUUGGGAGGCCUAUGGUCUUAAAUAUAGAUCAACGUACUUGUAGGAGCUUUGCCACCUUGAACACUUAUGAGGCUUACCUUUUCACUACAUUGAAGUUCACAUUUACCUAUAUCACUUGGAUGUUUGCAAGCUAAGUUGCUACAACUCAUAAACUCAUUAGUAAGUUAAAGACAACUUAAAAAAAUACUAACCAUAUUUCUAAUGACUAAUUGAAAAUGAAAAACUAAACAAAGGAAAAUAAAUAAAAUAAAACAAAAUAAAAGAGAAAUUAAAUAAAUAAAAGUUUUACCUAAAUUUAAUUUUUACCUACUAGAUUUUCAGAAAAUACUUCAACCCUUUUGAACAUUCCCAUAAAGAAAAUGGAGAUUCUCCUCUAAUGUCUCAAAUCUUUCAAUGAAAUGCUUUAAGCGCUGACCACUAACUUUGAAUUCAUUACCAUUCCUCAGAUUUCGAAUGGUCACGAUGCCAUAAGGGAAGACUUCCUUUACCACAUAAGGGCCAUUCCACCUUGACCUAAGCUUUCUUGGAAAAAUGUGACGCUUAGAGUCGUACAACAACACCUUUUCAUCUUGCUUUAACUUCAUUCAUAAAAUAAGUUUGUCAUGGUAGAAUUUGUGUGUUUCCCUUGCAUUACGUAAGCAUUCAUAAUUCUAAUUUUGAUAUGCCUCAAGUUCAUUCAAAUCAUAUUUCCUUUUAGCUCCAGUUUGAUCCAAAUCAAAGUUCAUUUUUUUAUAGCCCAAUAUGCACGAAGUUUGAGCUCUAUAGGCAAAUGACAUGAUUUACCAUAAACAGUCUGAUACGGUGACAUGCCAAAGAUAGUCUUAUAGGUUGUCCUAUAUGCCCGAAGUGCAUCACUCAACUUGGUAGACCAAUCUUUUCUUGUAGUAUUGACUACUUUGGUAAGGAUUCUCUUAAUCUUUCGAUUUGCUAGCUCAGCUUGCCCAUUUGUUUGAGGGUGAUAUGGGUGGACACUUUAUGCCUCACUCCGUAUUUCUGAAAAAGAGUGGAAAAAGGGCUUGUUACAAAAGUGUGAACCUCCAUCACUAAUGAUUGCUCUCAGAAUGUCAAACCUAGAGAAAAUAUUCUCCUUUAAAAAUUUGAGCACCACUUUGUGAUCAUUGCUCUUGCAUGCCACUGCUUUUACCCAUUUAGAAACAUAAUCCACUCCCACCAAAAUAUAGAGAUUACCAAAAGAAUGAGGGAAUGGUCCCAUAAAGUCAAGGCCCCAACAAUCAAAGACCUCAACAACACAAAUAUAAUUUUUUGGCAUUUGAUACUUUGUGUUGAUUUUCUCCAGUUGUUGACAUUGUGGACAACUUCUGCAGUGAGUGUUACAAUCCUUGAACAUAGUUUUCCUAUAGAAUCCACUCUGUAGAAUUUUUUCCUAAGUCUUCCGUAGACCAAAAUGACCUUCACAAGCUCUCUCAUGGCACAUUCGCAACAUGUUUUGUUGUCCAUCCUCUGGAACACAUCUUUGAAUAAUUUGAUUUGGACAAAACUUAUACAAAUAUGGAUCAUCCCAAGCAUAGUGUUUUGCUCACCAACAAUCAAAGACCUCAACAACACAAAUAUAAUUUUUUGGCAUUUGAUACUUUGUGUUGAUUUUCUCCAGUUGUUGACAUUGUGGACAACUUCUGCAGUGAGUGUUACAAUCCUUGAACAUAUUUGGCCUAUAGAAUCCACUCUGUAGAAUUUUUUCCUAAGUAUUUUGUAGAGCAAAAUGACCUCCUGAUUCGCUUGUAACUCCAAAUGGGUCAUUUAAUCAAAAACAUUUAUAAAACCUAUGACCUCAUACUAAUGUAGUAAAGCUACUAUAGUAUAGUGGCUCUAGGGUCGAACUCUGGGAUGGGUUUUCAUUCUACCAGUGAUGUAUUCAAAAUUAGAAAUUGUAUUUAAUGAUUUCCUUUAUCAAAAACUUAAAGUUUAAAAGAAAAUAAAAUUUGAUUUGAAAGUGUUUAAAACUAAACUAACAUAAACUAAUUAAAAAUGGAAGAAAGAAAGUCUCCCGGAGCUAAGGGUUGCUAGGAUCAAGUUCAGAAUAGAAAGUGGAAAAUUCCGGAUUUUUCUCCUCGCAUUGGGGAUUUAACCUAUAGUUAUUUCCCGAACCGGUAUAGGUUUGACAAUGAAGAUUUAAUCCAUAAAAGAUCAAUAGAAAUGGUAGUCAAGGUCCAUUAAUGGCUUAAGACACUAUGGGUCUUCACCUUGAAUCACUUUCCAAUGACUCGUACAUGAUAACUAAUGGACUAAUAUGGAUCUAGCAAUAAGCAUCCAUAAAGACCUGAAGCUUACCAUGUAUUGAUCAUUCAAAGUGAUUCUAAGGGGUUUAAAGUAAAACUUUGGAUUUAGAAGCCGUUUAUGAAUUCCAACUACCUGAAUUUAAUGCAUGGAAGCUUUCCACCUUUUCAUCUGGACUUUUCACCUAGCUUCCUUUACUCCAAGAAACCGAAAGUUUAGCCUCUCAUCCUCCGGGCAAACAUCCUUAGAGGUUGUUUGGCUUCCAAGAAAAGGAAAAUAAUAAAGAGCAAAGAGAACGAGAGAGCUCUGUAAAAUUCUCAGUGUAAAAACGUAAUACGUAUUCCAUAUAUUCCAAGAGAUGAUUUCCACCCCUUAUAAAGUCUUUACAAAAGCUAAAGCUUAUGAUUGGUUAAUUACAAGGAUAAUAAAGGAAAUUACAUCACAAAAUACAAAGGAAAAUAUCUAAAGUGGAGUCGGCAAAGGGCAGAGCAAAAUUCGCAACACGCAUAGGUUAUGCGAACCAUAUGCGAAUGUUAUGCGAAUUUCGCAUAACCUCUUGUGGAAUGCGAAAUUUUCGCAUAUGCUAGAGCAGUUGGCUUCCGAAGGCCAUAUCUUCCUCAUUUCAGCUCCAAAUCGUACAUGGUUUGAAGUGUUGGAUUCUUGACUUCCAGAGCUUUGAAAUGGUAUAUAGCAUGUAAAAAAUGGACUUCGGGAAUUGCUCCAAAAGUGUGAAAGAAGACUGCAGCUGCUACAUCUUGAUUUUUUUUCACUUUGCUUCUCUUUGCUUCUCUCCUUUGCUUGACUUGUCUUAAUGAUCCAAAAAGCUGUCAAAACAUUAAAACUAGCCACAAAUAUGAUUAGAAGACAUUGCUAGGUCCUUAACAUGCCAAUUGGACUAAAGAUGGAGAACUACUACACAAAAGUGCUUAAAACAUAAUGCAUUAAAGGUGUAAAAUAGCACUUUUUGGGUAGUAAUCACCUCCACAAGCUCUCUCAUGGCACAUUCGCAACAUGUUUUGUUGUCCAUCCUAUGGAACACAUCUCCGAAUAAUUUGAUUUGGACAAAACUUAUACAAAUAUGGAUCAUCCCAAGCAUAGUGUUUUGCUCAAGAAAGAAAAUACUUUUCAUCUCCAUGUUCCAUUCUGAGGGAAGCUCUCUAGUUGCCAAGUAGUUGACUAUAUUUGCAAACCAAGGAAACUUCUCCACUGCACAAAGUGCAUCAUCAAGAAACUCAUCAUUAAUCUAUGCUUCGUCAAAAAGUGACUCUACUUUAACUCAAGAGAGAUGAUCAGCAACCACAUUCUUUACCCCUUGCUUAUCCUUGAUUUGCAUGUUAAAUUCUUGAAGAAGAAGGAUCCAUAUGACAAGUCUUGUUUUGACAUCCUUUUUGUUGAGUACAUAUUUCAAGGCCGAAUAAUUAGUAAAAAUUACUAUUGAAGUUCCCAAAAGGUAGUUCCUGAAUUUAUCAAGUGCGAACACCACUGCAAGGAGCUCCUUUUUAGUAGUUGUGUAGUUCUUCUGAGCAUCAUUGAGGGUCUUACUAGCAUAGUACACCCUAUAUGGUUUUCCAUCCUCCCUUUGACCUAGUACGACUCUCACUGCAUAGUGACUGGCAUCACACAUCAACUCAAAUGGAAGAGACCAAUUGGGAGGUCUCACAAUUGCGGUAGUAGUGAGAAGUGACUUUAGUCUCUCAAAAGUUUCUUGACAUGCUUUAGUCCAUAUAAAUUCUGCAUCCUUAAGUAACAAAGCAUAAAGAGGUUGAGAGAUUUUUUAGAAGUCCUAUAUGAACCUUCUAUAAAAAUCUGCAUGCCCCAAAAAUAGUAUAAUUCACAUGUUUAUUUUAUUUUAAAAAUUAAUUGGAUAAUUAGUUUUGGUAUAAUUUUUGUUAAUUUUAUUUUAAAGAUUCUUUGUAUGAUUAAUUUGUAUAAUUUUUGUUAGUUUAAUUUUAAAAAUUCAUUAGAUGGUUAAUUUGUAUAAUUCAUAUGUUAGUUUUAUUUUAAAAAUUAAUUAGAUGAUUAGUUCAAGCAUAAUUUUUGUUAAUUUUAUUUAAAAAAUUCUUUGUAUGAUUAAUUUCUAUAAUUUUUCUUAGUUUUAUUUUAAUGAGAUUGAUUACCAGUUUAAGAUUUGGCUUUUUAAUCCUUCCUACUCCUUAUAGCUUUGUUUUGGGGCAAAUAAAGAUAAGGAAGACGAGGAUAACUAAUGAUCAAGAAUUACCAAGAAUCACUAGUAUCGGGUAAUAACCUACUGUAUCAUUCCCUAAACUAACUCACAAUGAUAGGAUUAAAAAAAAUGAUAAAUUGUCACCCAACCAAUAAUUAAUCUCAUUGUUAUAAUAAUUUACCCAUUGUCCCUAUAGGUUUCCUAGCCCUUAGGUUUUCAUGCUUUAAGCCCCAAGUUGGCUCUUAACCUCUCAUGGGGGUGAUGUCACAUUCACAAUCCAUAAUAUGGUAAAAAUCCAUAAUUUGAAUCAAAAUAACCUAAAACAACAUAUUUAAUAAAGAAGAGAAAGAAAACAAACCAAAGUUCUUAUCUUCUUCCACCUUCAAUGUCAAACUCCCUAGAAAAAAAAUCCAAGAUUCCUAAGACCUAGAACUAAGAGAGUUUAUAUAAGAUCAUCAAUUACCUAACAUGUGGCACACUCUCAUUGGCCACUUAUUACAAAAAUAAUUACCUAAAAGUGAUUAAAAAAAUUAAAUGGGGAUUUCUAGUCGUGUAGGGUCCACUUAGGGAGGAUGGAAUGCCCUAUAUGCAAUUCCCAAGGUAGAGGAGGCAAAACAUCAAAGUGGCAAUGGGUGCAUUCGAAAUUGGAGUCAUUUUGAUGUGGAUUUCGAAUUCAUAAGUUGAAUUUUGAAAUUAUUUCGAAAUGACCCUUAAGCUUUGUGUAGUUGUUUUCAAAUGGCCAUAACUUCUUCAUUUCAGCUCCAAUUUGCACAUUGUUUGAAGCAUUGGAAUCAUAACCUCCCAAGCUUUGAAAUAAUAUAUCGUUUAAAUAUAAAAUGAACUCUGAGAAAUGCUCCAAAUUUGUCCGCAAAGUUGGAGUAUAUAUUACCAUUAGAUUUUUGAGUUUUAAAUUUCCAUGUAGCUGAAUCUUGCUUCAUGCCUAAUUUCUUAUGUUUUCUUUCCUUCUUUCUUACUCGAUAAUGGUCAUUUCUCAUAUUCCAAACUCAUGAUAUCCUUAUCUUGCCUUUCCUCAUGGUCCAUGAGUCCUGACUCACUUAUUUCCUCAUUGAACCCUUUAUUAAUCUUUCAAAAUCUAAAGUGAUUUAACUUGCACCCUUUUCUUCCCUUGAAUCUGAGAUAAGUCUCCAAAGUACAAAUUAAACUCAUGACUAGGGCCUUAGCAUCGACUUAGGUCAGGUUGGGUGAUUUGAAUGUCCUUUGGUGCAUAUAUCAUAUUGAAUAUGUGCCAUUAUAGCACAUAUUUUGGCUCCAAUCAAGCUUACCUGCCAAAUUCUGCAUGCCAAACAUUGAGUGAUAGAAUGGAGUGGGUUGUCCGAAGAUUCAUUUGAGGCUCUAUAGUAUAUUUGUGAGAGCACACAGAUUAGAUGAUAUGUAGUUGGUUGCUCUCUUCCCUAUGUCAUUUAGUUGAGUAGCAUAGAGGUGGCUGGCCUCAAUUAAGCAUUCGAGACUCUACACUUGGGAGGAUGUGGCCUAUGAGUUUUUGACACUGUUUGCCUUUAGUGCCGAUAUUGAUUUUUUUUUUUUUUUUACCAAACAAAGCGUCGAGAAUGUUACUUAACCAUCCCUAUAGUAAAAGCAAAAUUUGUUGCUUUUAGUGCUGAUAAUGAUGUUUCUAGGCGAGAGUUAGAGGCUACUAAGUAGAGGCCAAAUGAAUCUGUUUCUUCAUUUAUUAGUCAUUAGAGGGCUAAGGUGGUUGGUAUGAUAGAUUGACUAAAGGAGUAAGAUAGGAUUAACGUGCUUCUUUGGAAACUUCAGCCGAGGUUUGCCAAACAUCUUGUAGGUAUUCCAUUUGAAGACUUAUGAAGUUUGGUUCAAGUCGCUUUUAGUGUUGAGGAGAGUAUUGCUAGAGGGUUAUAGAAAAACAUUAUUCCUUCCUUAGAUAAUAAAGGAAAGAAGCCUGUAGAGGUUAGCACUAUCAGUUAUCAUCAUCAAGGUCAGUUUAUCAAUCAUACCAAAGGUCUCCUACAAUCAGAGCCCACUUUCCUCAUCCUUUGUGCCAAUAUUAGUCCACCUAUAUUCAACAACCUUUCAUUACUCGGACCAGUAUGCAACCACGACUUCCAUAUCCUAGAGGCAUUGGUUCUCAAUCAUUACUCAUGUUCCCACUCAUAUUUUUUACACACGUGAUCUUUAUCGAAGAGGGACAUAUUUGUAGACCCUCCAUUCUAUCUCCUUAAUAGAUGCCCUAUUAAGUGUUCUUUCAAUACUCCACAAUGGUUCCCUAGUGGCUCUUUGCUGCCCAUAUAGCCUACCUAUUUUAGCCACCUUGGAGGCUUUGGUUAAGGAAUUUAUUUGACCCCUUAUUUUGACCCUUGGCAGAAUCGAGUUAGAUUUAGGUUUUUCUUUUUUCUUUUUAGGAUAGUUCCUUUAAGUACAUUUCUAGGAUAGAAUACUUAGGCAUCAUUUUUCGAUCACCUUGGCCCAUUUAGACACUUUUGGCCAAUUUAGGCACAUCCGACCCAUUUAGGAUCACCCUAACCCAUUUAGAUACAUCUGGCCUAUUGAGAUCACCUUGACCGAUUCAGACACUUAGGUACAUCUAACUCAUUUAGGUCACCUUGGCCCAUUUAGACACACAUAGGCCCAUUUAGGCGCAUCCGACUCAUAUAGGAUCACCCUAGCCUAUUUAGACACAGCCAACCUAUUUAGGAUGACCUUGUCUCAUUUAGACACAUUUGUCCUAUUUAGGAUUACCUAGACCCAUUUAGGCACAUUCAACCCAUUUUGGUCAUCCUAGCCCAUUUAGACCACUUAGGCCCAUUUAGGCACAUUAGGCACAUUGGACCCAUUUAGGAUUACCCUGGCCUACUUAGGCACGCCUUAACCCAUUUAGGUCACUUGGCCCAUCUAGGCACAUUUGGCCCAUUUAGGAUGACCUAUGCCAAUUUAGGCACAUUCAACCCAUUUAGGUUGCCUUGGCCCAUUUAGAAACACCCAAGCCUAUUUAGGUCACUUAGGCCCAUUUAGGCACACCUUGGCCUAUUUAGGUCACUUAGGUCCAUUUAGGCGCAUUCGACCCAUUUUGGAUCAACCUGACCCAUUUAGGUAUAUUUGGCCCAUUUAGGAUCAUCGUGGCUCAUUUAAACACACCCUGGCCCAUUUAGGUCAUUUAGGUCCACUUAAGAACACAUUAACCCAUUUAGGUCACUUAGGCCCAUUUGACCCAUUUAGGAUCACCCCCAGCCCAUUUAGACAUACCCAAGCCCAUUGAGGUGACUUAGGUCAAUUUAGGCACAUUUGGUCCAUUUAGACACUUUGGGCCCAUUUAGGAUCAUCUAGGCCCAUUUAGGCACAUCCAACCCAUUUAAGAUCACCCUAGCCCAUUUAGACACAUUCGACCCAUUUAGGAUCGUCUUGGCCUAUUGUAGCACAUUUGGCCCAUUUAUGAUCACCAUGGCACAUUGGGCCCAUUUAGGGUCACUUAAGCCCAUCUAGGCACACCCUAAGCCCAUUUAGGUCACCCGUUGUUUCACUUCUUAUUGCAUGGUUUGCGUGAUUGCAUUGUUGAACUUCCUUGCAUGGCUUGCAUGACACUUUGUUUUUUUUUUUUGUUAUUAUUAAUUACUUCUUUAUUUUUAUUUAUUAUCUUUCUAUUUAUUUAUUUAUUAUUUACUUAUUUAUCUAUUAUUAUUUCAGCAUUUUCUAAAUUAUUUUUAAAUACUAUUCAUUUGUUCAAUCUAAUUUUAUUUUUGUGUUUUUGUAGGGAAAUUUACCAAAGAGAGAGCCAACGGAGAUGGAAAGUAAGAAUCACCAAAAUGAAAAAGGAAGAUAAUGGCGAAAGAGAGUAAUACUUACCAAAAAGAGAGGGGAUUGUGAGUUGCAUUAUAAAAGUAUGGAGAACACAAUUUGGGAAGUUUAUCAAAGAGAGAGCCAAUGGAGGUGUAAAACAAGAAUUACCAAAGUGAAAAAGGAAGACAAAGCGACAGAUAGUAAAACUUACCAAGAGAAGAGGGGAUUGAGGGUUGCAUUAUGAAAAUAUGGAGAACAUGUUUUGGUACUGAGAAAUUCAACACAUGGAGAAGGUUUUGGAGUAAGGAGAGGAAGGAUUUCGUCAAGGUGGAAUUUUAAGAAAAAAGGAUAUUCAAUGUGGUAGGAAGGAAUGUUUAGCAUAUUAAGGAAGAAUGUGGGGAUAGGUAGGGGGGAAGAAGAAUAAUUGCAAUUUGUUUUUUUUUUUUUGGUAGAGAGAACACUUUGGCAAAUUUUUGGGAGGUUCAACGUGCAUGUACAAUAAGAUCUCUUGAAAGAGCACGUAUAGAAGAGGGCACAAAUUUUUUUAGGAGACAAUUAGUUGCAUCUUAAAAGGGAAUUGAAGGUAAAUAUUGAUGAUGAUAUUGAUUUUAUUAGUUUCGAAAAUAUUGAUAUUAGUUUCAUGAAUAUGGAUGUUUUAGUUUAGAUAGAUAUUGAUGUUUUAGUUUUGAAAAUAUUGAUGUUUGCUAAGAUGUUUUGAUUUGGAUAAAUUUUGACAUUUUAGUUUUGAUAAAUAUUGAAGUCUUGGAUGUAUUUGCAUGUUGGUUAUAUUAAAAAAAAAAAAAAUUCCAAAAGUUUAGUUUUCAUGAAAUUGAUUGUUAGUUAUUUCUAUAAAAAAUAAAAAUAAAAAUAAAAAUAAACAUAAAUCUUGGAAUGUAAUUUUGAUUAAAUUAAUUGUUAGUUGUUUUUUUUUUAAAAAAAAUAUAUAUAUAAAUUCUUGGAAUGUUCAUUUGAAUAUUUUUUUGUUAAUUUUGUUUUAAAAAUUUAUUGGAUGAUUAGUUUGGGUAUAAUUUGUAUGUUAAUUUUAUUUUAAAAUUUCAUUGGAUGAGUAAUUUGUAUAAUUUACAUGUUAGUUUUAUUUUAAAAAUUCAUUGGAUGAUUAAUUUGUAUAAUUCACAUGUUAGUUUUAUUUUAAAAAUUAAUUGGAUGAUUAGUUCAAGUAUAAUUUUUGUUUGUUUUAUUUAAAAAAUUAAUUUGAUAAUUAGUUGAAGUACAAUUUUUGUUAGUUUUAUUUUAAAAAUUCAUUGGAUGAUUAAUUUGAAUAAUUUUUAAAUUAAUUUUAUUUUUCUAAAUUCAUUGGAUGAUUAGUUCGGGUAUAAUUAGCUUGUUUAUUAUAUUUUAAAAUUUUAUUAGAUGAUUAAUUUGUAUAAUUCACAUGUUUGUUUUAUUUUAAAAAUUAAUUGGAUGAUUAGUUUUGGUAUAAUUCUUGUUAAUUUUAUUUUAAAGAUUCUUUGUAUGAUUAAUUUGUAUAAUUUUUGUUAGUUUAAUUUUAAAUAUUCAUUAGAUGAUUAAUUUGUAUAAUUCGCAUGUUAGUUUUAUUUUAAAAAUUAAUUAGAUGAUUAGUUCAAGUGUAAUUUUUGUUAAUUUUAUUUUAAAAAUUCUUUGUAUGAUUAAUUUGUAUAAUUUUUCUUAGUUUUAUUUUAAAAAUCAAUUGGAUGAUUAAUUUGGGUAUAAUUUUUGUUAAUAUUUUUAGAAAUUAAUUGGAUGAUUAAUUUGUAUAAUUUACAUGUUAAUUUAAUUUUAAAAAUUCAGUGGAUAUUUAAUUCAUAUAAUUUGCAUGUUAGUUUUAUUUUAAAAAUCCAUUAGAUGAUUAAUUUGUAUAAUUCACAUGUUAUUUUUAUGGGAUGAUUAGUUUGGUUAUAAUUCACAUGCUGGUAUUAAUUUAAAAAUUCAUUGGAUGAUUAUUUUGAGCAUAAUUUUUGUAAAUUUUAUUGGAUGAUUGGUUUGUAUAAUUUUAAUGUUAGUAGAGUUUAAAAUUUUAUUGAAUGAUUGCUAGGUUAAAUUCCCAUGUUGAAUGUGUUUUAAAAACUCGUUAAAAAAAUUAAAUAAAAAUUCUUUGAAUGUUUAUUAGGUUAAAUUCUCAUGUGGGCAUUAUUAUUAUUAUUAUUAUUUCAAAGAUAAAAAAACAAAAAAAUCAUUUAAUGCCAUAUUUGGUUGAAUUUUCAUGUCAAUAGUUUUUUUUUAUUAAAAAAAAAAUUGUUGAAGUUUGUUAGUUUAAACGUUUAUGUUAAUAUAUUUUUAAAAUUCAUAGGAUGUUGUUGGCAUAAUUCUUAGUUGCCCUUAUCUUGAUACUUAUUGUGUUUGUUCCUUGAAGAAUUCUUAUAUUUGAUUUAAAAAAAAAAUCGAAUUGAAAAUUACUUUUUGAAAAAAAAAAAAGGAGAAAAGAAAAAAAUUGAAUUUUUUCCAUAUUGAACGAGGCUUCUUGAUUUCAAAUGGAAGACAAUAAAAAAGAAAUAAAAAUCCUUAUUGUGUAUAUAUUGUUUGAGGUUUACUAAUUCACUUGAUCCUUUUUUUCUUCUUUGAAAAAGAAAAAACCAUCUUCAAAAGUAUUUAAACCGUCAAAAGGAUUUGGAAACAAAUACUCAUUCUAGGUUUAAGGACCAUAUUUUAUUUUCAAAUCAUGCAUUCUACUAUUUUAUUUUCAUCUAAGCUGCAUUCUACUUUUUUUUUUUUCUUCCAAAAUGUUGUUUUUUAUUCCACAUAGAUUUGAAUGUAUUAGAUAAUUUUGAAGAUGGCCACCUAACACAUGCGACCCAUCUCUAAAACCUUUCUAAAAUAAGAAAGUCAUCCAAGAAAAUAAAAAUAAUAUAAGAAAAAGGCAAAGUUGUUGCCUUUUUUUUUUUUUUUUUUUUUUUUUUGGGCCUGUAUUUAUUUAUUAAUUUAUUUUUGUCAAUCUCCUACAAGAUCAUAUCCCACUUACCCCCUUACGCAGCAAGAAGAGCGCGUGGGACACCCACUUCGACCCCACAACUUUAUGAUGAAUCUGAACCCUGUGGACAAUAAUACCACGUGCAUACGAGCCUGUAACACUCAUUUAUGGGUUUAAAUUCAUUCAAAUGAGUCAGUAGUAAAAGCUAUGAAAUAGAUCGAACCCCACCUUCUUUUUCGUUUUUAAAUUUUCUGGGGUCCCUCAGUUACUUUACAGAAGGUGGCAGAGAAAGAGAGAGAGAGAGGAGUUAUUAGAGUUACAGACGAACAAUCACUUUCAAUGCUGUUGUCUUCUUGUUGUAAGGGUAAAAUAAGAGGCAAACAAAUUAAUGAAUUCAUUAUCUUACCUUUCUAUUCAAAUGCCUUCCAAGAAAUGUUUUGAGAGCUUUGAGUUUAGUCUAUAAUAAUGGUAGUAUAUUUCAAUGAAUAUGCGUUCUAGAAAAAUAUAUACCUUUAGCAUAUACCAAGAUAUCCUAGGGUUUCAAGUCGUGUUACAACGGGGAAGUAAUAACCAAUCAAAACACAUGACUUUGUUUUCUAAAAAAUCACUCUUCUUGGAAAACAUGCAAGGAACUUAAGCAUCAUAAGUUAAGCAAUCCUAGAUGGAUGUUCGAGUAUCCAGCUCUUUUCUUUAAUCCUAGAUGGAGAGAGACAACAUCUGCUCUCUCUCCAGCAUGCAAGUGUGCGUCCUAGGCAGCUCUUUUGUGCUUUAAAUGAAUUGAAUACUUGAUCUUAUUCUGCCAUUGUUUUGGCUCAAACCUAGGAAGUAUAUUUACCCUGACUUCUUUUCAUGUCUUCAACUUACUUAAAGGCUCACAAGUCCCAUUGGAAGCAAGCAGUUAAGGAUUUUUGAACUAAAAUGAUCAAACAUAGUCUUGCUUUACUAGUAGGUUAUACUCUUUUCAACAGUUUAAAUUGCUUUUGUUGAUAGAUUAUAUGGAUGUUUUAACACUCCAAGAAAUUGGAAUGAAGCAAAAUAUGAAGAAAGAAGAAAUGACUGUCAAUGGAUAUAUUUAUUCUCUUUUAUUUCUAUUGAUACUAAAAUUUUUAGGGAUAAAGGAAUUGUUACUGUUGUCCAAAUAUUUAAAAUUCAUCUGGAUCUGCAAGAAACCUGCAAGGGAAUAUUUUCUUAGAAAUAAUGGUUUAAAUAAGGAAAAGAAAAUAUAUAGAUGAAUUGACUGAAGGUUGCAGACAAGGGACCAACGACCAGGUAAUGGAAGACUGGAGAAAGGGAUUCAUCGGUUUGAUUUUUCUCCCAGCUGGCCCAGUUGUUUAUUUCAAAGUGCAGUUUAGAACAACUUUCAACAUUUGAAUAAGGAAAAGAAAAUAUAUAGAUGAAUUGACUGAUUCAAAGGGCAUAUUACAGUCAGUCUGUGCGUAACAGGGCGGGUGACUUCAAAUGGAUACACUGAGGUCUAUCUGUGCGUGUUAGGCAUUCAUGAACCUGUUUUCUUCGGUCAAAGAGCUGCCAAUACAAGGAAAAAAAAAAUGGCGAAAAUUAAGUAAAGUAUGACUUCUGGAAGAUUUAUCGCCUUCGUAAAUGAAGUGAGAGUUUUGACCGAAUUGAAGUAAAAAAAUUAAAUGCAAAACUUCCACUAAAGCUUGGCAUCAUUUUUCAAGGUUCUUUGUCAAUCCCUCAUUCUCCAGAACCAUGGGAUUGGUAGAGAAACUCAUUCUUCUCAACCAUGGCUCUUAACCAAUGGUUAAUUACCUUGCAACAAUGCAUGAUAUUAUUGAUGAAUUGGACCUUCUUAGAGAAGCCAUUCCAAAUUAAUAACUCAUCACUUACACAUGCAAACGUGUCGCCCCGAAUUCAAUGAAUUGUUGUUAUAUGCACACGAGAUACUAUGAUCACAUUUGAUGAGUUUCAUGACAAAUUAGUCGAAUAUGAAGCCUUCCUCAUGUAGCUUAAAACCAAAUAUGUCAUCAAAGAAGAUAGCAAUAAUCACCCCCACACAAUGAUAUCUAUUAUAAUACAUUAGCUGUAUCGAACACAAAUUUCCUUCAAUAUGUGUCUCAAUAUUAAAGUCCACGUAGAAUCAGGUGUGCACCAUAUUGGGGUUGGAUAGUUAUAAGACUGAAAGGAGCAUGAGCAUAGGAUGGCGAAAGUUCAAAUGAGAAGCGUUGUAAGAUCAUUGCCAAAGCUGUUUUUGCCUCCAUCAUUGCAAAAUUUUGUCCAAUGCACACCCGAGGACCCCAACCGAAUGGUAAAAAUGAAACUUGGUUUUUUGUUGCCUUUGAAACUCCUUCAGCAAACCUCUCUGGAUUAAACUCCUUUGCAUCGUCUCCCCAAAUUUCAUGAUCAUGGUGAACUAGGAUGGUGGGCAAAGAGACCUGCACUCCGGCUGGAAAAUACAUGUCUCCCACUUGAGUGUCCUUAGAAACCAUUCUGGUAAGCACUGUUACUGGUGGAUAUAACCUAAGAACCUCAUGAAAAAUCAUGGUAACCUGUGGUAGAGAAACUUUAGAAGUUGUAGCAUGAAAAUUGUUACUGAAAUACAUCUUAAAUCCUUAUGAAGGACACUGACGGAUAAAGGAAUUGUUUAAAAUAGUAAUGCAGAAGAGAUAUUGGUCUAAAUCAUGCAUGGCAUGAUGUCAAGUAUACAAAGGAUAUAAUAAUUUUAGAACCUCAUGAAAAAUCAUCAUAAUCUAGAGAAAUUUCAAGUCAUGGCAUGAGAAUCCAUUCCUGAACUAUAAGUAAAUGAAAGAAAAUGUUCAGUACAAGAUAAAAAAAAUAAAAAAAAAGUUAUGCGUUUUCAUUUUUACUCCAUUUAUUUUUCUCUUUUUUUUUUUCCUUUUGUGUGUGUGUGUGUGAGGGUGGGGGUGGUGGGUGGAAUAGAGUGGACUGAGUACUCACAAUUUUUAGGUGGUUUAAGCCAUCAUUUUCAGGUUUGUUAUUCCCAAAAACCUGUAAAACCUCUUCUCUUGCACGAGCUUGCCAGUCUGUAUGUUGGCUUAGCAGGACCAUUGUCCAUAAAAGCAAAACUGAGGUUGUCUCUUGGCCAGCAAGAUAGAAUAGCUUACAUUCAUCAAUGACAUCUUUGGCACUCAUUCCAAUCUUCGUGUUAUUUUGAUGUUCUUGAAUUUCUCUAAAAUUGGAUUCCAUUAAUAUACCUAAUAAGUCACUAUUAGCAGUUUCGCCAGCCUCCAUUGCCUUCUCCCUUUUGUUGAUGAUGCCCCCCAACAAUGCAUGUACUUCUUUGCUUAUUUGCUUCAUCCUCUUGUUCGUCUUUGUGGGAAAAAACCUGCAACUUAGUAAUUCCAGUAAAUAAAAGAUCACAUGAAGAACACUGACAUUAAUUUUUUGAAGCUUGUAUAACACUUCAUAGGCAGAAACUAUCAGACAAUAACUAAUGGUUUCAUCUACACAUGUAUUGCGGUGGCAUCUUAUCAUCUUGGCACAAUAUCUGGCCAACACAAGGCAUGGGGAUGCUAGACCUCAAUUUAUGAAACACACUACUUUCUAAGUGCUACACAGAAAGAACAGAAAGAACAGUCCUAGUAAAUGAAGUAUAAAGGCAUGAAAACAUAAAAUUGUCCAGGUAAAUGAAGACAUGCAAUGAAGAAGAAAACUAUUGCAGGCUACACAAAUCACAACCACAUAAAUCAACCACCCACCCAUUUUCAAACUUCCAGCUCUCAUGCACUGGCACAGUUCGGUCCUCUUAAAGAUUAAAGUAGGCAUCUAAAAUUUUAUUGGUUUCAAGGAAGAGAACCUUUUUAUUCUAAAUAUUUAAUAGUAGAUUCCUUUCUUAGCUUACCAGUAUAUAUAUAAAUUACUCAGGACCUUAAGAAGUUGAUAUUAUAAUUUAAACAAUGUUAUAUCAUGUGUAUUAGGAGAGAACCAAUCUCACCCACAAAUAAAGAGCACUCAAUUGUCAAUUCUUAAGUUUAUGACUAAUAUAUGUAUACUUAUAUAGUUUAUGUAUCUUUUGGAAAGUCAUGUGUAUAUUUAAAAGAUUAUAGUGUACACCAAUAAUAAUAUACCUGCACCAUUCAUCUAUGCACCUCCUAGAGCUCCCAUGAGUUCUUUUUUUCUCCUUCAUCCUACGUUUCACCAUGGCUGAAGCAAGCUCAACCAGGCUAUCCCACCUUCCCUUACCUAUCAAUACCACCAUGAACCUUAACAAUCUCAUUGCCAUCAACACAAUUAGCUAGCCAACUUCUACUCAAGCUCAUCCUCACUAACUAUUACUCAUGGAAAACAUAGUUUGGUGCACUGCUCUUUGGAUAUGACCUACUUGGCUACAUUGACGAAAUAAAGCAAGGACAAACAAAUCUCAAUCCUAACUAUACUUUUUGGACAAGUAGGACAAACUUCUUCUUCUAGGGAUCAUCGGCUCUCUCAGCCACAAAGUCGUACCUGUGGUUCAUUCAUGCAAAACUUCCACUAAAGCUUGGCAUCAUUUUUCAAAGCUAUGUCAAUCCCUCAUUCUCCAGAACCAUGGGAUUGGUAGAGCAACUCAUUCUUCUCAACCAUGGCUCUUAACCAAUGAUUAAUUACCUUGCAACAAUCCAUGAUAUUAUUGAUGAAUUGGACCUUCUUAGAGAAGCCAUUCCAAACCAAUAACUCAUCACUUACGCAUGCAAACGUGUCACCCCCGAAUUCAAUGAAUUGUUGUUGUUAUAUGCACACGAGAUACUAUGAUCACAUUUGAUGAGCUGCAUGACAAAUUAGUGGAAUAUGAAGCCUUCCUCAUGUAGGAAGAGCUUCGCUCCACUAGCAAUCUUGGUACCAUUAAAGUCAACAAUACACAAUUUUCAUCUUCCCAUUGUGACAAAAACGCUAGCCAAAAAUAUUUCCCUAGUAGGAAAGGAUACCAAGGCCAGCGUCCUCCUCAUUUUGGGAAUCAACACCCCAGCAAGAAAGCCACUAUGAUUUGCCAAUUCUCUGAGAAGAAAGGUCAUACUGCUUGCUAGUGUUACAUUUCUAAGAAAUUGUUCCUUUCAUCCACACCUACUACUAGUCCAAUUAUCCCCACAAACAACUCCUUAACCAAUUGGUUCGUAGAUAUCAGUGCCUCACAUCUUGUUACAUUUUAUCUUAACAACUUGUCUCUCUGCCAACCAAUGAAUCUUGUCAUUAAUAUUUUUCACAUUUCCUAUACUUGGAGGGUUGUUCCAAGAUUAAAUAAAGUAUUUUCCCAUGCUAGUCUAAAUAUAGUCUUUUCCUUUUCUUGGAGGGUUGUUCCAAGAUUAAAUAUGCUCAGUUUCAGAAUUGAGAGGACUUUUUCAUAUUGCUAAGAAAAAAACUUGUGAGUUUGAUUUUUCUAUCAAAGGUUUAUCUCUAAGGUGGAUUCCUCUGAGUGGUGAGCUUAAUUGUGAGUUCUUAUCUGUAAGGUGAUGAAUUUCUUAUCCUUAAAAGUGGUGAACUUGUGUUAUUAGCUCAUCAUUUUAUUUCCUUAAAACGGUAUCAUUUUGUGUUGGAAAAUGUAGUUACAAGCUUCCUUCAAGUUUCUCAUGUAUCAACCCACAAUCAACUUGUAGAUAUACUCAACAAACCAUUGCCCAAGUCCCACUUUACAUUCUUUCAGUCCAAGAUUGGCGUUUUUUAUGGAAGCACCAUCUUGCAAGGGCAUAUUAGGAGAGAACCAAUCUCACCCACAAAUUAAGAGCACUCAAUGGUGAAUUCUUAAGUUUAGGAGUAAUAGAUGUAUAGCCUUGUAUAGCUGUUGUAUCUUUUGGAAAGUCAUGUGUAUAAGAUUGUAGUGUACACCAAUACUAAUAUACUUUCACCAUUCAUCUAUUUACCUCUUUAAUGUGGAAUGACAACUGCACCAAAAGAUACUUUGGUGCCUAUACAUCCAUUAGUUUUUCAAUUAAACUGUUGAACAAAUGCCAUGAAUUGAGGUACUUUUGAGAGAUAAGAAAGCUCUUACCUUCAUCAAUUAAGCAAUGAAUGAAGGUACUUUUGAGAAGAUUUUCAGUGCAACCAUAACCAAGGAAGUAUGAGAGAUAUUACAUUUUAAGUACACAUAACAAAGUUAACAAUACACAAAAGGUUAAUCUUCAAACUCUUAAAAGAGAAUUUGAAAGUUUGAGUGUGAAAAAAAAAAUUGAAUUAAUCUCUAAUUAUUUUUCUAGAGUAUUAGAUGUUGUGAGUUUACAAUAAAAAUAUGUCAAAAGUUUGAAUGAUAGUUAUGUGGUAAAAAAAUAUGUUUAAUCUUUAGAUUCCAAAUAAGUUUAACUAAAUUGUUGUUGUCAUUGAAGAAUCUAAACAUUUAGAUUCUAUGACCAUUGAUAAACUCAUGAGACCACUAUAAGCUCAUAAAAAGAGAUUAAAAAGAAAUAACUAAGAAAAAUUGCAGCUUUUUUAAGCAAAUUAAACUUACACUAAAGGAGAAUGAUGAAAACAUUAGUUAAAGAAGUCAAAACAAUCAUGGAUAUGUCGAAGACGUGGUCAUAGACAUGGCUAAGACAAUAGAAGAAGAGAUAAGUUUAAUUUAUCAAACAAUGAAAUAACAAGUCAAAAUUCACAUUCCUUAGGAGGACAUGAAAGAUGACACAACUUAAGGCACAGUAAAAGAAGAGGAUAUGAUAAAUUUCAAAUUGAAUGUUAUAAUUAUAAAAAAAUAUGGUCAUGAUGCUUAUGAAUAUAGAAAUGCUACAAACAAUAUGAAAAGACACCUCCAAGGUACUAAAAAUAAAGAUCAAGAAGAACCAACCUUAUUAUUGGCAUAUAAAGGAGAAAGCUAGGAGAAAAUUACAUGGUAUCUUAACCUCUAAGUAAAAUCAUAUGUGUGGAUUCAAAAAUGUGUUUGUAGAGCUUAAUGAAUUUGAAAGUGGCAAUUUUGCCUUUGGGGCUACAUGUAAAAUUCCAAUAAAAAGAAGAGGUAAAAUCUUGAUUCAUAUGAAAAUGGAAGGCAUAUUUCAAAUGUCUACUAUGGUGUAACAUGGAAAACAAUAUAUUAAGUUUAGGUCAACUCUUAUAAAAGGGCUAUGAUAUUUAUCUCAAAAAUAAAAGUGUCUUAAUAAGAUACUAACAUGCCAAUAUAAUUGGUAAUGUGCCCAUGAUAUAAUGUUUUUGAAUAACAUUCAAAAUAAUAUUGUAAAAUGCCUAAAAUCUCAUGUCAAUAAUUCCUCUUGAAUUUGACACUUAUGAUUUGAACAUCUUAAUUUUAGAGGAUUGAAAUUGUUAAGCAUGAAAAACAAUGAAAUAAUUGUUCUUUAAUAAUUUGUGUCAAUUGUGUGAAAGAUGUUUACUCAGAAAAUAUGUCUAAAAAAGUUUUCCAAAGGAAGAAACAACAAGAGAAGAAGCUUUCAGUGCUCAUUAAUGUGGAUAAUCCAGUUUUAAUUUUUAUGGGUGAUUCUAGUAAAAAAUAAAAAAUAAAAAAAUUUGGUUGUAUCUUUAGCUCAAAAAUUUGUUGAAGAAACUUAAUUUACCACAAGAGAAACCAAUAAACAUCUAUAUGAAUAUAAAAUUGGUGAUUGCCUUAGAAAAGAUAUCUAGUUCUCCAUGAUUGAAGCAAGUAUAUUAAUACAAAAUAUCAUUUAUUAGAAAGUAUAUUAUGAAACAUGAAGUACACAUAAAAUUUGCAAAAUCUCAUAAUCAAAAUUUGAAAAUGCUUAUAGAGCCUCUCAAGUUUAAAGAUUUUAGAUAGCUAAGGAUGCUACUUUUACAAAUCAAGUUGAAAAGGGCAUGUAAGUUUAACUAUAUUUAGAAAGUUUCUAAAAAUUAGAAUUUGAGUCUUUCUAAAUAUUAAUUAAAAUAUUUUAUAUUAAAAGGUUGAUUUAGUUUCACCCUUAGAAUCUAAGCCUUUCAAAGUGCCAAUAGUUGUUAGUUGUAGAUAAGGCUUUCCUUUUUACAGCUCUGGGUUCUAAUCUAUAUAACCUCCUAAUGGUACAAAGUGCACCUUUUUCAUAGAGGCAAGUAGUAACCUAUUGUUAGCCCCUUGAAAUGGACUAUGAGGCACUAAGGCCUCAUGGGGCAAUAGCUUCACAUCAUGAGUAACCUAUGAUGGCAAUAAGGUGGCACAGGGGUACAAUUCCUUGUGCAAGGAGAUGGCUUGGUGAGCCAUGGGCGUAAUGCCAUGAUAGGUACAACACUAAAAGAGACUUAGAUGAGCAUAUUGUUGUGGUGACUUAGAUGAAAUACAUGAGGGUGCAAUGCCUUGUGCAUGGGGAGUCAUAGGUGCAAUGCCAUGACAUGUUGCCAGACCAAGAAGAGGGUUUGGGCAAAGCAUAGAGUCACAACAUCAACAAGGUGAAUGUCGGAGCAUGUUGCCUCAACAUGGAUGCAAUCUAGAUGUGUAGGCCAAAAGAGAACUUAACAUGCACAUGAGCCAUUUAUAUAGAUUCCUACAACAACAACAUUCAAAGUUGGACUCGAAGUAGGAUUGCAAGUCAAGCAUGAGUAGGAGUCUUGAUGUGAAUUGUAAUUGUAGUAUGAUUAGGACUAGGACUUAGAGUCUACGUAAGAGUGUUUAUUUCCAUAACCUAUUAAGAAAAGUCCUUAUAUAACUAGGAGUAAAACUCCUAGUCUAACAGAGAGCAGGUGGUGCCACUCUAUAAAUAGGGAGGGUUGGAUAGACUUUAGAGAGAGAUCAAGAGGAAGCCUGAACUACCAAAAGUAUUGUGGAAGUGUAGCUAAAGUCUUGUAUUCUUAUUCAAUAAGUUAAUAAAAUAUAAUUUAGGGUUGAUGCCCUAUAAAUCUUGUGUAUUGCCUUGCGUGUUGUCAUCUAGUGGGGAAAGGUGUAGGUUAGCUUAGAGAGCUUCUAAGUAUUUGCAUAGAUGUGAAAGUUUAUGUGGGAAUUUUGCACCUAUGACAAUUGGUAUCAGAGACUAACAAGCAAAUGGUUGGGGGAAGUACUAUAGAGACCUUAAGAGAAAGGAGCUCAAGACUAGAAGAAUUGUUAGGGGAAUAACAAGGUGAUAAGUUGGUUGGCUUGAGAAUCCUUGAAACAAUUGAAGCACACUAGUUCAACAUAGGAGUAUAUCGAGGAAUUUAGUUCCUUAAUGCUCGACAUAAAAAAUAUGUCCAAUGAGGACAAAUUGUUCAACUUCAUGUUUGGAUUGUAGGGAUGGGCCUAAAUUGAGUCACAAAGAUAAUGGGUGUGAGAUCUUUCUAUUAUAAUCAUUGCAACAGAUUGUUUGGUAGUCUAUAAGUUGAAUGGUGUGAACUCUACAAAUCAGAAACCUAAACUAGAUGGAGCAAAGAAACCUAAUAAAGAGGGGAAAUCUUCUAAGAAGUCAUAUGAGAAGAAUUUGAAAAAGCCUGCAGCAUCGUAAUCGAAUGAAAAAACUACUAAGUAUGGGUAGCAAACAACCAAACCCAUGGGUUGAUUCAUUUGCAUGGCCCUCACUGUGCUAAGAAGUGUCCAAAAUGGGAAAAACUAUCAGCCCUUAUGGCUACUAAAAGUAGUGGUGAUUCUGACAUGGAUACACCUUUAAGAGUUAAUCCUUCAUAGCUCUUGAACAUAAUCCACGCAAAUGCACUAAUUCAAAAAGGGUUGAUUCAUGUCCAAGUGCUAGUAAAUGGCAUGUAGGUAAAACCAAUGAUGGACAGAAGGGCAACCCAUAAUUUUGUGGCUAGUAAGAAGCCAAGAAGCUCAGUUUGGAACUAGAACAAUACACUAUUAAGAUCAAGGCAAUAAAUAGCAAAGCCCAACAAAUUAAUGACAUUACCAAAAAAGUCUCACUCUAAGUCGGAAAUUGAGAAGGCAACUAUAGCUUGCUAUGUGUACCCUUAAACGAUUUUGAUUUGAUCUUAGGGAUCGACUUUUUCCUUAAGGCUAAGCCGGCAUUGCUCCCAUACCUUGGUAGGUUAAUGAUCAUGGAUGAGAGUCAACCUUGGUUAUUUUUUCUAUAAAGGAAAAAGUCAUAGAGAAAGGUCAAACCAAGAUGGUUUCUACGCUUCAAAUAAAGAAAGGGUUGAAGUGUGGGAAUGUCACGUAUAUUAUAACCUUGGUUGAGAACAAAGCAGAUCAUUCAAUGGAGGUGCCACAUAGUGUAGCCCAUAAUAAAAAAGAAUUUAAAGAUGUGAUGCCUACAAAAAAACCCAAGGAGUUGCCUCCUAAGCACCAUAUAGACCAUAAAAUUGAGUUGCCACCUAGGACCAAACUUCCUACUGAUCAGGUCUCAUAUUGGAUGUCACCUUCGAAUUACUUGGGUUAAGGAAGUAAUUGAAGAAACUGUUGGAUGCAGGCAUGAUCCAAUCUUCAUGGGUUCCCUAUGGUACUCCUAUUCCAAAAGAAGGAAGAUGGGACCCUAUAGAUGUGUGUUAAUUAUUGGGCCUUGAACAAAGUAACGAUCAAGAACAAGUAUCCAAUCUCCUUAGUGGUAGAAUUAUUUAAUAAAUUGGCCAAGGCAAAGUUUUUCUCCAAAUUGGACUAGUGGUUAGGAUACUAGCAAGUAAGGAUUUUAGAGGGGAACGAAAAAAAGACUACAUGUGUAACCCGCUAUGGGUCAUAUCAGUUCCUCAUGAUGCCAUUCAAACUAACUAAUGCCUCAAUAACAUUCUACAACCUAAUGAAUGAUAUGCCAUACGAGUUCCUAGAUGCCUUUGUUAUGGUUUGCUUCAAUGCAUUAUUGUUUAUAGCAAGACCUUAGAAGAGCACGUGAAUCACUUGAGACUAGUGUUUCAAAGACUAAGAGAACAUGAAAUCUACGUGAAGAGAGAGAAGUGUGAGUUUGCACAAAGGCAUAUUACCUUUCUAGGAUGUAAGAUAGAGGAAGGGUUGAUCGAGAUGGAUGAAGUGAAGGUCCAGGCCAUUAAAGAUUGGCAUGCUCUAAGCAAGGUGACACUGGCAAACUACUAUUGAAGGUACAUAAGGGGUUACUUCAAGAUAGUGGCUCCCUUUACUAACCUUCUAAAGAAGGAUAUUUGCUAGGAUUGGGGGUUUGAAUGCUAGAAAGCUUUUGACAAGUUGAAAGUGGUGAUUUUAGUUAAAUUGGUGCUACAUUUACUAGAUUUGGAUAUCCUAUUUGAGGCCCAAACAAAUGCAUCAACUAAGGCCUUGAACUUGGUGCAAGAAAGGCACCCAAUAGCCUUUGAGAGUCAAAAACCUAAUGAGUUAGAACAAAGAUACUCCACUCACGAGAAAGAGAUGACAACGAUUAUCCAUUGCUUAUAGUAGUGGAAGCAUUAUCUAUUGGGGAGUAUAUUUACUAUAGAUGGUCACAGACAACAUAGUUAAUACCUUUUUCAAGAUGCAGAAGGAGUUGAGCCCUAAGCAAGCUAGGUGGCAAGAAUUCCUUGGCGACUUCAAGUUUGAAUGGUUGUAUUGACGAAAAAGACAUAAUGUAGUUGUAAAUGCCUUGAACCAAAAGGAAUUAACAGAGUAUGUAAUCACUCAAUCACAUAUGAUUUCAUAUUUUAAUGAGAAGAUCAAGCAAGCUGCUAAGCUUGAUUCUACUUAUGAGAAUAUGAAACAACAAUUCAAAGAGGGGGCUACUAAAAAUUUUUGGCUAGAAGAUGACCUCUUGGUGGCUAAAAGAGGUAGGCUAUAUGUACCAAGAAGUUGCUUACAUAAGGAGUUGCUAAGAGUGGCCUAUGAUGUCAAGUAGACAGGUCACCCUAGCAAAGAGAUGACAUCAAUAGUAUUGUCCAACUACUAUUACUAGCUAAAAAUAGGAUAGGACAUCCAGACUUAUGUUCUAUAUUGUUUGAUAUGCUAGUUGGAUAAGACAGGCAAGAAGAAAACAAUAAGGUUACUACAACCUCUCCCUAUCUUAAAGAGACCUUAGAAUAACAUAUCUGUGGACUUCAUCGGUGGCUUUCCAAAAGUGAGGGAAUUCAAGUCUAUCUUCAUGAUAGUAGAUAGACUCUCUACGUAUGUUGUUUUCAUACUUACACCACAUGCAUGUCCCGUAGAGGAGGUGACUAGGCUAUUCUUCAACCAUGUGGUCAAGUACGUACUUCAAGUUGCCUAAAGACAUAGUCAGUGAUUGUGAUGCUCGAUUCAUUGGUCAAUGUUGGACUGAGUUGUUUAAACUCCUAGGAUUGAAGUUGAAGUUCUAAAAAACAAAUGAUUCGUAGAUAGACGGGCAAACAAAGUGUAUCAAACUUAAGGAAUACCUCAGACACUAUGUUUUUAUAACACAAAAGAACUGGAUUGAUCUAGUGGAGAUAGCUCAUUUAUCCUAUAACUUGCAUAAGAGUUCAAUAAUAGGGUUGAGUCCCUUUGAAUUGGCUAUAGGGCAACCACUAAUUAUGCCUUGGAGAUGUUUAAGCAAAAGUUUGGUGGUAAUUGUCUUAUAGCUUAUAAAUUUGCAAGGUCUUGGCAGCAGAUGCUCGAUGAAGCUUGUAAAAGCUUAGAGAAGGCAUUUACAAAAAUGAAAAAGUAUGCGGACAAGGGCCGAAGACCCUCAUAAUUUAGAUUGGGGAUAGGGCCCUUCUAAACCCUCAUAUAUGGAAUAAAAUUAGCAGUAAGACUAUGUAGAGGGUGUUGAUUCCCAAAUAUGAUGGACCUUUCAAGGUGAUGUAGAGGGGGAUAAGUAGCUUACAAAUUGAAGUUGCUGGAUAGGUUAAAGAUAUACCUCACGAUCCAUGUGAGCUUCUUAAAGCCUUACCAUGAAAACCUAGACUCAAGAAGGAUACCAACAAGGCGAGUGAUUAGAAAGAAAUUUGAUCGCGAGUGAUAUCAACAAGGUAGAGAAGAUAUUAGAUCAUUGAACUGUGGGAAUGAGUAAGAAAAAUUGAAGAAUUGAUUUUCUAGCUUAGUGGAAGGAUAGUCUUGAAUUAGAGGCUAGUUCGGAAUGAGAUGUAAUGCUCUGGAAAUUUAAGGAGGUAGUCUAAGCCUACCCAUAGUCCAAGUCAAUGAGAGCAUCAACUACAUCAAGUAGAAGUGGUUUGUUAGCCCCUUGACAUGGACCAUGCGAUACUAAGGCCUCAUGGGGUGACACCUUGGCCUCUUGAGUGACCAAUGACAACAACAAGGUGGUAUAAGGGUGCAAUGCCUUAUGGAGGGAGAUGACUUGGUGAACCAUGGGCACAAUGCCAUGGUAAGUGUAGUACUAAGAGAGACUUGAAUGGGCAUAUCAAUGGGGGGCAACGAAGCCAACUUAGAUGCAAUACAUAAGGGGUGUAAUGCCUUGUGCAUAGGGAGUCAUGGGUGCAAUGCCAUGAACUAAGAAAAGGGCUUGGGCAAGGCACAGAGCUGUAACAGCAACAAGGUGGAUGUAGGAGCAUGUUGCCUUGACACAAAUGCAAUCUGAACAUACAAACCAAAAGAGGGCUUAUCAUGCACACGAGUCAUAUAUAUAGAUGCACACGGUAGUAGCAUGAAGAGUUGGACUUGAAGUGGGAUUACAUAUCAAGCAUGAGUAGGAGUCUUGAUGCCUAAUGUAAUUAUAGUCUAAGUAGGACUAGUACUCAAAUUCCAUGUAGGAGUGGUUACUGCCACAACCUAUUAGGACAAUUCCUAGUAGAACUAAGAGUAGCACUACUAGUCUAAUAAGGAGUGGGUGGCACCACUUUAUAAAUAGGAAGGGUUGGAGAAACUCUUGAGAGGGAUCUAGAGAAGGAAAUCAUAAGGGAGGUCAAAACUCACCGAAGCUAUUAUGGAAGUCUGGCUAAAGUCUUUUAUUCUUAUUUAAUAAGUUAAUAAAAUACAAGUUGGGAUUGGUGCCUUGUAAACCUCAUGUGUUGCUUUGCAUGUUGUUGCCAUCUCAUGGGGGAAGGUGUAGAUUGGCUUAGAGAGCUUUUAAAUGCCACAUAGACAUGAAAAUUUAUGUGGGAAUUUUGUGCCUAUGACACAUAACCUUUAAAAGUCUAUUCAAGGGGGACCCUUCAUCUCCCUUCAUAUAUUUAAUUAUUUGCCUGUUUUUUCAACCCUAUUAAUGCAACAUAGGUGAAUUUGCCCGAUGGUUUAUAAGAAAAUUCAUGUCAGUUAUGUUCAACAUGUUAAAUUCUACUAGGCUUAUGUAUCGGUAUGUAGAUUAUAGCUUCUUCCCCUAAGCCCAAAUUUUUCUUUGGUUUCAUGGUGUUAACAUUUCAUGAAAGUAAAUGCUCCAUUGAAGAAUAAAUUUACCUAAAAUUGAAUAUGGUGUGCUAGGACAUAGAGAUUUAUUAAAUGUUAGGAAAAUGUAAGGGUGACUUGAAACCUAAAUUUGAGCAAAUAAAAAGUCUAUUUAACAGUGCUUUUAGAAAACACUUACAUUAUAGAAAAAAAAACAUUUUUGAAGAAAAACCAAAUGUUUGACCAAAUUUAGAAAAUACUUUUAAAAAGUUCAAAAUUAAAUUAUUUGUAAUGCUUCUUGGAGAAACACUUCACAUAUUAUUCUUCCAAAAAUACUUCUAGAGAAAACCCUUCCACUAAAAGCACUUAAAAUAGAAACUCAAGCAAAUCUACUCUAAAUCUGCCGAAGCACUGCUAAAAUAAUGAAAAAACAAGCAGACUCCUGUAUAUUCAUAAAACUGAGCAGCAUAUUUCUUGAAAUAUUAUAUGAUUUUAUGCAUACCUCCAUCCUGGGAUAUAAACUGACAUUGCAACCUUGAUUGCAAGAUAUGUCUGUUCUUUCUGGAGUUGGAAUAUCCUUCUUCCUUCUUCGUAGCUACUGCCAAAUGCUGUCCGAGAAAUCACAUCCCCUGUCAAAUUUUCAAGAUAGGGCCAAACAUCCAACUCACAUGAUCCCUUCACCGAAAGCUUCUUCCAUUUGUUCAACAUGUCGCUACAACUCAAAUGAAAUGCCGGUAACAUAUUCUAUAACAAGUUCAACCACAAAAUAAAUUAAUAAAGACGAAGAACAUCUCUUCGUUGGUAAAAUUAUGGAAACGGCCCAUUGGAGAAAGAGGGAAAAAGACUCUAUAUGAGUAUGUGAAAAAGAAAGGGAAAAAGAAAGGAAACAGUAGGACACUUGGUAUGUGAAAAACUAGUCACCAGUACUUCAUUAAAAUGACUGAAAUAUUUGGGAAUUCUGAUGUUUAUACAGGUUUUUAUAGGAUUAAAAAUAAUUUUUCAAUUACUUCCAUAUUUAAAAAUAAAAAAUAAAAAAAAUUAGAAAGUUUUCUGGAUGGAAAGCUAGGUUAAUGAUCUUUCUGGAAACUAAGGUAAAAUAUUGUCGUUUGAAAACUGGGCAUUGAAAAUUACCUUCAACUUUUCUGGAUGGAAAACUGGGUUGAUCAUCUUUCUACGUUUGGCCCAUUGUUCACCUUCCAAAACCACUAGACCAGAAACCAGCAACUUGACCAACGGGUGUGAGGGUGUCUUUUGAAAGAUAUUGGACUUCAACAAAACAUCCCUCAUUAGCUCAGGCUCCAUAAUGUUUACCCUUGGACUUGGACCCACCCAUGUAAAGAAAUUUUUUCCUGCAUGUUUAUGCCAUUAUUGGAUAGUGUUAGUCCGGAUUGCUUUUAGUUUGGAUAAUUGUUUUAAAGACCGACUGGUUUGAGCAGUCAGACCGUCGACUGAAAGCAAAUUUGAUCCGGAUCAGCAAUUGAGCCGGUAGGGCUAUUGAACCGCCAUCGAACCGGACGACCCAGCCGUUGAACCAUUGACCUGGUGAACUGGGUCGCCGGUUUGGGCCUGGACCUAUCUCUAAGUGAAACUCUUUCGGCCAAAAUGGGCCAUGGUUUUAGGUUGAAAUUGGGCGAGUGGGCUACCGCUUGGGCCACUCACAGACAUCCACACUCAGGGCAAGCCGACUAUAUAAAGAGAUGUUUAUUCCUCAUGCCAUUCAGAUAUGGGACUAACUUGGGAAAAUUAGGAUAUCAUGACUAUACUAUUUAUGCCUUAUGUAAACAUUUCCACAACACUAGCUUAAAAAAAAAAAAAAAAAAAAAAAAUCUUCCCAAAAUUUUUAUAAUAAUAAAAAUGCAAACAAUUUAAAGUAAACUAAUAUAAUUUUUUAAAAACUAUAAAAUAAUAAGGUGUAUAACUUUUAAUAUCUUUAUAUAUAUAUAUAUAUAUAUAUAUAAAUUAAAUAACUUCACAUCUAAAUAUUUUAUAUAUUUUAUUUAAGAAAAUCUUAAAAUAUUAAUACAUCUACAUAUUAAUUUAAUAAUAUUAAAUAAAAAAUAAAUAUUAUUAUUUUUUAAUUUCUUUAUAUAUUUAAAAUAUUUUAAAUUUUAAUAAUAUAUAAAUUACAUAUUUAUGAUAUCAUUGAUUUGACAAUCAGUUUAAUCAGUGAAUCGUAAGUUGUUAACUUUUUUGGUUUAAUAAUCAAUCCAAUUCUAAAACCGUCGAUUUGGACUACAUAUACCAAGUCUUCUCGAGCUUGUAAUAAAAGAUAAAGAAGAUGAAAUUGUAACAUCUCAAAAUUUGAGCUUGUGGCAUAUGGAAAUCAAUCUAUACAUAAUUACUAUGUAUAUAUUAUCAAAUAUAUGAAUGUAGAAGCUAUUUUAAUUAUCAACCAUAGAAUUGGCAUGGAAUAUUAUAACAUCCCAAAGGUGCGUUGACUUGAAACAUCCCAAAUUAAUUCUAACACUUAAAAAAAAAAAAAAGCAAAAGGUGAAAAAGGAAAAGAAAAAUAGUUAGGAAGAGAAGAACAAAAACUAAACAAAUGAAUCCGGAAUACUAAAAACAUAGAGUAAAUGAUAGGAUCAAGAUACAAAACAAAUGGGAUAAAGAUAGGAUCAAGACACAAAAUAAAAACUCAUAUUUAGCUUUCGAUAUGAUUCAUUUGAUAAGGAUAAUAAAAGAAAAAUAAAUAUAUAAUAUUAAUUGUUUUAUUUAUACAUCAUCACACCGUCUCUAUAUGAAUACCAUCUUCCUAAGAAGAAUAACAUGACUAACAACAAUCCACGACAAUAGUUUUGGAACGAUUGCCAUUUGUUUGUUAAUAUUCUAUUGUCUUGCUAGUAGGGCAUGGACAGCUUUAAUAAAGUAAUUUUUUAGGAGAGUGCAUGUCAUUGGAUUCUUAUAAGGAUGCAUGCCUGUAUCUAGGCUUCAAAUUUAACGUUUUAUCGGUUAAUAAUGCAUUGGGCUCCUCCCAUCCGAUGUUUGAUAGGAUGGAUAAGAAGAAGAAAGUGAAGUAAGAUCAAAAUAUCUGAUCACAUUUAUUUAAAAACUGAAUAGGACAAAUGGGUGAAAUGAUUAGUAGUGAGUCGCCCGGGAUAACACGGUCUGGGACAUUCAUAAUUGCAUUCUUUAUAGCUUCAUUAUUGUUGGUAGACAGUUGAGUGCAUUGUCUUUGACCAUUCCAUGCUAAGCAAGAAUGAUAAAAUUAAAUAGCAGAGAAAAAGAGAAGAAAAAUAAAAGAAUGGUACUUAUACGAAGGUGCUAUGCAGUCUAACAGUACCUGAAGAGAAAGAGUUGGCAAUCAAACAAGGAACAAUGCCUAAGUAUAGAGGAAGUGCUCUGUGCAGAACCUCUACACACGCACAGGGUACUCUACACAAAGAGAUGGCAAAGGAGAACCCUACACAGAGGCCUGCGCAAGUGAUGUGCAUAAUCAGAGAAGAGAAAACGUGCAUAUAUAUAUAGAUGGCCUGCACGAAAUCUGCGCAAAGAGCAUAUAUAUAUAUAUAGAGAGAGAGAGACACACACACACACACGCACAGGGUACUCUACACACAGAGAUGGCAAAGGAUCCUCCUCUGCGCGCACUCCUAGGGCAAUGAAUCCCAAGCACAAGGAGUUCCUGGAGUAGAGAAAGCACGAACGGAGUUAUGAGGUAGCAUUUCUUGAGGGCUCAAAAUUCUGAUAAUGAGUGAUACCUAGUAUCGAAAUUUUGAUACUCAUGUUGAUACCAUGUAACAAAGAGACUUCUCAUGCAUAUAUUCUAGGAGGUAACACUCAACUAUUUUUUUUUUUUUAAAGAAAAUACUAACCUUUUCAUGGUAUCAGAGCCUCCAAACCUACCAGCCAAGAAAAAUGUCUUCACACAUACUUCCAUCCUCCACCCUACAAAUAGAACCUGAAUCAAACUUUCAAUCCUUUCACCAAUGUUCUAGCUUGAUCUCCAUCAAACUGAACACCACCAAAUUUCUAUUGUAAUGCAACCAAAUCGCUCCCUUAGUUUGUAGCCUUAGUGUUCUACAUUAUUUGUCAAAUAGAGAAAAAUUUGCUGAAGAAGUUAAGAAUGACAAGGAGGAAAAAUCUCCAAACUCGAACUAUCAAAGGUGGAUCAACAAUGAUGGACUUUUAACUUCAUCGCUUCUUGGAACCAUAAAAGAAAAUGUCUUAAACUUGAUUGGUGGUGAGCCAGUUUAUCAAGUGUGGAAUUCCCUUGAGGAGUAGUCAUUGCCAAUUACAGUAAAGAAUGAAAGGAAUUUGAAAAAUAUGUUAAUAAUCAUUACAAAGGGUUUUCGAUCUCUUGAAGAAUACUUGACCAUAACAUUCAUUGCUAGUAUUUCAUGCUUAUGAGUUACUCAUUUCAGCCUUUCUUGGACUCUUCAUGGUUCACAAGUCCCAAGUCUUUUAGUUAUGCAUGUUUAACCCCUUCUACUUGUUUGGUUGAUAUUGACUUUUGUACUUAUCAUUUUUUUCAUCUCUUGAACCUGAAUUAGACUCAAAAUGGAAAUUAGAUUCAUAACUAGGGUCUUAGCAUUAAUUUGAGUUAAGUUAGAUAAUUUGAGCUUUUUAUAUUGUAUAAAUCAUAUCAUAUAUAUAUGUCAUUGGAGCAUAUAUUUGGUUCUAAUUAACUGCAUAGGGAAUCCUAGAUCUCUUUGUUCCCCAUCAUAGGACUAGGUUAGGAGCAUGAAAUCUACAUAGGGCAUUUAGAUCCUAUGAACGAAAGCAAAAAUAUAAUUUCUAACAUUGAAGGAUCUAGAAAAGUGUCAUAAAAAACUUUACCUUUGAUUUGGAUUUUCCCAAAUCAAAUCCAAAGUCAUUGGAAGCCUCGUAAACCUAUUAUCUUUUGUCCUAUAACUCUACCUCGAUCCUCAACACUCAAACAAUAAAGUGUUUGGGAAGGUGAAGGCUAAAGCUCUCUCUUCUCUUUAUAUGGUGGAAGAAUACUAACUAGAAACCCUAACCCCUAAGAGGAUAUUUAUAAGGUUCCUUACUAGGCUUAAGUGACUUAAGCCCAGUAAGGGCUUGGGUCACUUAAUACAACCUAAAAGGGUCUAAAUUGAUUUAUUAACCCAACAAAGUUGUCUAAUUAAUUAAUUAGUCCAAUCCAAAGAUACUGUUUACAAACCCCUAUGCAACCUUGUGUAAUUAUCAAAAUGUCAUUAUGCACAUAAGUAAACCUAAAGCUUAUGCAACCCUCAUAAAUCAUGUCAUCAAGGUAUAUGAGCUCUAGUAAGGACCAUUAGGACCUAUCGGAGUACUACUCUCUCAAAAUCCAAUUAUGAAGUUCAUUCAACAUCUCACUACAGAGAAUCAAUUACACUUUGAUACUCUAUGUAAAUAACAACAAGAUGAUGCUUAGGUUCAUGAGUUACUACCCAUUACAUGCAAACUCUCCAUGAACUAGUGUCCAUAAUUUAACAAGGUAGUAUUAUCACAUAUUAAGAUUACCUCUCUAAUCGUUGAGUUAUAAAUCCAUCUAUUAUUUGAUCAAUUGACAUACUCUAACUCCAAGGAGUAUAUGUCGAAUUUCACUAAGUGAAAAGCUAAUGGUCAUAGUCUUCUCAAUGACAUGUCCUUUGGAUCACCUAAGGGAACAUUGUUGGAAUUGACCAUCAAGAUGGGUUUCACAUGAUGAGUGUACUAGUAUGGAUAGUUACAUAUCGUAUAGGAUCAAUGGUGAAUCAUAACAUAAGACUAUUGAUUGUCAUGAUUCACCAAGUUACUAUACUGUAUCAACUCUCAACCUUAAAAUGAUAUCGAGCUUAUGCCAAAGUCAACAAGAGGAGGCUUUGACCUAUGGGUGAGAUCCUAAGGUGGUCACAUAUCCCUAUGGAUUGGAACACUAUUGAUGAAGGUUGGUAGCACUAGGCUUUCUCAAUAAAGGGACCAUGAUAUUUCAUGGGACUGAGACAAUGUAUUGCCUUGGGUAAUCUAAAGGACAUGUGAAAGAAGACUAUGGUCAUAACAUUUUCUUCAAUAAAAAUUUGAUGUAUGCUCCUUAGAGCUAGAGUAUGUUAAUAGAUCACAUAAUAAGUAGAAUCUAUAACUUAAGAAUUAGAGUGUUAUUCUUGAUAGGUAAUAACACUAUCUUGUUAGAUUAUCGACACCAAUUCAUGGGGAGUCUGGAUGUAGUGGAUAGUAGGUCAUAAACUUCAGUUUCAUCUUAUUAUUAUUAUUUACAUAGGGUACUAGAAAGAAAUUGAUUUUCUUUAGUGGAAUAUUGAAUCAACUUUAGAAUUGGAUUCUAAGGGAACCAGUACUCUUAUAGAUCACAAUGGUCCUUGCUUUGAGCUCAUAUACUAUGAUACAGUUUAUAAGAGUUGGAUUGGAUCUAGGUCCACUCUUGUGCAUAAGAGAAUUUUGGUAAUUACAUAAGGUUGCAUAUGCAGUAGUGAACAAGUUCUCUAGAUUUGGUUAAUUGAUUAACUAGAUGACCCUAUGUGGUUAAUUAAUUAAUCAAGACCCAGUUUAAGUUAGAUUAAGUGACCCAGGCCCUAUUCGGAUCAAGACACUUAAAUCCAGUAGGAGAACCCUAUAAAUACUAUUGAAAUUGAGCCCUAAAAGCAAGACAUGAUGUAACAAAGUCAAACUUGACUCUCCCCUUGUUAUCCUUUUAUGUAUUGACAUUGAUUUGAGCAUUCAACUCAUAUCUCUUACAUUAUCAUGACUUAGGUGCAUUGGGAGUUGCAAAGAGGAGACAAGUCAUGGGCUCCUUGUAAGUAGAUAAAAUGUCCAUAUUCAGUUUAUGGACUUGGGCAAUACAAUAAAGAUUGUAAUGCACUACCUCCUAAUUGGAAGGAUGGUUUGUCUUGAUCAUAGAGAUAGAUUUCCCAUGGUGGGUGGACUAGUGUAUGUGAUACACAUUAGACAAGACCUACAUUAAAUCACAACAUAAGACUAUUAGUUGUUAUGAUUCACUAAGAUAUUGUACUAUAGGAACUCUCAAUCUUGAGAGGAUAUUAAGCUUGUAGUAAUAUUAACAAAAGACUUUGACUUAUGGGUAAGACCCUAAAGUGGUCAUAUAUCCCUAAGGAUUAGGUUACUGUUGAUGGAGGUUGGUGGCAAUAAUAUUCUCAAUAGAGGGACCAUGAUAUCUCAUGGGUUUGAGACAAUAUGUCUCCUUAGAUUAUCCAAAGGACACGUGAUAAUGAAAUUUAUGGUCGUAAUAAUUCCUUUAGUUGAAUUUCACAUACACUUCUUAGAGUUAGGGUAUGAUAGUUAAUCUUUUAAUAAGUGGGAUUUGUAACUCAAUGAUUGGAGAUGUAAUCGUGAUAGGUGAUAACACUACCUUGUUAGAUUACGAACACUAGUUCAUGAUGAGCUUUCAUAUAGAAAAUUGUAGGUCACGGACCUAAGCUCCAUCUCAUUGUUAUUUAAAUAGGGUACUGGAGUGUAGUUGAUUUUCUAUAGUAGGAUAUUGAAUCAACUUUAUAAUUGGAUUCUAAGGGAGCUAGUACACUUACGAGUCUUAUUAGUCCUCGCUUUGAGCUCAUAUACCAUGUUAGCAUGGUUUAUGAGGGUUGGAUUGAUUCUAUGUUCACUCUUGUGCAUAAGGGCAUUUUGGUAAUUGCAUAAGAUUGAAUAGGGGUUAGUGGACAAGGUCUCUAGAUUGAGCUAAUUGAUUGAUUAGAUGGACUUAUGUUGUUAAUUAAUCAAUUAUGACCCGUUUUAGCCUAGAUUAAGUAACUUAGGACUAUAUGGGCUCAAGUCACUUAAGCCCAAUAAGGAAACCCUAUAAAUGCCUCUUCAAGGGCCAGUUAGGGUUUCCAUGACUUUAGACAAUUAUCUUCCAUCUCCAAAGAGAGAGAGAGAAAGAGAGGGAGAGAGUCUAGAUUCCCACCCUUGCAAAGCUCACACUUUGGAGUGUUAAGAUCAUGGUUUGAGUAGUCCAAAUCUAGGAACAUCCAAACUAUUUGGGCACAUUUUUCACCAAGAGAAAUUGAUCUAGGGCAUCCAGAUCUAGAUCUAUGUAUGAGUCUCUCAAUCUCUAACUAUUUAUUUUGUAAUGAUUUUUGAAGCCAUUAUUUUUAUGCACUAGAUUUAGAGAACCUAGGGUUAAAUGCAUGCACCCCACGAGAUCUAAGGCAUAGGAACAAAGUAAUCCAAGGUUCCUAAGAAAUACCCCCUUAGAGGUUAGGGUUUCUAAGGUUUUCAAUUGUCUUCAAGAUCUAGAAAGUGUAAGAGAGAGAGCUUAGGAAUCCUCCAUUCCAAAGUCCACUCUUUAGAGGUCUAAAAUCGUGGUUCGAGUAAUCGAGCAUAAGAUCUUGGAUGUAAGAGACCUCCAAACUCUUCAGGUUUCUUUUUUACCCAUGAAAUUGAUUUGGGAACAUCCAGAUCUAGAUAUGAAUGUUUCUUUUCUAGUUUUAUUAAUCUAAAUUGUUUUAAAAAUCAUGUUUCAACUCAAAUUAGUUUCUAUAGAAGCUUAGGGUAGAUUUACAUGUACCUAUACAAUCUAAGAUAUGGGAAUGGAGUGAUCCAAGGUUCUCAAUAGACACACUAUCUCACUCUCAUGAGAUAUCAUGGUGCUUCUAUUAAUAAUAUUUUUUGCUAGCUGCUCCAUAUGGAUAUAUGACCACAUUAGGGUCUCACCCAUAAAUCAAAGUUUCUUGUUGAUUUUAGCAUAAAUUCAAUAUAUUCUCAAGAUUGAGAGUCUAUAUAUCAAGUAGCUUUGUGAAUCAUGACAACUAAUAGCCUUAUGUCAUGAUUCACUAUAGGUCUUGUCCAAUAUGUAACCAUACACACUAAUGUACUCACCAUGGGAAACCUAUCUCGAUGGUCAUGAUAAGCCAUCCCUCCAAUUAGGAGGUAGUGCAUUAUAGUCUCUAUUGAAUUGCCCAAAUCUAUGAACCAACUAUAAACAACUAAUCAUCUUGCAAGGAACCCAUGACUUAUGUCCUUUAUGCAAUUCCUAAUACAUUGAAGUCAUAUACAAUGCAAGUGAAAUGACAUGUUUGUUCAGGUAACCAAUCAAUACAAAAUGGGAUAGUAAGUUGAAUAAAAAACAUAAAUAAAUAAAUUUAUUAAUGAAUCUAAAACUGUUAUAUCAUGUCAUGCUUUCCAAGGCUCUAUCCCAAUACGUUGGAUUAGGUGACCUGAAUCUAGUUUAAGCUUAAGUCACUUAAACCCAUAAGAAACCCUAUAUAAAUCCUCUCAAAGGUUUAGGGUUCACAAUUUUAACGUUUUGGCCAUCAUUUUCGAGAGAGAGUAAGAGUAAGCCCUAGCCACUCUUAAGACAAGAAGAGAAGCUCACCCUUCUGUUGUGUUAGGAUCUUUGAAGGGAGAAAUCGGAUAAAAGAUCUUUGGGUAGAUGAACUCCACAACAUCCCCAACAUCUUCUUUGACAUCUUCCUGGGAUUAGAUUCGAUUUUGGAAUAUCCAAAUUACAGGUAUGAAACUUUAACCUCUACGUCUAGAUCAUAAUAUGGUUUUAGUUACCACAUAUUUCUACUAUGUUAGAUGUAGAGAGCCUAGGACUAGAUUGCAUGGACCCUACAUGAUGCAGAGCCUAGGAAUAGAGUAACUAGUGGUUCCUAACAAUUUACAAUUAUAAAAUGAUGAAAACUAAUGUCUUUUCACCAACUAAACCUUAUAAAGCAUUGAAAUCAUUAGUUUCAUUGCAAUUUCAAGUUAAAUAUUAAAAUGCACUAAGUAUGAGUCUCACACACAAAAUGAUCCCUAAUGCUCAUUAAUAUAUGUAUAUAUAUAUUUUAUUUUUAAAAAGUCAAAAGGAUAAUGAAGAUGAUAACAAACCAAUAAUCAAAGCAAACAUUUGAUAAUGAAUAAAUAUGUUAUGUUUAGUGUCAAAAUAAAAUAAACGCUAAAUUUUCUAAUAAAAGAAUUUGAUAAUAGGUUGUGACUACAAGCUAGAUAUCAAUUUCAUAUUGAUACAAAAACAGAGCUUAAACCAAUUUGAAAAACAAGCAUAAAAUCAACAUGUAUCAAAUCGAAAUCAACAUGUAUUUCAAUAAAUUAUAAAAAAAAUCAAUACAACACUAACAAUGGUAAUGUUAUUCUUUGGGAUAAAUUAAUAUAAAAAUAAUAAAGGCUCUAAGGUAUCAAAAUAUCAUUAAUGAAUACAAAAUCUAAUUCAACCAAUUUUAGGCAUUCUCAUAUGAAUUUAGAAGUAUAAAAUGAUGAAAACUAAUGCAUUUUCACAAGCUAAACCUCAUAAAAGCAUUGAAACCAUUAGUUUCAUUGUAAUUUCAAACUAAAGAUCAAAAUGCACCAAAUAUGGGUCUCUCACACAAAAUGAUUCCUAAUGCUCAUUAAUCUAACAUAUAUAUAUAUAUAUAUAUAUAUAUAUUCAUAUAAGAUGAAAACAAAUAGAAUUCAACAAUUUUUAAAGGGCUAAUUUUUUUUAAAAAAUGAUAAUAUAUUGAAUGAAAGCAUGGAGUGUAGUUGGGGAGGCUUCAAGACUUGUUCAUAGCUUUGAUCUUUCUCUUUGAUCUCCAGUUUGACAAAGUUUCACCUCCUUUUAUUUCCAUAGAAUCGUCUCAUUUGAAAAUGUAGCUUUCUCUUUGUAUUUAUUGCUAAAAGGAUGAUGAUAAACCAAUAAUCAAAGUUAACUUUUAAUAAUGAAGUAAUAUACUAGGUUCAAUGUCAAAAUCAAAUCAACACCAAAUUCUCUAAUAAAGGAAUUUGAUAAUAAGUUGUGACUGCAAACCACAUAUAAAUUUCAUUUUGAUACAAAAACUGAGGUUGGACUAAUUCGAUAAACAAACAAAAAAUAGGUGGUUCAAGAAUUGAUUUGAAAUUAAUACUUGAUUAAAUACAACUACCCAAAUUGAUACUACUCUACAACAUAGAACCAAUGUUGAUCCCAAUAUGAUAACAAGAUCUAUGCACCAUGAAAAAUCAACAAAAAAAAAUUACCAUAGACUUGCAUUGAAUCCAAAUCAACACUAAUUUCAAUGAAGUAUUAAAAAAUCAAUACAAUACAAACAAUGGAAACAUCAUUCUUUGGGAUGCAUGAAUACAAAAACAAUUAAGACUUUGAUAUAUCAAAAUGUUAUUAAUGCUUUAGUAAAAAAAUCUAAUUCAACAAGUUUUAUCAAUUUCCAUUUGAAUUUACAAGUAUAAAAUGAUGGAAACUAAUGCAUUUUCAAUAGCUAAACCUCAUAAAAGCAUUAUGUAGACUUUCCUUUUUGUCCUCAUAACACAUGCUUUUAAUUGUACUUAGUACCCCUCAUUUUUUAGCAAUUUAAAUUUUUUUUUUUGGUUAUAAAUUAUAUGAAUGUUUUAACACUUGGAGAAAUUGGAACGAAGCAAAAUAUGUAGAAAAAAGAAAUAAUUAUCUAUAGCUAUCUUUAUUUUAUUUUUUAUACGUUUCUAUUGACAUGGAAUAAAUCAUCAAUAAUUGUUGUGAUUAAUAGCGUUGAGAAAAGUCAAUGGCCAUAAUAAUAUUCUAUUGCCAUUUUUUUUUUUGUAAAAUAUUAGAUCAAAUCACAUCUUCUUGUAAAAUUAUCAUUAAGAUUUACAUGAUUUCUUACAACGUAGCUUAAAACCAAAUAUUUCAUCAAAGAAGUUAUCAAUAACCAACCCCACACAAUGAUAUCUAUUAUAAUACAAACUUCUUCAAUAUGUUUGUUUGUGAGUGUAAAGAAAGAAAGGUAACAGAAAUUGAGAAAGUAAAAUAAAAGAAAAUUUUUCUCUUUUUUUGUUUUAUUUUUUUUUUCUCUAUUUAUUCUGCUAUUUACAGAGUAAUAUAUAAAGUAAACCUAACUAACAAAUUCUCUAACUAUUCAUCUAACAAUAAUAGAAGAAAACCAAUGAGCAUAUGACAUGUGUACAUCUUGUAACUAUAUGAAACUAUCUCUUAACAUUCUCCCUCAAACUUAAGGUAGAAAGAUUUUCUACUUUGAGUUUGUUUCUUAGAUUUACAAACUAAGUGCUUAAGACAGCUUUCAUCAAGACAUCUACUACUUGAUCAAUGGAAGGCACUUGUUAGAUUAAAACCUUUCUUUGCAGAACCUUUUCCCUAACAAAAUAUAAAUCCAAUUCAAUGUGUUUUGUCCUAGCAUGUAAUAUUAGAUUAACAACCAACAUAAUAGUGCUAAGAUUAUCACACCAAAUAACUGUUGUUGUAGGCAAAGUGAUUUUAAUUUAUGAGAGAAGAGAUAGUAACCAAGUGAUUUCUGCAACCAAACCAGUUAGGCUUCUAUACUCUGCUUUUGUACUUGAUCUAAAAAUAGUAUGUUAUUUCUUUUACUGCUAAGUGACUAAAUUUGAACGAAAAUAUACAAAAAAUCCUAAAGUUGAUCUUGAGUCAUAAAGAUCAGAGGCCUAAUCGACAUCACAAAAUGCUACAAGAUCAAGAGUAGGAGACUUUCUUAAAUAUAAUCCAUGAUGAAGAGUUCCUUCAAGUAUCUAAGAAUUAUUUUGACUACUUUCUAAUGAGAUUCUAAUGGAGCUUGCAUAUAUUGACAAACUUUAUUAACACUAUAGGCAAUUUCAGGCCUAGUAAUUAUUAUCUACUACAAAGCUCCUACAAUUGAUCUGUACAACUUCACAUCCUAAAUUGAUUCACUUCCAUAGCCUGAAAGUUUUUGUCAAUUGGUCAUGGGAGUAGAAAUAGGAUUGGCACUUUGCAUUUUGGAUUUGUAUAAUAGAUCAAUUAUGUAUUUUCCUUGAGAGAUGAAUGCUUUCAACAAUAUGCUUCACUUCAAUCCCUAAAAAUAGUUGAUUUCUCCAAGAUCUUUUAAGGCAAACUCUCUGUUUAAAUUGGUAAUGAGAUGCAUCACAGCUUGUUCACUACUACUAGUGAUAAGAAUGUCAUCUACAUACACAAGAAUAUAGGUAGAAUGAAUUUUUGUCACACAAAUGAAUAGAGAUUGAUCUGACUUUGUAGAGAUAAAUCCAAAGGAAUAUAGGGCUACACUUAACUUUUCAACCAAACACUUGGUGCCUGUUUUAAGUCAUAUAAAGUUUUAUGUAAUUUGAAAACAAGAUGAGAUUGGUUGUGCUGAAUAAAUCUAGGAGGUUGUUCCAUAAAAACUUCCUCAUGCAACACUCCAUUCAAAAGGAAUUAUUAAUGUCUAAUUGAUGAAUUAACCAAGCUCUAGACAAAGCUAUAGUAAGCAUAACCCGAAUAGUUGCAGGUUUAACAAUUGGAUUAAAAGUUUCAUUGAAAUCAAAACCAACAACUUGAUGAAACUCUUUUGCAUAUAUGUUUAACAAUCAGAUCUAGUUCUCUUGCUCUAUUUAAAUCCCUGGCAUUUAGCGCCUCCUUGUCAUCUCUCUUUGUCGCAAAUUUCUCUUCUCAGGAUAAGCCCAAUCAUGAUCACCCAAUUUGUUCUCAUUGUGGGCUCAUGGGGCAUAUUGUGGACCAUUGCUACAAGUUACAUUGGUGCCCAACUGGGUACAAGCCUAAACCCAAGGCCCAAAUGAGCUCUCUUCGGUCCACCAACAAUCCAUUAUCUUUCCCUGAGCCAUCAAAGGACAUCCACUUCUCUUCUUCAGCUACAACUACCAUACCACCCUCUCCACUUUCUGGUUCUCUCUCAACAGAUCAAGUUCAAUAGCUCAUAAAGUAGACUUUGUUCACUUUGGAAGGAUCCUUUGUCAUGCUCAAAUCUUAUUAUGCGCAUGCAUUGUUUAACUAAGAUCAUUAUAAUUGUUUCCCAAAGUGAGUCAAUGCCAAAUAUUGAAUAAUUGGUUAAGCAUAACUCUUACACACAUUCUAAAAUUUAUGCUCUUAAAUGUAUGUGACUCACUUGCGACAUUUGGAAAUACCCCUAAAAUGGAUACAAAAGCAACGAUGAAUGAAAAAAAUCACAAUGUACAAUGGCUCUAUUUUCAAAAGAAAAAAAAAUCAAUAUUGAUCAUAGUGUACAAUGGCUCUACUUUCAAAAGAAAAAGAAAAUAAAAAGGAAUAUGAUAUCAAAUUAAGGGAAAGUCAAGUUGUGUUGUAUAUAGAUCAACAAGACCUUGUUAAAUGGAAAUCCAACAAUCUUAAAUCAAAUUAAUUAGAUGUGUACUUUAAUUAGAACAAAUGCAUGACUAGAUCUCUUCUAAGUGAUCAAAUUUUAAAUGUAGAACUGGACAAUAAGUUGUAUUCCCUUGAACAUCAAUACUUAUGUUUCUAUGUUGGUCCUCUUAUCCACUAAUGGUUAUGCAUUGGGUUUCAAAACUAAAAUUACAAUUAACUUUGACCUUUGGACUUGAAACCUCAUUCUUGAUGGAUUGAUGUAUAAUAUCUAAAGUAAUUUUGUAAUUGAUUGAAGAAACUCCUACAAGACAUUUAAAGAAAUCUAGUACACCAUUUCUUAUUUAUCACUUUUUUGAGUUGUUUCAAGCACUCUAAGUUUCUGGUUCUUUGUCAUUUGAGGUCAAUUCUCUUAGUUUUUCGCAUUUUUUUCAUAUAGUAUUGUUUUACCCUCAUUUUUAGUAUUCCUAGUUGUUUAGGGGUUUUUUUUUUGUUUUUUUGUUUUUGGAUUUUUAUCUAUUUUUCUUUCUUUUAAUGUCCUUUUAUAUUUCAUCACCUUGUUAUGGCAAGUCAUCCUCAUCCUCAUGAGCUGACCCCUCCAAGGUCACCUGAGGCCGUUUAGAGCAUUGCUCUCCAAGGUCCUUUUGGCCUAAGAGCUCUUUCUAUUGAGUGCUUCCAUUGUCAGGAGGCAUGAGACCGAUACUACACCUCUUUCCAUAAUUGACUAGUUGAGGUUGAGCAUUCAGUCAAUCUCAAAGUCUUCUAGGAGACUUCUUUUCUUACUGUUGUUAGAGAUUGAGGAUAAAAGACGUUACUCUCUCUUUAGGGGACUUUCUACCCCCAUCUUAUUUUCAUUUUCUAUCUGUUGUAAUUGGAGUUACCUUUCAGGUGAUUUUGUAUGAUCAACCAUUUCUUGUCUCUUCCUGUUCCAUCCAACAUGUCCUUAGCAUGCUGCAACUUGAGUCUUGCUUUGGUCAGAAGCUAUUCUCCAAGCCAACAUGGUUGCUAGCUACUUCUACCAUUCUACUCAUCGUACCCAGAUCUGUCAGUCGUUUACUCAAUUCAUUCAUGCCAUACUCUCUGGCUACCAAUUCGAUAUCAACCAAGUGGUUUUGGAUAGCAUUACUCCUUCCCGUGAUCCAUCUUUUUGAGGAGGCACCCCUCCCUUUAACCUUCUCAUCUCGUAGAUUUUGGAGGAUGUAGGUUUUGGGAUAAACCUUGCAUUAGGGGUCCAAGCUAACCAUGCCCUCUUGGAUGGAUGCUCCUAGGCUAAGCAUUAUAACCACAUUUAGGGACUGAUGGCACCUCCAACCCACCAUGGUCCUGAAAAUGCGGCUCAACAAGCAGCUUAGGAGGCAACAACAUAUGAGAAUGAGCUCCAAGCUAUGAAGCAAGGUGUAGUACCUGAGGUAAAUUAUCUCAAGCCUUCUUUAAGAACUUGUUCUAGUUGAGGUCAUGCAAGUUCUUCAUGAGCUACUCAUGAGCAAUGUUAGAAAUGCCACAAAAUGUCAGUGAUAUUUCACCAAUAUUUCGGGUAUCGAUGGGGCUCGAUAGAUAAAUAGGAUGGAAAUUUUGGUUAUUAAAAAUUUCAAUUAUUUCCCUCAUUUUUCAUUGAUAUAUUGGCUAUAUGCUGAUAUAAUACCGAUAUAUCAGUUAUAUUGGUGAUUUUUUAGUGCCUUGCUUACUUUUAGGCCAAAAGGUUUCCCCAUUUUUACCAAAAGGUUUCUCGUUUUUGCCAAAAUGUUUCUUUUAUUUAUUUUUAUUUUAGGCCACAUUCUCACACACACGACCAUACAAUAGUCGUUCCAGAUGAGAAAGUCACCAUCUAUUAAAUAGGCAAUUUUGUUCUCUUAAGUUGUUGAUGUGGGACAACUUUUAUUGACAAGUUUAAAAAUCUAAUCAAACAGGUAAACAAAAUUUACAUUGGUGAGACUCAAACCCGAGUACACAAGUUUGUCGUGAAAGGACACUAGCAUUGAACCAUAUGUGAAUUUGUAGUUUUAAUUGUAUAUAGAAUUAUAUAUAUAAUGUACAUAUCUUUUAUACGUUAUAAUAUUUUUAAUAUAUAUUAUAAUAUUAUUUAAUAAAUUAAACUAUUAUAAAUAAGUUAUUUUUAAUUAUCUUAUUAUAUAUUUUGUAUACCAAUUAAAUACAAGGUAAAUAUCAAUUUUAUAAAUAAAAUAUUAACAUUUUUAAUAUAAAAUACUUAUCUAAAUAUCAUUGUUUUUUUUUUUAUCCCUCAAUAUAUUCAAUUUAGACAUAUUAUCAUUCUAAUAUUAAUGUGCUUUUAAAUUAGUAUAUUAUUGCCUACUAUUACAAAUUUAUUACAUAUUACUAUAUAUAUAUAGUAAUAUGUGUUUUUUUUUCAUGUUUUAUCAUUUUUUUUUUGAAGUUUCCAAGUAUUUUCAUGAAUUUCUGUUUCAUCAAUUUUUUUUUUUUGGGUCAAAAUAUUCCACCGUUAUUCCCUGAUAUAUCUAUAAAAUCCAAUGAUCAAUAAAUCCGUGAUUACUGAUAUUUUCAUUCUUGCUCAUGAGACAUCUUCUUCUACCCACCCACCUGAGAGACAUUCGAUUCCAUGGCCUAUCUCCAGCAACCAAUGGACUCCCAGGAUCUUUAGCUUCAUCAGAUCCAGGGACAACUCCACUAUAUCAUUUCCUAGAUCCACUCUAAAGGCGCAUUGAGCUCUAUGUCUCCACCUCCUUCGGAUACUUAUAUAUGUGUGUGUGUGUGUGUGUGUUCUUUUUCUAUUGUUAAUCUGGAUUUGUGUUUUUUUUGCAUAUCUUAUGUAUCCAAAAUCAUUUUUUUUCUAUAUAUAUUCUUCUUUCUCUUUAACUCUUGUGUGCUUUCCAAUGUUUAUAAUUCAUAUGUUUUGCCAUUUUUAUGACAAAAAAUAAAAAUAAAAAUCAUUGACCAUAUUUAAUUCACUUAAAUAGGGGAAGCAUAGGCAUCGAUAUAAUAGAAAAAAGAUAAAGGAACUCCUUGAAAAAUAGGAGUUAAUAAGUUUUGAAUUAUUUAUUCAAUUCAUUCUUUUACUCAUUUAAUUCUUAAGGGAAAUUGUAAUAGUGGAGAAAAUUAAACCUGAGACAUUGGAGGAAAUUAGAUCAACUAUUGAAAGCAUAACUUGGAAGUUUAAGAGAGUUACCUAAUAUAGAUAUAUCCUAUAAGAUAUUUCUAUUUGAAUUGUCUUUCAUUUUAGAACUAUUAUGAGUCACAAAAGCUUCUUCUCAUGACUUUUAUUGUCUAUUUUUUGGUUGGAGAUAGACCUCUAGGCAUCAUAGUUGAUCUAUUGUGUCUUAUCCAGCUUCUAUUAUGUUAUGUUGAUUUGUAUACAUUUAGAUUCCUUUCGAGCUUUACUUUGUACCUUGUUAUCACUAUAGGGAUAUGUUUCUCUUACAUGCUUUCACAAUGUAUCGAGCAAAAUCUCCAACUAUCAUGUUCUAUUGCUUUGAUCAUAUCUUAUCUCACACAUUUUUCCACCUUUGUUGAAGUUUUUUUUUUGUGUGUAGGUUAUAGGAUUGGAAAAUAAGUACUACUAGAUGAUUCAAAACAUUCCCUUAGUUUAUUUUUAAUUAAGCAUUAAUGUUUGUUAUGUAAACUCCGUUAUAAGAGUUCGGGUGGGUUUAUGUAAUGAUGUUUUGUCACAAGAUUGCCAUAAAGGGAAAUUGUUAGGACAUUAAGCCUUGAUUAUAUGUCGUCAAUUUGGUUCCUUUUUAUAUUUGGCCAUAGAAGUCUUUUUAGAUAGUGACUUGCUCUCUAUUGAAGAUUAAGAGUUGUAAUUUGUCUAACCGAGAAUUCAUAAGUACAUCUAAAAAAGUUUGGCUUGUAGUAAGUUAGGCUUCUUUGAGGUAUAAAUAUGAUUGCUAAUUGUUUUGAACUUAAAAUUAAUUUUUAUAAAGUUUUUUAAAAAUAGAGGAUGCUCAAGUGGGGAGCAGUGCUUAAGUGUUGUGACCGCUCAAGUGCCCCACAUUGCUUGAGCUCCCAAAACGCUCAAGCCACCUUUGUAAGCUCGAGAAAUCGUGAAUCUCUAGUCGAGAUUUUUUCACGCAAAAUUGAUUUGGAAGUCUUCUAAAACCAAACCUUUUGGAGAUUUAUUCCUACAAAUACCUCUUUAUAACCCUUUAAGGGUUAUAGAUUGUUUUAGAGAUUAGUGAGAGAUCUUACAUUCUUUAGAGAGAGUCUCUUAGAGAAAAAGCCUAAUGAGCCACACCAUUCCCGAUCUCUCAUUCAAGGAUUCAAUAUUUGAAUCUUGGUUUGAAAACUUACAUCCCUUUAGCAAGGUUGAAAUGCAUUCAUUAGAGUAAUAGGAGGUUGCUACGUUGCAGACAUGGAUCAAGUUUUAAGUAUUGAAGAGUAAGUCUUUAGGGUAAAGUGGCCAAGUAAAUCUAUGUAACUUGAUAUCAUAUAAUGGAUUUAGAUUAGCGAUCAUAGACUUCAUGGUUUUUUAUCUCCACAGUUAGUGUGGGGGUUUUCCAUGUAAAAAAUCUCUUGUACCUCAUUGUUUAUUACUUGAUAUCUUGUUUGAAUUGCCUAUAAUAGAAAUGAUUGAUAUACCUCAAUAUAUCGUAGGAUAAAAAUUGGGUAUAACAUAUAAACUUUAUUUAAAUUUUUUAAUACAUCCAUUUAGCCCUCCUCCCCUAGGUAUUUCCCCACUAGACUUAGGGGCUUUUUCAAACCAUAAGUUAGUUCACCCUGAGCUAUUGGUUUAUGUUGUUGACCAUCAUUAGUUGAUUCAUUUUUUUUAUUGCACUUGUUAGUCGAUUAAUAUAUAUAUAUAUAUUGUUUUCUCAUACCUAACUUUGGUUUCUUGUGAUUCUUCCACCUAAAACCUACCAAUUAUUUUACAUCAUAAACCAGAGUUUCACCACUUGUUUUGUAUUCUAACCUUAACAAUUCAUCUUCUUUAAAAGUAACAUCUCUACUGAUUUUUGCCUUCCUCAAAUUUAGAUGCUACAACUUAUACCCCUUCACUUUAGUAGGAUGUACAAGAAUUAAACAUUUCUUUCUUUGCUCUUGGUUGCAACUUUUUAUCAUUUACAUGUGCAUAUGUUGUUGACCCAAACACUAUAAGGUGUUGGUAACUUCCUGGUUUACCUGUCCAUAUUUUUUGAGGCGUUUUGAACUUUAUGGAACUCGAAGGGAAUUUGUUAAGCAAGUGACAUGUUGUAUGGAUAGCUUUCGCCUAUAACUUUUUAGGUUAUUUUAUAUUUAUCAACAUGCAUCUUACUCUUUCAAGAAUAGUAUGAUUCAUCCUUUUAGCCAAGCCAUUUUGCUGAGAUGUACUCUUCACUGUUCUUGUUGGGAUUAAGCCCCUAAAGGAAAGACAUGAUGUAACAAAGUUAGAUUUAACUAUCCUCUUGCCAUCCAUUUGGUGUAUUGACAUUAAUUUGAGCAUUUAACUCAUAUCUCUUACAUUAUUAUAUGACUUGGGUGCAUUAGGAGUUGCACACAAGAUACAAGUCAUGAGUUCCUCAUAAGUACAUAAGUUGUCCACAAUUGGUUAAUGGAUUUGGUCAAUCCAAUAAAUAUUGUAGUGCACCACCUCCUAAUUGAAGGGAUGACUUAUCUUGGCCAUUGGGAUGAGUUUCCCAUGAUGAGUGCAUUAGUUUAUGUGAUACAUAUUGGACUAGAUCUAUGGUGAAUCAUGAUGUAAGGCUAUCAAAUGUCAUGAUUCACCAAGCUAUUAUGAUGCAUGGACUCUCAACCUAGAGAGGAUAUUGAGCCUAUGCUGAAAUCAACAGAAGGCUUUGACAUAUGGGAGAGACCCUAAAGUGGUCAUAUAUCCUUAUGGAUUAGGUCACUAUUAAUGGAGGCUAGUAACAAUAGGUAUUCUUAAUAGAGGCAUCAUGAUAUCUCAUGGGCUUGAGAUAGUGUGUCCCCUUGAGUGAUCCAAAGGACAUGUGAUCAUGAAAUUUUUGGCCACAACAAUUCCUUUAGUGAAAUUUGACUUAUGCUCCUUGGAGUUAAAGUUAGAGCAUGUCAGUUAAUCAUAUAAUAAGUGGGAUCUAUAACUCAAGGAUUGGAGAGGUAAUCAUGAUCGGUGAUAGCACUACCUUGUUAGAUUACGAACACCAGUUCAUGGGGAGUUUAUAUGCAAUGGAUAGUAGGAUGUCGUGGACCUGAACUUUGUCUCAUUGUUAUGUACAUGAUUCGUGCCCAAUUGGUGUCUCAGCUGAUUCGUGUCCAGCUGGUGCUCCUUGAUUGAGGGAGUAAUCAACAAAAUUUAUAACCUAUUACACCAUAUACUAGGGUAGCAAAGACAAAGCUACUAUAGUAUAGCGGCUCUAGGAUCGUUCACUGGGAAGGAUUAGCAAGCUAUCAAUGAUACCAAUUCCAAGUGAAUUGGUCUUGUUUCAUUUCAAGGUUAGCUUAAGAAAUAAAACACAAACUUUGAUUGGUAAAGAUUUAAACUAACUAACAUAACAAGUACUCGGAAUAACUUAGGAAGAAAAGCAUUCCUUGGAGAGUUAGGUUCACUGGGGUGGUUCCUCAUGCAAAAGACAUAGCUCCGGUCAGAUGGUUCCUUUCCUCGUGUUAGAGAUUCAACAUAUAGUCACUUCUCUAACCGGUGUUGUACAGCUACCUCCUUUAAUUAGAUUUCACUUUAAUUCUCUCACUGAUGCAACUUGCAAUGGUUUAAGCCUCUCACUAAGCCUUAACCAUUCAAGGUGAUCUUUAACCUUGGAUUACCCGUCAAAAGCUCGCAAGAGAUAACUAAUGGAUGUCUCCUUGGAGUCCAAAAGCUUACCAAGUGUUGGCUAUUCUAGAAAAUCCUACCCUAAAGUCACCUCCCAGAGGCUCGCAAGGGGUAAACUGGUGCAUUUCCAUGGUUGGAAAUCACUUUCCUUACCAAGUGUUGGCCCAAGUGACUCUAAGGUGUUUUAAGUUAACUAAAAACAUAGAAAUCACUAAAGGAUUUCACUUCCUCUUCAUUACUAGCUAAAACCACAAAGCUUUGCAUUCUUGCACUUGGAACCUUCCCCGGCAACCUUAGCUCCAAGGAAUUAGAGGUUUAGUUACUCAUUCUCUGGGGAAAAUUCCUCAGAGAGUUCAUAACUUAGUAAGAAAAUAAAAAUACAAAGUGAGAAGGUAAGGCAAUACAAAGAACUGAACUUUACUUGCUUACCCAAAACUUUACAAAAGGAUCUCCUCUCUAAGAACAGGCUCCCGAGAGGUAUAUAUAUGAACAUAAUAUAAAACUAAUUAUUACAUAGAUAUUUUCUCUUUUUACUAACUUAAAAGCUAAGGAAUCUUGUAAUUGGUGGCUUACAAGGAGUAUUUUGGGAUUUAGACAACAAAAAUCUGAUGUAAAAUAUUUCCCAAUGUCGGUAGCAAAUAUCGGGAUGCUCCAGGAACCAUUUCUCAAGAGAAAAUGGUGUCUGCGAGAUUUCGUAGGCACUCAAGAAGGGAUGCGAAAUCAUUUCGCAAGAACAUGCUAUCUUCGCAGGGCUGCGAAGUUGGCUUCCACCUUGAGGUUCUCAGCUCCCAGCUUGUGGCAUAUAUCGGGCAACUUCAGAAGGAAAUACACCCUACUGUACAAAAAGGCCGCGGAAUCACUUCGCAGCAAAAGGGUGAUUUCGCAACACUUUGGAAAAUGCUUCCUUCAGCUGGGAGUGAUUGGUUUGCAAAGGCUGCAACUUCUUCGUUUCAACUCCGAAUUGCGCACCAUUUGAAGAAUUGGAUUGUUGACUUCCUGAGAUUUGAAAUGGUAUAUAGCAUGCAUCAAUUUGACCUCAGAAAGUGCUCCAAAAGUGGCUGCUACGACUGUCAUCAAGAAUAUGCUUCUUGGCAGAUUCUCUUUACUUUUUCUCCUUGCAUUCCGGAUUUACUCUUGGCAAAUGACUUCCAAGCUUUGCCCAAGAUUCCUCAACACUCUCCUCAAUCUUGAAUUGCUUUGGUGAUCAAAUUACUAACAAAAACACCAAAACUUACACAAAGUGAUUAAAAUUGCUUUCAAGGGUCCUUAAUAUGCUAAUUGAGUUAAAAGGCCAAAACUACUACUCAAAAGCGUUUAAAAGGAUUAAUUAUAAGUUAUCAAAUAGCACUUUUUGAGCAGUAAUCACUCCCCCCAACCGACAUAUUGCUAGUCCCUUAGCAAUAUAGGAGAGAAAAAUGAAAAUAAAAAGCAAACUUAACCUAUAAUGUACAACAUCAUGCUGAACAAAAACAAUUCUCAAGUGGCAUGAUGAUUUAAUUCUCUCAUGAAACAUUAAAGAAAUACAAACCCAAAUUUCAACAAGAGUUAUAACAAACUAUGCUAAACACUUUCAAUCAAGGGAAUGCAUUAUGCAAACUGAAGUUUUAAAAUCAUUUCCACUUUCAAAGAACCAAACUUUAUUCUUCCUCAAAAAUCUAUGUGUAUAGGUUCCUUAGGUUCCGAGAAUAAUAUGCUAAACUAAUCUCUCCCCCCAACCUAUCUCUUUUCAACACUUAGAAAACUGACCAAAAUCAAUAAAGAAAGAACACAUUUUUUUUUUUUUUUUUUAAGGAGGCUUUAUGGGAUACUCUUUCUGAAUUGUCCAUGUAAUGGGGGUCCAUCGAUGACUCCCAACCAAUUAAGGUUUAGGGCAUCAAGCUUUAAGGAUCUUUCAACCACUAACUCCAUGGAUUUUUCCCCGGACUUUUGAGAAUGAAUUUCUAAUACCCAAGCACCUAGCAUAUGCUAACUCUACCUAUUCACCCUUAUAACGAGCAUUGAGGUCGGUGACUCCCAACCAAUUAAGGCUUAGGGCACCAGGCUUUAAAGAUUUUCACCAUAUACCCCUCAGACCUUGCUCGGGUUUUAAGGCAAGCAAACAACUUUCUUUAUUUCAAAGGCUCAUUGGCCUUUUGCAGGGUGUUUCAAUUUUAUCAAAUGAGGUCAAAUAUACCAAGUCCCAAAAUUAUCCUAAGUCAAGAGGGAAAUAGCUUUUCAUGUUAUAAUCGGAAUCUAAUGUGUACAGUGUGUGAAUAGCUUAAAGUGGAAGAACUAAAUUCAAUUUCAAUAGAAGCUUCAACAAUUGAACCACUUUAGUGAGCAUAAUCCAUACUCUAAGUCAAGUGAAAAACAACAGUUCAAUUUCUCCUGUUUCAAUUUGAAAAUUUUUCCUCAAAAUUCAUGGAGAAUAGAGUAAAAAGAGUAAAAAGCAAAAACUACAACUAAUUUACCAAAAUAAUUGCAUUACCAAAAAGGCUUAGCAUACUUCCUUUAAUUUAGCAUAACUUCCUUCAUCAUUCCCCCCCAACCGAACCGAGCAUUGUCCUCAAUGUGAUAUGAGUGACUGUAAUUAAAGGGAGGAAGUGGUACCUCCUGAGUGAUAUCAAAUUCGAAUACUAAUUGGAGAAACCACAUGUUUAAAAAAGAAUAGAAUAUGUGAGAAAAGGAAAUAAGAAUAAGUUAAUGCUAACUGUUAACAAAAAAAUAUUAAACUUGUAUUACUUUGAAUCCAUUUGAGUACACUGAAAAAGAAAAGCAAUACAAGCAAUCCCAAAUAUAGUACCAAAAUAAUGGGAUUUCUUUCAAACUAAAAAUGAAAUACAUAAAACAAAGAUAGUAGAUAUAUAUAUAAUGAUCUAAUGAGUGGGUGGUGCUGGGGCUAGGCAGAUGGGUCUGCCUCUUCAGUUGGUGCUUCAGCUGGGGCUUGAGGCUCUGAGGGAUGAGAGUGUGGAUCUGCUGGAGUAGAAGUGGAGGGCUCAACAGCUGGUGGCAGGUCGAAAUGAAGCUGAAACUGCCUUAAGAUGACAGUGUGUUGAGCCUGAGUGGCCAACAUCUGCUCUUGGCAUGCUCUAAUGGCUGCCAUCUCUUGAGCUAGACUGCUCUGAGAUGUUGUGAGGGUCUCCAAUGCACGGCACAACUCUCGAUAUUCAGAAAUGGGUAUGGCCAUCCUCGGCUCAGCUGAAAUGGAUGGCUGAGAUGAAGCUGGAGCAGCUGGUGGAGCUCUGGGAAUGGCAGGAGCAGCAACUGUGAUACCCUCAGGUAUGUGUCGUGGGGAUGCUCUCCUUGUAGUUGGCUGAGGACGCUCAGGCUGGUCAACUCUAUAAGCUGUCAUGUUGUUCCAUUUGUCGAGAGUAAAAAGCUCACGACAAAUGCGCUUUCGCUCCAACUGAGGCUCAGAAGGAUAUCCCAAGUGCUCCAGAAUUUGGCAUAGCAGCCUUGGAAAGAGGAGGGGAAUGCAAUCAGCUCUCUGAAGCUUCUUUUUGUGUACAUUAUCUUCGAAAUAGAGAAGGACUGCCAGAAUCAGAUGAUGAGGCCCAAAGAAAAAUCCUUCAGACAUCUUGUAUAGGGCUUCUAAGAGGACUCCUCUUCUUUGAGUCCAAUGCUGCAAUGGGUAGAGGUUAUGACGCAAAAAUGCAUCAAUCAAAAACAUGAUUGGAGGAAGCUCCCCCCUCAACAGAUGUGAUCGAUUGGCAGCUCCUCUGGAUAGGGUGCGCACCAUCUCCAGCUCAGUAGGAUUGGUCCAAGCUCUAAAAUUAUCGAAUUGGGUUGGCUCAUAGGGAAUUUGCAAGGCUUCAGCUAUAUGGCGUGCUCCCAAUAUGCCAUGCCUCCCAUCAAUAGUGAAAUGAAUUAAAGUUGGAUCCCUGACCUGGUUAGUUGUCAUGGAUUGAUAGAAAUCCAUGGCUACCCUUGGGUAGAAAAAGUCUCUUGGAGUCAGUAGGUGCUCCAUAUGGUAUCUCCUCAGCAGGUUGAAUGUCUGUGCAAGCUCCGGCUGCAAUCGGAAUGCGGCUAUGUCAAAGCAUAGCUCAGAGUGGAAUGGCCGAGCUCUACAGUCCAAAUUUCCCUCAAUUGGGGGCUGAGUUAGCAUUGGCCUCUUGAUUAUUUCUUCCGGAGCUAUUUCGGAUUGAAUUUGGGGCUCUGGAAGUGGCGGCUAAGGCUCCUGAGAUUUCGCUUGCGGCGCCAGAAAUGGCACCGGCGACGGAACUGGCGAGGAUACCGGAGAUGGAACUGGAGUUGGAACCGGUGAUGGCUCUGGAGAUUGCUCCGUCUAGUCGAUGGGUUCUGAGCUUUCAACCCUGGGUCUCUUUUGCAGUGGCCGACCCCCUGACCUGGUAAGGUAACGUCUCGCCAGAGGCUUUGGCGGCGCUGGCUUCACCGGAGGAGGAGUUGCUUUCAGCUGCGAAGGCUCAGAAACGGGAUCCGGGACUGGCUCCUUUCGCAAGCUUCUCUUGCGGCUUGAAGGGGAGGAAGACUUGGCCCCUCUGGUUUGCGCCAUUUCGGGUUACCGAAAUUUGGCCAGAGCGGAUGGUCGGAGAAGAUGAUCGGAGGCUUGCGCGGUGAGGCUUGAGGAAGGAGAUGGACGGUCUGCGAGAAUGGACGGUAUAAUUUUGAAACCCUUUUCGCAGCUCAAAUGACCGGUAUAAAUAGGAAUAACGGAAGACUAAGGGUCAGUUUGAGUUUCGCAGUAAAAUGCCAUUUUCGCAGCUACUUCGCAAUGCGUUUCGCAGCUGCGAAAUUAAUGUUACUGUGCUGCGAAGUGGCACACGUGUGUCAAAAUCUCCUUCGCAAUUGCGAAAUACCCUGCGGAAUGGGACUUUUGUUGCGAAAUCUGGGCUUUACCACUUCGCAAGUCGUUUCGCAGCUGCGAAAUGGGGGCUCCUGUGCUGCGAAGUGGCACUCGUGUGCCAAACUUGCCUUCGCAGCUGCGAAAAUUCUCGCAGAGAAUCCCAAAGUGUUGCAGAAUGAUUUGGCAACAAAAUGCUCAUUUCGCAAAAGUUUUCUUUAGGCUGCGAAAUCUCGCAGAGCUCUGUUUUUGCUCUGUUUCACUCUGUUUUUGCUCCGAUUUCGAUCCGAUUUUUUCUCUUUCAAUUUCCUUGAAAUUUCUUCCACCUGAGAUCAUUUAAAAAGAUUAAAACACACCUAAAAACAUGAUUUAAGAUCAAAAACUAAGAUCAAAUGUAUGGAAAAAAACUUGAAAAUUUACAAAAUUUACAAAAAUUUUGGACUGUGGUAAACCAUGUCUAGCAAACCCUUCUUUGCUUAGGCUUUUUGAGGCUCAAGGAGGUUGAUAUCCUCCUUUUCUAGUUUGAAUGGCUCCAUUAAUGGCUUGAGACGAUAUCCAUUGACUUUGAAGGUGUCCUUGCCAUUUGAAUUCAAUAAUUCCACAUCUCCAUUGGAACAUACUCGGUGAAUUAUGAACGGGCCUAUCCACCUUGACUUGAGCUUCCCAGGAAAGAUAUGGAGUCUUGUGUCAUACAGUAAAACUCUUUACCCUUCCUGAAAUUCCUUAUUGGAGUUUAGUUGAUCAUGCCACUUCUUCAUCCUCUGUUUUGCAACUUUGGAAUUGAUAUAGACAUUAUUUCUUAAUUCCUCCAUCUCAUUAAGGUCUAGAUAUAUUUUUUCUCCGGCUCUGAUCAAGUCCAUGUUCAGCUUCUUUAUUGCCCACCAAGCUUUGUAUUCAACUUCCACAGGGAGAUGGCACGCUUUGCCAUAGACAAGACGAUAGGGAGACAUGCCAAGAAUAGUCUUAUAAGCUGUUCUAUAUGACCACAAUGAAUCAUGAAGCUUAAUAGACCAAUCUUUUCUGCUGGAAUUCACCACUUUCAUCAAUAUGUUCUUUAUUUACCUCUUAGCUAGCUCAACUUGCCCGGAAGUCUGAGGAUGAUAAGGUGUAGCCACCUUAUGCUUCACUCCAUACUUGGAUAACAGAGCUUCAAAAGGUUUGUUGCAAAAAUGAGCACCUCCAUCACUGAUUAUGGCUUUGGGUACCCCAAAUCUCGAAAAAAUGUUCUCUUUAAGGAAUUUGAGAACCACCCUGUGAUCAUUUUGUUUACAAGGGAUUGCCUCAACCCAUUUAGAAACAUAAUCCACCCCCACCAAGAUGUAAGAAUUACCAAAAGACAUUGGGAAAGGUCCCAUGAAGUCAAUACCCCAUACAUCAAAUAGCUCAACUAUUAGAAUGGGGUUCAUAAGCAUUUGAUUUAUUUUUGUUAACUUUCCAAGCCGUUGGCAUCUGUCACAACUUCUACACAUGAUGUAGGCAUCUUUGAAAAGAGAUGGCCAAAUAAACCCUGAUUGCAAUACUUUCAUGGCUGUUUUCUGAGAGGCAAAGUGGCCUCCACAUGCAUUCUCAUGACAAUGAUAUAGAAUCCCUUGCUGCUCAUCUUCAGGGACACACUUCCUUAUGAUCUGAUCUGCACAAUACUUAAAAAGAAAGGGCUCUUCCCAAUAAUAAGCAUGAAUUUUGGCAAAGAAGUGCUUCCUGUCCUGUGCAUUCCACUCACUUGGAAUUUCUCCAGUUACUAAAUAAUUAGCAAUAUGAGCAUACCAAGGAGUUUUCACUAGGAACAUGAGUGAUUUUUCAGGAAAAUCAUCAUUAAUAGGCAAGGGAUGGGAAUUAUGUGCUAUAACUAACCUUGAAAGGUGGUCAGCUACCACAUUCUCCACUCCUUUCUUAUCUUUGAUUUGAAGAUCGAAUUCUUGUAACAAAAGAAUCCAUCUAAUCAACCUUGCUUUUGCAUCUUGCUUUGUCAAUAAAUACUUCAAGGCUGAAUGGUCAGUGAAGACAAUGAUGAAAGACCCCACUAAAUAAGCACGAAAUUUGUCCAAAGCAAAUACCACAGCUAACAAUUCUUUCUCUGUAGUUGUGUAGUUCCUUUGAGCUUCAUUCAGUGUUUUGCUUGCAUAGUAAAUCACAUAGGGCUUCCCAUCUUCCCUUUGGCCAAGCACAACUCCUAUAGCAAAGUCACUGGCAUCACACAUCAGUUCAAAAGGUAAUUGCCAGUUAGGGGCUCUCACUAUUGGAGUUGUUGUUAAAAAUUUCUUCAGUUGAUCAAAGCUGUUUUGACAUCUUUCAUCCCAUAUAAACUUAGCAUCCUUAGCUAACAGCUCACAAAGAGGUUUUGAAAGACUUGAAAAACCUUUUAUAAACCGCCUAUAGAACCCUACAUGGCCAAGGAACUGUCUUACUCCUUUCACAGUUGUUGGGGAUGGUAAUUUGACAAUAAGCUCCACCUUUGCUUUAUCAACUUCAAUGCCUUUUUCAGAGAUGAUAUGGCCAAGGACAAUUCCUUGACGUACCAUAAAAUGGCAUUUCUCCCAAUUGAGCACCAGGUCUUUUUCAAUGCAUCUGUGAAGAACUGCUUCCAAAUUGACUAAGCAUUCCUCAAAUGUACCUCCAUAUACGGUGAUGUCAUCCAUGAAAACCUCCAUAAUUAGUUCCACCAUAUCACUGAAAAUACUCAGCAUACAUCUUUGAAAUGUAGCAAGUGCAUUGCAUAAACCAAAAGGCAUUCUCCUGUAAGCAUAUGUUCCAAAUGGACAUGUAAAAGUGGUUUUUUCCUGAUCUGCCAAAUAAAUUUCAAUCUGAAAAUACCCUGAAUACCCAUCCAAGAAACAAUAGAACGGAUGUCCAGAGACUCUCUCCAGCACUUGGUCAAUAAAUGGCAAUGGAAAAUGAUCCUUCCUGGUUACAGCAUUCAGCUUUCUAUAAUCAAUACACACUCUCCAACCUGAAGUGAGGCAUGUAAGUAACUUCUUCUCCUUUUUCAUUCUGAACCACUGUGAUUCCUAACUUCUUUGGUACCACUUGAGUAGGACUCACCCAAGGGCUAUCAGAUAUAGGGUAGAUGAUUCCUGCUUGAAGUAGCUUCAGCACCUCAGCUCGCACCACCUCUUGUAAAUGAGGAUUCAAUCUUCUUUGAAGUUGACGAAUUGGCUUUGUCUCCUUCUCCAUAUAUAUAUGAUGAGUACAAACUAAAGGACUAAUGCCUUUCAAGUCGGAUAUUUGCCAUCCUAUUGCCUUCUUACACCUCUUGAGAACUUCCAUUAAACAAUUCUCUUGAUGACUGGUCAGAGAUGAAGAUAUCACAACAGGACAUUGAUUAUUUUCUUCAAGAUAUGUAUAUUUCAGCUCCACAGGUAGAGACUUCAGAUUGAGUUUUGGAAUUUCUUUUUCAGCAACUGCCUCCUCUUCUUCAUUGAACAAAGGUAGAAUCUCUUCUAUCUUUCUCCAACUUUGUAGAGUAGCAAGCAUAGUAGGAGAUUCAGACAAACCUUCCUCAAAAUCCACAAGACUUUCAUUCAACUUGUCUUGCAUAUUUUGAUUACAGUGCUCCUCCACCAAAGUGUCAAUAAUGCACAGCUCUUCUGGACCCUCUUCUUCUUCCGGAGUGAUUUGCUUUUUAGACAUAUAGAAAAUAUUGAGAUCAAGUGUCAUGUUGCCAAAAGUGAGUUGCAUCAGUCCAUUCCUGCAGUUGAUGAUUGCAUUUGAGGUAGCAAGAAAUGGCCUUCCAAGGAUGAUAGGAACUAAAUUAGCUUCCUUUAUAGUAGGAUCUGUAUCAAGAACAAUAAAAUCUACUGGAUAGUAGAAAUUAUCCACUUGAACCAAUACAUCCUCAAUUACCCCCCUUGGAAUUUUCACUGAUCUAUCUACUAGAGAUAAAGUGAUUGCUGUUGGCUUCAACUCUCCAAGUCCCAAUUGCUUGUAGACGGAAUAUGGAAGCAAAUUCACACUUGCUCCCAAGUCUAACAAGGCUUUCUCCACUACCUUUCCUCCAAUCAUGACUGAAAUGGUAGGACUUCCUGGGUCUUUGUACUUCAAAAGAGACUUACAUUGUAAGAUUGCACUUACUUGCUCAGUCAAGAAGGCUUUCUUAUUUACAGUCAACCCUCUUUUGAUAGUACAUAAGUCCUUAAGGAAUUUUGCAUACGUUGGAACUUGUUUAAUCAUAUCCAGCAGUGGAAUAUUGACUUUCACUUGUCUCAAUACUUCAAGGAUUUCAGCUGCAUUUCUAAUCCCCUUUUUCCCAUGUAAUGCUUGAGGAAAAGGUGGAGAGGUUGAUUUCUUCAGCAUUUCUUCCUUCAUAAGUUCCUUCUCUGGAAUUGCAUUCAUUGUUGAAUCAGAGUCCUUCUUUUCUUCACUGAUCUCACUCUCUUUAUCUUCCAUUUCCUUCCCUUUCUUUAUCUCUUCUUCAUUAUCAACAUGUGGCUUGGGUGUUGGUUGCUCAAUUUUUUUACCACUCCUUAGAGUGAUCAAGGCGUUCACAUCUUUCACCUGUGAUGAUUCUCCCUCUUGGCUUUCCACUUCAUGGACACCUUUGGGAUUUUGGUGAGGUUGAGAAGGAAAUCUUCCCUUUUCUUGUAGUGUAUUCAAAUUUGUAAGCCUUGAAAUUGAAUAUUGGAUGUUAUCAAACUUUUGGUUCAUAUCAUUUUGCAUUCCAUCCAUCCUUUUAUUCAACAUACUCUCCACUCUAUCAAUUCUUUGAUAGAUUUGAGCAUUGGUGGCUUCUUGCUUUCCAACAAAAUCUCCCACUACCUUGCUGAGAUUAGCCAUUACUUGUUCAAGACUUGAAGAUUGUUGAGAUGGUGGAUCCGGCUGUUGGUAUUGAGUUGCUCUGGCCUUCCAUGAGAAAUUUGGAUGAUUCCUCCAACUUGAGUUGUAGGUAUUUCCAUAAGGCGCAUUGUUAUUGGGCUUGAAUUGCCCAAUAACUUUUGCUUGAUCUCUAAACAUUUCCCUUUCAGCUGAAAUUGCAGGGCAUUCCUCCACCAAAUGUUCAUAUGAUUGACAAUUAGGACACAGCUUCACUUGCACUGGUGCUUCAGCAACAGCUUGCACUUCAUGUAUUCUUUUCAGCUCCAGCUCCUCCAAUCUUCUUGUCAUAGCUGCCAACUUUGCUUUCAUAUCAUCAUCUUCUUUCAAGGUAUACAUCCCAGCCUUUGUAUUGAAAGCAUUCGGUUGAGACUUCAUCUUCCCCACUUCUCCUUUAGUUGGUUCAUCCCAUCCCCUUGAAACAUCAGCUAUAUAGCUCAAGAAAUCCAUAGCUUCCUCUGGAUUUUUUCUCAUGAAAUCUCCUCCACACAUUGUCUCGAGGAGUUGCUUCAUUGAGGAGGACAUACCAUCAUAGAAAUAGCUCACCAGUAACCAAGUAUCAAAGCCAUGGUGAGGGCAAGCAUUUAUAGCUUCCAUAUAUCUUUCCCAACACUCAUAGAAUUUCUCAUUCUCUUUAGCUGAGAAGUUUGAAAUUUGACUUUUCAAGCCAUUUGUUCUAUGAGUGGGAAAAAAUUUCUUGAGGAAUUCAGCUUGUAAGUCAGUCCAAGAACGGAUACUCCUUGGCCUUAAAGAAUUAAGCAAAAUUUUGGCCUUAUCCUUUAAAGUAAAAGGAAAUAACUUAAGCCUCAUCAAAUCAAUUGAAGCUCCUCCCUCUUGGAAUGUAUUACAAACAUCUUCAAAUUCCUUGAUAUGUGCAUACGGAUUCUCACUUUCCAUCCCAUGGAAAGUUGGUAGAAGUGGAACAAGAUACGGUCUGAUCACUAGCUGCUCUGUAGGGGGCACUAUACAUGAUGGUGCACUCAUACGAGGUGGAUGCAUACGGUCCCUCAUUGAUCUGAAUUCAUUGAGAUUGUCUUGACGACCUUGGUGACUAUGCUGAUCUUCAGGUGUAGCUUCCAUGAUAUUCAAGCUUACUUCGAAUUCUCUUCUCUGAGGUGUAUCACACUUAACAAGCCUUCCUCCACUGUCUCGUAUCCACUUUGGCAUACACAACUAGUAUCUAUCUGCAACUUAAUGAAAAUAAAGAACAACAACAGAAACAGGGCUACAACAACAAAAUUAAUCUAGGCUAAAUUUUAAAAUAUAAACUUAGAUUAUGAAUAAAUAAAUAAAGAAUGAGAAUUAGUAAAGUGAAAGAAACGUUACCAACUUGUGAUGAAAAUCACAAGUGCUCAAAAAUGGUAUCACUAUAAAUUUGACACCUUCCCUGGCAACGACGCCAUUUGAUUCGUGCCCAAUUGGUGUUUCAGAUAAUUCGUGUCCAGCUGGUGCUCCUUGAUUGAGGGAGUAAUCAACAAAAUUUAUAACCUAUUACACCAUAUACUAGGGUAGCAAAGACAAAGCUACUAUAGUAUAGCGGCUCUAGGAUCGUUCACUGGAAAGGAUUAGCAAGCUAUCAAUGAUACCAAUUCCAAGUGAAUUGGUCUUGUUUCAUUUCAAGGUUAGCUUAAGAAAUAAAACACAAACUUUGAUUGGUAAAGAUUUAAACUAACUAACAUAACAAGUACUCGGAAUAACUUAGGAAGAAAAGCAUUCCUUGGAGAGUUAGGUUCACUGGGGUGGUUCCUCAUGCAAAAGACAUAGCUCCGGUCAGAUGGUUCCUUUCCUCGUGUUAGAGAUUCAACAUAUAGUCACUUCUCUAACCGGUGUUGUACAGCUACCUCCUUUAAUUAGAUUUCACUUUAAUUCUCUCACUGAUGCAACUUGCAAUGGUUUAAGCCUCUCACUAAGCCUUAACCAUUCAAGGUGAUCUUUAACCUUGGAUUACCCGUCAAAAGCUCGCAAGAGAUAACUAAUGGAUGUCUCCUUGGAGUCCAAAAGCUUACCAAGUGUUGGCUAUUCUAGAAAAUCCUACCCUAAAGUCACCUCCCAGAGGCUCGCAAGGGGUAAACUAGUGCAUUUCCAUGGUUGGAAAUCACUUGCCUUACCAAGUGUUGGCCCAGGUGACUCUAAGGUGUUUUAAGUUAACUAAAAACAUAGAAAUCACUAAAGGAUUUCACUUCCUCUUCAUUACUAGCUAAAACCACAAAGCUUUGCAUUCUUGCACUUGGAACCUUCCCCGGCAACCUUAGCUCCAAGGAAUUAGAGGUUUAGUUACUCAUUCUCUGGGAAAAAUUCCUCAGAGAGUUCAUAACUUAGUAAGAAAAUAAAAAUACAAAGUGAGAAGGUAAGGCAAUACAAAGAACUGAACUUUACUUGUUUACCCAAAACUUUACAAAAGGAUCUCCUCUCUGAGAACAGGCUCCCAAGAGGUAUAUAUAUGAACAUAAUAUAAAACUAAUUAUUACAUAGAUAUUUUCUCUUUUUACUAACUUAAAAGCUAAGGAAUCUUGUAAUUGGUGGCUUACAAGGAGUAUUUUGGGAUUUAGACAACAAAAAUCUGAUGUAAAAUAUCUCCCAAUGUCGGUAGCAAAUAUCGGGAUGCUCCAGGAACCAUUUCGCAAGAGAAAAUGGUGUCUACGAGAUUUCGCAGGCACUCAAGAAGGGCUGCGAAAUCAUUUCGCAACAACAUGCUAUCUUCGCAGGGCUGCGAAGUUGGCUUCCACCUUGAGGUUCUUAGCUCCCAGCUUGCGGCAUAUAUCAGGCAACUUCAGAAGGAAAUACACCCUACUGUACAAAAAGGCUGCGGAAUCACUUCGCAGCAAAAGGGUGAUUUCGCAACACUUUGGAAAAUGCUUCCUUCAACUGGGAGUGAUUGGUUUGCAAAGGAUGCAACUUCUUCGUUUCAACUCCGAAUUGCACACCGUUUGAAGCAUUGGAUUGUUGACUUCCUGAGAUUUAAAAUGGUAUAUAGAAUACAUCAAUUGGACCUCAGAAAGUGCUCCAAAAGUGGCUGCUACGACUGUCAUCAAGAAUAUAUUUCUUGGUAGAUUCUCUUUACUUUUUCUCCUUGCAUUCCGGAUUUACUCUUGGCAAAUGACUUCCAAGCUUUGCCCAAGAUUCCUCAACACUCUCCUCAAUCUUGAAUUGCUUUGGUGAUUAAAUUACUAACAAAAACACCAAAACUUACACAAAGUGAUUAAAAUUGCUUUCAAGGGUCCUUAAUAUGCCAAUUGAGUUAAAAGGCCAAAACUACUACUCAAAAGCGUUUAAAAGGAUUAAUUAUAAGCUAUCAAAUAGCACUUUUUGAGUAGUAAUCAGUACAUAUGGUAUUGGAGUGUAGUUGAUUCUCUUUAAUGGAAUGUUAAAUCAAUUUCAAAUUUGGAUUUUGAUGGAGCAAAUACUCCUAUGGGUCCUAGUGGUUCUCGCUUUGAGCUUAUAUACUAGGUAACACAUUUUAUGAGGGUUGGAUUGACUCUAGGUUGAUUCUUGUGCAUAAGAGAAUUUUGGUAACUACGCAAGGUUGCAUAAGGGAUAAUGAACAAGGUAUUUGGUUUGGGCUAAUUGAUCAAUUAGAUGACCCUAUAUAGUUAAUUAAUCAAUUAAGAGCCAUUUUGGGCUAGACUAAGUGACUCAUGCCUUGAUGGGCUUAAGUCACUUAAGCACAAUCGACAACCUUAUAAAUACCCCUUUAUGGGUUAGCAUUUCCUAAUGACUUUUAAUGAGAGUUGUUUUCCACCUCUAGAGAAAGAGAGAGAGAAAGUCAUAGCCUCAUCCCUUUUGUUGCGCACACUUUAGAGUGCCAGGAUUGUGGUUCAAGUCAUCGGGUGGAGGAUCUUGGGUAUAUGAGACCUUCUUAGAUGAGAGGCUACAUCACAUGGACAUGCGUAGAGCACAUGCACAAGAUGUGCAUAGGCCAUGUGCAUGGGAAUUGCAUGACACAUGCACAUGGGCAGUAGCAUGAGGAGAGAGACUCUCUAGUUUUUCCAAGUAUGUUCUUCAUCGGAUGGAUUUUGAUCUGGGAACAUCUAAAUCACAUGUAUGAGUUUCAAAUCUCUAGAUCUAUAGUUAUUAAUGGUUUUCAUUGCUAAUUUAUUCCACUACGAUAGAUUUACAAAUGCCUAGGGAUAGAUGCAUGCACCCUAUGAGAUCCAAGGUAUAGGAACGAAGUAUUAAUCUAGUGGUUCCCAAGUAAUGAUAAUAGUAAGAUAUCAAGAUUGAACCUAGCACUAAUUAAACAUCUGGUAUUUAGACCUAACUCAUAUUAAUCUAAAUAGGAUCCAAAGAUUGGUAAAGUCUAGACUCUUUGAUUCCAAAAGAUCUUCUAGUUUACGAAUCCUAUAUAGAUGGUAAAAUGAUCAAGAGUACUAGAGGUAAGGAAUAUUUGGAGUUAGUGCAUACUAACAUGUAUGGAACUUUUAGAGUCUAUGCAUGGGGAGGGUAUGGGUAUUUCAUCACUUUUAGUAAUGAUUACUUUAGGUUUGGAUAUGUACAUAGGAAAUCCGAUGCCUUGGAUACAUUCAUUGAAUUUAAGGCGAGAUAGAAUAACCUAUUGGGUAUACAUACCAAGUCAUUUCAAUUAUAUCAAGUUGAUAUGUUUGGUAAGUUUGAUUCUUUCUGUUAGAGCAUAUGAUUAUUUUCUAGUUAUGUUCAUCAAGGUCUCUACUGAAAAACGAAUAAGUGGAAAGAAGAUAUCAAACUUGGAUGGACAUAGUAAGAUUGUGGAUAGGUUUCUCAUAUUUUCUCAAAUUCUUUUGGGGAUAUGUCUUAUAGAUUGUGUAAUUACUUUUUUUUUUUUUUUUUUUGCUUUCUUAAGAGGUGUAUUAGUUUAUAGGAUAUCUAAGAGGAUUUUUGGGUUAUAUUGUAGUCAAAAUCAUCAAAAGAUAUUUGUUAACAUAAAUGUCCCAUUUUUCAUGAAAAUUAUAUGAUAAGGAAGAAGGCAUAGAGUGAUAUCGAUUGGAGGAUAUAUUAGAAGAUAGUCCCACAUUGCAUAGGAUACUAUGGAUCCAGAGAGUUAAAGACAUACCAUUCCUAUGAUUUCUAGUACACCAGUACCUCAUCAUAGUGGGAAGUUUAUAUCCCACAGAUAAUGAUGAAGCGGUGAGCAAUGUUUAUGCUCACUUAAGGCAAGGAUGUGUGAUCAUGAAAUCUAUGAACCCAUAGUAAUUCAUUUAGUGAAAUUUGAGAUAUGGUCUUAGUGAGUUAGAGUAUGUUAUUUAAUCACAAAAUAAGAUGAUCUAUAAGUCAAAGAUUGUAAAGGUAGUCUUGAAAGGAUGAUAACUUUCACCUUGUUAGACUACGAACAACCAAUUCAUGGGAAGACUAUAUACAAUAGAUAGCAAGUCACAAACUUGAGCACUUGGUGUUUCGCUGUAAUAUACAUAGGGUUCUAGAGUACAAUUAACUCUCUAUAGUAGGAUAUUGAGUUAACUUUAGAAUUGGAUUCUAAGGGAUCUAGUAUUGUCCUAUGGUUCCAUUGGUCUCUACUAAAGCUCAUCUUCCUUGAUAGCAUGGUUUAUGAGAGUUGGAUAGGUUUUUAGUUCACUCGUGUGCAUAAAGGCAUUUUGGUAAUUGCAUAAGGUUACACAAGGGUAACUGUGCAGUAUCUUCGAACUUGGUUAAUUGAUUAAUUGGAGCCUUAUUUUGUUAAUUAAUCAAUUAGCAACCUUUUUGGGCUAAAUUAAGUGACCCACACCCCUAGUGGGCUCAAGUCACUUAAGCAUAGUAGGAGUAUAAAUACCUUUCUCAAGGGUUUGGGUUUCUAAUUCAAUCUUGUCAUUCUCUCCCCAUAGUCUAGAGAGAAAACCCUAGUCUUCAACCUUGAGAUUUCCAUCAUUUCAGUGCCUAGACUCAAGGAGGAGUCAUCGAGUGGAUGAUUAUGGGUUUAUAAGAUCUUUCUUAAAUUUGGAGCUUUCUACAUUAACAAGAAUUGAUUUGGGAACAUCCGAAUAAUACGUAUAACACUUUUCUCUAGAUCUAUGAUAUGUUUUUUAAAUACCAAAGUUUUCAACUAUGCUUAGAUCUAGAAAGCAUAAGAUAGGAUUACAUGCACCCUAAUAAUCCAAGGCCUAGGAAUAUAGCGAUCUAAGGUUUCCUACCAAAUAUAACCCAAUAAGUAAGAAUGAUUUAUAGGAACUAAAAUUUCUUUCAAAAAGAAAAGAAGUUUAUUGGAGUAAGAUAAGUAUACAAGAGAAGGAAAAAUGCAAAAGGAGUAGACAAAUACAAAGCAACAUUGGUGCAAAGGAUUACAAGCAAGAAUAAUGCACCAACAAGACGAGGGCAUUUGCUCUCAUUGCUCUUUUAGUAACUAUAAGAUUAAAAAUCUCUUUGAUAGCUUAAAUUAGUUGAAAAUUUUCAAAUGGAUGUGAAAUCCAAUUUUUUGAAUUGACAUCUGGAAGAAGUGUAUGUAGAAUAAACCAUAGUUGGUAUACAUAUAUAGGCAUGAGAAUAAAGUUCCAAAAUUGAAAAUAGCCUUGUAUGGAAUAAAACAAACACUAAGAGCAUGGAAUAAUAGAAUUGACCAAUAUUUUCACGAUAAUAAUUUUGUUUGAUACCUUAAUGAACAUGCUCUUUACAUAAAAGUGAAAGAAAAAAGUGAUAUAUUACUUAUUUGUUUGGAUGUGAAUUAUUUGAUCUUUAUUGGAACUAAUCCAAUCAUGUUUAGUGAGUUCAAAGAAGUAAUAGGACAAAAGUUUGAGAUGAUUGGAUUAGUCUCAUAUCAUACUCUCUUGCCAUAGACUUGAAGACAAUUGAAAAGAGUACUUUUUAUUUCUCAAGAAGACCAUGCAAAAUAAAUUUUUAGAAAGUUUAACUUGAAUAUGUGUAAUAUGGUAAACACAAUAAUAUAAUGCAAAGCUAAAUUAUCAAAGACAUGUAGAAGGAGAAAAAGUGGAUUCAACAUAACAUAAAAUCUUAGUUGGAACCAUACACUAUUUGACUCAUACAAGUUCAAACAUUCUCUUUGGAGUUGGAUUUGUCCAUCAUUAUAUGGAAGCACUAAUGAUUAUUUACACUAAGACCUCCUAGUGAAUUUUUCACUACAUCAACGACACAUUUGAUUAUGACUAAUAUUAUUCACCUUUAACAAUUUUAGACUUGUUGGAUAUAAUGAUAGUGAUUAAGGUGGAGACUUGGAUGAUACAAAGAGAACCAAUAGCUUUGUAUUCAUCAUGGGAGAGAUACCAUGUUCACUUGGACUUCAAAGAAGCAACCUAUUAUGAAACUUUCAAUCUAUGAAGUGGAAUUUGUGAAAAUGUUUACAAAAUCUCAUAAUCAAAUUGUGAAAACGUUUACAAAGUCUCUCAAGUUUAAUGAUUUUAGAAUGCUAAAGAUGCUACUUUUACAAAUCAAGUUGAAGGCAUGAGUGAAAAUGUUGACAAAGUUUAAAAUUUUUAGAAAACUAAGGAUGCAUUUUUACAAACCAAGUUGAAGGGAGGAUGCUAGUUAACCUAGAUUUAGGAAGUUUCUAAAAAUUAGAAUUUGAGUUGGAUUCUAAAAUGCUUGAUUUAGUUUGUAUAUUUGUUAGUACAAGAUUUUAUAUUUUACCAUUAUGAGUAUCUUUUUUUGUUUUUUUAGGAGUUAAUAUCUAUAAAUAAGAUGUUAAUAUCUAAAUAUAUAAUUAAAAUUGUUGUGUUUGCAAUUUUAAUGAAAUCUAGCAUUGGAUACUUAACUACAUCCCACAAAACGACAAAAAAAUGGUGGCGAUUUCAUGGAGGCUAACCAUUCACUAGCCUUUAGCCAAGUUGUGUUUCAACAGUAAAGUAAUUACCUCAGUCAAAACACAAAAUUUAGUUUUCUAAACAAUUAUUGUUCUUGGAAAACAUGCAAGGAAUUUAAGCAACUUAAGGUACUUAAGCAAUCCUAGUUGGACGUCCAGUAUUCAGAUCUUUUCAUUAAUUGGUUUUUCUCUUUUUGUACCAACACCUGCUCUCUCUCUCCAGCAUGCAAGCAUAAGUGGUAGGCACCUCUUUUGUGCUUUAAAUUAAUUGAAUACUUUAUCUUAUUCCGCCAUUCUUUUGGGUCUAACCCAAAAAUACAUUUACCAUGCCUUCUUUUCAUGUCCUCAACUUACUCAUAAGUCCCAUUGGAUAUGAUGUACUGAGUUUCAGAUUUUUCAAGUAAAAUUAUCAACAUCGUCUAGCAUAUAUACUAAUAGGUUAUACUCUUUUCAACAGUUUAAAUUGUUUUUGUUAAUAGAUUAUAUGGAUGUUUUAACACUCAGAGAAAUUGAAAUGCAGCCAAAUAUGCAGAAAAAAAAAAUGGUUGUGACUAAUAGUUAUAUUUAUUCUCUUUUAUUUCUGUUGAUACUCAAAUUUUUAGGGAUAGAGCAUCAACAAUCCUUGUGAUGAGUUACUAAUGUUGAGAAAAGUCAAUGACUACACAAUGUAGCUUAAAACCACAUAUGUCAUCAAAGAAGACAUCAAUAAUCACCCCCACACAAUGAUAUGUUGUAUAAUUCAUUACUUGUAUCAAACACAAAUUUCCUUCAAUGUGUGUCUAUGAAUAAAAGAGAGUUCUUGGUUUAUAUUCGACAUACACGCUAUAUAGGCCAUGCUAAAAGCAAUUGAUAACAAGAAUCUCAACACUGAAGUCCACGUAGAAUCAAGUGUGCACCAUAUUGGGGUUGCAUAGUUAGGAUACUGAAGGGAGCAUGAGCAUAGGAUGGCGAAAGUUCAAAUGAGAAGUGUUGUAAGAUCAUUGCCAAAGCUAUUUUUGCCUCCAUCAUUGCAAAAUUUUGUCCAAUGCAUACCCGAGGACCCCAACCAAAUGGGAAAAAUGAAACUUGGUUUUUUGUUGCCUUCAAAACUGCUUCUGCAAACCUCUUUGGAUUAAACUCCUUUGCAUCAUCCCCCCAAAUUUCAUGAUCAUGGUGAACUAGGAUGGUGGGCAACACGACCUGCACUCCAACUGGAAAACACAUGUCUCCCACUUGAGUGUCCUUAUAAACAGCUCUAUGAAGCAUUGCUACUAGUGGGUAUAACCUAAGAACCUCAUGAAAAAUCAUGGUAACCUGUGGUAGAGAAACUUUAGAAGUUGUUGCAUGAGAAUUCCUACUAAAAUACAUUCUAAAUCAGUAUGAAGGACACUGAAGAAUAAAGCAAUUUCUUAAAAUAGUGAUGCAGAAGAGAAAAUGUUCUAAAUCAUGCAUAACAAAAUAUCAAGUAUGCAAAGGACAUUGCAUAUCCCAUGCAUAUAACAACUUAAGAACCUCAUGAAAAAUCAUCAUAAUCUAGCAGAGGAAUUUGAAAUCAUGGCAUGAGAACCCGUUCCUGAGGUACUAAGUGAAAGCAAAUGUUUAGUACAAGAUAUAAAAACUUAAGAGAAACGUGUUUUCAAUUUUACUCCAAUUAUGGGGAAAAAAACAGAGUACUAUAUGAUUUUAGUGAGAAUCACUAAACUAAAGAUUGGAUUGAGUACUCACAAUUUUUAGGUGAUUUAAUCCAUCAGCUUCCGGUUUUUUAUUCCCAAAAACUGUAAAACCUCUUCUCUUGCACAAGCUUGCCAGUUUGGAUGCUCGCUUAGCAGGACCAUUGUCCAUACAAGCAAAACUGAGGUUGUCUCUUGGCCAUCAAGAGAGAAUAGCUUACACUCUUCAAUGACAUCUUUGACACUCAUUCCAAUCUUCUUGUUAUUUUGAUGUUCUUGAAUUUCUCUAAAAUUGGAUUCCAUUAGUAUACCUAAUAAGUCACUACUAGCAGUUUCGCCAGCCUUCAUUGCCUUCUCCCUAUUGCUAACGAUACCCCUCAACAAUGCAUAUACUUCUUUGCUUAUUUGCUUCAUCCUCCUGUUCCGUCUUUGUGGGUAAAAACCUGCGCGCAUGUUAGUAAUUCUAGUAAAUAAAACAUCACAUGAAACACACAUACAUUAAUUCUUAUUUUCAUCCAUGCCUUCUACUUCUCCAUUAAUUUUUUGAAACUUGUAUAAGGCUUCAAAGGUAGAAACUAUGAAGACAAUAACUAAUGGUUUCAUCUACACAUGUGUUGUAGUGGUAUCUCAUCAUCUUGACACAAUAUCCUACAAACAUAAGAUUGAGGAUACUAAACAUCAAUUAGAGAAACAUACUACUUUCUAAGUGUUAUACAAAAGAAGUAAUUGACUAAAAGGGGAUGAAGUGAUCUCAGAGUUGUAAAUCUAAUAUCUCUUAUGCUUGACCUUGAAAAGUAAUCCAUUUUUAACAUAAAUUCUCUUCGAACAUAAAUUCCCUUCAACCUUGUUAGCCAAACACACACUUGAGCAUUGUGAAACUUUCAACCUAUGAAGCGAAAUUUGUGUUGGCAUCAUUUGUAGGUCAUGAAAUUUGUUCAAGAAACUUAAAUUACCACACAAGAGACUGAUAAAGAUCUAUAUGGAUAUAAAAUCAACAAUUACCUUAUGAGAAAAAUCUAGUUCUCCAUGAUGGUGUUGAAUUUUGAAUUUUGCCUUAGUAUCUGCUGGAAUUUGAAUUUUGAAGUUAAAUUUUGUAGCUGGAGUCUUACAAAAAAUAUGCAACAUCCAAAUAUUUUAUUGUUUUUAUUUGGUCAAGAUUUGGUUUCUAUUUUAUUGGAAGUAAUUGUUCAUCAUCUAGUAGCUUGAUUUUCUAUUAUUCUAAUGUCAUUUCAGUUACAAGCUCAUGUAUAAAUUCAACACUCUUCAUCAAUAAAAUGUGUGUUCCAGCAAUCCAAAAAUAUAUAUUCUGCAUAAGUGUUUCAAUCUAAGAUCAACAGAUGGAAGACAGUAUAUUGAUACAAAAUAUCAUUUAUUAUAGAGUACAUUAUGAAAUAUGAAGUGCAAUUAAAAUUUACAAAAUCUCAUGAUCAAAUUGUGAAAACAUUAACCAAGUCUCUCAAGUUUAAAGAUUUUAGAAAGCUAAGGAUGCUAUUUUUACAAAUCAAGUUGAUGGGAGGAUGUUAGUUAAACUAGAUUUAUAAAGUUUCUAAAAAUUAGAUUUUGAGUUAGGUUUUAAAAGUUAAUUAAAAUAUUUUAUACAAAAUUCUUGAUUUAGUUUGUAUAUUUUGUUACUGCAAGAUUUUAUAUUUUACUAUCGUGAGUAUCUAUUUUUUUUAGGUGUUAGUUUCUAUAAAUAAGAUGUUAUGUAAUAGUUGAUCAAGUGUACAGGUGGAUGAUAAUAAAUUUUUUCUUAAUCAUCUCAAUUAUUUAUAUAUGUAAUUGCUUAUGUGUUUUUUCAACCACAUUGCUGCAACAUAGGUGAAUCUGCUGGUUGGUCUAUAAAAAUUCAUAUCAAUUGUUCAACCUGUUACAUUCUGUUAGGCUUAUGUAACGAUGUAGAUUAUAGUCUCUUUCCCUAAAAUUUCAUGGUGUUAACAUUUCAGGAAAGCAAAAUUUCCUAAAAUGGAAUAUGGUGUGCAAGGACAAAGAGACUUAUUAGGCAUCUAAACUCCAGGGAAAUCUGUCGAAACACUGCUGCAAAAAGAAAACAAAGCCCCAAAUAACUCUUUGAUCUUUUGUACCAAGCAGACUCGUGUAUGAAUAGUUUCAGAAAAAUAAGCUGCAUAUUUCUUGAAAUAUUUUUAUGCAUACCUCCAUCCCGGGAUAUAAACUGACAUUGUAACUGUUAAAAGGUAGUCUUUUUUCUUAUUUUUCCUUGUGUGUUGAAUACAAUACUAUAUAGAUUCAGAACAAAGGAACCUAUUCUAGCCUAUACAUAUCUUGCGGCAAAAAAUAAGGCCAUCCCUUGAAGUAUGGGAUUUACAUAAACAGAUUUCUAUACUUAUCUCAUUAGACAGCUCACGACAACACUCCCCCUCAAGUUGGUGCAUAGAUAUCUUUUAUGCCCAACUUGUCAAGUGAGUUGUAGAAAUUCCUUACAAACACUGCUUUUGUGAGUACAUCAGCCAACUGGUCUUCUGAUUUGACAAAUGGAAGCUGAAUAAUCUUUUCUUCAAGGUUUUGUUUGAUGAAGUUCCGAUCCACCUCAACGUGCUUAGUGCGAUCAUGUUGAACCGGAUUGUGGGAGAUAGCAAUGGUCGUUGUGUUAUCACAUAACAAGUUCAUUUCGGAACUAGGAGCAACAUCGAUCUCAGCUAGCAGCUUUUUCAGCCAAAUGAGCUCACAUAUUCCCUUGACCAUUCCCCGAAAUUCAGCUUCAGCACUAGAUAGGACAACUACUUUCUGUUUCUUGCUCCUCCAUGUAACUAGGUUGCCUCCCACAAAAGUAAAGUACCCAGCAGUGGAUUUCCUGUAUGUGAUGUUCCCUGCCCAGUCCGCAUCUGUGUAGCCAGCAACCUUCAAAUGACCAUUCUUUGAGAACAUAAGCCCUUUCCCCGGAGAGGACUUCAAAAAAUGAAGGAUUCGCAUUACAACAUCCAUAUGGUCUUCACUCGGCCGGUGCAUGAAUUGACUCACUACACUCACAGCAUAAGCAAUGUCUGGCCGAGAAUGAGAUAAAUAGAUGAGUUUACCCACUAACUGUUGAUACCUCUGUUUGUCCGCUGGUACCUGGUCUACAUAUUCUCCAAGUUUAUGAUUUUGGACAAUUGGAAUAUCAACAGGCUUACACUCUAGUAAUCCCACCUCUGCUAGCAAGUCUAGUAUAUAUUUCCUUUGGGAAAGAAAUAUGCCUUGUCUUGACCUUGCCACUUCAAUGCCCAAAAAAUAUUUAAGCCCCCCUAAGUUCUUCAUCUCAAACUCAGUUGACAAUUGAUCUUGAAGCCUGGAUAUUUCUUCUACAUCAUCCCCUGUAAUUAUCAUGUCGUCUACAUAGACUAUGAGGGCUGUUAUUUUUCCCAAUCGAUGUUUUGGGAAGAGAGUGUGGUCAGAGUUGCUUUGUUGAAAUCCAUAUUUCCUCAUUACCGAACUCAACCUGCCAAACCAUGCUCGAGGUGAUUGCUUUAGUCCAUACAAUGCUCGUUGUAACCUACAUGCAAUCUUUGCCUCUGAUGUAGCAGUAUAGCCUGGUGGAAUAUCCAUGUAAAUCUCCUCUUCAAGAUCACCAUGGAGAAAGGCAUUUUUUACGUCAAGUUGGUACAAUGGCCAAUCUAAGUUUGCUGCAAGAGACAACAGAACUCUAACAGUUUUUAGUUUUGCUACAGGUGAGAAAGUUUCCUGAUAAUCUAUACCAUGUUUCUGUGUAUAACCCUUUGCUACCAACCUCGCCUUGUAUUGAUCAAUCGACCCAUCUGCUUUAUAUUUAAUAGAGAAAAUCCACUUGCACCCCACUGUCUUCCUCUCUUCCGGCAACACACUCAAAACCCAUGUAUUAUUUUUCUACAACACCUCCAAUUCUUCUUUUAUAGCUUGAGCCCAUUUCAGAUCCGAGAAAGCUUCUUCAACCCUACUUGGAAUCUGACAUGAGGAGAGUGUAUGUGCAAAAGCUCUGAGAGGUUCAGAUAAUCUUUGUGUAGACACAUAAUUGGCUAUUGGAUACUUGGAUCGUCGUUCUUCUAUGUCUAGGGAGUAUCGAUUUGGAGGCUUGCCUCGAUUGUGUCUGAAAGGUAGAACAUAACCCGCAGAUGUAUCUAUAGCAUUAGUUUGUAAAGGUGUGGUAGGAGAGCUUACCUCAGGAAUAUUCUUAGUAGGAGGGUCGUUGGGUACUAACGAGUGAGGGAAUACAUCAGAUUCUGCAUCUUCCGAUGAUUCAGGUGCUGGUUCAGCUUCAGUUCUCAGAGGUUCAGGUACAGGAUCAUGUUCAACCAUGUCGUUGUCAUCAUUCGGAUGUGUUGGAUUGUCACCAACGUCUAACACUUCAACAUCAGACCAAUUCCGUUCUUCACCAUAGAUCUCCCCCUGAAGAGGGGAAUUGGAUAUCGGUGACAAAAAAAAAUUCAGAUUCAAGGAAGGUGACAUCCAUGGUAAUGUAGGUUCUUUUAGCAAUGGGAUCGUAGCAUCUGUAUCCCUUUUUGUGUACUCCAUACCCCAAGAAUAAACACCGGACAGCACAUGGGUCCAACUUAGUUCGUUGAUUUUUAUGGAGGUGAACAAAAGCAACACAACCAAAAAUUCGGGGAGGAAUCAUCAAAACAGUCGGUAAGGAGACAUGAUAAGAAAGCACCUUUAGUGGAGUCUGAAAUUGUAAGACUUUGGUGGGCAUACGGUUCAGUAGAUACACGGCUGUGGUAACAGCAUCACUCCAGUAUCUAUUCGGCACAUGUGCAUUGAUCAAUAGAGCACGGGCAGUUUCUAAGAUAUGCCUAUUUUUCCUUUCAGCAAUACCAUUCUGUUGUGGGGUUUGUGAACAUGAGGUUUCAUGGAGAAUACCAUGGUUGUUGAAGUAUGUCUGGAAUUAUUGAUUAACAUAUUCCCCUCCAUUGUCAGAACGAAUGAUCUUAAUUCUUGCAGAGAAUUGUGUCUGAACCAUGGCAUGAAAUGAUUGAAAAAUAGAAAAUACUUCAUCUUUGUGUUUUAGGAGGUAAAGCCAUGUCAUUCGUGUGCAAUCAUCAACAAAUAUUACAAACCAACGAUGACCAGAAGACGUAGUUACUAGUGAAGGUCCCCAAACAUCGGAACGUAUUAAAUCAAAAGGAACCAUACUUUUAUUCAUGCUCAUGGGAUAAGAAGCCCUAUGACUUUUGGCUAAGAUGCAAGUAUCACAUUUAAAACCUAAAUGUGUUACAUUUGAAAAUAACCCAGGUAAUAAGUGCUUCAAAUACCCAAAUGAUGGAUGCCCAAGUCGAUGAUGCCAUAACCAAAUCUGUCUCUCCUUGUUACCAACCUUGUGGUGCAUGUGAUUUGCUCUUCCCGAACUGAAGGCAUCCACGUAGUAUAACCCCCCCUCCUCUUAGUACCACACCCAAUUAUCUCAUUGGUGAGAAUAUCUUGAAGAAGGCAAAAAGUAGAAUACAUCAAUACCACACAAUUAAGAUAUGAAGUAACUUGGCUUACAGACAUCAAUCUAUUUGAAAGAGAGGGUACAAGUAAUGUAUUAGAUAAUGAAAGGGAAAGAGAAAAAGUCACUGUUCCAGCCCCUGUAACUAGAUAGGUGACCCCAUUAGCAUUUGCAACACAGCUCCUUCUCGGCUGAGUUGUAUUAGAGAAAUCCUUUGAAUCAAAUGUCAUAUGGUCUGUAGCCCCAGAGUCGAGAAUCCAGUCCUCAUCAUCCUUGUGAGUAGAGAUAUGAAAUGCCUUACUCGAAGUACCUGAAUCAUGUGAAGAUUCAGCUUGAGGAAUGAGGGAUAACGAAGCAUCACAAGUAACCACUGCAGCUCUCCUAGUGUGGUUAUCAUUAGCAAUGAUUUCCCAUUUUUUUCGUGCUUGAAGGUCAUUCCACCAAUCUGGAUAUCCAUGCAGUUUGAAGCAGGUGUCACGGGUGUGUUUGGAGUUGCCUCAAUGGGUACACUUCAUGUCGUCAGAUGGUGGUUUAGUUUUGGAUGAGGAGUUGGAUUUCCCGCUGCUUAGGGAAAGAGCUCCAGGUUUCGGUGGCAUCUGGUGAUGGCUGCCCUUGAUCCCUUUGGAAGCCAUAACUGCUCCUGGAGGAGUAUCUGCACCUGAGAUCAUCAAGGUCUGCCUGACCUCUUCCCUACGGACAAAUGCAUAGGCCUGUUCCACCGUAGGGAAUGGUUUAAUUUGUAGAACAUCACUCCGAGUUUUAUCCAAUCUGUCAUCUAGUCCAUCAAGGAAGGUAUAAACUCGAUCUUCUUGUAGAAUGGAAUUGUAUUUCUGUAUGUCAAUUGCACACUCCAUCGGGUUAGGACGAUGAAAAUUGAUUUCUCGCCACAGCCCUUGAAGGUUGUUGUAGUAUUUUUCAAUGGAUCCACCCGCCUGCUUCAUACGAGUAACCCGACGUCGGAGAUCAUAGAUGUCCCAUCAAAAUAGGUUAUAGAAGCAGAAUCCCAAACCUAUUUUGCAGUUGGGAAUCGGAUAAAAUUGGCAAUCAAGGAAGGGUCCAUCGAAUUGAUCAACCAUCCCUUGACAAUGGCGUUUUCGGUGCGCCAUCUCCUGAAUGAAGGAUCGGUUUCUGGAGGCUGAGGAGAAUCUCCAUUGAUAUAUCCCAGCUUGUCCUUGCCAGAGAUAUACAUCUCGACAACCUGGGACCAUAAGGCAUAGUUGGAUCCUUCCAACUUGAUACCGAUCGGAGUAGUUGACGAAUCAGCAAGCAGAGGUUGAGGGGAGGUCUGGGCUCUAGUCAGGACCUCGGUCACUCUUGUAGUUAGAUCGCUAAGGAUGGAAUCAGUCUGGGGAAUGAGAGGUUGUGUUAUGUCUCUAGAUUCCGCAAUGGAGUCUGUCGGUUCUGGUUUGACAAGAUUUGUUGUAUAUUAACGGAUAACCGGCUGGAAGGAAUCAGAGGGAAGCAGCGCUGGAAACUGACCAGGAAGAUGAAGAUGAUACCAGGUGGGUCUUCCGGAGUUUUUUCCUGGUCAUAGUGGCUGAGCAGAGGUCCUAGGGACGUGCUCUGAUACCAUGUUAAAAGGUAGUCUUUUUUCUUAUUUUUCCUUGUGUGUUGAAUACAAUACUAUAUAGAUUUAGAGCAAAGGAACCUAUUCUAGCCUAUACAUAUCUUGCGGCAAAAAAUAAGGCCAUCCCUUGAAGUAUGAGAUUUACAUAAAUAGAUUUCUAUACUUAUCUCAUUAGACAGCUCACACUAACAGUAACCUGGCUUGCAAAAUGUGUUUGUUCUUUCUGGAGCUAGAAUAUCCUUCUUCCUUCUUCAUAGCUACUACCAAAUGCUGUCCGAGAAAUCACAUCCCCUGUCAAAUUUUCAAGAUAGGGCCAAACAUCCAACUCACAUGAUCCCCCCACCGAAAGCAUUUUCCAUUUGGUCACCAUGUCGCUACAACUCAAAUGAAAUGCCGGCAACAUAUUCUAUAACAAAUUCAACCAAAAAAUAAAUUAAUAUCCAGUUUCAAAUUCAAUAUACAGCCAUUUAUCACUGACCUGUGAAAUAACAAUUUAACUAGUUCAUAAAGUAUGUACUACUUAAAGUCACCAUAUGUUAGGAAGAGUCAUAUGGGUGGAGGAUGAGGAAUAUUCAGUUUUACCAUGGAGGCACUGACUAAAGAAAUCAUAGAAAAAAAAUGAGCAUAUUCAUGAAAAGUUAGAUGUACUGGUAAUAUUAAUGAAAAGUUAGAUGUAUUGGUAAUAAGCAAGUAAGAUAAGAAAGUUGUUAAGAUCUUACUGUCAUAUGUAUCAAGUAUUUUGAUCCUUAUGGUUUACUUUGGCAAAUAAAACUUCUGAAAAUUUCUAUUGGAGACUGGAAAAAGACUUUAUAUGAGUAAGAAAAAAAAAACAAGGUAAAGGUAGGACACAUUGGGUAUGUGAAAAUACUUUAUUAAACUGAUCGAAAUAUUUGGGAAUUUCGAUAUUUAUACAGGUUUUUAGAAAAAAUUUUAUAAAAAAUUGGUAGUUAUUAUUUUUCGAAUACUAAUAUAAAUUUAUCUUUCAAAGACACAAUUUUAGUGUAGUUUUCAAGUGUUAAAAUUAUUUUUUUUAAAAGACAACUUUAUAAAAUUCAUUUCUUUUAACUUUUAAAUGAUAACUUUCUAAUUAGUAUCUAGCAAACUGAUGUAGAAUUGAAAAUAAUUUUUCAACUAACAUAUUUUAGAAGAUUAUAUAUAUAUCAACCUAAGAUACAUGAGAUGAGAAAUGGGUAUUCAUAACCUCCAAAUCUUAUAUAUAUUAUCGCUUAAAUUUUUGUUCCACUGCAUUCACAUGUUCAAUCUCUUUUCCAACAGUGGGAGGGCUAUGCAGAGAUUAUGGAACUGUAAUAUGUCACAAUUGAAACAGUUUCAAUUAUGGAACUGUUUGUUCACUUUCACAGUUUGUGAAAAGAUUAAAAAAAAAAACAUGGAAAUUAAGGUAAAAUAUUCUGGUUUGGAAACUGGGCAUUGAAAAUUACCUUCAACUUUUCUAGAUGGAAAGCUGGGUUGAUGAUCUUUCUACGUUUAGCCCAUCGUUCGCCUUCCAAGGUCACCAGACCAGAAACCAGCAACUUGCCAAGUGGGUGUGGGGGUGGCUUUUGAAAGACAUUGGACUUUAGCAAAACAUCCCUUAUUAGCUCAGGCUCCAUAAUGUUUACCAUUGGAUUUGGACCGAACCAUGCAAAGGAAUUUUUACCUGCACGUUUAUGCCAUUAUUGGAUAGUGUUAGCCUCAAAUUGCUUUUAAUUUGGACUUCACACAAAUUCAACUUUGGGUAUCAAAAUUUAGUUGAACCCAACUUGGACCAUCGAAAACAAUGAAAACUUCAGCCAUAGUUUCUAUGAUGAGUUAUUAUAAAUGGACUAAAUCAUUUUUUCAGAAUUGUCUCAAUGUCAAUUGAUAUUAAGGAAUGAACUCUAUUCAUUGUAGCCUUGAGAUUAAAUAAUGAAAUCAAGAGGGCUAUCAAUAUGCUUGGCAGGCUGGGUGACAGUUUUGGAUAGAUGCAACAAUUUUAAUUAUAUAUUUAGCUUUGGAUUCUUUCCAGAGAAUAUUCUGCAAUCUAGCAUGGGAUACUUAAAGACUACAUCCCACAAAAAGACAAAAAAAAUGGUGGCAAUUUCAAGGAGGCUAAUCAUUCGCCUGCCUUUAGCCAAGGAUUAGUUCCAAACAAAACCUUCCGAAAAGAAAGGGGGAGAGCCCUUCUGGAUGGACUUGGCAUCGACACAAUAGAAUUGGCAUCGAAAGAAAAAUAAAGAUUUAACCAAUUGAGCACAAAUAACUGACAUAAAAAUUAACACUUGAAAAAAAAAGUUGAAAAUUUGGCAUAAAUUAAAAGUUAUUCACAGCUCCCAGAAAUUAAACAAUUGAAAAGUAAAAACAGUACUUUUCAAAGUGGUUAAGAAAUACAGUUAGCAAAGAUUACGAACUACCACUGAAAUCUAAACCUUUGGUGUAAUUUAAAAAAGAGGAAAAAAACAGAAAGGAAAAGAAAAAUAGUUAGGAAGAGAAGAGCAGAAAACAAACAAAAGCUUUAGGGGAGUAUAAAAAAGUUGGCCAUAAUUUGAAGAGAUCAGCAAACUUUAAUACUAUGAUGAAAAGUAAUAAGUCAUAUCGGUACCGUAUUUCUUAAUGAAAUGAAAAUGGAAGGGCAGGACACGUGGAGUAGUAUCAUCGGAGAGGCUGAUUGGUCUUGAAUAUGCUUCUUUUAACAUCAUGGACAUCUCUUUGAAGUCCCCAUGUAAAAGCCUAUAAGAAUUCCCAGCCAGGCCUUGCUCUCUAAGGCAUCUUUCUAACCUCUUUGGCCUCAACCACACCCAAUUCAGUAGCCUCCAUAAACAGCUUAUGAGCACAGUAAGGAACCCAAAAGAAAUUGCAACUGAGCUAUGCUUCAUUUCCAGUUUGAGGGACUUCUAUCAGGAGAGGUAUGUUAAAUCACUUCAGAGUGAGAAAAUGACUUUAUGCUGCCGCUGUGUAUAAAUUGGCCCCUAUUCUAUUCCCUCGUGCCGGCAAACAUAGAAGAUUUCGUAAAUGCCUAAUGGGGAGAAGAAUGACUAGUAUUUUAAAAUCUAUAAAUUAUCUAUUUUAAUUGUCUCCAUCAAUAUGGCUUUUAAACUUCUCAAUGAAUUAUUAAUUUAUUCUAUUUGAUGCAUUUCAAAGUUUGUGCAAUCGUCACUGCUUAUUAAAAACUGUAUAUGCCAUGAAUGUAGAAGGCAAAAUUUGAGCAUACGGAAUAUGGAAUUCUAUUUGAUGGACCAGCUUUCACUUGUGAGUCGAUGGAGCAUGUGGAUGCUCACUUUCAGAGCCUCAAGGGACAGCUCGCAUCCCUCACAUCUUGGCAGAUGUCUCAGGGUGCUUCCAGCUCUACAACUCCAUCUGAUCUGGACUUUUUGAUACUUCAUGUUUUUUUGAUACUUUAUGUUUUUUUUUUUUUGUUUUUUGUUUUUUUUUUUGUUUUGUUUUGUUUUGUUUUGUUUUUUUGUUUUUGUUUUUUUUUUUUUUUUGUGGAUAAGUUUAUUUUGUACACCUAACCCAUGUUGGCUCAGUUUAUCACAUAUUUUGUUUGUCUAGAUGUACUUUUAUUUUCUUAUCUCUUGUAUCCAGAACCUUUUUUACCAUAUAUGUCCAUGUGUUUGCUUUUCUUUUCUCCUUUUCGUAUGCUUACUGCUUCAUCAUGCUCUUUGUCAUUUUUUGCAACAAAAAAGGGGAGAUGGAUUGUUGAUUUGAUUGAGUGUUUUGAUAUUCAUAUUUUUUUUACAUCUGUUUCGUGGCUUGCACCCUUACUCGUAUACCUAAUUUGAUAAAAUUGAUCAGUUAUCUUUCUUCCCACACACUACUUUACCUGGGUAUGUUGUUUAGUGUGUGGAAAUUCUAGGUACUAGGGUAUUGCUCAUUUUUUGGAUGUGGCUUCUAGUCCUUUGCACGUUAGAUGAUGAAUUGGUUUAGAUAAGAGGUAUUGAGAGAUUUGUAAACUCCAUUUGAGAGUAUUGAGGGGUUUAUGCAAUUUGUAGUUUAUCACAAAAUUGCAUAGGGGAGAGAUUGUUCGUACAUUAGGUGAUGUAGUUUAAAAUUGUCAAUUUUGUUCUAUUCAUUUUGGUUUAGGAUCUUUCUAGAUUGUGUCUCACUCCCCAUUGAAGACUCAAGGUUAUUAAUUGAUCAACUAGGAUUACAUAGGUAGGUGUAAAAAGAUUUGGGAAAGACAAGUUAGUGUUUGGUAUGACAUGGCAUGGAUUGAGUAGUUUAACAUUGAUGAGCAAAAUGAUUUUCUAACCGGGUUUAAAAAAUGCCUAAAGCGCUCAAUCACUCUAAGAGCAUUUGAGUCCUAGCAACAAAAUUCUCUAGAAUUUUGGAGAUCUGUCUUUCUAUUUUUAAAGGAUUUAUUUUGAGGAACUUUUUAGAAUUAGUCCACUAGGUUCCUAGGCUUAUAUAUACAUUGCCUAAAAAGGUUUUUGGUUUGAUGCUUUUGAGUUGAAAAACCUAGAUUGUCUUCCUAUUUCCAAAAUUCUAAAAGAAACAUUCAUAUUUACUUAUGCAUAGUUGAGAUGGAGAUUUGUAUCCUCCUCAAGUGCUGAAGUGAGAUCCUCUAUGAGCACAUGAGAUGUUGCAUUGUGGAAGCAAAACACAAUGUAAGUGUUAGGUAGUAAGUCUUAGUAGUAGCUUUCUAAUGCGACUCAUGGUAGCUUAGUUUUAAAGGCGUAUCAACAAAAUUUAUACCUUGAAUACUAUUACUAAAGUAGCCAAGCUACUAUAGCAUAGUGGUUCUAGGAUUGUUCACUGGGAAGGGUUUUCGCAAACACAAGUGAUAUUCAAAUUAGGAAAAUAGGUGAUUUUCUUAUGGAUGUUAGCUUUAAAAGAAGAUGUAAAUGUUUUAGAAAGAUUUAAACUAAUCUAAGCUAACAUUAAAGACUAAAAUGAAAGGGUGUAAAAACAAGUUUCUCAAAGAUAGGAUAGCUAUGCUCUGACUCUUAUGCAAAUUGGAAAUCUCAAGAUAGGCUCCUUGAGUUGGGGUUGCAACUAUGGUGAUGCUUGCUUCCCGAACCGGUAUGGAUUUAACAAAUCAAGUUUUAAUCCUUUAAAAUGGAAAAAUAGAUGGUAGUGAAUUUCAUCAAUGGUUAUUCACCUUAGACUUCCUUUGAAUGGCUUGUAAGAGAUAACUAAUGGUCUAAAGCCAAAAGCUUCCCAAAUAUUGGCAACUCAAAGUCAUUCCAAGUGAUAAACUCACCUUUCAAUGGCCAUUGAAAUUGGUUAUAACGGAUUAAUGCAAAACUUGGAAUUGAAAACCUCACCUUCCAAUAGCUCGUAGGAGAUAACUAAUGGAUAGAAAUCCAAAAGCUUAUCAAGUAUUGGCCGUUGGAAGUUGUCCAAAGGAAAUAAAAACCAAACUUUGCAUUAAUGAACCUUUAAUGAAAAACGGCUACUUUACCUUCCGGGUGCGAGAAAUUUCCAUGGGAUUGCAUCCAAGUCAUCACAUAACAUCCAUACUCUGAGAAACUAAAAGUUUUAGCCAAUCAUCCUCUGAAGAAAAGCUCUCAGAGGCUGUUUGGCUUCCAAGAAAAUAAAAUAGUAAAGAGAAAAGAUAAACGAGAGAGCUCUCCCCUGUUUUCUAAGUGUAAAACGUAAUAUGUAUCAUAUCCUUCCAAGAGGUGAUUUCCACCCCUUAUAUAGUCUUUACAAAAGCAAAAGCUUGUGAUUGGUUAGUUACAAGGAUAAGAAAGGAAAUUACAUCAAAAAAUACAUAAGAAAAUAUCUAAAUUGGAGUCGGCAAAAACAGAGCAAAAUUCGCACCACGCAUGGGCUGUGCGAAUUUUGAAGGUGUUGUGCGAAUUUCGCACAACACAAGGUGUCGUGCGAAUUUCGCACAACACAAGGUGUCGUGCGAAAUUUUCGCACAACCUAGAGCGGUUGGCUUCCGAAGGCCAUAUCUUCCUCAUUUCAGCUCCAAAUCAUACACGGUUUGAAGCAUUGGAUUCUUGACUUCCUGAGCUUUCAAAUGGUAUAUAGAAUGUAGAAAAUGGACUUCGGGAAGUGCUCCAAAAGUGCGAAAGAAUACUGCAGCUGCUGUCCUCUGAUUUUUUCACUUUGCUUUCCUCUUCUCCAUUGUUCUUUCCUUGCAUACUUUGAACGACUUUGGCAAAGGGCUAUGGAGCUCCAAAGCUUGGUUCUUCAUGAAUUUGAGCUUCCAAAAGCUUUGCCAUAACUUGUCCAAUUAGCUCCUCCAUCAUUUGGCAUGCUUGAAUUGAUUCAUAAGCUGAUAAAAACAUGUAAACUUGCCACAAAAUGGUUAAAACCAAUUACUAAGGACCUUAAUGAAUUAAUUGGGUUAAAUGAAUAUGAUUACUACUCAAAGGUGCUUAAAACCAUUAUAAUUAGGUCUACAAAAUAGCACUUUUUGGUAGUAAUCACUUUCAUCAGGUAAAAUUGAGUACAUACCCCAUUAUAUAUGAUGGAGAGCUCCUCAAAUGCAUAUCCUAGAAUCAAAAUCAAUUGAUACUAAAUUAACACCUAACCCAUAUUUCAAACAAAAUCUUGCUAUUUCACAUUUUCAGCACCAAUCCAUGAAAAUGGUGUUUUUGGGGAGCAAUUUCAAUUGAUUUAGAAGAUCAUAUGAGAUCUUACUCUUCCCAUCUUGAGACUUGAGACUUAAGAGUAAUCUGUUUUCAGAUAGAUUCAAUAUCACUAUUUGAUUAAUUUCUAUGUACAGUAUGUUUUUCUAUAUUUUAAACUCAUAAAAAUUCCAUCCUUUUAAUUCUAUUAGAAUAACGUAAAUCAUAUGGAAGUUAGAUUCUAAAUCUCCAAUCUUCACAUCAUCAAGUAUCAACUAUAAGAACUCAAACUCAACACUUUAGUGGCUCUAAAGAGUCUAUUUUAGUGCAUUUGAGGUAUUUAAAAAUGACCUAAUGCUUGUUUAUUGUGCAUCUCUCAAGUGUGCCACCAAACUAAAUUGCACACUCCCUCUAGCAAUUUAAAUUGACCACUUUCCCCAUGAUUCAAAUGUUGCAUGGCCCCUCAACAAUUGAACCCAACAAGAGCACUCAAGUUGUGCAUGUCUGUAACAUCUUAAUUGCACUUUUCCCUACCACUAUAGUAGUGUAUCCCUAGGGCCACUCAACAUGCAUUGUCACGCCCCAAAGCCCACUCCAAGGACAUGAUGAUCUUUUCACACCUAGCUCAAGCCCAAGGGCUCAAAGUGGAAACGACACAAACAUUUGUAUUGUAACUGGAAAUUUAUUAAUUACUAAAUUCCUGGAUCAAACAUUUUAAUUAUGCUUGCAAAUAGGAGAUAUAACAUAUACUUAUUUUCAUAAAAACUUUUGAGCUCAAAAUGCUAAUACCUUCAAACUUUUCAACAAAAAUUUCUCAUAUCCAUUUCAAAACAAUUUCUCAUCAAACCACUCCGAAUACAUUCAAAAUAUCUUUACUCUGGUUAUCGUAUGACAAAUGGUGCCCAAUUAGGUGGGACCUUGCAAUUGAGUAACUAGUUUCAAAUUUGUUCGAUUUAAGGUUAACAAAACCAAAUGUCAACAAUUAUAACCCAUUGACUAGGGUCAUAAGGUCAACUAUUAUAAUCCAUUAACUAAGAUCAUAUAAUAUCAACUAUUAUAACCCAUUGACUAAGGCUAAAAAUGUCAACUAUUAUAACCCGUUGACUAAGGCCAUAUAAUUCAGAGUCAAAUAUUUUAUUUCAUUAAUUCAAACUUACAAAACAAAACAUCAUAUCUCCUCAAUUUUUCAUUUUUCAUAAACAAAGAAUAUACUCAAAUAUACUUUCAAUACAAAACAUAUAUUUGAUUUAUGUUUAAAGAUAAAAAUAAUAUUUUUACACAUUUCAAAAUACAAUAUAAAAAGAAAAUUAUUUUCUUUUACAAAAAUCUGCAUUAAUUUCAUUUACCUUGAAGAAGCACUCAAAAUCUUAAAUUAUUUAGCUUUGAAGAAUUUCCUCACCUAACAUAAUAUCAUACACAAUAUUGAUUAUUGAUUGUUUAUCUAAAUAUAUAAAUUUGACAAUCUUAAAAAUAUUUUAUUUAGUAUUAGGGAUCCUAAUUAAUUUCUCAUGUUAAUAUUAUUACCAUCCAAUAUUAUUUUCAACUUCCUAAACAAUAAUUUAUUUCUUUUUUCUAACUUAUCUAAAUUAAAUCUUUUAAGAAUAUUUAUUUGCAUUAAACAUUAUUACUAUUAUUUAAAUCUCCUACGAAAACUUAACAAAUUCCCCAUACAAAUCUUUUUUUUUCCCAGCAACUUCACACCAACUCCAUUCAUUAUUAUUAUUUCUUUUAUUAUUAUUAUUAUUAUUAUUAUUAUUAUUAUUAUUAUUAUUAUUAAUUUCAAUACCCAACAACAGCUUAACCUAUUUCUCUUCCAAGCCAUCAACGUCCUUUUCUUCCUCAUUGUUUACCAAAAUACUAUUUACUUCCUUUCCUAGGUCAAUGUGCUGACCAUUUCUUAGUUUUUUUUUUCAACAUACAUCUUUCAUCAUUUUUUUUCUCCUCUCUAAAGUCAAAACUUUUAAUCUCCAUACUCACAAAUUUUAUGUUAUUUUCACAUCCGAAACUAUAUAUAUAUAUAUAUAUUUAUCUAGAUCUAUUCGUUUGAGCAAUCAAAAUUUGUCGAUCUCCAUUAAUAAAUCAAACUAUGUUCAUAUUUUUUUAAAUAUUUUUGACCUAAAUUAAUUAAACGAACUCUAAUCAAAGAAUAUCUAUAGUGUUCAAAACUAAUUAACGAAUAUAAAAUAUUAAUUUAAGUAUUAAAAAUCUUACUUGAAAAAUUGAUCUUCAAAUCCUAAACCUUCAAAUCUUAAACCAUAUGCUCUCUAAUAUUUCUGGUCUCUAUGUAAAAGGGUUUUCUGAAUAGAGAGGAUGGGAAAAGUCUAAUUUAUACCUAGGAGUUUUAAAUAAGAAAAUACCUUUUUGCCCUUAUUAAAUUACUUAAUUAAUUAUUAAUUUCUAAAUUAUGAUUUUACCCCUAAAUUGGGUUUAGGGCAUUAUAUGCACACUAUUCCCACUUUUGCAAAGGUUGCGCACCUGAGAAAACUCCUUUCAAUGAUUUGUUCACUCACCAAAGUAAUGCAAGCAUCUAAGCCUUAAGUCAUCAUCUAUACUAUCAAUUCUCCCAUACUGAUUGCAUUGAAAGCUAAGUGCAACCACCAACUCCAAGUUGACAAGUCAAGUACAAGAAAGAUGGCUAGUUGACUACAUUGACACAUGAUCUGAUCCUCAACAUGGGCAAGAGGUAGUUCUAGGAGAAUAGUUUGAGCAAUAAGAAUGGAUUACCUAAAGGGAAACCCAUCUAUAAAUAGAGGAUUGUUUGGGCGCGUGCACACAUACACACACACACACACACAUAUAUAAAUAUGUAUGUAUGUAUGGGGAGAAGAAAAAAAAAAGGAAUGUUGAAGAGUUUGAAUCUUUAAUGGAGGUGAUAUUAACCUUCUUAGGAUUUAGUUAGGAAUUUAAUUUGGUAAUUAAAAUGACAAUUAAUUAUUUGGAUAGGAUUUGUUAGGUAGUUUCCUAUUUCUUUCUAUAUAUUUUCCUUAUUUUUAUAGGUUUCCUAUAGUUAUAUAAAUAGAGAACAUUUUCUCUUCUUUUCCCUAUGAAUGAAUAUAUGACUAGGUAAAAUUAAGCUACACGUUUCUUAAUGGUAUCAAAGCCAAAUUCUAAUUACUAGGAAUAAUGGUUAAAAUAGCAAUGAUAGAUGCUUCCAAUUAUGAUAACAACUUGAAGGAGGCAGAAAGAAAACCUAUCCCUCAUUAGAAUUUUGUGACCAAUGGUCAUGGUCACUCUUCUUAGCUAAUUACCUCUCACAAAUUAACUUAAUGGAGAAAAUUAUCUUUAAUGGCCUCAAUUUGUCAAACCUUUCAUUCAUGGGCAUGGACAAAUUGAAUAUUUUAUUAGAGCAACAUCAAUACCACAAGGAAUAAUUCUCAUCAAGACAUAGGAAGUAGAUAAUGUCAUGAUUAUGUCAAGGUUGAUCAACUCAAUGGAACUCAAGAUUAGGAAGACAAACACGUUCAUGACCAUAACUAGAGAGAUUUAGGAGGCUACCAAGGAAACCUAUUACGACUUGGUAAUUUGCUCAGGUCCACGAGAUAGCCAUACAAAUAAAAAAUACUAAGCAAGGUAAUAUGAAUGUAAUUCAGUACUAUAAUACACUCAAAACUCUUUGGUAAGAACUUAAUUCGUUCUAUGAUUAUGAAUAACAUUGUGCAUAAGAUAGUGAAAUGUUCUAAAAGAUGAUUGAGAAGGAUUGAGUAUUUGCAUUCCUAAUGGGGUUUAAAUAAUAAAUUAGAUGAGGUUUACCUCUUUACUUAACAUUACCCUAGUUAUUACAAAACCAGUAAGCUUCACAUUUCAGCCAAUGAUCCAAAAUUCAAAAGGAUUCAUGGAAGGCCCUAGUGUGACCUUCAUCUCCUUUAAAUGCUUCCAGAAUUCCAAAUAUUCAUUGACAAGUGAUUAACCAUCAUCUUUUCCAAAUGCAUCUUUAGAUGUCAUAUACCCAAAGGUGUUCAAAUUCGUAAGAUAUUAACCAAGUCUAGAUAUUAAAAAGGUAUAUCAUCCUCUACCAUUAGAAAGAAGAACAUACAUUAUCCUCUAUUAGUGAAAGCACAUAUGUCAUCAUCUCAACAAAUCAAGCAUGCGUGCAAAUUUGUCUUCUUGGUCUUCUAAUUAUGGUCAAGCAAGUAUUAAUGAAGUACUUAGUUUGAAGCAUCUGUUUAUCAUCUAUAGUGGUUGUAGUUGCUAAUCCAAUAAUUGCACUCCUUUGAAAGUGGUACAAAUUAUUCUUCCUUAUUCCUUGCAUCACCACAAGUUUACUUGGCAUAACUUUCAAAAUCCCAUAUUUUAUAGUAACAAUAUUGAACCCUAUGGGAUCUAAUACUCCAAUUGAGAUGAGACACUUAUUCAUACUAGGAACAUACCAAACAUCACUCAAAAUUUUAGUUGAUUCAUCAUGAGUCUUCAACUGGAUGGUAUCUAUUAUUGUUAUCUCACAAGCAUUAUCAUUCCCCAUGUAAACAACUCCAUCUUAUAGUUCUUUAAAGCAAGAAAACCACUCCUUGUAAGAAUGCAUGUGAAGGUGGACCUAAUAUCCAAAAUCCAUUCAUCUAAGUUAUAAAACAAGGAUAAGCAAACCAAAGCAAAGUUUGACCCAUCUUCUCCAAACUUAGCCACACAAGCAUCGAAUACUAUUUCUUCUUUAUUCUUAUUUUGUAGCUUAGGACAAUCAUUAUUCUGACACUACCAAAAAUUAAGUAUGGUUGAACCAUUUAUAUUUACUUUUCUGACAUAUUUAAGUUGACGCAAAUUGAAUUGUCUGUCGCUUAUAUGUAACUAUUUACCAACAGUAAUUGCAACAACAAAUACCUGUCGGCAAAAAUAUUAUUGCAAUGGAUUUAAACCAUUGCAAAUGUUCAACUAAUAUACUUUGUUACAAAAGCAAUUUACCUAUAAAAUAGAAAAAAAAUAGUUUUAUUAUAGUGGAUAAUAAUACCACACAUAAUUUGUUCCAAAAAUAAUUGUAGUCAUAUGAAUAUAAAAUAUUUUCACCAUAGUUGUAUGAUAAAUACGAUAUAGCUAGUGACAAAACAAUUUUAUGAUUAUUUUUUUAGGUUCAUACAAUAUUUACAUUUUUUUUAAUCAUAAUGGUUUUAACAUUUUAAUAUUUUUUAACUACUUUUAAUUGUCCAUUUUAGAAAGAAAUACAUUAAAUAUAUAUAUAUAUAUAUAUAUAUAUAUAUAUAUAUAUAUAUAUAUAUAUAUAUAUGUAUGUAUGUAUGUAUGUAUGAUAUAAUUUAUGAUAUCGAAUAAUAAUAUUUAAAAUUUAAAAAUACAUUUUAUAGAGAUUUAUCUAAUUUGAAUGUAUUCAAUAACAUAAAAAAAAUGAUAGUACAUGUAUAAGUAUUUUUAUUUUAAAAUGUUGAUAAUUUUAUUUAUAAAUUUAUAUUUAUUUUAUAUUUAAUUAUUAUACAAAAUACACAAGAAUCAAAAUUAAUUAAUUUAUAAUAAAUUUAUUUUAAUUAAUUUAUAUAUAUAUAUAUAUAUAUAUUAGUUCAUGCAUGUAUAAUUUAUAUAUAAUAUGUAUUUAUAUAUAGAUAAUAUUUAUUAUAUAACUGCUUAAGUAUAUAAUAUUUCCAUUUAUGAAUCUUAUAUACAUUCUUUAUAUUACACAUAACAAAGUUGACUUGGAGGCACAAUUGCUUCCUUUCAAACUUGAGGUCAAGGGUUCAAUCUCAAGAAACAAUAUCCAAGCCAAUAUCCAAAACUAGCAAGGAGAGGAGUGUACAAGAUGCUCCAUGUGAAUGUAAUGAAAUCGAAAUUUCAUGAAAACCUAAAAUCUUUUAUUACUUAUAUUUCUCAACCAACUUAAUUUGUUGGUAAUAGUGAUGGUCUAAAUCCAUUGGAUAGUUUGUCGCUAAAUAUUUUUUAUUGGCAAUGGAAAAUUCCCAUCAAUAGACUUUUGCCAACACACCUUUCCUCUCCUACCAUGCGAUGGGAUUAUCAAUUGGUAAAUGUUUAUUUUGACUGUGCAUAUUAGUCGAGAAAAGUCAAAUUUCUUGUAGUGCAAUGACCCUUGUCAUGAAAAAAGACACAUUCAUCUUUUGCAAGUAUACAUUUAAAUUAAGAAUUGUCUUCUUUUCUAGGUUUUCAACUUUGAGAUUAGUCAUUAACUGUUAAAGCUUCCAAUGAUAUAUCUCUAUGAUCGCUAUGGUCCUUCUUCCUUUAUUUAGAGCUUAGCAAAGUGGAACACACAACAUUGAAAGUAAUCUUAUCCUUACCAUAAAGUAAGGUGAUGGUAAGAUCUUCAUACACAUCAAGAAACAAAUUCAAUAACAAUAAGGCCUUAUUCUCAUCUUCAAUGAUCUCAUCUAAAUUCAACAAAUUUGCUUCGAUUCUAUCAAAUGCGUGCAUAUGAUCAUUCAUAGACAUAUCUAGUUGAUACUAGAAGCAAAAAAGUUUUUUCUUCAAAUAUAGUUGAUUUUCUAGACCUUUUUUUUCAUAUACUUGUCCUCCAAUGUCUUCCAUAAAUGUUUUUGUGGAUAUCUCUUUCAUAAUGGAAUAAUUUUAAGCUUUAACAAGAUAUAAGUGGAUGGAACUAUAAAAUUGGCAAUUGAUCCCUUACCCAUUCUUUAGCAUUCAUGUUUUCAAGUUUUUCUUCCAAACCAAUAUCCAAAUCCUAUUGACAUAUCUAAUUAAUGCCUCUUAUUGCCACAUUCCAAAAGUACUAGUCCUAUCAAAGUUUGCAUUAUUAACCAUAGUUUUAACUAACGAAGUUUUUACCUUUUCUUUUAACUAGUGCAAUAACAAAUAACCUUGAAACCAACCUUGGAUAGAACUACUGCUCUUAUACCAUUUUGUUGUGCUUUAACCUAAUCCCACAAGACUUCCAAAAGUACCAAAUAAAAUACAAACUAAACUAGUCUAUAAUAUAAAGAGAAAUAUCAAGAGAAAUAAAAAUAAAGGAGGGUACACAAUAUUUAUGAGGUUUAGUAAGGAUGUCUUACCUAUAUCAUCAGACAAUGAUAAUCAAUCCACUAAUCUUCAAAUCAAAAUUACAAAAUCAAGUUGGGAAAGAUUGUCUCACAAAAUGGCUGCAAUUACAAAGAUUGACUGAAGCUACUCUAAUAACUUUGCUAAAGUCAUUCUCACACUACUAUGAUGAAAAGACGUAAGACUCAUUUAUAGAACCUAAAUAAGUCCCCGAGCCUUGACAAAACUAAUUCAUAAUUCCUAUGGACAAGGACUCCUAACAUAUAACAAAUUAUGAAAUCAUAAUCCUUAUAGGACAAGGAUCCCUAAAAUAUAUUAAACUCUUAAUUGAGCUAAAAGCCAAUACCUAAUAUAGAAGCCACACCAUAUUUUCCAUAACUCUACUAUGUAGAUGGUUGUUAAGAAAAAUUAUCACUUCCAAAAGUUAAAUAACCAUUUAUUUUUCCUUCCCUUUCCAUUCAUCCAGACAAUAACAAUAAAAAAUGUAGUGUAACUUUUGUUACUUUGCUACUUGUUCUCUCAAGUUACUUGCCUACUUGCGAAUGACCUCCACAAUCAAAUUAAGUAAAUGGAGAAAUAAUGUGGAGUUCCAAGAUAUAGGUAGAAAAGAGUGGAAAACCCCUAGUUCUACAAAAUAGUUUGCAAUUUUGUCUCUAGAUCUCUCAUUUUCGUGGUAAUGGCCAUUGAAGAUGUCAUCACUGAGAAGAUCACAAAGUGAAGAAGGCAUGACUGAGAGUUGGUAGAGUAGAGAGUUAAGGUAGAAAAUAGCAAAGAUAGGAUUUUGACGUUUUUAGAAUUUGUAGAUAAAAAAUAAAUACAAUCCAAAAAUCACUUUCAGAACAUGAUUUUACCUAACCAUGCCAAACAUAUAUUUUUUUUAUGUGGUUUGUAUUUGAUGUUCUCGAAAACAUUGAAUACAUUUUGGAUUGACUAUUAAACACAACCUUAGUAAUUAAAUCAGCAUAUUGAUAAAUUAUCAAGAGGCUCUUAUCAAUUUGGUCAACUCUUAGAAAAGUGUUGUUGAAAACACUAAAUACAAUCUAUAUAUUUAAAAAAAAAAUUGAAACAUGAAUUUACUUGACCAUACCAAACACAUUAUUUUUUAUUUGGAUUGUGUUCAAUAUUUUCAAAAACACUAAAUACAUGCAAUUUGAUUAACUAAUGAACAUGAACUUAGUAAUUAAAUUAGAAAUUUCAAAUGAAUUAAUGUCUUUUAUUUUGCAAGCAAAUCAUGAUUUUUUGUUUUCUACUAAAAUUUUGAAUACAUCACUAAAAGUAACAUCACCACUUUCUGGUUAGAAAGUUUUAAGAAGAUAUUUUUUAUCAACACAUAUUGUUGUUUGCUUUGAUGUCAAGAUACCAAAUCCUUUUUUCCUAAAAUUUUUCCUUUUUAUGCAAAUAAUAAAGUGUGGUUUUUUUCUUGAUUCAUUUUUUAACAUAGUUUUCCAUUCUACAUUGUUAAUAUACCAACACUUUUCAUUUUUUCUUGAAUUUUGGAUGUUCCUUCAUUAUUUGAUGAACUAUUUCCUUAGCCACAACCAUGAUGACCAUGACCAUGACAAUGAUUAUUUGGCUUCCUUCAUACCAAAUUUUUUCCCUCUUGUUGAUAUAUUAAACUUUGUUAACAAUUUUCUUUUAUUUAUAUAUUGAGUCUAAUACAUCAUACUUCCAAGGGUCAUAUUGAUGUCACUCAACUUCAAGCUACUUUUGAGUUAACUAUAUUACUAGGUAUAUGUGCAACAUUAGGUUGAAUUAGGGCACAAGGAAUGGCUACCACAUGUAUGCUAGGUGAAAUAUUAGAGUGUUUUUUUUCUCUUUUCUUUUUUUGUCAAGGUUAAGGAUUUGAGUAACUAAAGCCUCUAUAAAGUCUUUGAGGUAUCCACUAAGAAGCACAAGGAGUGUCGCAUGGGGGCUUGGAAGAAGAAUGUAAGUUACUUGUAUCUUGUUUUUAUAUUUAGUAGAUUGUUUGUGGUUGAUAAACUAUUCAUGUAACGACCUGCUCCCAACCAUGUAGAUAUUGUCCACUUUGGACCCAAAGGGGCCUUCAUGGCUUUAAAACGCCUCUACAAAAUUAAGAGAAGUCCAUACUUAUAUAGCGCCAAGAACUUCCCCCUCUAUCUGAUGUGGGAUGUUAAAAACACCCCUUUCCCCAUGUAGACACAAUGUCCUCGUUGUGUCCCACGGGAUUGCGGGGACAAACAAACCCCUGAACUAAGGUUGAAGAUUGACUUUGAUACCACUUGUAACAACCCAUUCUUAACCGGGUAGAUAUUGUCCGCUUUGGACCCAAAGGGGCCUUCAUGGCUUUAAAACGCAUCUACAAAGUUAAAAGAAGUCCAUACUUAUAUAGCGCUAAGAACUUGCCCCCUAUCCAAUGUGGGAUGUCACAAACACCUCCAUCCCCCACCCCAUUAUAUAAAUAUAUUAUUAUUAUUACUUUCAAAAGACCCUGCAACACCAUUACUCCAAGCCACCAACUACACCCAUUAUUAUUAUUAUAAUAAUAACAUUUUUUUUCUCUUGUUUCUUCCUUCUUGGACAUCCACACACAUCUUUUUUUUUUUUUUAUGACAUCCCACAUUGGAUAGGGCCAAAGUUCUUGGUGUUAUAUAAUUAUGGACUCCUCGUAACCCUGUAGAUGUGUUUUAAAGCCAUGAGGGCCUCUUUGGAUCCAAAAUGAACAAUAUCUACAUGGUUGGGAGUGGGUCAUUACAAAUGGUAUCAAAGCCAAUCCCCAACCUCGGUGUGGGGUUUGUUUGGCCCCGUAAGGGUAUUUGUUUGUUUGACCCCACAAUCCUGUGGGACACAACGAGGACAUUGUGUUUGCAUGGGGGUUGUUUGUGACAUCCCACAUCAAAUAGGGGGGAACGUUCUUGGCGCUAUAUAAGUAUGGACUCUUCAUAACCUUAUAGACGUGUUUUGAAACUGUGGGGGCCCCUUUGGGUCCAAAGUGGACAAUAUCUACAUGGUUGAGAGCGGGUCAUUACAAAUGGUAUCAAAAUCGAUCCUUGAUCUCGGUGUGGGGUUUGUUUGGCCCCAUAAGGGUGUUUGUCUGUUUGACCCCAUAAUCCCGUGGGACACAAUGAGGUCGUUGUGUGUGCAUAGGGGGAGGGGUGUUUAUGACAUCCCACAUCGGAUAAGGGGGAAAGUUCUUGGCUCUAUAUAAGUAUGGACUUCUCGUAACCUUGUAGAUGCAUUUUAAAGCUGUGAGGGCCCCUUUGGGUCCAAAGUGGACAAUAUCUACAUGGUUGGGAGUGGCUCGUUACAAUUCAUGGAUUUUUACACCCAAAAGGUUUUAAGCAGUUUUUUCAUGUUACAUUUUGUGUCAUACGUUUGAUUGAUUAUUCCUAUUCAAAGAAUUGAUGAAAACUUAAUUAUAAUUGAUAUAGCUAGGUGUUUAGGAAUGUUUCUAUUUAAAGUGCUUUUAAUUGAUUGUUUUUUUAGAAACAUUUUUUAAAGAAUCACCUCUCAAGAGCUUCUCAAAAAAGCAUUACAAGUGAUUUUUAACUUUUUAAAGAAUGUUUUCUAUGUUUUUCCAAGUGUAUAGUUUUUCUCUAAAUUUUUUAUUUUUAUUUUUUAAUACCAGAAGCAUUUUCUAAAAGUACUACUAAAUGGACUCUUAAAUUUUGAGGAUAUUUCACUUAGACAACCUAUUCAUCCCCCUCACUAUGUAGUUUUGUGUCUCAAGAUAAAAGUUCUCUCCUUUAUUUUAACAUAAUCUUUGUUUGAAGAAUUGUAUUUUUACUUGACUUUUGUUUUUAAUAUGUCUUCCAAGGCUUUUAAUGAUCCCAUAAAUUGGUCAAUGGCUAUAGAAUCCAAAUAUUUAGGCUUUUCAAUAACAAGAAAAUAAAAGAUGAAAACUUUUUUUUUUUUAGUUACACAAAUAUCAUCAAACUUUCACCAUUUAUUUUUACUUAAUUUACAUAUGUCAAUAUUUUUGAAAAAUAAUAAAAGAUUCUCUUAUAUUUAAACUUUAAAAUUCACUUUUAAAAGUAUGAAAUUGAACUUUAAAAAAAAAAAAAAACUUAUCAAAACUUUUAUAUUUAUUUGUAAUAUUUUUCAUGUUUCCUUUGACCUGGUUGCACUUAAAAUCAUUUCAAAGUUGUCUACAUCUAUUUCUUAAUAAAUGAGGUUAAAAGCCUUCUUGUCUUUCUUUCUUAUAUCUUCGAAAAGUUUAUUUAAUUUUGGGAUAGAUUGGUUUUAUCCAAUAGCUCCUUGUAGUUUUUCUCUACAAUCUCUUAUAUAUAUCUUGCAACCAAAUAAAACCUUUGUCUUGAUAUUCAAAUCGUCAAAAUUGUUAAAACUGUCUUUAUUGAGUUAAGCAACUUAAUUGAAUUACACGUCUUUUGAAAAAUAAAAUAAAAUAAGAAUCUUAUUAUAUGCAUAAAUUUCAUGAAAGUCUUGCAACAUAUAGGGGGUAGGCCUUGAAGUUAUAGUGAUAAUUUAUUCUACUAAAAAUUUUGAUCUCUACAUUGAUAUCAUUUUUUUAGGAGUAAUAGGGAUAAAUACACAAAUAAUAGUACUAUUAAAAGAGAUAAGUAGAGGAGAAAAUUAAAAGAAAUUUUUUGUGUUUUUAAUACUUUAAUUGAAGUAUUAUAUACACAACUCCAAUUACAAUAUGUUUUAAUUCACUUUUAAAAACUAAAUCAAAUGUAAUUUUUGAAAACUUCUUGAAACUCAAAUUUAGAUUUCAAUGUGUGAUUGAAUGAUAGGGAUGGUAAAAAAUAGGUAAAUAAAACAUAUGUAAUAUUAUUGUAUAUUAUUAAUUGCUUCCAUACCAUUAGCAUAUCAAUGGCAUCUUGCUAAGAAGAAGAACCACCGACAACAGUCCAUUAUAAUAGUUUCAGAAUGAAUGACAUUUAUUUGUUUGUAUUAUAUUGUUUUGCUAUUUAGGCCAUAUUCACAUGAACUGACUUUUUGUUUGGAGUAGUGUUUUAGUAGAGUAUUCAUAGUACACCUAGAUAUAGCCUAUGGGUUGCAUUAAUUAAUGGUUUUGGACCAACUUAACAAAAUUCUAUGCUAUCAUAAAUGCCAAAUUUUGGCACCCCUUGCCAAAUUUUCGCAUACCCUGCCAAAUUGAUGAUUUUGCCUUGCGAAAUGCUUUGUUUUCCUCCAUCUUGCUAAUGAUAGUUUUGGCAACCCCUUGCCAAGUUUGACAAGGGGUUUUGAAGUGCUCCAAAGCUCGGAUUCUUCAUGUGCUCCAAACUCUCCCUCAAUCUUGGCCUAUUUCAGUGAUCAAAAAGCUACUAAAAACACUAAAACUUACCAAAAAUUGGUUAGUAACAUUUGCUAGGUCCUUAACAUGCCAAUUGGGAUAAAAGGUCUAACUACUACUCAAAAGUGCUUAAUACAAUUAAGUUUACGCUUAUAAAAAUGCACUUUUUGAGUAGUAAUCAAUAAAGUAGUUGAUUGCCCAUGAUUGCGCAAUGCCAUCAUAAAGGAACCGAAUGCCCAACACACGUACAUGUGAGGUACCAUAUUUUUUAAGAAAGACAAGUCGGUUUGCAAUUGAUGUUAAUAUCUUUCCAAGGCAGAAACAUCAUUUUGUAGGCAUAAUUGAAUUAGUUAAACUUAAACCCCAAUUUGCAUUCUUUCAAGUAAAAUUAUUUUUAACCUAUAAUGCUCAACACUUUUAUGAGAAUCAUAAAAGUAUCAGAAUCAUAGAGAAUUAUUGAAAGUGAUUUUGUAGUGUUGUUGAUAAUAUGUCACAUGACUAUAAAAAUGCUUUUAAUAUUAGUAAAUUAUCAAAAAGGACAUCAAAUUUAAUUUCAAGGAAAUAUUAUAAUAAACUAAUACUUUUUCAUGAUAAAAGAAUUUAUAAACAUUUAUAGUAAAAGAAUAUAUAAACAUCUAUUUUACUAACAAAAACUAAAAAAUAAUAGUUCUUGCGAUUACAAGAAAAUUUUAGAAAAUAUUUGCAACAUGAUUUGGAUUAAUAGACAAACAUCAAUCCUAAUAUAAUAAUUUUUAAAAUAAAAAAAUCAUUUGAUUAUUUAUUCACUUAAAAAUAAUAAUUUUUUAUUACUACAAAAUUUUGAAAAAUACUUACAAAAAAUCUAGAUUAAUAAUGAAAAAUUGAAUAAAAACAUAUUAGUUUAGUUUCUAAAAAAAAAAUAGUAAUUAAAAGCAAAUGAGAAGACAAAUUUUCUCAUAGUAAAAAAAAUGAGAAAAUUAUAUAUAUAUUUUUUCAUAUUAGUGUUAUAAUAAAACAUCAACAAGAUAUAAAAUGACCAGCAAUUCGAUCACAUUCUUCUUACAUCUCUCUUACAUGAUAGAACCGUCUUUCUCAACUCAUGAAUCCACUCUACUCUCUUUUUUACUAAAGCAAAUGUAACCCUUGAUCAUCAUCAUAAGGUUUAAAUUUCAUAUCUAUCCUAGCAUUAAUCAUUAUUAAGUUGUAAAAACCAUCAAAGUAAUAACAAUGUUGACUUAUUUUUCAAGAGAAAAACUAUGCAUUUCUCAUAUUGUUCCACAUCUAUUCUUCAAAAAGGCAAAUGUUCAAUUGUUCUCCUCAAAGAUAUCUAUGGUUAAAUAUUUCCUUCUUACCUCUUGGUAAACUACUCCAUCGAAAUCUAGAAGAUGGUAACACUCGCCCUUCAAGGGCCUAAUUAUAUUAUCCAUUCAUUUAAGGAUAACCAACAUUAAGGUAGAUAAUAUUUACCUACAAAAAAAAAAUUAUAUAAGAUUAUGAAAAUCUAAUCACAAAAGUAACUUUCAUAUUUUUAGUCACUAAUCUCUAGAAGGAUGAGGAAAACCUAAUUCUAGCAUUAUUUUUAAUGCCUAUGAAAAGAUGCAUGCAUCAUGAGCAAAACCUUCCCAUCUAGCCAAUGCAAAUGUGAAAUACAUAUUGAAAUAAUAUAUGACCAUAAUAUUUUAGGUAGUUAUGCUUUUUGUACCAAUAUAUGAUAUUUGCCUAUCUCUAAAAACCAUAAUGGGCAUAUGAGUUCCAUUAAUUACCCCUAUACAAUUCUUAAAAUAUGGUCAAUAACAUCAACAUUUCUUAUUUUAUCAAGGGUCUCCCUAAACUAUGAAUCACUUGGUUUUAAAAUAUCCAUAGCUAUAAGACAAACAACAUCUAAUAUAAUCUCAAACCAUCUAGAAAUAAAUUCAUUGGAGUGCUAAAAUCUUUCUUAGGUCGUCAUGUUGUCAGGUCUAUGAACUAUUGUAGUGAGAAACAUUGCUAAAGCCUCUAUUAAGGGCAUAUCUAAACCUUCUCUUAGACCAUGCCUUUUAAUAAGUAUUUCACGACCAAAAGUAUUUCCUUGGGGUUCUCCUACAAAAGUAUCCAAUUUAUUAUAUUUCACGACCAAAAUAUAAAUUAACUAAAUAAACUUAGUAAAAAAAUAAAAAUGUAUCUUCAAUUUAUUAUCCCACCAUUCAUUUUUAGCAUUAGUGGUUUGCCUCAUAAGAUCCCACCCAAGGCCAAUCUUUUUCUGAAUCAAGGCAUUCCAAAGUUGUCAAUAUUUUUUAAGAGAACUUAAUAUAUUCUUAGGUUGCUUAUAUUGGUAGGUUCUUCUAGGUAGAUUGUUGAAUACCUUUGUCACUUUUUUCCAUCCAAUUUACUAAAGUGACUAUUUGGUCUAUUUUUAGCCAAAAUCUUAGCAACACAAACUGUGAGAUAUGCAUUAACAACAAUAUCAUUCAAUAUACUUUGCUUUAUUGAUCAUUUUCUUUACCACUUGUUUGUUGUAGUGGUUGAACUAUACUGUUAGACAUCUAAUAACAAAGUAAAGAACAAAGAAGUAUUAAAAGAAAAUGUUGUCAAUGUACUUUUAUAUUUUAUAGUUUAGACAUCUAAUGAGAACCAUAAAAAAGUGAACCUUAAAGAAAUUGGUCAACUAGAGGAAUAUGAAUCUUGGAAUACUGAAUAGGAAAGACUCACAUUCAUGGAAUAAAUUAAUAUAUAAUAUUGUAAUUUUAUUAAUUCUUUUCAUUAGGUUGCUAAAAGUUGAAAAAGAAUUCCUCAUGAAACGGAUUAAAUAAUUUCCUCAUGAAAGAAUCCAAUCAUGGCCUCAUUAUGAAGUACUGAAUUAACUCAAUGAACUUGAAUAUCAUCUAAUAAAUUCUUUCAUGGGUUUGUUUUUAUAACUUUAAUGUUACCAAUAUAGAAAGAAAUGAAACAUGUUUUAAAUAAUGUAAGAAACUAUGGUAGAAAAGUGGAAAUAAUUAAGGAUAAGAGGCUUUAUAUGAACUUUAAUAUUGUUAGUAACAGAGAGGCAAAUGAGAUAUCUCAAUAUUAAAUUAUGCAUAAUUAGUAUAAUUUUUUAAAAAUAAAUGGAAGAGAAUUUAGGAGGAAAAUAAGUAAUUAGAGUAUGAGAUAACAUGAAUGCUUAAAAUUGUCAAUCAUUAAAUUUAAGAUAAUUGUUAAUAUUUCACUACAUUUUCCAACUCCAUGAAUUAAAGCAAUGGGAGGAAAUGAGUUGGAUUUCUUAAUAGUAUUAAGUGUUGGAUUGACACAAAAUUAGGGUGCUAGUGGACACUUGAAAUGAGGACCAAGUAACAAUUGCAGAUAGCAUUUUACUCAUCCAACAUAGUUAAAAUUUUCAAAACCCAAUUCUUAUUUAGUACUUUUAUUGAAUAUAUGGGUAUAGUUUAACUUCAAAUCUAAUAUGAGUGUACUUUGAAUUUCCUAAAGCUUACAUGUUUCUUCACAUAUUAACAAAGAGAAAAGAUUAACAUUUUUUACAAUUACAAUUUAUUAGGACUCAAGGUUUAUUUCCUAAACUUUUAAAGUGGGGAAAAAAAAGUGUAAGGGAGAAAAAAGGAAAAGGAAAAGAAAGGAAAAACAAAAAGAAGAAAAAACUAUUAAAAGGCAUUAGAAGCCUAAGAUGGGCAUAUCCAUGAUUGAGGUGUAAAUGGGGGUGACAAUUCAUGUUGGUGGAUAGUGUUUGUGUUGUGUCAAAGCCUAGGUGUUCUACUACAUAGCUUAACCCAUCCCCAACACUACUAAUAAUCAGAUUAAGUUAGGUCUUCUAUAUGUCAAUAUGAUUAAUAUCUCAAGAAAAAGAUGUUUUUGUCUCAAUUGACCAAUCUAUUUAGAAACAAAUUUAAAAUGAGUCAAAUAUGGGUCAAACGUCUUUCAAAUAUAAUUAAGUUAAUAGUGGGAUUAUUAAAUAGGUUAAUUCGAGUCAAAUUCGUGUUAUGCAGGUUGACCAAAAAAGUGCUUAUUUAUUAAAUGAGUUAUAUAAGUCGACACAAAAUUUACCUAAACUCAUUUAUACUUGACCCAAACCCAUGAAAAGCGUGUUAGGUUUGUGUAAUGUCGGGAAUCGUAUCAAACUUUGUCAUCCCUAGGUUCAAACAACUCCAAGACCCUAUUUUUAAGGAGAAUAUAUGGACUUGAGAUUGCUACAUUAUUUAGACUAAUCCACACCUACUUAUUAAGGGAAAAAAAAUAAAAGAGGAGAAAUGUAGAGUAUAGGAUGAUGGGACAAGGCACAAAAUGACAAGACGUAGGAUGGUAGGACAUAGGAUGAUAAAAAUCCACUUCAAUUAAUAUUUCCAUAAAUCAAGAGUAAUCAAAUAUUAAAAUAUUUUAUUCUCCUAAUUUAGGAUAUAAUAUCUAUUCUAAAUAAAUCAAGAGCAAUCAAAUAUUAAUAAUAUUUGAUUCUCUUAAUUUAAGAAAUAAUAUUUAUAUUCCUUAAUUUUAGGAUAUUUAUUAUUUAUUUCUUCUAUAAUUCACAAUGCAUUCUUGUAUAAAUUUAUGAAAAGAAAUAAUAAAAAUUCAUUGCUUCUAUUUUCAAAUUAUAAAUUCUUCUUGGUAUUAGAGUUAGAGGAGGAGGCUCAAACUUGGGUUUUCUCCAAAGGUGGUUGAAUACCCUAAAAGACUUGACCUAUCCACACAAACAAUGUCUUACUCUUCAUUCAUUCAUUCAAAAAUAAAAUAAAAUAAAAUCCUUAGUGCUCUAGCUUUCCAUCAACAUUUUUUCUAAUUUGAUUUCAAUCAAGCUAAACACAACAAAUUUUCUACUAUGGGGAAAUCAAACUAUCCUCUUAGCUUGUGGCUUCGGUGUUUGAACCUUUCAUCAAUGUUUUACCCUUUCAUUGGUGUUAUUUUUAGUUUGAUUUUAAUCAAGUUAAACACCAUAAAUUUUCUAGUAUGGCAAAAUCAAAUCAUUCUCUUAGUUCAUGGUGUGUUCUCUAACAUCUCUUAGGUGGAGAAAGACUUGCUAAAGAAUUAAAUAUGAUGAGGAAAGCAAAAGUUUUAUCCUACAAUACUAGUAAUCAAUUAAUAAUAACAUAUUUGUCACUUCAUGAGUUCUCAAAACCAUGAUAAAAGACAUUUUCAUUAUGAUCCUUGGGACUAACAAGAUAUAUAAGGUAUAAACUUCUCUUAAGGAGUAAUUGCUUCCUAUUAUAGUUGAAAAAAAAAAUGAUCUCUUCAAGAAUAUUUAAGAGAUUUCAAAAAUAUAUAUGAUAAUCUCAUGACAAUCAAAAGCUAAUUUCAGACUAAGACAAAGUUUGUUGAUUCACUCAUGGUUUAGGAUAAUGGAAUGAUUUUUUUUAACCUACUAUGCUUUUCUAACCAAUUCAUAGCAACUCUUUAGGGACAUAAGCAAUCACUUACCACCAAAGGGAUGGAAAGAAAAUUUUUAUAGAGUAUGCACAAUUUUUUAUUUGGACAACAUAGUUAUGGUCAUAAUGGUUGAAAAUGCAUAAAUUUUAAUUUGAGGGGAAGAAGCUUUACACUUUCUAUGUGUUACAAUUCUUUUAAAAAAAUAUACUUUUAUGAUUUUAUCAAGUCCUUGUCAAAGGAUAUCUUCAUCAUGUUUUGAGAUAAGCUGGGUGUGCAUAUUCUUUCCCACUCCAAUUUAAGCUUGCAUAUUAAGAGAAAGAAUAAAAUAAGAUAAAAAGCACAUAGGAUAGCAACACGUAGGAUGAUAAAAAUCCGCUUCAAUUAAUAUUUCCACAAAUCAAGAGUAAUGAAAUAUUAAAAUAUUUGAUUCUCCUAAUUUAGGAUAUAAUAUUUAUUUUAAAUAAAAAACAAACAAUCAAAUAUUAAUAAUAUUUUAUUCUCUUAAUUUAGGAAAUAAUAUUUAUUUUCCUUAAUUUUAGGAUACUUGUUAUUUCUUUCUUUGUAUAAUUCACAAUGCAUUCUUGUAUAAAUUUUCUAAAAGAAACAAUAAAAUUCAUCAUUUUCAUUGCCAAAUUAUCAAAUCCUUUACUAAUGACCUUACGAUUAAAAUCUUGUUUGUUUGGUAAGUGUUGAACAAAAUGCCUUAGUAGCUACAAACGUGAUGGAAGAUGUGUGAAAGUUGUUGUGAACUGAGGAAGCUUAAGAAUCUAUUAAGAAGGUUGCUGAGGUGUGAAGAGAUGCUGAAAUUGAGGCUGUAACCAUAAAACAACUUAGUCAAUGAAGCUAAUAGAGUUUCAUAGAGCUGUUAUGCUGUUAUUGUUAUUUUAUAGGAAGUAGCUCUUAGUUCCAGCUAUUUUUUCUACUUUUCUAUUGUUUUCUAUUGCAAACUUGUGUAUAAAUGUUGCAUUGAUCAUUCAAUGAGAGUAGACAUUUUUGUUGUCUCAAAUGCAACUUUUGGUUGUUGCUUCCAACACUCUAGAUUCUAAAACCUAUGGAUUAGUAUCAGAGCCUUCUAUUUUGAAGGACCUGUGAGGAUUGAGUGAAGCCAAAAUACCUUCACACAUAUUGAACUCCAAAGCCAACAUAAACACACAACCUUUAACAGCUUGUAACUAUCAUUCUACAACAAAUAGAUGGAGCCACAAGCUUUUUGUCAGUACCAGUUUUCAAUGGUGAUAAUUAUCAGGCGUGGGCUAUUAGAAUGACAGUCCACCUUGAAGCUUUGGAUCUUUGGGAGGCAGUAGAAGAAGAUUAUGAAGUACCACCACUUGUAGACAAUCCAAGUAUCAAUCAAAUGAAGAUUCACAAGGAAAGAAAAGCAAGGAAAGCCAAAGCCAAGGUUUGCCUCUUCUCUGCAGUUUCACCUUCCAUUCUCACCAGAAUCAUGCAAAUGGAGUCUACUACAGCAAUCUGGAAGUGAUUUCGCAGCAUUUUUGUACAGUAAGGUGUUUCUCCUUCUGACGAUGCACGAUUUAUGCCGCGAGAAGGAAGCUAGAAACCUCAAGGUAGAAGCCAACUUCGCAGCCCUGUGAAGAUAGCUUGGUGUUGCGAAAUAAUUUCGCAGCCCUCUUGAGUGUCUGCGAAAUCUCGCAGACACCAUUUUUCUCCUGCGAAAUGGUUCCUAAAGCUUCCCGAUAUUUGCUACCGACAUUGGGAGAUAUUUUCCAUUAGAUUUUUGUUGUCUAAAUCCCAAAAUACUCCUUGUAAACCACCAAUUACAUGAUUCCUUAGUUUUUAAGUUAGUAAAAAGACUAAAUAUCCAUGUAAUAAUUAGUUUUAUAUUAUGUUCAUAUAUAUACCUCUCGAGAGCCUGUUCUCAGAGAGGAGUUCCUUCUGUAAAAGUUGGGGUAAGCAAGUAAAGUCUCUUUUCUUUCUACUGCCUUACCUUCUCACUUUGUAUUUUUUACUUAUUACUAAGUUAUGAACUCUCUGAGGAGUUUUCCCUAGAGAAUGAGUAACUAAACCUCUAAUUCCUUGGAGCUAAGGUUGCCGGGGGAGGUUCCAAGUGCAAGAAUGCAAAGCUUUGUGGUUUUAGCUAGUAAUGAAGAGGAAGUGAAAUCCUUCAAUGAUUUCUAUGUUUUUAGUUAACUUAAAACACCUUGGAGUCACCUGGGCCAACACUUGGUAAGGCAAGUGAUUUCCAACUAUGGAAAUGCACUAGUUUACCCCUUGCGAGCCUUUGGGAGGUGACUUCAAGGUAGGAUUUUCUAGAAUAGCCAACACUUGGUAAGCUUUUGGACUCCUAGGAGACAUCCAUUAGUUAUCUCUUGCGAGCUUUUGACGGGUAAUCCAAGGUUAAAGAUCACCUUGAAUGGUUAAGGCUUAGUGAGAGGCUUAAACCAUUGCAAGUUGCAUCAGUGAGAGAAUUAAAGUGAAAUCUAAUUGAAGGAGUCUCUGUACAUCACCAGUUAGAGAAUUGACUAUAUGUUGAAUCUCUAAUGCGAGGAAAUGAACCAUCUGACCAAAGCCGUGUCUUUUGCAUGAGGAACCACCCCAGUGAACCUAAAUCUCCAAGGAAUGCUUUUCUUCCUAAAUUAUUCCAAACUUCUGUUAUGUUAGUUAGUUUAAGUCUAAACCUUUACCAAUCAAAGUUUGUGUUUUACUUCUUAAGCUAACCUUGAAAUGAAAGAAGGCCAAUUCACUUGGAAUUGGUAUCAUUGAUUGCUUGUUAAUCAUUCCCAGUGAACGAUCCUAGAGCCACUAUACUAUAGUAGCUUUGUCUUUGCUACCCUAGUAUAUGGUGUAAUAGGUUAUAAAUUUUGUUGAUUACUCCCUCAAUCAAGGAGCACCAGCUGGACGCAAAUCAGCUGAGACACCAAUUGGGCAUGAAUCAAAUGGCGCCGUUGCCGGGGAAUGAGUGUCAAGUUUAUAUUGAUACCAUUUUUGAGCACUUGUGAUUUUCAUCACAAGUUGGUAAAGUUUCUUUCACUUUACUAAUUUUCAUUCUUUCUUUGUUUAUUUAUAAUCUAAGUUUAUCUUUUAAAAUUUAGCCUAGUUUAGUUUUAUUGUUGUAGCCCUGUUUCUUUUGUUUUCUUUUGUUUUCAUUUUUAGUUGCAGAUAAAUACUAGUUGUGUAUGCCAAAGUGGAUACAAGACAGUGGAGGAAGGCUUGUUAAGUGUGAUACACCUCAGAGGGGAGAAUUUGAAGUAAUCUUGAAUAUCAUGGAAUCUACACCUGAAGAUCAGCAUAGUCACCAAGGUCGUCAAGACAAUCUCAAUGAAUUCAGAUCAAUGAGGGACCGUAUGCAUCCACCUCGUAUGAGUGCACCAUCAUGUAUAGUGCCCCCUACAGAGCAGCUAGUGAUCAGACCGUAUCUUGUUCCACUUCUACCAACUUUCCAUGGGAUGGAAAGUGAGAAUCCGUAUGCACACAUCAAGGAAUUUGAAGAUGUUUGUAAUACAUUCCAAGAGGGAGGAGCUUCAAUUGAUUUGAUGAGGCUUAAGUUAUUUCCUUUUACUUUAAAGGAUAAGGCCAAAAUUUGGCUUAAUUCUUUAAGGCUAAGGAGUAUCCGCUCUUGGACUGAUUUACAAGCUGAAUUCCUCAAGAAAUUUUUUCCCACUCAUAGAACAAAUGGCUUGAAAAGGCAAAUUUCAAACUUCCCAGCUAAAGAGAAUGAGAAAUUCUAUGAGUGUUGGGAAAGAUACAUGGAAGCUAUAAAUGCUUGUCCUCACCAUGGCUUUGAUACUUGGCUAUUGGUGAGCUAUUUUUAUGAUGGUAUGUCAUCCUCAAUGAAGCAACUCCUCGAGACAAUGUGUGGAGGAGAUUUCAUGAGCAAAAAUCCAGAGGAAGCUAUGGAUUUCUUGAGCUAUUGAUUCGCGUGUAACUCCAAAUGGGUCAUUUAAUCAAAAACAUUUAUAAAACCUAUGACCUCAUACUAAUGUAGCAAAGCUACUAUAGUAUAGUGGCUCUAGGGUCGAACUCUGGGAUGGGUUUUCAUUCUACCAGUGAUAUACUCAAAAUUAGAAAUUGUAUUUAAUGAUUUCCUUAAUAAAAAACUUAAAGUUUAAAAGAAAAUAAAAUUUGUUUUGAAAGUGUUUGAAACUAAACUAACAUAAACUAAUUAAAAAUGGAAGAAAGAAAGUCUCCCGGAGCUAAGGGUUGCUAGGAUCAAGUUCAGAAUAGAAAGUGGAAAAUUCCGGAUUUUUCUCCUCGCAUUGGGGAUUUAACCUAUAGUUAUUUCCCGAACCGGUAUAGGUUUGAAAAUGAAGAUUUAAUCCAUAAAAGGUCAAUAGAAAUGGUAGUCAAGGUCCAUUAAUGGCUUAAGACACUAUGGGUCUUCACCUUGAAUCACUUUCCAAUGACUCGUACAUGAUAACUAAUGGACUAAUAUGGAUCUAGCAAUAAGCAUCCAUAAAGACCUGAAGCUUACCAUGUAUUGGUCAUUCAAAGUGAUUCUAAGGGAUUUAAAGCAAAACUUUGGAUUUAGAAGCCAUUUAUGAAUUCCAACUACCUGAAUUUAAUGCAUGGAAGCUUUCCACCUUUUCAUCUGGAAUUUUCACCUAGCUUCCUUUACUCCAAGAAACCGAAAGUUUAGCCUCUCAUCCUCCGGGCAAACAUCCUUAGAGGUUGUUUGGCUUCCAAGAAAAAGAAAAUAGUAAAGAACAAAGAGAACGAGAGAGCUCUGUAAAAUUCACAGUGUAAAAACGUAAUACGUAUUCUAUAUAUUCCAAGAGGUGAUUUCCACCCCUUAUAAAGUCUUUACAAAAGCCAAAGCUUAUGAUUGGUUAGUUACAAGGAUAAUAAAGGAAAUUACAUCACAAAAUACAAAGGAAAAUAUCUAAAGUGGAGUCGGCAAAGGGCAGAGCAAAAUUCGCAACACGCAUGGGUUAUGCGAACCAUAUGCGAAUGUUAUGCGAAUUUCGCAUAACCUCUUGUGGAAUGCGAAAUUUUCGCAUAACCUGGAGCAGUUGGCUUCCGAAGGCCAUAUCUUCCUCAUUUCAGAUCCAAAUCGUACACGGUUUGAAGCGUUGGAUUCUUGACUUCCAGAGCUUUGAAAUGGUAUAUAGCAUAUAUAAAAUGGACUUCGGGAAGUGCUCCAAAAGUGUGAAAGAAGACUGCAGCUGCUACAUCUUGAUUUUUUUCACUUUGCUUCUCUUUGCUUCUCUCCUUUGCUUGACUUGUCUUAAUGAUCCAAAAAGCUGUCAAAACAUUAAAACUAGCCACAAAUAUGAUUAGAAGACAUUGCUAGGUCCUUAACAUGCCAAUUGGACUAAAGAUGGAGAACUACUACACAAAAGUGCUUAAAACAUAAUGCAUUAAAGGUGUAAAAUAGCACUUUUUGGGUAGUAAUCAGCUAUGUAGCUGAUGUUUCAAGGGGAUGGGAUGAACCAACUAAAGGAGAAGUGGGAAAGAUGAAGUCUCAGUUGAAUGCUUACAAUGCAAAGGCUGGGAUGUAUACCUUAAAAGAAGAUGAUGACAUGAAAGCAAAGUUGGCAGCUAUGACAAGAAGAUUGGAGGAGCUGGAGCUGAAAAGAAUACAUGAAGUGCAAGCUGUUGCUGAAGCACCAGUGCAAGUGAAGCUGUGUCCCAAUUGUCAGUCUUAUGAACACUUGGUGGAGGAAUGCCCUGCAAUUCCAACUGAAAGGGAAAUGUUUAGAGAUCAAGCAAAUGUUGUUGGACAAUUUAGGCCCAAUAACAAUGCGCCAUAUGGAAAUACCUACAACUCAAGUUGGAGGAAUCAUCCAAAUUUCUCAUGGAAGGCCAGAGCAACUCAAUACCAACAGCCGGAUCCACCAUCUCAACAAUCUUCAAGUAUUGAACAAGCAAUGGCUAAUCUCAGUAAGGUAAUGGGAGAUUUUAUUGAAAAGCAAGAAGCCACUAAUGCUCGAGUCGAUCAAAGAAUUGAUAGAGUGGAGAGUAUGUUGAAUAAAAGGAUGGAUGGAAUGCAAAAUGAUAUGAACCAAAAGUUUGAUAACAUCCAAUAUUCAAUUUCAAGGCUUACAAAUUUGAAUACACUGCAAGAAAAGGGAAGAUUUCCUUCUCAACCUCACCAAAAUCCUAAAGGUGUCCAUGAAGUGGAAAGCCAAGAGGGAGAAUCAUCACAGGUGAAAGAUGUGAAAGCCUUGAUCACUCUAAGGAGUGGUAAAAAAAUUGAGCAGCCAACACCCAAGCCACAUGUUGAGAAAGAAAAAGAGAUAAAGAAAAGGAAGGAAAUGGAAGAUAAAGAGAGUGAUAUCAGUGAAGAAAAGAAGGACUCUGAUGCAACAAUGAAUGCAAUUCCAGAGAAGGAGCUUCUGAAGGAAGAAAUGCUGAAGAAAUCAACUUCUCCACCUUUUCCUCAAGCAUUACAUGGGAAAAAGGGGAUUAGAAAUGCAGCUGAAAUCCUUGAAGUCUUGAAGCAAGUGAAAGUUAAUAUUCCACUGCUGUAUAUGAUUAAACAAGUUCCAACGUAUGCAAAAUUCCUUAAGGACUUAUGUACUAUCAAAAGAGGGUUGACUGUAAACAAGAAAGCCUUCUUGACUGAGCAAGUAAGUGCAAUCUUACAAUGUAAGUCUCCUUUGAAGUACAAAGACCCUAGAAGUCCUACCAUUUCAGUCAUGAUUGGAGGAAAGGUAGUGGAGAAAGCCUUGUUAGAUUUGGGAGCAAGUGCGAAUUUGCUUCCAUAUUCUGUCUACAAGCAAUUGGGACUUGGAGAGUUGAAGCCAACAACAAUCACUCUAUCUCUGGCAGAUAGAUCAGUGAAAAUUCCAAGAGGGGUAAUUGAGGAUGUAUUGGUUCAAGUGGAUAAUUUCUACUAUCCAGUAGAUUUUAUUGUUCUUAAUACAGAUCCUACUGUAAAGGAAGCUAAUUUAGUUCCUAUCAUCCUUGGAAGGCCAUUUCUUGCAACUUCAAAUGCAAUCAUCAACUGCAGGAAUGGGCUUAUGCAGCUCACUUUUGGUAACAUGACACUGGAUCUCAAUAUUUUCUACAUGUCUAAAAAGCAAAUCACUGCGGAGGAAGAAGAAGGUCCAGAAGAGCUAUGUAUAAUUGAUACUUUGGUAGAGGAGCACUGCAAUCAACAUAUGCAAGAAAAGUUGAAUGAAAGUCUUGAGGAUAUUGAGGAAGGUUUUUCUGAAUCUCCUAUUGGGCUUACUACUCUACAAAGUUGGAGAAAGAUAGAAGGAAUUCUACCUUUGUUCAAUAAGGAAGAGGAGGCAGCUGCUGAAAAAGAAAUUCCAAAACUCAAUCUGAAGCCUUUACCUGUGGAGCUGAAAUAUACAUAUCUUGAAGAAAAUAAUCAAUGUCCUGUUGUGAUAUCUUCAUCUCUGACCAGUCAUCAAGAGAAUUGUUUAAUGGAAGUUCUCAAGAGGUGUAAGAAGGCAAUAUGAUGGCAAAUAUCUGAUUUGAAAGGCAUUAGUCCUUUAGUUUGUACUCAUCAUAUAUAUAUGGAGGAGGAAGCAAAGCUAAUUCGUCAAUUUCAAAGAAGGUUGAAUCCUCAUCUACAAGAGGUGGUGCGAGCUGAGGUGCUGAAGCUACUUCAAGCAGGAAUCAUUUACCCUAUAUCUGAUAGCCCUUGGGUGAGUCCUACUCAAGUAGUACCAAAGAAGUCAGGGAUCACAGUGGUUCAGAAUGAAAAAGGGGAAGAAAUUACUACACGCCUCACUUCAGGUUGGAGGGUGUGUAUUGAUUAUAGAAAGCUGAAUGCUGUAACCAGGAAAGAUCAUUUUCCAUUGCCAUUUAUUGAUCAAGUGCUGGAGAGAGUCUCUGGACAUCCAUUCUAUUGUUUCUUGGAUGGGUAUUCAGGGUAUUUUCAUAUUGAAAUUGAUUUGGCAGAUCAAGAAAAGACCACUUUUACAUGUCCAUUUGAAACAUAUGCUUAUAGAAGAAUGCCUUUUGGUUUAUGCAAUGCACUUGCUACAUUUCAAAGAUGUAUGUUGAGUAUUUUCAGUGAUAUGGUGGAGCGAAUUAUGGAGGUUUUCAUGGAUGACAUCACCGUAUAUGGAGGUACAUUUGAGGAAUGCUUGGUUAAUUUGGAAACAGUUCUUCAUAGAUGCAUUGAAAAAGACCUGGUGCUGAACUGGGAGAAAUGCCAUUUUAUGGUACGACAAGGAAUUGUCCUUGGCCAUAUCAUCUCUGAAAAAGGCAUUGAAGUUGAUAAAGCAAAGGUGGAGCUUAUUGUCAAAUUACCAUCUCCAACAACUAUAAAAGGAGUAAGGCAGUUCCUUGGCCAUGCAGGGUUCUAUAGGAGGUUUAUAAAAGGUUUUUCAAGUCUUUCAAAACCUCUUUGUGAGCUGUUAGCUAAGGAUGCUAAGUUUAUAUGGGAUGAAAGGUGUCAGAAUAGCUUUGAUCAACUGAAGAAAUUUUUAACAACAACUCCAAUAGUGAGAGCCCCUAACUGGCAAUUACCUUUUGAAUUGAUGUGUGAUGCCAAUGACUUUGCUAUAGGAGCUGUGCUUGGCCAAAGAGAAGAUGGGAAGCCCUAUGUGAUUUACUAUGCAAGUAAAACACUAAAUGAAGCUCAGAGGAACUACACAACUACAGAAAAAGAAUUGUUAGCUAUGGUAUUUGCUUUGGACAAAUUUCGUGCUUAUUUAGUGGGGUCUUUCAUCAUAGUCUUCACUGACCAUUCAGCCUUAAAGUAUUUAUUGACAAAGCAAGAUGCAAAAGCAAGGUUGAUUAGAUGGAUUCUUUUGUUACAAGAAUUCGAUCUUCAAAUCAAAGAUAAGAAAGGAGUGGAGAAUAUGGUAGCUGACCACUUGUCAAGGUUAGUUAUAGCACAUAACUCCCAUCCCUUGCCUAUCAAUGAUGAUUUUCCUGAAGAAUCACUCAUGUUCCUAGUGAAAACUCCUUGGUAUGCUCAUAUUGCUAAUUAUUUAGUAACUGGUGAAAUUCCAAGUGAGUGGAAUGCACAGGACAGGAAGCACUUCUUUGCCAAAAUUCAUUCUUAUUAUUGGGAAGAGCCCUUUCUCUUUAAGUAUUGUGCAGAUCAGAUUAUUAGAAAGUGUGUCCCUGAAGAUGAGCAGCAAGGGAUUCUAUCUCAUUGUCAUGAGAAUGCAUGUGGAGGCCACUUUGCCUCUCAGAAAACAGCCAUGAAGGUAUUGCAAUCAGGGUUUACUUGGCCAUCUCUUUUCAAAGAUGCCCACAUCAUGUGUAGGAAUUGUGAUAGAUGCCAAAGGCUUGGAAAGCUAACAAAAAGAAAUCAAAUGCCUAUGAACCCCAUUAUGAUAGUUGAGUUAUUUGAUGUAUGGGGCAUUGACUUCAUGGGACCUUUCCCAAUGUCUUUUGGUAAUUCUUACAUUUUGGUGGGGGUGGAUUAUGUUUCUAAAUGGGUUGAGGCAAUCCCCUGUAAACAAAAUGAUCACAGGGUGGUUCUCAAGUUUCUUAAAGAGAACAUUUUCUCAAGAUUUGGGGUGCCCAAGGCCAUAAUCAGUGAUGGAGGUGCUCAUUUUUGCAACAAACCUUUUGAAGCUCUGUUAUCCAAGUAUGGAGUGAAGCAUAAGGUGGCUACACCUUAUCAUCCUCAGACUUCCGGGCAAGUUGAGCUAGCUAACAGGGAAAUAAAGAACAUCUUGAUGAAAGUGGUGAAUUCCAAUAGAAAGGAUUGGUCUAUUAGGCUUCAUGAUUCAUUGUGGGUAUAUAGAACAGCUUAUAAGACUAUUCUUGGGAUGUCUCCCUAUCGUCUUGUCUAUAGUAAAGCAUGCCAUCUCCCUGUGGAAGUUGAAUACAAAGCUUGGUGGGCAAUAAAGAAGCUGAACAUGGACUUGAUCAAGGUAGGAGAAAAGAGAUUUCUAGACCUUAAUGAGAUGGAGGAAUUAAGAAAUAAUGCUUAUAUCAAUUCCAAAGUUGCAAAACAGAGGAUGAAGAAGUGGCAUGAUCAACUCAUCUCCAACAAGGAAUUUCAGGAAGGGCAAAGAGUUUUGAUGUAUGACACAAGACUCCAUAUCUUUCCUGGGAAACUCAAGUCAAGGUGGAUAGGCCCGUUCAUUAUUCACCGAGUAUAUUCCAAUGGAGUGGUGGAAUUAUUGAAUUCCAAUGGCAAGGAUAGCUUUAAAGUCAAUGGAUAUCGUCUCAGGCCAUUCUUGGAGCCAUUCAAACCAGAAAAGGAGGAGAUCAACCUCCUUGAACCUCAAAAAGCUUAAGUGAAAAAGGGUUUGCUGGACGUGGUUUUACCACAGUCCAAAAUUUUUGUAAAUUUUGUAAAUUUUCAAGUUGUUUCCAUACUUUUGAUCUUAGUUUUUGAUCUUAAAUCAUGUUUUUAGGUGUGUUUUAAUUGUUUUGAAUGAUCCCAGGUGGAAGAAAUUUCAAGGAAAUUGAAAGAAAAAAAAAAUCAGGUCGAAAUCGGAGCCAAAAUAGAGUAAAAACAGGGGAAAAACAAAGCUCUGCGAAAUGAGCAUUUUGUUGCCAAACCAUUCCGCAACACUGUAGAAGUCUCUGCAAGGGUAUUUCGCAGUUGCGAAAGCAAAUUUGGCACACGAGUGCCACUUCGCAGUACAGUAGCAUCCAUUUGGCAGCUGCGAAACGCAUUGCGAAGGGAAAAAGCGUGAUUUCGCACCAAAAGUCCCAUUCCGCAGGGUAUUUCGCAAUUGCGAAAGUGGUUUUGGCACACGAGUGCCACUUCGCAGCAUAGGAACUCUCAUUUCGUAGCUGCGAAACUCACUGCGAAGUUGCUGCAAAAAUGGCAUUUUGCUGUGAAAUUGACGUUUUGUUGCGAAACUUAAACUGACCCUUAGGCUUCCAUUUUUCCUAUUUAUACCGAUCAUUUGAGCUGCGAAAAGGGUUUCAAAAAUCAGAGCGCCAUUUUCGCAGACCUUUCAUCUUCUUCCUUGAGCCACGCCGUCCGAGCCUCCGGUCAUCUCCUCCGAUUAGCAACGCCGGCCAAAGUUUGGUAUCCCGAAAUGGCACGAACACGAGAGGCUAAGUCUUCAUCUUCUUCGAACCACAAGAAGAGUCUGCGAAAGGAGCCAAGUCUAGGUUCUGCUCCAGAGCCUUCGCCGUCAAGGCCAAAUCCUCCUCCGGUGAAGCCCGCGCCACCAAAGCCACCUGCAAGACGAUACCUUACCAGGUCAGGAGGUCGGCCAUUGCAGAAGAAACCCAGGGUGGAGAGCUCAGAACCCAUCGAUUUGACUGAGCAAUCUCCAGAGCCUUCACCAAUUCCAUCACCGGUUCAAACUCCAGUGCCGUCUCCAGUUCCCUCGCCUAGUCCCCUGCCAGUUCCAUCGCCGGUACCAUCUCCGGCACCGCAAGAAAAAUCUCAGGAGCCUCAAGCGCCACUUCCCGAGCCCCAAAUUCAAGCUGAAACAGCUCUGGAAGAAGUAAUCUGGAGGCCAAUGCUACCUCAGCCCCCAAUUGAGGGAAACUUGGAUUGUAGAACACGGGCAUUUCACUCCGAGCUUUGCUUUGACUUACCGGCAUUCAGAGUGAGGCUGGAGCUUGCCCAAUCAUUCCAGCUGCUGAGAAGGUACCAUAUGGAGCAACUGCUAGCUCCAAGAGACUUUUUCUAUCCCCGGAUAGCCACGGAUUUCUACCAAUCCAUGACAACCAAAGAGGUAAGGAAUCCGACUUUGAUUCAUUUCACAAUCGAUGGGAGACAUGGCAUAUUGGGAGCACGACAUAUUGCUGAAGCCCUGCAAAUUCCCUUUGAGCCAACCCAAUUCGAUAAUUUUACAGCUUGGGCAAAUCCUACUGAGCUAAAGAUGGUGCGCACCCUUUCCAGAGGAGCUGCAAAUCGAUCACAUCUGUUGAGGGGGGAGCUUCCUCCAGUUAUGUUUUUGAUUGAUGCCUUUUUGCGUCAUAAUAUAUACCCAUUGCAGCAUUGGACCCAAAGAAGGGGAGUCCUCCUGGAAGCUCUUUAUAAGAUGUCAGAAGGAUUUUUCUUUGGGCCUCAUCAUCUGAUCAUGGCAGCCCUUCUCUAUUUUGAAGAGAAGGCUCAUAAAAGGAAGCUUCAGAGAGCAUAUUGCAUUCCCCUCCUCUUCCCAAGGCUGCUAUGCCCAAUUUUGGAGCAUCUGGGAUACCCCUCUGAGCCUCAGCUGGAGAGAAAGCGAAUUUGCCGUGAGCCAUUCACUCUUGAUAAAUGGAAUAAUAUGACGGCCUACAAAGUUGAUCAGCCUGGGCAGCCUCAACCAGCUGCAAGGAGAGCCUCCCCAAGACAUAUACCUGAAGGUAUAACAGUUGCUACUCCUGCCAUUCCUAGAGCUCCACCAGUUGCACCUGCUUCAUUUCAGCCAUCCACAUCAGCUGAGCCGAGGAUGGCCAUUCCUAUAUCUGAAUAUCGAGAGUUGUGCCGUGCAUUGGAGACACUUACAGCUUCUUAGAGCAAUCUUGCUCAAGAGAUGGCAGCCAUCAGAGCAUGCCAAGAGCAGAUGUUAGCCACUCAAGCUCAACAAGCUGCCAUCUUAAGGCAGCUCCAAGACCAUUUCGAUCUGCCACAAGCUGUAGAGUCCUCCACUUCUACUCCAACAGAGCCACACCCUCAUCCUUCAGAGUCUCAUCCUCCUGAGCCCCAAGCCCCAGCUGAUGCACCUACUGAAGAGGUAGAUCCUUCUGCCUAAUCCCAGCACCACCCCACUCAUCAGACUAUAUUAGAUAUCUAAUAUUUUCAUGUAUUUCAUUUUUUUUAGUUGAAAAGAAAUCCCAGUAUUUUGGUACUAUAUUUGGGAUUCCUUGUGUUACUUGUCUUUUGCAUUGUAAUCAAAUGAAUUUAAAGUAAUACAAGUUGAAUAUUUCUUGUUAAAAGUUAGCAUUAAGUUAUUCUUAUUUCCUUUUCUCACAUAUUCUAUUCUUUUUGAAACAUGUGGUUUUCCCCAAUCAAUAUUCGAAUUUGAUUUCAGCAAGGAGGUACCACUUCCUCCCUUUUAUUACAUUCACUCAAAUCACAUUGAGGACAAUGCUCAGUUCGGUUGGGGGGUAUGAGGAAGGAAGUAUUCUAAAUCUUUUUGGUAUUGCAAUUAUAUUGGUUAAUUAGUUGUAGUUUUUACUUUUUACUCUUGUUACUCUAUUCUCCAUGAAUUUUGAGGAAAAAUUUUCAAAUUAAACCAAGAGAAAUUGAACUGUUGUUUUUCACUUGACUUAGAGUAUGGAUUAUGCUUACUAAAGUGGUUCAAUUGUUGAAGCUUCUAUUGAAAUUGAAGUUAGUUCUUCCACUUUAAGCUAUCCACACACUGUGCACAUUAGAUUCCGAUUAUAAGAUGAAAAGCUAUUUCCCUCUUGACUUAGGAUAAUUUUGGGACUUGGUAUAUUUGACCUCAUUUGAUAAAAUUGAAACACCCUGCAAAAGGCCAAUGAGCCUUUGAAAUAAAGAAAGUUGUUUGCUUGCCUUGAAACCCGAGCAAGGUCUGAGGGGUAUAUGGUGAAAAUCUUUAAAGCCUGGUGCCCUAAGCCUUAAUUGGUUGGGAGUCACCGACCUCAAUGCUCGUUAUAAGGGUGAAUAGGUAGAGCUAGCAUAUGGUAGAUGCUUGGGUAUUAGAAUCUCAUUCUUAAAAGUCCGGGGAAAAAUCCGAGGAGUUAGUGGUUGAAAGAUCCUUAAAGCUUGGUGCCCUAAACCUUAAUUGGUUGGGAGUCAUCGAUGGACCCCCAUUACAUGGACAAGUCAGAAAGAGUACCCCAUAAAGCUACCUUAAAAAAAAAAAUGAUGAAAAUGUGUUCUUUUCUUAUUGAUUUUGGUCAGAUUGCUAAAGUAUUGAAAAGAGAUAGGUUGGGGGGAGAGACUAGUUUAGCAUAUUAUUCUCGGAACCUAAGGAACCAAUACACAUAGAUUUUUGUGGAAGAUUAAAGUUUGAUUCUUAGAAAGUGGAAAUGAUUUUAAAACUUCAGUUUGCAUAAUGCACUCCCUUGAUUGACAGUGUUUAGCAUAGGUGUUAUGACUCUUGUUGAGAUUUGGGUUUGUAUUUCUUUACUACUUCAUGUGAGAAUUAGAUCAUCAUGCCACUUGAGAAUUAUUUUCCUUUAGCAUGAUGUUGUAAAUUUUAGAUUAGUUUGCUUUUUAUUUUCAUUUUUCUCUCCUAUAUUGCUAAGGGACUAGCAAUAUGUCGGUUGGGGGGAGUGAUUACUACUCAAAAAGUGCUAUUUGAUAGCCUAUAAUUAAUCCUUUUAAACACUUUUGAGUAGUAGUUUAGGCCUUUUAACUCAAUUGGCAUGUUAAGGAUCCUUUAAAGCAAUUUUAAUCACUUUGUGCAAGUUUUGGUGUUUUUGUUAGUAUUUUGAUCACCAAAGCAAGUCAAGACUGAGGAGAGCUAUGAGGAAUCUUGGGCAAAGCUUAGAAGUCAUUUUCCAAGAGUGAAUCCGGAUUGCAAGGAGAAAAAAGCAAAGAGAAUCUGCCAUAAAGCAUAUUCUUGAUGACAGUCGUAGCAGCCACUUUUGGAGCACUUUCUGAAGUCCAAAUGAUGUAUUCCAUAUACCAUUUCAAAGCUCAGGAAGUCAAAAAUCCAAUGCUUCAAACGGUGCUCAAUUCGGAGUUGAAAUGAAGAAGUUGCAGCCGUUACAAGCCAAUCACUCCGAGCUGAAGGAAGCAUUUUGCAAAGUGUUGCGAAAUCACCCUUUUGUUGCGAAGUGAUUUCGCAGCAUUUUUGUACAGUAAGGUGUUUCUCCUUCUGACGAUGCACGAUUUAUGCCGCGAGAAGGAAGCUAGGAACCUCAAGGUAGAAGACAACUUCGCAGCCCUGUGAAGAUAGCUUGGUGUUGCGAAAUAAUUUUGCAGCCCUCUUGAGUGUAUGCGAAAUCUCGUAGACACCAUUUUUCUCAUGCGAAAUGGUUCCUAAAACCUCCCGAUAUUUGCUACCGACAUUGGGAGAUAUUUUCCAUUAGAUUUUUGUUGUCUAAAUCCCAAAAUACUCCUUGUAAACCACCAAUUACAUGAUUCCUUAGUUUUUAAGUUAGUAAAAAGACUAAAUAUCUAUGUAAUAAUUAGUUUUAUAUUAUGUUCAUAUAUAUACCUCUCGAGAGCCUGUUCUCAGAGAGGAGUUCCUUCUUUAAAAGUUUGAGUAAGCAAGUAAAGUCUCUUUUCUUUCUACUGCCUUACCUUCUCACUUUGUAUUUUUUACUUAUUACUAAGUUAUGAACUCUCUGAGGAGUUUUCCCUAGAGAAUGAGUAACUAAACCUCUAAUUCCUUGGAGCUAAGGUUGCUGGGGGAGGUUCCAAGUGCAAGAAUGCAAAGCUUUGUGGUUUUAGCUAGUAAUGAAGAGCAAGUGAAAUCCUUCAAUGAUUUCUAUGUUUUUAGUUAACUUAAAACACCUUGGAGUCACCUGGGCCAACACUUGGUAAGGCAAGUGAUUUCCAACCAUGGAAAUGCACUAGUUUACCCCUUGCGAGCCUCUGGGAGGUGACUUUAAGGUAGGAUUUUCUAGAAUAGACAACACUUGGUAAGCUUUUGGACUCCUAGGAGACAUCCAUUAGUUAUCUCUUGCGAGCUUUUGACGGGUAAUCCAAGGUUAAAGAUCACCUUGAAUGGUUAAGGCUUAGUGAGAGGCUUAAACCAUUGCAAGUUGCAUCAGUGAGAGAAUUAAAGUGAAAUCUAAUUGAAGGAGUCUCUGUACAUCACCAGUUAGAGAAUUGACUAUAUGUUGAAUCUUUAAUGCGAGGAAAUGAACCAUCUGACCAAAGCCGUGUCUUUUGCAUGAGGAACCACCCCAGUGAACCUAAAUCUCCAAGGAAUGCUUUUCUUCCUAAAUUAUUCCAAACUUCUGUUAUGUUAGUUAGUUUAAGUCUAAACCUUUACCAAUCAAAGUUUGUGUUUUACUUCUUAAGCUAACCUUGAAAUGAAACAAGGCCAAUUCACUUGGAAUUGGUAUCAUUGAUUGCUUGUUAAUCAUUCCCAGUGAACGAUCCUAGAGCCACUAUACUAUAGUAGCUUUGUCUUUGCUACCCUAGUAUAUGGUGUUAUAGGUUAUAAAUUUUGUUGAUUACUCCCUCAAUCAAGGAGCACCAGCUGGACGCAAAUCAGCUGAGACACCAAUUGGGCAUGAAUCACACCCUAUGCCCAUUUAGGCAUCCUCGGUCCAUUUAGACACCUUAGGCCCAUUUAGGCACCCUAGGCUCAUUUAGACACCCUUGGCCCAUUUAGGCACCCUAGGCUCAUUUAGGCACCCUUGGCACAUUUAGGCACCCUAGGCCCACUUAGUAACCCUAAGCCCACUUAGACACCCUUGGCCCAUUUAGGCACCCUAGGUCCACUUAAGCACUCUAGGCCCAUUUAGGCACCCUACGCCCACUAAGACACCCUAAGCCCACUUAGACACCCUUGGCCCAAUUAGGCACCCUAGGUCCACUUAGGCACUCUAGGCCCAUUUAGGCACCCUAGGUCCACUUAGGCACGCUAGGCCCACUUAGGCACCCUAAAUCCACUUAGACACCUUACGCCCAUUUAAGCACCCAAAGCCCACUUAGGCACCCUUAGCCCAUUUAGGAACCCUAGGCUCAUUUAGGCACCCUAGGUCCACUUAGGCACCCUACGACCAUUUAGGCACCCUAGGUCCACUUAGGCACUCUAGACCCAUUUAAGCACCCUAGGUCCACUUAGGCACCCUAGGCCCAUUUAGGCACCCUAGGUCCAUUUAGGUACCCUUGGCCCAUUUAGGCACCCUAGGCCCACUUAGCCACCCUAGGCCCAUUUAGGCACCUAAGGACCAAUUUGGCACCCUAGGCUCAUUUAAGAACCCUAGGCCCAUUUAAGAACCCUAUGUCCACUUAGACACCUUCUGCCCAUGUAGGCACCCUUGGUCCACUUAGGCACUCUAGACCCAUUUAGGCACCCUAGGUCCGCUUAGGCACCCUAGGCCCAUUUAGGCACCCUAGGUCCAUUUAGGCAUCCUUGGCCCAUUUAGGUACCCUAGGCCCACUUAGGCACCCUAGGCCCAUUUAGGCAACCUUGGGCAAUUUAGGCACCCUAGGUCCAUUUAGGCACCUAAGGAUCAUUUAGGCACUCAGAGGCCCAUUUAGGCACCCUAGGUCCAUUUAGGCACCUUAGGGUCAUUUAGGCAUCCAUAGGCCCAUUUAGGCAUCCAUAGGCCCAUUUAGGCACCUUAGGCUCAUUUAGGCACCCUUGGCCCAUUUAGGCACCCUAGGCCCACUUAGACACCCUGAGCCCACUUAGACACCCUCUGCCCAUUUAGGAACCCUAGGUCCACUUAGGCACUCUAGACCCAUUUAGGCACCCUAGGUCCACUUAGGCACGCUAGGCCCACUUAGGCACCCUAAAUCCACUUAGACACCUUACGCCCAUUUAAGCACCCAAAGCCAACUUAGGCACCCUUAGCCCAUUUAGGAAACCUAGGCUCAUUUAGGCACCCUAGGCCCACUUAGGCACCCUAGACCCAUUUAGGCACCCUAGGUCCACUUAGGCACUCUAGACCCAUUUAGGCACCCUAGGUCCACUUAGGCACCCUAGGCCCAUUUAGGCACCCUAGGUCCAUUUAGGUACCCUUGGCCCAUUUAGGCACCCUAGGCCCACUUAGGCACCCUAGGCCCAUUUAGGCACCUAAGGUCCAAUUUGGCACCCUAGGCUCAUUUAAGAACCCUAGGCCCAUUUAAGAACCCUAUGUCCACUUAGACACCUUCUGCCCAUGUAGGCACCCUUGGUCCACUUAGGCACUCUAGACCCAUUUAGGCACCCUAGGUCCGCUUAGGCACCCUAGGCCCAUUUAGGCACCCUAGGUCCAUUUAGGCAUCCUUGGCCCAUUUAGGUACCCUAGGCCCACAUAGGCACCCUAGGCCCAUUUAGGCAACCUUGGGCCAUUUAGGCACCCUAGGUCCAUUUAGGCACCUAAGGUUCAUUUAGGCACUCAGAGGCCCAUUUAGGCACCCUAGGUCCACUUAGACACCAUAGACCCAUUUCGGCACCCUAGGCUCAUUUAGGCACCCUUGGCUCAUUUAGGCACCUUAGGCUCAUUUAGGCACCCUUGGCCCAUUUAGGCACCCUAGGCCCACUUAGACACCCUGAGCCCACUUCGACACCCUCUGCCCAUUUAGGAACCCUAGGUCCACUUAGGCACUCUAGACCCAUUUAGGCACCCUAGGUCCACUUAGGCACCCUAGGCCCAUUUAGGCACCCUAGGUCCAUUUAGGCACCCUUAGCCCAUUUAGGUACCCUAGGCCCAUUUAGGCACCCUAGGUCCAUUUAGGCACCUUAGGGUCAUUUAGGCAUCCAUAGGCCCAUUAAGGCAUCCAUAGGCCCAUUUAGGCACCCUAAGUCCACUUAGACACCUUAAGCCCAUUUAGGCACCCUAGGCUCAUUUAGGCACCGUUGGCCCAUUUAGGCACCCUAGGCCUACUUAGACACCGUAAUCCCACUUCGACACGCUGCGUUCAUCUAGGCACCCUAGGUCCACUUAGGCACCUUAGGCCCACAUAGUCACCCUUGGCCCAUUUAGGCACCUUAGGUCCACUUAGGCACCCUAGGCCCAUUUAGGCACCCUACGUCCACUUAGGCACCCUUAGCCCAUUUAGGCACCCUAAGUCCACUUAGGCACCUUAGGCCCAUGUAGGCACCCUAGGCCCAUUUAGGCACCCUAGGUAACCUUAAGCACCCUACGUCCACUUAGGCACCCCAGGUCUAUUUACGCACCCCUUGCCCAUUUAGGCACCCUAGGCCCACUUAGGCACCCUAGGCUCAUUCAGGCACCCUAGGUCCACUUAGGAACCCUAGGCCCAUUUAGGCAUCCUUGGUCCACUUAGGCACCCUAGGCCAAUUUAGGCACCCUAGGUCCAGUUAGGCACUCUUGACACAUUUAGGCACCCUAGGCCCAUUUAGGAACCCUAUGUCCACUUAGACACCUUAUGCCCAUUUCGGCACCCUAGGUCAACUAAGGUAAUCUAGACCCAUUUAGGCACCCUAGGUCUACUUAGGCACCCUAUGCUCAUUUCAGCACCCUAGGCCCAUUUAGGAACCCUAUGUCCACUUAGACACCAUAUGCCCAUUUAGGCAUCCUAGGUCCACUUAGGCACUCUAGACCCAUUUAGGCACCCUAGGUCCACUUAGGCACCCUACGCCCAUUUAGGCACCCUAGGUCCAUUUAGGCACCCUUGGCCCAUUUAGGUACGCUAGGCCCACUAAGGCACCCUAGGCCCAUUUAGGCACCCUAUGUCCAUUUAGGCACCCUAGGCUCAUUUAGGCACCCUAGGUCCCCUUAGGCAACCUAGGCCCAUUUAGGCAUCCUUGGUCCACUUAGGCACCCUAGGCCAAUUUAGGCACCCUAGGUCCAGUUAGGCACUCUUGACACAUUUAGGCACCGUAGGCCCAUUUAGGAACCCUAUGUCCACUUAGACACCUUAUGCCCAUUUAGGCACCCUAGGCUCAUUUAGGCACCGUUGGCCCAUUUCGGCACCCUAGGCCUACUUAGACACCGUAAGCCCACUUCGACACGCUGCGUUCAUCUAGGCACCCUAGGUCCACUUAGGCACCUUAGGCCCACUUAGGCACCCUUGGCCCAUUUAGGCACCUUAGGUCCACUUAGGCACCCUAGGCCCAUUUAGGCACCCUACGUCCACUUAGGCACCCUUAGCCCAUUUAGGAACCCUAGGUCCACUUAGGCACCUUAGGCCCAUGUAGGCACCCUAGGCCCAUUUAGGCACCCUAGGCAACCUUAAGCACCCUACGUCCACUUAGGCACCCCAGGUCUAUUUACGCACCCCUUGCCCAUUUAGGCACCCUAGGCCCACUUAGGCACCCUAGGCCCAUUUAGGCACCCUAUGUCCAUUUAGGCACCCUAGGCUCAUUCAGGCACCCUAGGUCCACUUAGGCACCCUAGGCCCAUUUAGGCAUCCUUGGUCCACUUAGGCACCCUAGGCCAAUUUAGGCACCCUAGGUCCAGUUAGGCACUCUUGACACAUUUAGGCACCCUAGGCCCAUUUAGGAACCCUAUGUCCACUUAGACACCUUAUGCCCAUUUCGGCACCCUAGGUCAACUAAGGUAAUCUAGACCCAUUUAGGCACCCUAGGUCUACUUAGGCACCCUAUGCUCAUUUCGGCACCCUAGGCCCAUUUAGGAACCCUAUGUCCACUUAGACACUAUAUGCCCAUUUAGGCAUCCUAGGUCCACUUAGGCACUCUAGACCCAUUUAGGCACCCUAGGUCCACUUAGGGACCCUACGCCCAUUUAGGCACCCUAGGUCCAUUUAGGCACCCUUGGCCCAUUUAGGUACGCUAGGCCCAUUUAGGCACCUUAGGUCCAUUUAGGCACAUCAGGCUCAUUUAGGCACCCAUAGGUCCAUUUAGGCACCCUAGGCUCAUUUAGGCACCCUAGGCUCAUUUAGGCACCCUUGGCCCAUUUAGGCACCCUAGGCUCAUUUAAGCACCCUUGGCCCAUUUAGGCACCGUAGGCCCACUUAGUAACCCUAAGCCCACUUAGACACCCUUGACCCAUUUAGGCACCCUAGGUCCACCUAAGCACUCUAGGCUCAUUUAGGCACCCUAGGUCCACUUAGACAGGCUAGGCCCAUUUAAGCCCCCUAAGCCCACUUAGGCACCCUUGGCCCAUUUGGGAACCCUAGGCUCAUUUAGGUACUCUAGGUCCACUUAGGCACCCUAAGCCCAUUUAGGCACCUUAGGUCCAAUUAGGCACUCUAGACCCAUUUAGGCACCCUAGGUCCACUUAGGCACCCUAGGCCCAUUUAGGCACCCUGGUCCAUUUAGGCACCCUUGGCGCCUUUAGGCACCCUUGGCGCCUUUAGGCACCCUAGAACCACUUAGACACCCUUGGACCAUUUAGGCACCCUAGGUCCAUUUAGGCACCGUUGGCUCAUUUACGCACCCUAGACCUAUUUAGGCACCCUAGGUCCACUUAGACACCUUAGGCUCAUUUAGGCACCCUAGGUCCACUUAGGCACUCUAGACCCAUUUAGGCACCCUAGGUCCACUAAGGCACCCUAGGUCCAUUUACGCACCCUUGGCUCAUUUAGGUACCUUAGGCCCAUUUAGGCACCCUAGGUCCCUUUAGGCAACUUAGGGUCAUUUAGGCAUCCAUAGGCCCAUUGAGGCACCCUAGGUCCACUUAGACACCUUAGGCCUAUUUAGGCACUCUAGGCCCACUUAGACACCCUAAGCCCACUUAGACACGCUGCUCCCAUUUAGGCACCUUAGGCCUACUUAGGCACCCUUGGCCCAUUUACGCACCCCUAGGUCCACUUAGGCACCCUAGGCCCAUUUAGGCACCCUCGGUCCCCUUAGACACCUUAGGCCCAUUUAGGCAUCCUAGGCUCUUUUAGGCACCCUUGGCCCAUUUAGGCACCCUAGGCCCAUUUACGACCCUAGGUCAACUUAGGCACCCUAGGUCCACUUAGGCACCCUAGGUCCACUUAGGCACCCUAGGCCGAUUUAGCCACCCUAGGUCCAGUUAGGCACUGUACACCCAUUUAGGCACCUUAGGCCCAUUUAGGCACCCUAAGUCCAAUUAGGCACCUUAGGCUCAUUUAGGCACCCUAGGCCCAUUUAGGAACCCUAUGUCCACUUAGACACCUUAUGCCCAUUUAGGCACCCUAGGUCCACUUAGGCACUCUAGACCCAUUUAGGAACCCUAGGUCCACUUAGGCACGCUAGGCCCAUUUAGGCACCCUAGGUCCAUUUAGGCACCCUUUGCCCAUUUAGGUACCCUAGGCCCACUUAGGUACCCUAGGACCAUGUAGGCACCCUAUGUCCAUUUAGGCACAUAUGGCUCAUUUAGGCACCCAUAGGCCCAUUUAGGCACCCUAGGUCCACUUAGACCCCUUAGGCCCAUUUAGGCACCCUAGACUAAUUUAGGCACCCUUGGCCCAUUUAUGCACCCUAGGCUCAUUUAGGCACCCUUGGCCCAUUUAGGUACCCUAGGCCCACUUAGUAACCCUAAGCCCACUUAGACACACUUGGCCCAUUUAGGCACCCUAGGUCCACUUAGGCACUCUAGGCCCAUUUAGGCACCCUAGGUCAUUUUACGCACCCUAGGCUCAUUUAAGUACCCGAGGCCCAUUUAGGCACCCUAGGUCCAUUUAGGCACCUUAGGGUCAUUUAGGCAUCCAUAGGCCCAUUUAGGCACCCUAGGUCCACUUAGACACCUUAGGCCUAUUUAGGCACCCUAGUCUCAUUUAGGAACUCUUGGCCCAUUUAGGCACCCUAGGCCCACUUAGACACCCUAAGCCCACUUAGACACCCUGCGCCCAUUUAGGCACCCUAGGUCCACUUAGGCACCUUAGUGUCACGGACUUAGUCGUUCACUAAGCUCGUGCGGCACUUAGGCAAGUCAAGACGCUUGAUCUUGCUAAGUCAGCCUUGAUCCUCAAUGCUUAGCUUGCUCGGCUAAGACACUCACGACUCGAAAUCUUAAGAAGCUUGGUAGGCAACUCCUUAAUGAAUGGAAGCUCUUAUUAACUCAAGAAAGCCUUUACAAGUGCUUAGAUGCUCACUUGCUUGGUUAGGAAGUGAUUUGGGUGGUGCCUUGGCCAAAUGAGGCCUUCACCUAUUUAUAGGCACCAAUGGAACUCUCUGGAACCUUGGAGGGUUCCUUAGAAAUGAAGAAUAUUCUAGAACAUCCUACCCUAUUCUAUGUACAACCCUAUGUACAAGAGAUUCUUAGAAGUCUCUAGAAAGCCCUGGACUCCUCCCAUGCCUUCCUCCAUAGUGUAGAGAUGUGCGGACAUCUCUAGGCAUUUCUAGAACCUUCCACACUCUUCCCACCAAUGGCUUAUUGUAAAUGGUUCCAGGAGUCUCCAGAAGCUUCCCUCUUUCUAUAUAAGCCCAUAGGGAGGGUCAUUUGAAACAUCCUGUGACACUCUCCCCCACUGAUGCCGUCGACGUCCUCGUCGUUGCCUCAUUCUGAAACCUCUCGAUGUGUUUCCAGAAUUUUCUCAAGGCAUCCGCAUGUUCCCAGCUUACCGGUCUCUUAGGUAGUCCUUUCCAUCGGACUAGAUACUCUAUCACAGGAGGGACCCCUUGUCUCCUAGUGACCCGUUCAGCCAGGAUAUUCUUCACCUCCUUCUCCUGUGAGGCUUCAGAUAGAUGCAGACCCAUGCGCUUUCGAUGCUUAGAGUGUUGCUUCUUCUUACCGAUUGAGUUCACCUUUCCCUUGGUGACCUCUUCCAUGUGUGUGCGGGCUACCUCAGCUCGCUCCUCUUUUUCCUCCUUUACUUGCACCCCUGCUAGUAAGGAGGUCUUAGGCGUACUAGGCUUCGGGUUAAAUUGGAGGGCACCUAGUAGCUGCAUUGAGCCCAUAUGUGCUUCGUCCUCCUGCUCCCUCUCCUCGAUCAUGGCACUGAACGCCUUCCUCUUUGGACAAUCCCGUGCCCAAUGUGGACCGUCACACAGGAAGCAUUUGAUUUUAGGUGUAAACUCCUUCCUUUCCGCCUUAUCCCUUCCUUCUCGGACGUUAGACGUCUUUCCUGAUCCCUUUUUAGGAGCAUUGUGGUCCCUUGGAACCUCGUCUCCCCUACCCUUGGCGUGGCUAUCCUCCAAAGACUUAACCUUGGAGGAGUCUCCUCUCUUAUAAUCCGUUAAAGACUCUGCUACUGCCAUAGCAGUGGCUAAGUCUUAAACGCCUCGGCGCCUUAAUUCUUGCUCGGCCCACCCUUGCAGGUUAUCCAUGAAGUUGAAUAACAACUCCUCCUCAAUUAUGUUAGGAAUCUCAAGCAUGAGCGAAGAGAAUUCCUUGACAUAUUCACGUAUCGAGCUUGUGUGCUUGAGACGCCUCAUGUUUUUCCUAGCCAGGUAAGCCACGUCCUCGGGGUAGAACUGCCUCUUGAUCUGCCUCCUGAAGUCCUCCCACGUCCCUAUGGUGCAAAUGCCUUUCUCCAUAUCGGCAAACCUUCGACGCCACCAUAGAGUAGCUGUGUCAGUAAGGUAGAGGGUCGUAGUUCUCACCUUAGCCACCUCAUUCGUUAAUGCGAUAGCUUCGAAGUAUCGCUCCAUAUGCCAUAAGAAGUUAUCCAACUUCUUGGCAUCCCGCUUGCCACUAAACCUAUGUGGCUUCGGCACCUCCACCCUAGAUGCCUCCUAUGUGGUCAUGACCCGUGCCGACACAGCAGCCUUGUAGAUGUCCAACUCCUGCCUAACCUCCUGGUCUCGGGACUCCAUUCGAGUGGCCAAGGCCUCUAUCCUUGACUCCAUGCUAGCAAGCAUGCUCAAGACCUUUCCUUGGAAGGACACAAACUCCUCGUGCGACACUGGUUGAACCUGUGAGACUAGCACCCUCUCACGAAGGUCUUGGAUCUGCUCCCCUAGAUCCUCUAAGCCCUUCUCCAUGCCUUGCUCGAUCAAGUCCAACCCCUCCCGAGUGUCCGCCAUGGCUAGCUCUACCUUGGCUAACCUUGCCUCCAUAUUGGCAACGGCAUCACGAGACUUAUCCUUCUUAUCCCUGCCCCGUGCAGUAGGCUCGGUCUCCCUUCCACGGGUUUGCUCACUAGUCUCCUCCACGUUAGAGCCCGACAUGCUUCCUUUGCUAUGCCCACCUUGUAACCGUGCUCUGAUACCACUUGUCACGGACUUAGUCGUUCACUAAGCUCGUGCGGCACUUAGGCAAGUCAAGACGCUUGAUCUUGCUAAGUCAGCCUUGAUCCCCAAUGCUUAGCUUGCUCGGCUAAGACACUCGCGACUCGAAAGCUUAAGAAGCUUGGUAGGCAACUCCUUAAAGAAUGGAAGCUCUUAUUAACUCAAGAAAGCCUUUACAAGUGCUUAGAUGCUCACUUGCUUGGUUAGGAAGUGAUUUGGGUGGUGCCUUGGCCAAAUGAGGCCUUCACCUAUUUAUAGGCACCAAUGGAACUCUCUGGAACCUUGGAGGGUUCCUUACAAAUCAAGAAUAUUCUAGAACAUCCUACCCUAUUCUAUGUACAACCCUAUGUACAAGAGAUUCUUAGAAGUCUCUAGAAAGCCCUGGACUCCUCCCAUGCCUUCCUCCAUAGUGUAGAGAUGUGCGGACAUCUCUAGGCACUUCUAGAACCUUCCACACUCUUCCCACCAAUGGCUUAGAGUAGAUGGUUCCAGGAGUCUCCAGAAGCUUCCCUCUUUCUAUAUAAGCCCAUAGAGAGGGUCAUUUGAAACAUCCUAUGACAUUAGGCCCAUUUAGGCACCCUUAGCCCAUUUACGCACCCUAGGUCCACUUAGGCAGCCUAGGCCCAUUUAGGCACCCUAGGUCCCCUUAGACACCUUAGGCCCAUUUAGGCACCCUAGCCUCAUUUAGACACCCUUGGCCCAUUGAGGCACCCUAGGCCCAUUGAGGCACCCUAGGCCCAUUUACGACACUAGGUCAACUUAGGCACCCUAGGUCCACUUAGGCACCCUAGGUCCACUUAGGCACCCUAGGCCCAUUUAGGCACCCUAGGACCAAUUAGGCACUGUAAACCCAUUUAGGCACCUUAGGCCCAUUUAGGCACCCUAAGUCCAAUUGGGCAGCUUAGGCUCAUUUAGGCACCCUAGGCCCAUUUAGGAACCCUAUGUCCACUUAGACACCUUAUGCCCAUUUAGGCACCCUAGGUCCACUUAUGCACUCUAGACCCAUUUAGGCACCCUAGGUCCACUUAGGCACCUUAGGCCCAUUUAGGCACCCUAGGUCCAUUUAGGCACCCUUUGCCCAUUUAGGUACCCUAGGCCCACUUAGGUACCCUAGGACCAUUUAGGCACCCUAGGUCCAUUUAGGCACAUAAGGCUCAUUUAGGCACCCAUAGGCCCAUUUACGCACCCUAGGUCCACUUAGACCCCUUAGGCCCAUUUAGGCACCCUAGGCUCAUUUAGGCACCCUUCGCCCAUUUAGGCACCCUAGGCCCACUUAGUAACCCUAAGCCCACUUAGAACCCUUGGCCCAUUUAGGCACCCUAGGUCCACUUAGGCACUCUAGGCCCAUUUAGGCACCCUAGGUCUCUUAGACACGCUAGGCCCAUUUAAGCACCCUAAGCCCACUUAGGCACCCUUGGCCCAUUUUGGAACCCUAGGCUCAUUUAGGCACCCUAGGUCCACUUAGGCACCCUUGGCCCAUUUAGGCCCCCUAAGCCUAAAUGGCACCCUAGGUCAACUUAGGCACCCUACGUCCACUUAGGCACCCCAGGUCCAUUUAGGCACCCUUGGCCCAUUUAGGCACCCUAGGCCCACUUAGGCACCCUAGGCCCAUUUUGGCACCCUAUGUCCAUUCAGGCACCAUAGGGUCGUUUAGGUACCCUAGGUCCACUUAGGCACCCUAGGCCCAUUUAGGCACCCUAGGUCCAUUUAGGCACAUAAGGCUCAUUUAGGCACCCAUAGGCCUAUUUCGGCACCCUACCUCCACUUAGACACCUUAGGCCCAUUUUGGCACCCUAGGCUCAUUUAGGAACCCUUGGCCCAUUUAGGCACCCUAGGCCCACUUAGUAACCCUAAGCCCACUUAGACACCCUUGGCCCAUUUAGGCACCCUAGGUCCACUUUAGCACUCUAGUCCAAUUUAGGCACCCUAGGUCCACUUAGACACGCUAGGCACAUUUAAGCAGCCAAAGCCCACUUAGGCACCCUUGGGCCAUUUUGGAACCCUAGGCUCAUUUAGGCACCCUAGGUACCCUUAGGCACCCUAAGCCCAUUUAGGCAUCCUUGGCCCAUUUAGGCACCUUAGGCCCACUUAGGCACCUAGGUCCACUUAGACACCUUAGGCCCAUUCAGGCACCCUAGGUCCACUUAGGCACUCUAGACCCAUUUAGGCACCCUAGGUCCACCUAGGCACCCUAAGCCCAUUUAGGCACCCUAGGUCCAUUUACGCACCCUUGGCCCAUUUAGGUACCCUAGGCCCAUUUAGGCACCCUAGGUCCAUUUACGCACCUUAGAGUCAUUUAGGCAUCCAUAGGCCCAUUUAGGCACCCUAGGUCCACUUAGACUCCUUAGGCCCAUUUAGUCACCCUAAGCUCAUUUAGGCACCCUUGGCCAAUUUAGGCACCUAGGCCCACUUAGACACCCUAAACCCACUUAGACACGCAGCGCCCAUUUAGGCACCCUACGUCCACUUAGGCACCUUAGGCCCACUUAGGCACCCUUGGCCCAUUUACGCACCUAGGUCCACUUAGGCACCCUAGGCCCAUUUAGGGGACCCUAAGUCGACUUAGACACCUUACGGCCAUUUAGGCACCCUAGGCUCAUUUAGGGACCCUUCGCCCAUUUAGGCACCCUAGGUCCAUUUACGACCCUAGGUCAACUUAGGCACCCUAGGUCCAUUUAGGUACCCUAGGUCCACUUAGACAGCCUAGGCCCAUUUAGGCACCCUAGGCUCAUUUAGGCACCCUUGGCCCAUUUAGGCACCCUACGCCCAUUUAGGCACCCUAGGUCAACUUAGGCAACCUAGGUCCACUUAUGCACCCCAGGUCCAUUUAGGCACCCUUGGCCCAUUGAGGCACCCUAGGCCCACUUAGGCACCCUAGGCCCAUUUACGCACCCUAGGUCCAUUUACGCACCCUAGUCCCAUUUAGGCACCAUAGGUCCACUUAGACACCCUAGGCCCAUUUAGGCACCCUAAGCCCACUUAGGCACCCUUGGUCCAUUUAGGCACCCUAGGCUCAUUUAGGUACCCUAGGUCCACUUAGGCACCCUAGGCCCAUUUAGGCACCCUUGGUCCACUUAGGCACCCUAGGCCCAUUUAGGUACCCUAGGUCUAGUAAGGAACUCUAGACCCAUUUAGGCACCUUAGGCUCAUUUAGGCACCCUAGGUCCAAUUAGGCACCUUAGGCUUAUUUAGGCACCCUAGGCCCAUUUAGAAACCCUAUGUCCACUUAGACACCUUAUGCCCAUUUAGGCACCCUAGGUCCACGUAGGCACUCUAGACCCAUUAGGCACCCUAGGUUCACUUGGGCACCCUAGGCCCAUUUAGGCACCCUAGGUCCACUUUGGCACCAUAGGCCCAUUUAGCCACCCUAGGUCCACUUACACACCUUAGGCCCAUUUAGGCACCCUAGGCUCAUUUAGGCACCCUUGGCCCAUUUAGGCACUCUAGGCCCACUUAGACACCCUAAGCCCACUUAGACACACUGUGCCCAUUUAGGCACUCUAGGUCCACUUAGGCACCCUAGGCCCAUUUAGGCACCGUAGGUCUAUUUAGGCACAUAAGGCUCAUUUAGGCACCCAUAGGCCCAUUUAGAAAAUUUCGCACAGCCUGAUGCAGUUGUCUUCCGAAGGCCAUAUCUUUCUCAUUUCAGCUCCAAAUCAUACAUGGUUUGAACCGUUGGAUUCUUGACUUUCUGAGCUUUGAAAUGGUAUAUAGAAUGUAAAAAAUGGACUUCGGGAAGUGCUCCAAAAGUGCAAUGAAAGACUGCAGCUGUGUCCCCUGUUUUCCUCUUCUCCAUUGUUUCUUCCUUGUAUACUUUGAACCACUAAGGCAAAGGAUUAUGAGGCUCCAUAGCUUGAUUUCUUCAUAAAUUUAAGCUUUCAAAAGCUUUGCUCUGAACUAUAAAUAGCUCUCCCUCAUUCUUAAAUUGCUUUGGUGAGCAUAAAGCUAUCAAAAAGCACCAAAACUUAACACAUUUGUUAGAAACGAUUGCAAAGGUCCCUAAUAUGUUAAUUGAGUUAAAAGAUAAUAAUUACUACUCAAGGGUGUUUAAAAGAGCUAAUUACAAGCUACAAAAUAGCAUGUUUUGAGUAGUAAUCACUCCCCCCAACCGACAUAUUGCUAGUCCCUUAGCAAUUAAGGAGAGAAAAACUAAGCAAACGUAAUAAUAUACAUAAAAGAAGUCAUGCAAUUCAUUCCAAAAAAUAAUUGAGUGGCAUGACUGAUAUCCAAACACAUCUCUCCUGGUGAACUAAAGAUAUGAAGAUUCAAAAUGCAAUAGGAGUUGUCAAAGCUUAAACUUAAACAAAAAGUACAAAGAGUGGAGAUUAUGCAAUUAAGUAUCAAAAGAAUCUCUACUCUCAAGGUUUCAAAUCAAACUCUUCCAUAAUAAGCUAAGUGUUAAUGAAAUUAGCUUCCGGAUAUAGUAUAUACAACUAUCCUCACCCUCCAAACUAAGCUUUUCUCGAAUAUUGGCAAAAUUAAUCAACUCUUAAUAGGUUAAGAACGCACCUUCUUAUUCACAAUUCUUUUUUUUUUUACUCACUAAACUUAACCAAUUCACCUAUGUAGCAAGCAGAGGAUCGAUGACUCCCAACCAAUUAAGGUUUAGGGCAUUGGGUUUUAAAGGCUUUCGCCACCCCUUCGGAUCAUACUUAGGUUUCAAGGAAAGAAUAGAGGCUUAUUCUCUUUUUCUUUUUCUAAGACUCAUUGGUCUUUUUCUAAGACUCAUUGGUCUUUAUGAGGUGUCCCAACACUAUUAAAAAGAGGUUAAGUAAUAAACCAAGUCAAAAUUUUCCUAAGCUUAGAAAGUGAGAAAGUUUUACAUCUUAUAUCCGGGAUCUAAUGUGCACAGUGUGUGUAAAGCUCGAAAUGGAAGAAGAAAGUUCAAAAUCAAAGAGGCUUCAAUAGAUUAUCAACUUUGAAAGCAUAAAACAAACUCUAAGACUUAAAUAAUUAAGUUAAAACUCGACUUAUCCUAUUUUAUUUUUGAAAAAUUAUCUUUAACAACCAGAGAGAAUGAUUCAAAAAACUUUUUAAAAAAUUUAAAAUUUAAGCAAAAAUUAACUAAAAUACCAAAAUAACUUAAUAUUGACAACAAAACUUCCUUUCUCAAUUCUCCCCCCCAACCAAGUUGAACAUUGUCCCCAAUGUUUCAAAAGCGAUUAAAAAUAAAGGGAGGAAGUGGUACCUCCUGAGUGAGAUAAAGUCUGAGUGUAAAGGAGGUAUGGAGUACCUUAAACCACAUGUUCCAAGGACAAAAGAGUAAUGAGAAAAGGGAAUAUAAUCAAAAAGGAUAUAUAUAUAUAUAUAUAUUACUUGAAAAAGAAAUAUACAAUGUAUGAUUUCAAGUACUAUUUCCAAUCCCAAUUUAUAACACAUGCAAAAGAUGGGAUUUACAAGUCUAAAAUAAAAAGUAAAACAUAAAAAAAUCAGAUAUGAGUGGGGUCAUGUGAUGGCUCUGCUCUGAUCUCCUCCUCUGGUAUAGGCUGCUCAGCUGGCAAGCUCUCCUCAUCUGGCACUAGAGGCUCGGAUGGUGCAGACCUAUCAUGCCCAAGAGGGAUCUGCAUACUCAGAUGCUGCUGAAUCUGAUGAAGGAUCGUGGUAUGCUGGGCCUGAGUAGCGAUGAUCUGAUCCUGGUGUGCACGAAUAGUGGCCAUCUGGUGGAUAAUAGAAUCCUGAGCAGUGCUCAGUGUCCGCAAUGAACGCUCUAAGCCUCUGAAUUCUGUAAGAGAAAUGGUGACAGUGGGCUCAGAUGAAGGAGGAGGUGCUGGGGUAGCUGGCACGACUGGUGGAGCACCCUGAGUGAUAGGGGAGGUAGAAUGUAUAGCCUCGGGCAUGUGCACUGAGGGCUGUGCUGCAGGGGCAGGAGGUGGUGUCUCUGUGAGAAUCUCAUCCUGCUGGGCCUGAGGUAUCUGCUCAUCUCGGGGUAGCUCUGGAGGUGCAUGUACAGCUGGGGCUCCCUGAGGUGCAAAGUAGGCUACCAAGUGAUGCCAUUUGUCGAGAGAGAAGUCCUCUCGGCAAUGGCGGCGCCUCUCAAGACGGGGCUCUUCAGGAUAGCCCAAGUGCUCUAAAAUCUGGCAGAGGAGCCUCGGAAAUAGUAAUGGGAUGCCAUCUGCCCUCUGAAGCUUCUUCUGAUGGACUUUCUCUUCAAAAUGAAGAAGAGAAGUCAUAAUCAAAUGAUGAGGGCCGAAGAAAUAGCCCUCAGAAAUCCUGAAUAACGCCUCAAGUAUAGCUCCUCUCCUCUGAACCUUAUGCUGAAGGGGGAAUAGGUUGGCACGCAGGAGCACAUCAAUGAGGAGCAUCCCAGAUGGAAGCUCUCUCCUGGUCAAUACCGAGGCUGUAGAAGUCCCCCUGGACAAAAUGCGGACCAUGUCACUCUGAGAGAAUGAGGACCACUCCCUGAAAUCUGCCUGAAACACGGGCUCAUAAGGUAUACGGAGGGCCUCAGCAAUGUGGCGAGCUCCAAUGGCACCCUGGCGUCCGUCUAUGGUAAAUUGGAUGAGAGUAGGAUUGCGGAGGCCUCGAGUAGUCAUAGAUUGAUAAAAAUCUAAAACUACUCUGGGAUAGUAGAAUUGCCUAGGAGUGAGAAGAUCCUCCAUGUGAUACCUCUACAGCAGUCGGAAUGAAUCUCUGAGCUCUGGCUGCUGUCUGAGGGCCUCUAUAUCAAAGUAGGUCUCAGAGUGGAAGGAUCGAUUUCUGCAAUCCAAGUUGCCCUCUAUCGGUGGUCCGGCUAUCAUGGGACGCCUGAUAAUGGUCUCGGGAGUAUUUUCUACAGGAAUCUGAGGUUCCUCUGUAGCUGGCUCUGGCUGAGGUGCGUGGGAUGGCUCUCCAGGACCCGAGAACCUGGUCCUCUUCGCUGGUGGCCGAGAAACAGGGCUCGUGGCCUGAUCGACUGGUGCCACAGGGUCCGCGGGUGGCCUCCGGGUGGGGUAUCGGCUCUGAGAAGGAGCUUCCCCCUCAGAUGGGGGAAUGGCCGGGGCCUGAACAGGUGGUGAAGGUGCGGCUCCCAUGGCGGCUCGCUGUGGUCGAGGUGUCGGUGAGGACGGGGAGGCGGAAUGGCCUCCUCUGGUCUUCGCCAUGGCCGAAAUGAAGGGAGGUGGGUGUUCGGGAUUCCAGAGGUUUUUCAGCUGGUGCUUAGGAGAGUCCUUUGAGCUUCUGGACUUCAGGGGUUUAUAUAGGAAUGAGGUUUAAGGGGUUUCUGAUCUUUUAAAAUUUUUCAAGGCAACCGAAAAGUCGUUUUUGGAUGUUAGGCACAAUUUCGGGGGUAAAAUUUUAAUUUAAAAGUCGGUUUUAAAUUUGUAGAAGUUAAAAUUUUACCGUGCGAAAUUUUCGCACCUUGGCCUGCAAAUUUCGCACCUUGGAAUUGGGUGUGCGAAAAUGGCACCCCUUUGGCCGAUGAUUUCGCACGUUAAAAGGAGGUGUGCGAAAUUUUCGCACCUUGAAUAGUGGUGUGCGAAAUUUUCGCACACUAUUUCGCACAGUGCGAAAAUCAGCUUGAGGUGUGCGAAAUUGGCACACGUGUGCCAGGAGAGGAUUUCGCACAGUGCGAAAAUUUUCGCACCUUCCACAGUGGUGUGCGAAAUUGGAUUUUAGGAAAUUCGCACCUUGAAAAGGGAUUUCGCACCUUGAAAUUGAUUUCGCACCUUGAGGUAGGGGUGUGCGAAAAUUGCUUCCUUUGGCCCAAGGAUUUCGCACCUUGGUAUUGAGGUGUGCGAAAUUUUCGCACCUUGAAAUCAGGUGUGCGAAAAUUUGGCACCUUGAAAUUGGGUGCUCUGUUUCCUUGGUUUUUCUCCCCUUGGCUGCUUUUGACGAGCUCUCCCCAUCUUUCAUGAUUUUUUUCUGAAAUUUAUUAUCAAAAUUAACUUGAAUUAAGACAAUAUAAACUAAGAUUAGGAGAAAAUUAAAAUAUAAAGAAAUAAAAAUACUAAUAUAACUAUAAAACUAUAACAAAAAAUUCAUGGACUUCUUUAGCCCAUGAUACCCUGCUUUCCCUCAGAUUUGUGGUAGUUCAAGGAGAUUGAUCUCCUCCUUGUCUGUACUGUAAGGCUCUAAGAAUGGCUUGAGACGAUGGCCAUUGACUUUGAAGGUUUGAUUGCCUGUGGGAUUGAAUAUUUCCACCACUCCGUUGGGAUGCACUUCAUGAAUUAUGAAAGGACCCGUCCAUCUGGAUUUCAAUUUUUUUCGGUAAAAGAUAAAGCUUAGAGUCAUAAAGUAAGACUCUUUGUCCCAAAACAGCCCCCAUAGCAAGAUCUUAAAAAAAAAAACUAAGUUAAAUCAAACCAAAAUAAAAUUAAAGCAAGAAAUCAAAAUUAAAACAAGUUUAAAAAUAAAACAAAAAGAUAUGGACUAGCUAGUCUUUAGAAAGACUAAGUCCAUAAAAAAAAUUGGAUCCGGAUUUAGCUUGCCCGGAUCCCAUAUGAAGUUUGCAUCCCUCCCUUGAGACUUGCUUUGUAUGAUGGUGCCAUACAAAGCUUGGGGGAAAGGUGGAGGGAUGUGAUUCUUCAUCAUUUCUUCCUUUAAAAGAAUUUGAGGUUCCUCAUCCAUGCUUGGAAUGAUGCUUUCUUUCAUCUGAACUCCCUUUCCCUUUUGUUCUUUCUUCUUUUCUUCUUUUCUAUCAGCCUUGUCUUCUUUGGCUUUCCUCUGAUCAUGCUCCGGCUGAUGCACUUCCUUACCACUUCUCAAAGUGAUAAUAGCUUGCACGUCCCUCACCUUUGAAGAAUCCUCAUCUUUGGAUUCCACUUCAUGUAUCCCCUUAGGAUUUUGGUGAGGCUGAGAGGGAAACUUCCCUUUCUCAUUGACAGUGUUCAAAUUUGUGAGCCUUGAGAUGGAAUAUUGGAUGUUGUCAAUUUUCUGAGACAACUCAUUAUGCAUCCCAUCUAUCUUCUUGUUCAAUGUACUCUCUACGUUGUCAAUCUUCUGAUUUAGUUGAGAGUUGAUGGAUUUUUGCUCGCUCACAAAGUCACCCAUAACCUUGCUAAGGCUUACGAGUGCUUGCUCAACUGAGGAUUGACCUUGACUCUGUUGGCUUGAUUGGGCUGGUGACUGAUAUGGGUUUGGCCUUGGCUUCCAUGCAAAGUUUGGGUGGUUCCUCCAGCUAGAGUUGUACGUGUUGCCAUAGGGAGCAUUUGAAUUUGGCUUCCAUUGGCCAAUCAGGUUAGCUUGUUCCCCGAACAUUUCUCUUGCUGCCAGAAUGGUGGGACAUUCUUCCACCAUAUGUUCAAAUGACUGACAUAUGGAGCAAGGAUUGGCUUGUUGUUGAGGUUCUGAAAUAGCUUGGACUUCGUGAACUUUUCUCAACUCCAUUUCCUCUAUUUUUCUAGCCAUGGCAGCUACCUUGGCUUUCAUCUCCAUGUCUUCACUCAGACUGUACAUCCCCCCUCUUGACAUUUGCUGAACUGGCCUCUUCCCCAUUUCUCUACUAUUGGGCUCAUCCCAUCCACGGGAAACCUCUGAGACAUAACUUAGGAAGUCCAUAGCCUCCUCAGGGUUCUUGCUCAUGAAAUCACCCCCACACAUUGUCUCCAAUAUCUGCUUCAUUGAAGAUGACAUGCCAUCAUAAAAAUAGCUCACCAAAAGCCAUGUAUCAAAGCCGUGGUGAGGACAUGCAUUGAUGGCCUCCAUAUACCUCUCCCAGCAUUCAUAAAAUUUUUCAUUUUCACGUGCUGAGAAGUUGGAGAUUUGUCUCUUCAAUCCAUUUGUUCUGUGAGUAGGGAAAAACUUCUUCAAAAAAUCAGCUUGAAGUUCUGUCCAUGUUCUUAUGCUUCUCGGCCUCAAGGAAUUAAGCCAUAUCUUGGCUUUGUCCUUUAAUGUGAAUGGAAAGAGCUUCAACCUCAUAAGCUCAAUAGUUGUUCCCCCUUCUUGAAAAGUAUUGCACACAUCUUCGAAUUCCUUUAUGUGCGCAUAUGGAUUUUCACUUUCCAUCCCAUGGAAAGUAGGAAGCAGAGGCACGAUGUGUGGCAUGAUAAUCAAUUGCUCUGUAGGAGGAAUGAUGCAAGAUGGUGCACUCAUCCUCGGAGGGUGCAUCCUGUCCCUCAUGGACCUAUACAAGUUCGGAUCAUUCCCCUGCCCGUGUUGUGAAUGUUGAUCCUCUGGUUGAUUCUCCAUGAUCUCCAAAAUAAUAUCUAAUUCAGUAGCUCGUGGAGUCUCUAUCCGCACUAACCUUCCCUCUUGGUCUCUAAUCCAAUAGGGCAUGCACGGAUUCAGCUGGAACAAAACAAAUAAACAAAACAAAGAAAAAGAAAAAAAAAACAGAGCAUGCGGAAGGAAAAACAGAGUAUGAAAAAUAAACUAAAAAUGAAAGUUAAAAGCUAAAAGAAACUUAUCUAAACUAAGUUAAAAAUGUUCUAAAACUAAAAUAAAAAGUUAGUAAAUGAAAAAGGAGAUAGAAUUCACCUUACUCAUGAGAAGUCUCACAAGUUACCUCCGGCUGAUAUAUUCACAGUGAAGUAGCACCUUCCCCGGCAACGGCGCCAUUUGAUACGCUUGACUCUUGGUAGCUUGGCAUGUAAGGGUAUCAACAAAAUUUAUACCUAAGGUCCUUACACUAAAGUAGCAAAGCUACUAUAGUAUAGUGGCUCUAGGAUCGAACACUGGGAAGGGUUUUUACUUUAACUAGUGAAGUUCAGAGGAUGGAGUGAACUUUUCUUAAUAAAAAUUAGGUUAAGAUGAAAACAUAAAAAGAUGAAGGUGUUGUAAACUAAACUAACAUGAAAAUAGGAUAAAAGAUGGAAAAAGAAGUUUCUCAAAGCUUUGGAUAGCCAUGCUUAACUCACCAUGUAAAAAUGGAGAUUUUGGGACUUUUCACCUCGCGUUGGGGAAGCAACUAAGGUGAUGCUUACUUCCCGAACCGGUAUGAGUUUAACAACUGAGUUUUAGUCCUUGAAAACUUACAAAAAGGGUAGCUGAACCUCAUAAAUGCCCUUUUAAUGAUAUAGGUCAUCUACUCGACUUGCAAUACAAUGGCUCGUAGGAGAUAACUAACGAACGUCAGUGGAUCUAACAAUAAGAAUCCACUGAGACCAAAAGCUUAUCAAGUAUUGGCCAUUCAAAGCAAGUCAGAGGGAUUAAAAGCUUUACUUUGAAUGAAAACAUUUAUGGUGCUCAGCUACUUACAUUCAUGGCUUGGAAAUCUCCAUCCUGACACGGGAGCUUCACAUGGCAUCCAUUACUUCAAGAAACUAAAAGGUUUUAGCCUCUCAUCCUUGGGGAUUUCAUCCUCCAAGGAUGUUUGGCUACUAAGAAAAUGAGAAAAUAGAAGAGAGAAAAAGAAAAAACAAAAGAGAUCUCUGUAUUUCACUAAGUAACUAAUUUACAUUGGUCUCCUGGAGAAAGCUCCCCGAAAAGAUAUUGUUUUCAGUGAUUACAAGAGAAUUUAUAUAGGAAGGUAGUUUUACCCUUCCUUGGAUACUUCCUAGCUAAGGAAUUACAUGGUUGGUUGAAUACAAGGAGAAAAUGGAAAUUUAAACACAAAAAUAUCAGAAGAAGAAGAGUCGGCAAACAUAUCCAAUUUUCGCACGCUGAAGUUCCAAUUUCGCACGUUGAUUUGAGGUGUGCGAAAUUUUCGCACAGUGGACUGAGGAUUUCGCACCUUGAUUUCCAUCGUGCGAAAAUUUCGCAUAGCCUGAUGCAGUUGUCUUCCGAAGGCCAUAUCUUUCUCAUUUCAGCUCUAAAUCAUACAUGGUUUAAACCGUUGGAUUCUUGACUUUCUGAGCUUUGAAAUGGUAUAUAGAAUGUAAAAAAUGAACUUCGGGAAGUGCUCCAAAAGUGCAAUGAAAGACUGCAGCUGUGUCCCCUGUUUUCCUCUUCUCCAUUGUUUCUUCCUUGUAUACUUUGAACCACUAAGGCAAAGGAUUAUGAGGCUCCAUAGCUUGAUUUCUUCAUAAAUUUAAGCUUUCAAAAGCUUUGCUCUGAACUAUAAAUAGCUCUCCCUCAUUCUUAAAUUGCUUUGGUGAGCAUAAAGCUAUCAAAAAGCACCAAAACUUAACACAUUUGUUAGAAAUGAUUGCAAAGGUCCCUAAUAUGUUAAUUGAGUUAAAAGAUAAUAAUUACUACUCAAGGGUGUUUAAAAGAGCUAAUUACAAGCUACAAAAUAGCAUGUUUUGAGUAGUAAUCAGCACCCUAGGUCCACUUACACACCCUAGGUCCACUUAGGCACCCUAGGCCCAUUUAGGCACCCUAGGUCCAUUUAGGCACAUAAGGCUCAUUUAGGCACCCAUAGGCCUAUUUCGGCACCCUACCUCCACUUAGACACCUUAGGCCCAUUUUGGCACCCUAGGCUCAUUUAGGAACCCUUGGCCCAUUUAGGCACCCUAGGCCCACUUAGUAACCCUAAGCCCACUUAGACACCCUUGGCCCAUUUAGGCACCCUAGGUCCACUUUAGCACUCUAGUCCCAUUUAGGCACCCUAGGUCCACUUAGACACGCUAGGCACAUUUAAGCAGCCAAAGCCCACUUAGGCACCCUUGGGCCAUUUUGGAACCCUAGGCUCAUUUAGGCACCCUAGGUACACUUAGGCACCCUAAGCCCAUUUAGGCAUCCUUGGCCCAUUUAGGCACCUUAGGCCCACUUAGGCACCUAGGUCCACUUAGACACCUUAGGCCCAUUCAGGCACCCUAGGUCCACUUAGGCACUCUAGACCCAUUUAGGCACCCUAGGUCCACCUAGGCACCCUAGGCCCAUUUAGGCACCCUAGGUCCAUUUACGCACCCUUGGCCCAUUUAGGUACCCUAGGCCCAUUUAGGCACCCUAGGUCCAUUUAGGCACCUUAGAGUCAUUUAGGCAUCCAUAGGCCCAUUUAGGCACCCUAGGUCCACUUAGACUCCUUAGGCCCAUUUAGGCACCCUAAGCUCAUUUAGGCACCCUUGGCCAAUUUAGGCACCUAGGCCCACUUAGACACCCUAAACCCACUUAGACACGCAGCGCCCAUUUAGGCACCCUAGGUCCACUUAGGCACCUUAGGCCCACUUAGGCACCCUUGGCCCAUUUACGCACCUAGGUCCACUUAGGCACCCUAGGCCAAUUUAGGGACCCUAAGUCGACUUAGACACCUUACGGCCAUUUAGGCACCCUAGGCUCAUUUAGGGACCCUUCGCCCAUUUAGGCACCCUAGGUCCAUUUACGACCCUAGGUCAACUUAGGCACCCUAGGUCCAUUUAGGUACCCUAGGUCCACUUAGACAGCCUAGGCCCAUUUAGGCACCCUAGGCUCAUUUAGGCACCCUUGGCCCAUUUAGGCACCCUACGCCCAUUUAGGCACCCUAGGUCAACUUAGGCAACCUAGGUCCACUUAGGCACCCCAGGUCCAUUUAGGCACCCUUGGCCCAUUGAGGCACCCUAGGCCCACUUAGGCACCCUAGUCCCAUUUACGCACCCUAGGUCCAUUUACGCACCCUAGUCCCAUUUAGGCACCAUAGGUCCACUUAGACACCCUAGGCCCAUUUAGGCACCCUAAGCCCACUUAGGCACCCUUGGUCCAUUUAGGCACCCUAGGCUCAUUUAGGUACCCUAGGUCCACUUAGGCACCCUAGGCCCAUUUAGGCACCCUUGGUCCACUUAGGCACCCUAGGCCCAUUUAGGUACCCUAGGUCUAGUUAGGAACUCUAGACCCAUUUAGGCACCUUAGGCCCAUUUAGCCACCCUAGGUCCAAUUAGGCACCUUAGGCUUAUUUAGGCACCCUAGGCCCAUUUAGAAACCCUAUGUCCACUUAGACACCUUAUGCCCAUUUAGGCACCCUAGGUCCACGUAGGCACUCUAGACCCAUUAGGCACCCUAGGUUCACUUGGGCACCCUAGGCCCAUUUAGGCACCCUAGGUCCACUUUGGCACCAUAGGCCCAUUUAGCCACCCUAGGUCCACUUACACACCUUAGGCCCAUUUAGGCACCCUAGGCUCAUUUAGGCACCCUUGGCCCAUUUAGGCACUCUAGGCCCACUUAGACACCCUAAGCCCACUUAGACACACUGUGCCCAUUUAGGCACCCUAGGUCCACUUAGGCACCCUAGGCCCAUUUAGGCACCCUAGGUCUAUUUAGGCACAUAAGGCUCAUUUAGGCACCCAUAGGCCCAUUUAGGCACCCUAGGUCCACUUACACACCCUAGGCCCAUUUAGGCACCCUAGGCUCAUUUAGGCACCCUUCGCCUAUUUAGGCACCCUAGGCUCAUUUAGUCACCCUUGGCCCAUUUACGCACCCUAGGGCCACUUAGUAACCCUAAGCCCACUUAGACACCCUUGGCCCAUUUAGGCACCCUAGGUCCACUUAGGCACUCUACGCCCAUUUAGGCACCCUAGGUCCACUUAGACACGCUAGGCCCAUUGAAGCACCCUAAGCCCACUUAGGCACCCUUGGCCCAUUUAGGAACCCUAGGCUCAUUUAGGCACCCUAGGUCCACUUAGGCACCCUAAGCCCAUUUAGGCACUCUAGGUCCAAUUAGGUACUCUAGACCCAUUUAGGCACCCUAGGUCCACUUAGGCCCCCUUGGCCCAUUUAGUCACCCUAGGUCCAUUUAGGGACGCUUGGCCCAUUUAGGCACCUUAGGCCCACUUAGGCACCCUUGGCCCAUUUAGGCACCCUAGGUCCAUUUAGGCACCCCAGGCUCAUUUAGGCAUCCUAGGCCCAUUUAGGCACCCUAGGUCCAGUUAGACACCUUAGGCCCGUUUUGGCACCCUAGGUGCAGUUAGGCAUUCUAGACCCAUUAAGGCACCCUAGGUCCACUUAGGCAGCCUAGGCCCAUUUAGGCACCCUAGGUCCAUUUAGGCACCCUUGGCCCAUUUAGGUACCCUAGGCCCAUUUAGGCACCCUAGGUCCAUUUAGGCACCUUAGGGCAUUUAGGCAUCCAUAGGCCCACUUAGGCACCCUAGGUCCACUUAGACACCUUAGGCCCAUUUAGGCACCCUAGUGUCACAAGCUGAUCCAAAUGAGCCUCCCCAUGGCCUUAUAUAGGGCCAGGAAGCUUCUGGAGACUCCUAGAGUGGGAAGAGUGUGGAAGGUUCUAGAGAAGUCUGGAGGAAUCCACACAAUUCUACACUAUGGUGGAAGGCACAAGAGGAGUCCUGGGCUUUCUAGAGGAAUCUAGAAGACUCUUGUAUAUACUUGUAUAUAGGCUUGUAUCUAGAAUGAUGUAGGACAUUCUAGAAUAGUCUUGAGUUGUAAGGAACCCUCCAAGGUUCCAGAGAGUUCCAUUGGUGCCUAUAAAUAGGUGAGGGCCUCAUUUGGCCAAGGCACCAAGCAAGUGAGCAUCCAAGCACUUGUAAAGGCUUUCUUGAGUUAAUAGAGCUUCCAUUCUUUCAAGAGUUGCCUACCAAGCUUCUUAAGCUUUUUGAGUCGCAGGUGUCUUAGACGAGCAAGCUAAGCAUUGGGGAUCAAGGCUGACUUAGCAAGAUGAAGCGUCUUGGCUUGUCUAAGUGCCGCACGAGCUUAGUGAAUGACUAAGUCUGUGAUACUAGGCUCAUUUAGGCACCCUUGGCCCAUUUAGGCACCCUAGGCCCACUUAGACACCCUAAGCCCACUUAGACACGCUACGCCCAUUUAGGCACCCUAGGUCCACUUAGGCACCUUAGGCCCACUUAGGCACCCUAGACCCAUUUAGGCACCCUAGGUCCAAUUAGGCACCCUAAGCUCAUUUUGGCACCCUAGGCCCAUUUAGGAACCCUAUGUCCACUUAGACACCUUAGGCCCAUUUAGGCACCGUCGGUCCACUUAGGCACUCUAGACCCAUUUAGGCACCCUAGGUCUACUUAGGCACCCUAGGCCCAUUUAGGUACCCUAGGUCCAUUUAGGCACCCCUUGCCCAUUUAGGUACCCUAGGCCAACUUAGGUACCCUAGGACCAUUUAGGCACCCUAGGUCCAUUUAGGCACAGAAGGCUCAUUUAAGCACCCAUAGGCCCAUUUAGGCACCCUAGGUCCACUUAGACCCCUUAAGCCCAUUUAAGCACCCUAGGCUCAUUUAGGCACCCUUGGCCCAUUUAGGCACCCUUGGCUCAUUUAGGCACCCUUGGCCCAUUUAGGCACCCUAGUGUCACAGGAUGCUUAAAAUGACCCUCCCCAUGGGCUUAUAUAGGAGGAGGGAAGCUUUUGGAGACUCCUGGAGCCAUCUACACUAAGCCAUUGGUGGGAAGAGUGUGGAAGGUUCUAGAAAUGCCUAGAGAAGUCCACACAACUCUACACUAUGGUAGAAGGCACGAGAAGGGUCCAAAGCUUUCUAGAGAAAUCUAGAAGUCUCUUGAAUAUUCUAGAAUAGUGUAGGACAUUCUAGAAGUCUCUUGAAUAUUCUUGAAUAGUGUAGGACAUUCUAGAAUAUUCAUGAAUUGUAAGGAACCCUCUAAGGUUCUAGAGAGUUCCAUUGGUGCCUAUAAAUAGGUGAGGGCCUCAUUUGGCCAAGGCACCAAGCAAGUGAGCAUCCAAGCACUUGUAAAGGCUUUCUUGAGAUAAUAAAGCUUCCAUUCUUUAAGGAGUUGCCUACUAAGCUCUUAAGCUUUCGAGUCGCGAGUGUCUUAGUCAAGCAAGCUAAGCAUUGGGGAUCAAGGCUGACUUAGCAAGAUCAAGCGUCUUGACUUGCCUAAGUGCCGCACGAGCUUAUUGAACGACUAAGUCCGUGACAAGUGGUAUCAGAGCAUGGUUACAAGGUGGGCAUAGCAAAGGAAGCAUGUCGGGCUCUAACGUGGAGGAGACUAGUGAGCAAACCCGUGGAAGGGAGACCGAGCCUACUGCACGGGGCAGGGGUAGGAAGGAUAAAUCUCGUGAUGCCAUUGCCAACAUGGAGGCAAGGUUAGCCAAGGUGGAGCUAGCCAUGGCGGACACUCGGGAGGGGUUGGACUUGAUCGAGCAAGGCAUGGAGAAGGGCUUAGAGGAUCUAAGGGAACAGAUCCAAGACCUUCGUGAGAGGGUGCUAGUCUCAAAAGUUCAGCCAGUGUCGCACGAGGAGUUUGUGUCCUUCCAAGGAAAGGUCUUGAGCAUGCUUGCUAGCAUGGAGUCAAGGAUAGAGGCCUUGACCACUCGAAUGGAGUCCCGAGACCAGGAAGUUAGGCAGGAGUUGGCCAUUUACAAGGCUGCUGUGUCGGCACGGGUCAUGGCCACACAAGGGGCAUCUAGGGUGGAGGUGCCGAAGCCACAAGGGUUUAGUGGCAAGAGGGAUGCCAAGGAGUUAGAUAACUUCUUAUGGCAUAUGGAGCGAUACUUCGAAGCUAUCGCAUUGACGGAUGAGGCGGCUAAGGUGAGAAUUGCGACCCUCUACCUUACUGACACAGCUACUCUAUGGUGGCGUCGAAGGUUUGCCGAUAUGGAGAAAGGCAUUUGCACCAUAAAGACGUGGGAGGACUUCAAGAAGGAGAUCAAGAGGCAGUUCUACCCCGAGGACGUGGCUUACCUGGCUAGGAAAAACAUGAGGCGUCUCAAGCACACAGGCUCGAUACGUGAAUAUGUCAAGGAAUUCUCUUCGCUCAUGCUUGAGAUUCCUAACAUGACUCAGGAAGAGUUGCUAUUCAACUUCAUGGAUAACCUGCAAGGGUGGGCCGAGCAGGAAUUAAGGCGCCGGGGCGUUCAAGACUUAGCCACUGCUAUGGCAAUAGCAGAAUCUUUAGCGGAUUAUAAGAGGGGAGACUCCUCCAAGAUUGAGUCUUUAGAGGAUAGCCACGCCAUGGGUGGGGGAGACGAGGAUCUAAUGGACCACAAUGCUCCUAAAAAGGGAUCAAGCAAGACGCCUAACGUCCAAGAAGGAAGGGGUAAGGCGGCAAGCAAGGAGUUCACGCCUAAAAUCAAAUGCUUCCUAUGUGACGGACCACAUUGGGCACGGGAUUGUCCAAAGAGGAAGGCGCUUAGUGCCAUGAUCGAGGAGAGGGAGCAGGAGGAUGAAGCACAUAUGGGCUCAAUGCAGCUACUAGGUGCCCUCCAAUUCAACCCGAAGCCUAGUACGCCUGAGACCUCCUUACUAGCAGGCGUGCAAGUAAAGGAGGAAAAAGGGGAGCGAGCUGAGGUAGCCCACACACGCAUGGAAGAAGUCACCAAGGGAAAGGUGAACUCAAUGGGUAAAAGGAAGCAGCACUCUAAGCAUCGAAAGCGCAUGGGUCUGCAUCCAUCUAAGGCCUCACGGGAGAAGGAGGUGAAGAAUAUCCUAGCUGAACGGGUCACUAGGAGACAAGGGGUCCCUCCUGUGAUAGAGUAUCUAGUCCGAUGGAAAGGACUACCUAAGAGGCCGCUAAGCUGGGAACAUGCGGAUGCCUUGAGAAAAUUCUGGAAACACAUCGAGAGGUUUCAGAAUGAGGCAACGACGAGGACGUCGACGGCAUCGGUGGGGGAGAGUGUCACAGGAUGCUUAAAAUGACCCUCCCCAUGGGCUUAUAUAGGAGGAGGGAAGCUUUUGGAGACUCCUGGAGCCAUCUACACUAAGCCAUUGGUAGGAAGAGUGUGGAAGGUUCUAGAAAUGCCUAGAGAAGUCCACACAACUCUACACUAUGGUAGAAGGCAUGAGAAGGGUCCAAAGCUUUCUAGAGAAAUCUAGAAGUCUCUUGAAUAUUCUAGAAUAGUGUAGGACAUUCUAGAAGUCUCUUGAAUAUUCUAGAAUAGUGUAGGACAUUCUAGAAUAUUCAUGAAUUGUAAGGAACCCUCCAAGGUUCUAGAGAGUUCCAUUGGUGCCUAUAAAUAGGUGAGGGCCUCAUUUGGCCAAGGCACCAAGCAAGUGAGCAUCCAAGCACUUGUAAAGGCUUUCUUGAGAUAAUAAAGCUUCCAUUCUUUAAGGAGUUGCCUACUAAGCUCUUAAGCUUUCGAGUCGCGAGUGUCUUAGCCGAGCAAGCUAAGCAUUGGGGAUCAAGGCUGACUUAGCAAGAUCAAGCGUCUUGACUUGCCUAAGUGCCGCACGAGCUUAGUGAACGACUAAGUCCGUGACACUAGGCCCACUUAGUAACCCUAAGCACACUUAGACACCCUUGGCCCAUUUAGGCACCCUAGGUCCACUUGGGCACUCUAGGCCCAUUUAGGCACCCUAGGUCCACUUAGACACGCGAGGCCCAUUUAAGCACCCUAAGUCCACUUAGGCACCCUUGGCCCAUUUAGGAACCCUAGGCUCAUUUAGGCACCCUAGGUCCACUUAGGGACCCUAAGCCCAUUUAGGCACUCUAGGUCAUAUUAGGCACUCUUGACCCAUUUAGGCACCCUAGGCCCAUUUAUGCACCCUAGGUCCAUUUAGGCACCGUUGGCCCAUUUAGGCACCCUAGGCCCACUUAGGCAACCUUGGCCCAUUUAGGCACCCUAGGUCCAUUUAAACACCCUAGGCUCAUUUAGGCACCCUAGGCCCAUUUAGGCACCCUAGGUCCAAUUAGACACCUUAGGCCCAUUUUGGCACCCUAGGUUCACUUAGGCAUUCUAGACCCAUUUAGGCACCCUAGGUCUACUUAGGCACCCUAGGCCCAUUUAGGCACCCUAGGUCCAUUUAAGCAUCCUUAGCCCAUUUAGGUACCCUAGGCCCAUUUAGGCCCCCUAGGUCCAUUUAGGCCCCCUAGGUCCAUUUAGGCCCCCUAGGUCCAUUUAGGCAUCUUAGGGUCAUUUAGGCAUCCAUAGGCCCAUUUAGGCACCCUAGGUCCACUUAGCCACCUUAGGCCCAUUUAGGCACCCUACGCUCAUUUAGGCACCCUUGGCACAUUUAAGCACCGUAGGCCCACUUAGACACCCUAAGCCCACUUAGACACACUGCACCCAUUUAGGCACCCUAGGUCCACUAAGGCACCUUAGGCCCAUUUAGGCACCCUAGGUCCACUUAGACACCUUAGGCCCAUUUAGGCACCCUAGGCUCAUUUAGGCACCCUUGGCCCAUUUAGGUACCCUAGGCCCAUUUAGGCACACUUGGUCCACUUAGGCACCCUAGGUUCACUUAGGCACCCCAGGUCCAUUUAGGCACCCUUGGCCCAUUUAGGCACCCUACGCCCACUUAGGCACCCUAGGCCCAUAUAGGCACCCUAGGUCCAUUUAGGCACCCUAGGCCCAUUUAGACCCCUUAGGCCCAUUUAGGCACCCUAACCCCACUUAGGCACGCUUGGCCCAUUAGGCACCCUAGCCUCAUUUAGGCACCCUAGGUCCACUUAGGCACCCUAGGCCCAUUCAGGCACCCUUGGUCCACUUAGGCACCCUAGGCCCAUUUAGGCACCCUAAGUCCAAUUAGGCUCUCUAGACCCAUUUAGGCACCUUAGGCAUCCUUGACCCAGUUAUGCACCCUAGGUCCACUUAGACACCUUAGGCCCACCUAGGCACCCUAGGCCCAUUUAGGCACCCUAGGUCCAAUUAGGCACCCUACGCUCAUUUUGGCACCCUAGGCCUAUUUAGGAACCCUAUGUCCACUUAGACAACUUAGGCCCAUUUAGGCACCUUAGGUCCACUUAGGCACUCUAGACCCAUUUAGGCACCUUAGGUUUACUUAGGCACCCUAGACCCAUUUAGGUACCCUAGGUCCAUUUAGGCACCCUUUGCCCAUUUAGGUACCGUAGGCCCACUUAGGUACCCUAGGACUAUUUAGGCAUCCUAGGUCCAUUUAGGCACAUAAGGCUCAUUUAAGCACCCAUAGGCCCAUUUAGGCACCCUAGGUCCACUUAGACACCUUAGGGCUAUUUAGGCACCUUAGGCUCAUUUAGGCACCCUUGGCUCAUUUAGGCACCCUAGGCUCAUUUAGGCACCCUUGGUCCAUUUAGGCACAUAAGGCUCAUUUAAGCACCCAUAGGCCCAUUUAGGCACCCUAGGUCCACUUAGACACCUUAGGGCUAUUUAGGCACCUUAGGCUCAUUUAGGCACCCUUGGCUCAUUUAGGCACCCUAGGCUCAUUUAGGCACCCUUGGUCCAUUUAGGCACAUAAGGCUCAUUUAAGCACCCAUAGGCCCAUUUAGGCACCCUAGGUCCACUUAGACACCUUAGGGCUAUUUAGGCACCUUAGGCUCAUUUAGGCACCCUUGGCUCAUUUAGGCACCCUAGGCUCAUUUAGGCACCCUUGGCCCAUUUAGGCACCCUUGGCCCAUUUCGGCACCCUAGGCCCAUUUAGUAACCCUAAGCCCACUUAGACACCCUUGGCCCAUUUAGGCACCCUAGGUCCACUUAGGCAUUCUAGGCCCAUUUAGGCACCCUAGGUCCACUUAGACACGCUAGGCCCAUUUAAGCACCGUAAGCCCACUUAGGCACCUUUGUCCCAUUUAGGAACCCUAGGCUCAUUUAGGCACCCUAGGUCUACUUAGGCACCCUAAGCCCAUUUAAGCACUCUAGGUCAUAUUAGGCACUCUAGACCCAUUUAGGCACCCUAGGUCCACUUAGGCACCCUAGGCCCAUUUAUGCACCCUAGGUCCAUUUAGGCACCCUUGGCUCAUUUAGGCACCCUAGGCCCACUUAGGCACCCUUGGCCCAUUUAGGCACCCUAGGUCCAUUUAGCCACCCUAGGCUCAUUUAGGCACCCUAGGCCCAUUUAGGCACCCUAGGUCCAAUUAGACACCUUAUGCCCAUUUUGGCACCCUAGGUCCACUUAGGCAUUCUAGACCCAUUUAGGCACCCUAGGUCCACUUAGUCACCUUAGGCCCAUUUAGGCACCCUAGGUCCAUUUUGGCAUCCUUAGCCCAUUUAGGUACCCUAGGCCCAUUUAGGCCCCCUACGUCCAUUUAGGCACCUUAGGGUCAUUUAGGCAUCCAUAGGCCCAUUUAGGCUCUUUAGGUCGACUUAGCCACCUUAGGCCCAUUUAGGCACCCUACGCUCAUUUAGGCACCCUUGGCCCAUUUAGGCACCCUAGGCCCACUUAGACACCCUAAGCCCACACGCUGUGCCUAUUUAGGCACCCUAGGUCCACUUAGGCACCCUAGGCCCAUUUAGGCACCCCGGGUCCAUUAAGGCACCCUUGGCCUAUUUAGGUACCCUAUGCCCAUUUAGGCACCCUAGGUCCAUUUGGGCACCUUAGGGUCAUUUGGGCAUCCAUAGGCCCAUUUAGGCACCCUAGGUGCACUUAGACACCCUUGGCCCAUUUAGGCACCCUAGGCCCACUUAGACACCCCACGCCCACUUAGACACGCUACGCCCAUUUAGGCACCCUAGGUCCACUUAGGCACCAUAGGCCCACUUAGGCACCCCAGGUCCAUUUAGGCACCCUUGGCCCGUUUAGGCACCCUACGCCCACUUAGGCACCCUAGGCCCAUUAAAGCACCCAAGUCCAUUUAAGCACCCUAGGUCCAUUUAAGCACCCUNNNNNNNNNNNNNNNNNNNNNNNNNNNNNNNNNNNNNNNNNNNNNNNNNNNNNNNNNNNNNNNNNNNNNNNNNNNNNNNNNNNNNNNNNNNNNNNNNNNNUAGUCCAUUUGGCAUCCUUAGCCUUUAGGUACCUUAGGUCCAUUUAGGCCCCUUACGGCCAGUUAGGCACCAAGAGUCAUUUAGGCAUCCAUAGUCCCAUUAGGCUCUUUAGGUCGAUUUAGACACUUAGGCCCAUUUAGGCAACCNUACGGUCAUUUAGGCACCCUUGGCCCAUAUAGGCACCGUAGGCCCACUUAGACACCCUAAGCCACACGCUGUGCCUAAUUAGGCACCUUAGGUCCAAAUAGGCACCCUAGGCCCAUUUAGGCACCCCGGGUCCAUUAAGGCACCCUUGGCCUAUUUAGGUACCCUAUGCCCAUUUAGGCACCCUAGGUCCAUUUGGGCACCUUAGGGUCAUUUGGGCAUCCAUAGGCCCAUUUAGGCACCCUAGGUGCACUUAGACACCCUUGGCCCAUUUAGGCACCCUAGGCCCACUUAGACACCCCACGCCCACUUAGACACGCUACGCCCAUUUAGGCACCCUAGGUCCACUUAGGCACCAUAGGCCCACUUAGGCACCCCAGGUCCAUUUAGGCACCCUUGGCCCGUUUAGGCACCCUACGCCCACUUAGGCACCCUAGGCCCAUUUAGGCACCCAAGGUCCAUUUAGGCACCCUAGGCCCAUUUAGGCACCCUAGGUCCACUUAGACACCUUAGGCCCAUUUAGGUACCCUAAGCCCACUUAGGCACCCUAGGCCCAUUUAGGCACCCUAAGUCCAAUUAGGCUCUCUAGACCCAUUUAGGCACCUUAGGCAUCCUUGGCCCAGUUAUGCACCCUAGGUCCACUUAGACACCUUAGGCCCACUUAGGCACCCUAGGCCCAUUUAGGCACCCUAGGUCCAAUUAGGCACCCUACGCUCAUUUUGGCACCCUAGGCCUAUUUAGGAACCCUAUGUCCACUUAGACAACUUAGGCCCAUUUAGGCACCUUAGGUCCACUUAGGCACUCUAGACCCAUUUAGGCACCUUAGGUCUACUUAGGCACCCUAGACCCAUUUAGGUACCCUAGGUCCAUUUAGGCACCCUUUGCCCAUUUAGGUACCGUAGGCCCACUUAGGUACCCUAGGACUAUUUAGGCAUCCUAGGUCCAUUUAGGCACAUAAGGCUCAUUUAAGCACCCAUAGGCCCAUUUAGGCACCCUAGGUCCACUUAGACACCUUAGGGCUAUUUAGGCACCUUAGGCUCGUUUAGGCACCCUUGGCUCAUUUAGGCACCCUAGGCUCAUUUAGGCACCCUUGGCCCAUUUAGGCACCCUUGGCCCAUUUCGGCACCCUAGGUCCAUUUAGUAACCCUAAGCCCACUUAGACACCCUUGGCCCAUUUAGGCACCCUAGGUCCACUUAGGCAUUCUAGGCCCAUUUAGGCACCCUAGGUCCACUUAGACACGCUAGGCCCAUUUAAGCACCGUAAGCCCACUUAGGCACCCUUGUCCCGUUUAGGAACCCUAGGCUCAUUUAGGCACCCUAGGUCUACUUAGGCACCCUAAGCCCAUUUAAGCACUCUAGGUCAUAUUAGGCACUCUAGACCCAUUUAGGCACCCUAAGUCCACUUAGGCACCCUAGGCCCAUUUAUGCACCCUAGGUCCAUUUAGGCACCCUUGGCUCAUUUAGGCACCCUAGGCCCACUUAGGCACCCUUGGCCCAUUUAGGCACCCUAGGUCCAUUUAGCCACCCUAGGCUCAUUUAGGCACCCCAGGCCCAUUUAGGCACCCUAGGUCCAAUUAGACACCUUAUGCCCAUUUUGGCACCCUAGGUCCACUUAGGCAUUCUAGACCCAUUUAGGCACCCUAGGUCCACUUAGUCACCUUAGGCCCAUUUAGGCACCCUAGGUCCAUUUUGGCAUCCUUAGCCCAUUUAGGUACCCUAGGCCCAUUUAGGCCCCCUACGUCCAUUUAGGCACCUUAGGGUCAUUUAGGCAUCCAUAGGCCCAUUUAGGCUCUUUAGGUCGACUUAGCCACCUUAGGCCCAUUUAGGCACCCUACGCUCAUUUAGGCACCCUUGGCCCAUUUAGGCACCCUAGGCCCACUUAGACACCAUAAGCCCACACGCUGCGCCUAUUUAGGCACCCUAGGUCCACUUAGGCACCCUAGGCCCAUUUAGGCACCCCGGGUCCAUUAAGGCACCCUUGGCCUAUUUAGGUACCCUAUGCCCAUUUAGGCACCCUAGGUCCAUUUGGGCACCUUAGGGUCAUUUGGGCAUCCAUAGGCCCAUUUAGGCACCCUAGGUGCACUUAGACACCCUUGGCCCAUUUAGGCACCCUAGGCCCACUUAGACACCCCACGCCCACUUAGACACGCUACGCCCAUUUAGGCACCCUAGGUCCACUUAGGCACCAUAGGCCCACUUAGGCACCCUAGGUCCACUUAGGCACCCCAGGUCCAUUUAGGCACCCUUGGCCCGUUUAGGCACCCUACGCCCACUUAGGCACCCUAGGCCCAUUUAGGCACCCAAGGUCCAUUUAGGCACCCUAGGCCCAUUUAGGCACCCUAGGUCCACUUAGACACCUUAGGCCCAUUUAGGUACCCUAAGCCCACUUAGGCACCCUUGGCCCAUUUAGGCACUCUAGGCUCAUUUGGGCACCCUAGGUCCACUUAGGCACCCUAGGCCCAUUUAGGCACCCUUGGUACACUUAGGCACCCUAGGCCCAUUUAGUCACCCUAAGUCCAGUUAGGCACUCUAGACCCAUUUAGGCACCUUAGGCCCACUUAGGCAUUGUUGGCCCAUUUAGGCACCCUAGGUCCACUUAGACACCUUUGGCCCACUUAAGCACCCUAGGCCCUUUUAGGCGCCCUAGGUCCCUUUAGGAACCCUUGGCUCAUUUAGGCACCCUAGGCCCACUUAGGCACCCUAGGCCCAUUUAGGCACUCUAGGUCCAUUUAGGCACCUUAGGCUCAUUUAGGCACCUUAGGCCCAUUUAGGAACCCUAUGUCUACUUAGACACCUUUUGCCCAUUUAGGCACCCUAGGUCCACUUAGGCACUCUAGACCCAUUUAGGCACCCUAGGUCCACUUAGGCACCCUAGGCCCAUUUAGGCACCUUAGGUCCAUUUAGGCUCUCUAGGCCCAUUUCGGCACCAUAGGUCCACUAAGACACGCUAGGCACAUUUAAGCACCUAAGCACCCUAGGCACAUUUACGAACCUAAGGCUCAUUUAGGCACUCAUGGGCCCAUUUAGGCCCCCUAGGUCCACUUAGACACCUUAGGCUCAUUUAGGCACCCGAGGCUCAUUUAGGCACCCUUGGCCCAUUUAGGCACCUAGGCUCAUUUAGGCACCUUUGGCCCAUUUAGGCACCCUAGGCCCACUUAGACACCCUGAGCCCACUUAGACAUCCUUGGCCCAUUUAGGCACCCUAGGUCCAAUUAGGCUCUCUAGGCCCAUUUCGGCACCCUAGGUCCACUAAGACACGCUAGGAACAUUUAAGCACCCUAAGCCCACUUAGGCACCCUUGGCCCAUUUACGAACCCUAGGCUCAUUUAGGCACCAUAGGUCCACUUAGGUACCCUAGGCCCAUUUAGGCAUUCUAGGUCCAAUUAGGCACUUUAGACCCAUUUGGGCACCCUAGGUCCACUUAGGCACCCUAGGCCCAUUUAGGCACCCUAGGUCCACUCAGGCACCCUAGGCCGAUUUAGGCACCCUUGGUCCACUUAAGCACCCUAGGCCCAUUUUGGCACCCUAGGUCCAGUUAGCCACUCUAGACCCAUUUAGGCACCUUAGGUCCACUUAAGCAUCCUUGGCCCAUUUUGGCACCCUAGGUCCACUUAGGCACUCUAGUCCCAUUUAGGCACCCUAGGUCCACUUAGGCACCCUAGGCCCAUUUAGGCACCCUAGGUCCAUUUAGGCACCCUAGGUCCAUUUAGGCACCCUAGGUCCAUGUAGGCACCCUAGGCUCAUUUAGGCACCCUAGGCCAAUUUAGACACCCUAGGUCCACUUAGACAGCUUAGGCCCAUUUAGGCACCCUAGGUCCACUUAGGCACCCUUGGCCCAUUAAGGCACCCUAGGUCCAUUUAGGCACCCUUGGCCCAUUUAGGUACCCUAGGCCCAUUUAGGCACCUUAGGUCCAUUUAGGCAGCUUAGUGUCACAAGAUGCUUCAAAUGACCCUCCCCAUGGCUUAUAUAGGAGGUGAGAAGCUUCUAGAGACCCUUGGAGACAUCCACACUUAGCCACUAGUGGGAAGAGUGUGGAAGGUUCUAGAAAUGCCUAGAGAAGUCCACACAACUCUACACUAUGGUAGAAGGCAUGAGAAGGGUCCAAAGCUUUCUAGAGAAAUCUAGAAGUCUCUUGAAUAUUCUAGAAUAGUGUAGGACAUUCUAGAAGUCUCUUGAAUAUUCUAGAAUAGUGUAGGACAUUCUAGAAUAUUCAUGAAUUAUAAGGAACCCUCCAAGGUUCUAGAGAGUUCCAUUGAUGCCUAUAAAUAGGUGAGGGCCUCAUUUGGCCAAGGCACCAAGCAAGUGAGCAUCCAAGCACUUGUAAAGGCUUUCUUGAGAUAAUAAAGCUUCCAUUCUUUAAGGAGUUGCCUACUAAGCUCUUAAGCUUUCGAGUCGCGAGUGUCUUAACCGAGCAAGCUAAGCAUUGGGGAUCAAGGCUGACUUAGCNNNNNNNNNNNNNNNNNNNNNNNNNNNNNNNNNNNNNNNNNNNNNNNNNNNNNNNNNNNNNNNNNNNNNNNNNNNNNNNNNNNNNNNNNNNNNNNNNNNNGCACCUUAGGUCCAUUUUUGCAGCUUAGUGUCACAAGAUGCUUCAAAUGACCCUCCCCAUGGCUUAUAUAGGAGGUGAGAAGCUUCUAGAGACCCUUGGAGACAUCCACACUUAGCCACUAGUGGGAAGAGUGUGGAAGGUUCUAGAAAUGCCUAGAGAAGUCCACACAACUCUACACUAUGGUAGAAGGCAUGAGAAGGGUCCAAAGCUUUCUAGAGAAAUCUAGAAGUCUCUUGAAUAUUCUAGAAUAGUGUAGGACAUUCUAGAAGUCUCUUGAAUAUUCUAGAAUAGUGUAGGACAUUCUAGAAUAUUCAUGAAUUAUAAGGAACCCUCCAAGGUUCUAGAGAGUUCCAUUGAUGCCUAUAAAUAGGUGAGGGCCUCAUUUGGCCAAGGCACCAAGCAAGUGAGCAUCCAAGCACUUGUAAAGGCUUUCUUGAGAUAAUAAAGCUUCCAUUCUUUAAGGAGUUGCCUACUAAGCUCUUAAGCUUUCGAGUCGCGAGUGUCUUAACCGAGCAAGCUAAGCAUUGGGGAUCAAGGCUGACUUAGCAAGAUCAAGCGUCUUGACUUGCCUAAGUGCCGCACGAGCUUAGUGAACGACUAAGUCCGUGACAAGUGGCAUCAGAGCGUGGCUACGAAGCGGGCAUAAGGGAAGCAUGUCGGGCUCUAACGUGGAGGAGACUAGCGAACAAACCCGUGGGAGGGAGGCCGAGCCUACUGCAUGGGGCAGGGGCAGAGGUAAGAAGGAUACAUCUCGUGAUGUUGUUGCCAACAUGGAGGCAAGGUUAGGCAAGGUGGAGCUAGCCAUGGCAGACACCCGGGAAGGGGUGGACUUGAUCGAGCAAGGCAUGGAGAAGGGCUUAGAGGAUCUAAGGGAGCAGAUCCAAGACCUUCGCGAGGGGGUGCUGGUCUCGCAAGUUCAACCGGUGUCACACGAGGAGUUCAUGUCUUUCCAAGACAAAGUCAUGAGCAUGUUCGCUAGUGUGGAGUCAAGGAUGGAGGCCUUGACUACACGAGUGGAGGCCCGAGACCAAGAGAUUCGACAAGAGUUGGCCAUCUAUAAGACCGCUGUAUCAGCACGAGUCAUGGCCACUCAUGAGGCACCAAGGGUGGAGGUGCCCAAGCCACACACGUUCAGUGGCAAGAGGGAUGCCAGGGAGCUAGAUAACUUCUUGUGGCACAUGGAGCGUUACUUUGAGGCAAUUGCAUUAACGGAUGAAGCCACUAAGGUACGCACCGCGACCCUUUACCUCACUGAUAAUGCUACUCUAUGGUGGCGUCGACGAUUUGCCGACAUAGAGAGAGGGACGUGCACCAUAGACACAUGGGAUGCCUUUAAGAGAGAAAUCAAGAGGCAAUUCUAUCCCGAAGACGUGGCUUACCUAGCAAGGAAGAGUUUGAAGCGUCUCAAGCACACGGGCUCGAUCCGUGAGUAUGUCAAAGAAUUCUCUACUCUUAUGCUUGAGAUACCUAACAUGGCUGAGGAGGAGCUACUGUUCAACUUCAUGGACAACUUGCAAAGUUGGGCCGAGCAAGAGUUGAGGAGACGUGGUGUCCAAGACCUAGCCACGGCCAUGGCAGUAGCCGAGUCCUUAGUAGAUUAUAGAAGGGGAGACUCCUCCAAGCCCAAGCCACCAUCCAAGGGUAACCAGGCCAAAGGUGGGGGAGACAAGAGGUCGCAAGGCCAUACCUCUAAGGAAGGAUCAAGCAAAGGCCCUAGUGGCAAGGAUGGCAAAGGCAAGGACAAGCGAAAGGAGUUCACGCCCAGGACCAAUUGCUUCCUGUGCGAUGGUCCGCACUGGGCACGGGACUGCCCUAAGAGGAAGGCCUUAAAUGCUAUGAUCGAGGAAAAGGAGCAAGAAGGCGAUGCUAAGAUGGGAUCGUUGCAGCUCUUAAAUGCCCUUAAGGCCAAGCCGAUGCCUAAGACGCCUCAAAGCAAAGGGCUGAUGUAUGUGGAGGCCCUUGUGAAUGAGAAGGCCACCAAGGCCCUGGUGGACACAGGUGCCACUCACAACUUUGUCUCGGAGGAUGAGGCAAGAAGGUUGGAGCUCCAAGCAUCCAAGGAAGGAGGAUGGCUCAAGGCAGUCAAUUCAGCCGCCAAGCCAUCACAUGGAGUAGCUCGCGGGGUGACUAUGCACAUUGGCUCGUGGGAAGGAAGGGUCGACUUCACAGUGGCACCCAUGGAUGACUUCAAGAUGGUGCUAGGAAUGGACUUCCUACAGAAGGUCAAGGCCGUGCCACUACCUUUCCUAUGCUCAAUGGCUAUCCUAGAGGAGGAGAAGUCGUGCAUGGUCCCUACGGUCAAUGAAGGUACGCUCAAGACCCCUAUGUUAUCCGCUAUGCAAGUAAAGAAGGGGUUAAAGAGGGAAGAGGUGACCUACCUCGCCACCCUAAAGGAAGAAAAGGAUGAUGGGUCGGGAGAACCCAUGCCUAGAGAAAUCGAGGGGGUCCUUGAUGAGUUCAAGGACGUUAUGCCGCCCGAGUUGCCCAAAAGACUUUCUCCUAGGAGAGAGGAAGAUCACAAGAUUGAGCUGGAGCCGGGAGCCAAGCCCCCUGCUAUGGGGCCAUAUAGGAUGGCACCACCCGAGUUGGAGGAGCUAAGGAGACAACUCAAGGAGUUGCUAGAUGCGGGGUUCAUCCAACCAUCCAAGGCUCCUUAUGGCGCGCCGGUUCUAUUUCAGAAAAAGCAUGAUGGGUCCCUACGAAUGUGCAUAGAUUACCGGGCACUCAACAAGGUGACGGUGAAGAACAAGUAUCCCAUCCCGCUCAUUGCUGACUUGUUCGAUCAACCUGGUAGGGCAAGGUACUUCACGAAGCUAGACUUAAGGUUAGGCUACUACCAAGUGAGGAUUGCUGAGGGAGAUGAGCCGAAGACUACAUGUGUGACCAGGUAUGGCUCAUAUGAGUUCUUAGUAAUGCCUUUCGGAAUCACCAAUGCCCCAGCAACGUUUUGCACCCUCAUGAACAAGAUCUUCCACCCAUACUUGGACAAGUUUGUGGUGGUGUACUUGGAUGACAUAGUCAUCUAUAGUAACACUCUAAAGGAGCACGUAGAGCACUUGAGGAAGGUCUUUAAGAUCUUGAGGCAGAACGAGCUAUACGUGAAGAAGGAGAAGUGUUCGUUUGCUAAGGAGGAAGUGAGCUUCCUUGGGUAUCGCAUCAGAGAUGGCAAGCUGAUGAUGGAUGAUAGCAAGGUGAAGGCCAUCCAAGAAUGGGAUUCACCAACCAAGGUACCUCAACUCAGAUCUUUCCUUGGUUUAGUUAAUUACUAUCGGCGGUUCAUAAAGGGUUAUUCGGCAAGGGCUGCUCCACUCACUGAUCUUCUGAAGAAGAAUAAGGCAUGGGAAUGGGAUGAAAGGUGCCAACAAGCCUUUGAGGACCUGAAGAAGGUUGUGACUGAGGAGCCAGUGUUGGCACUACCCGACCACACCAAGGUCUUGGAGGUACACACAGAUGCCUCAGACUUCGCUAUUGGGGGAGUCCUUAUGCAAGAAAGACACCCAAUUGCAUUUGAGAGUCGCAAGCUAAACGACGCGGAGAGGCGUUACACGGUGCAAGAAAAGGAGAUGACCGCUAUCGUUCACUGCUUGCGCACCUGGAGGCACUAUUUGCUAGGGUCUCACUUCAUAGUGAAGACCGACAAUGUGGCCACUAGCUACUUCCAGACACAGAAGAAGCUGAGUCCUAAACAAGCUAGGUGGCAAGACUUCCUGGCCGAGUUCGACUAUACGCUGGAGUAUAAGCCAGGAAGUGCUAAUCAUGUGGCUGACGCCGUAAGUCCCAAAGCUGAGCUAGCGUCCAUAACGAGUCAGCCCCAAGGAGACAUAAUGGAUCUUCUAAGGGAGGGACUGUAACAUAAUCCAGUGGCUAAGAGCCUCAUCGCCCUGGCUCAUGAAGGGAAGACCAAGCGGUUUUGGGUGGAGGACGGCUUACUCUACACCAAAGGGAGACGACUCUACGUGCCUAAGUGGGGGAACAUAAGGCGGAACCUGAUUAAGGAGUGCCAUGACACCAAGUGGGCAGGGCACCCUGGGCAACGACGCACUAGGGCACUACUCGAGUCGGCUUACUAUUGGCCUCAGAUACGGGACGAGGUUGAGGCCUAUGUGAGGACUUGUCUUGUGUGCCAACAAGACAAGGUGGAACAACGACAACCUAGAGACAUGUUAGAGCCACUACCUGUAGCAGAACGCCCAUGGGACAGCGUCACCAUGGACUUCAUCAUCGGGCUACCUAAGUUAGAGGACAACGACUCUAUCAUAGUGGUGGUGGAUAGGUUCUCUAAGUAUGCAACCUUCAUAGCAGCCCCGACUGACUGCACUGCGGAAGAGACGGCGAGGCUAUUCCUAAAGCACGUAGUCAAGUAUUGGGGGUUGCCUAAGUUCAUCAUCAGUGAUCGCGACCCGCGCUUCACUGGGAAGUUUUGGACGAAGCUCUUCAAGCUUAUGGGUUCGGAGCUUCACUUCUCCACCAGCUUUCACCCACAGACAGAUGGGCAGACUGAGAGGGUGAACGCCUUGCUGGAGCUAUACUUGAGGCACUUUGUGAGUGCCAACCAGAGGGAUUGGGCUAAGUUGCUAGAUAUAGCCCAGUUCUCAUACAACUUGCAAAGGAGUGAGGCGACCAACAAGAGCCCGUUCGAGCUAGCCACAAGGCAGCAACCCUUAACUCCUCACACGCUAACGAUAGGCUACACAGGGAGAAGUCCAGCGGCUUUCAAGUUCGCGAAGGGGUGGCAUGAGUAAGCUGACAUAGCACGCUCGUACUUGGACAAGGCCGCUAAGAAAAUGAAGAAGUGGGCUGACAAGAAGCGACGUCACACGGAGUACAAGGUUGGAGACAUGGUGCUUGUCAAGCUCCUUCCUCAACAAUUCAAAUCCCUAAGGCCAGUGCAUAAGGGCCUUGUGAGGAGGUAUGAAGGACCCUUCCCUAUACUUGGAAAGGUCGGCAAGGUGUCCUACAAAGUGGAGUUACCGCCAAGGUUAAAGAUUCACCUUGUCUUCCACAUGAGUUACUUGAAGCCAUAUCACGAAGACAAGGAUGAUCCAAGCCGAGGGCUUUCUAAGAGGGCACCUACAGCGGUUGUGACCUCCUAUGACAAGGAGGUGGAACACAUCAUUGCAGACCGAAUCAUCAGAAGGCGUGGUGUGCCUCCUGCUACGGAGUACUUAGUGAAAUGGAAGGGACUACCAGAAAGCGAGGCUAGUUGGGAGCCAGCAAAUGCACUAUGGCAGUUCCAGGAACAGAUUGAGCGGUUCCGGGCAGAAGACACGACGAGGACGUCUGCGGCUUAGGUGGGGGAGAGUGUCACAAGAUGCUUCAAAUGACCCUCCCCAUGGCUUAUAUAGGAGGUGAGAAGCUUCUAGAGACCCUUGGAGACAUCCACACUUAGCCACUAGUGGGAAGAGUGUGGAAGGUUCUAGAAAUGCCUAGAGAAGUCCACACAACUCUACACUAUGGUAGAAGGCAUGAGAAGGGUCCAAAGCUUUCUAGAGAAAUCUAGAAGUCUCUUGAAUAUUCUAGAAUAGUGUAGGACAUUCUAGAAGUCUCUUGAAUAUUCUAGAAUCGUGUAGGAGAUUCUAGAGAGUUCCAUUGGUGCCUAUAAAUAGGUGAGGGCCUCAUUUGGCCAAGGCACCAAACAAAGUGAGCAUCCAAGCACUUGUAAAGGCUUCUUUGAGUAAUAAGAGCUUCCAUUAUUUAAAAGUUGCCUACUACACUUCUCAGCUUCCGAGUCGUGAGCAUCUUAGCCUAGCAAGCUAAGUGUCGGGGGUAAGGCUGACUUAGCAAGANNNNNNNNNNNNNNNNNNNNNNNNNNNNNNNNNNNNNNNNNNNNNNNNNNNNNNNNNNNNNNNNNNNNNNNNNNNNNNNNNNNNNNNNNNNNNNNNNNNNNNNNNNNNNNNNNNNNNNNNNNNNNNNNNNNNNNNNNNNNNNNNNNNNNNNNNNNNNNNNNNNNNNNNNNNNNNNNNNNNNNNNNNNNNNNNNNNNNNNNNNNNNNNNNNNNNNNNNNNNNNNNNNNNNNNNNNNNNNNNNNNNNNNNNNNNNNNNNNNNNNNNNNNNNNNNNNNNNNNNNNNNNNNNNNNNNNNNNNNNNNNNNNNNNNNNNNNNNNNNNNNNNNNNNNNNNNNNNNNNNNNNNNNNNNNNNNNNNNNNNNNNNNNNNNNNNNNNNNNNNNNNNNNNNNNNNNNNNNNNNNNNNNNNNNNNNNNNNNNNNNNNNNNNNNNNNNNNNNNNNNNNNNNNNNNNNNNNNNNNNNNNNNNNNNNNNNNNNNNNNNNNNNNNNNNNNNNNNNNNNNNNNNNNNNNNNNNNNNNNNNNNNNNNNNNNNNNNNNNNNNNNNNNNNNNNNNNNNNNNNNNNNNNNNNNNNNNNNNNNNNNNNNNNNNNNNNNNNNNNNNNNNNNNNNNNNNNNNNNNNNNNNNNNNNNNNNNNNNNNNNNNNNNNNNNNNNNNNNNNNNNNNNNNNNNNNNNNNNNNNNNNNNNNNNNNNNNNNNNNNNNNNNNNNNNNNNNNNNNNNNNNNNNNNNNNNNNNNNNNNNNNNNNNNNNNNNNNNNNNNNNNNNNNNNNNNNNNNNNNNNNNNNNNNNNNNNNNNNNNNNNNNNNNNNNNNNNNNNNNNNNNNNNNNNNNNNNNNNNNNNNNNNNNNNNNNNNNNNNNNNNNNNNNNNNNNNNNNNNNNNNNNNNNNNNNNNNNNNNNNNNNNNNNNNNNNNNNNNNNNNNNNNNNNNNNNNNNNNNNNNNNNNNNNNNNNNNNNNNNNNNNNNNNNNNNNNNNNNNNNNNNNNNNNNNNNNNNNNNNNNNNNNNNNNNNNNNNNNNCAUUUAGGAACCCUAGGCUUAUUUAGGCACCCUAGGUCUACUUAGGCACCCUAAGCCCAUUUAGGCACUCUAGGUCAUAUUAGGCACUCUAGACCCAUUUAGGCACCCUAGGUCCACUUAGGCACCCUAGGCCCAUUUAUGCACCCUAGGUCCAUUUAGGCACCCUUGGCCCAUUUAGGCACCCUAGGCCCACUUAGGCACCCUUGGCCCAUUUAGGCACCCUAGGUCCAUUUAGCCACCCUAGGCUCAUUUAGGCACCCCAGGCCCAUUUAGGCACCCUAGGUCCAAUUAGACACCUUAUGCCCAUUUUGGCACCCUAGGUCCACUUAGGCAUUCUAGACCCAUUUAGGCACCCUAGGUCCACUUAGUCACCUUAGGCCCAUUUAGGCACCCUAGGUCCAUUUUGGCAUCCUUAGCCCAUUUAGGUACCCUAGGCCCCCUAGGUCCAUUUAGGCACCUUAGGGUCAUUUAGGCAUCCAUAGGCCCAUUUAGGCUCCCUAGGUCUACUUAGCCACCUUAGGCCCAUUUAGGCACCCUAAGCCCAUUUAGGCACUCUAGGUCAUAUUAGGCACUCUAGACCCAUUUAGGCACCCUAGGUCCACUUAGGCACCCUAGGCCCAUUUAUGCACCCUAGGUCCAUUUAGGUACCCUUGGCCCAUUUAGGCACCCUAGGCCCACUUAGGCACCCUAGGCCCAUUUAGGCACCUAAGGUCCAAUUUGGCACCCUAGGUCCACUUAGGCACCCUAGGCCCAUUUAGGCACCGUAGGUCCAUUUAGGCACCCUUAGCCCAUUUAGGCACCCUAGGCCCAUUUAGGCACCCUAGGCCCAAUUAGGCACCCUAGGUCCAUUUAGGCACCCUAGGUCCACUUAGACACCUUGGCCCAUUUAGGCACCCUAGGUCCACUUAGGCACUCUAGGCCCAUUUAGGCACCCUAGGUCCACUUAGACACGCUAGGCCCAUUUAAGCACCCUAAGCCCACUUAGGCACCCUUGUCCCAUUUAGGAACCCUAGGCUUAUUUAGGCACCCUAGGUCUACUUAGGCACCCUAAGCCCAUUUAGGCACUCUAGGUCAUAUUAGGCACUCUAGACCCAUUUAGGCACCCUAGGUCCACUUAGGCACCCUAGGCCCAUUUAUGCACCCUAGGUCCAUUUAGGCACCCUUGGCCCAUUUAGGCACCCUAGGCCCACUUAGGCACCCUUGGCCCAUUUAGGCACCCUAGGUCCAUUUAGCCACCCUAGGCUCAUUUAGGCACCCCAGGCCCAUUUAGGCACCCUAGGUCCAAUUAGACACCUUAUGCCCAUUUUGGCACCCUAGGUCCACUUAGCAUUCUAGACCCAUUUAGCACCCUAGGUCCACUUAGUCACCUUAGCCCAUUUAGCACCCUAUGUCCAUUUUGGCAUCCUUAGCCCAUUUAGUACCCUAAGGCCCCCUAGUCCAUUUAGCACCUUUAGGGUCAUUUAAGGCAUCCAUAGGCCAUUUAAGCUCCCUAGGUCUANNNNNNNNNNNNNNNNNNNNNNNNNNNNNNNNNNNNNNNNNNNNNNNNNNNNNNNNNNNNNNNNNNNNNNNNNNNNNNNNNNNNNNNNNNNNNNNNNNNNCAGAAAGCGAGGCUAGUUGGGAGCCAGCAAAUGCACUAUGGCAGUUCCAGGAACAGAUUGAGCGGUUCCGGGCAGAAGACACGACGAGGACGUCUGCGGCUUAGGUGGGGGAGAGUGUCACAAGAUGCUUCAAAUGACCCUCCCCAUGGCUUAUAUAGGAGGUGAGAAGCUUCUAGAGACCCUUGGAGACAUCCACACUUAGCCACUAGUGGGAAGAGUGUGGAAGGUUCUAGAAAUGCCUAGAGAAGUCCACACAACUCUACACUAUGGUAGAAGGCAUGAGAAGGGUCCAAAGCUUUCUAGAGAAAUCUAGAAGUCUCUUGAAUAUUCUAGAAUAGUGUAGGACAUUCUAGAAGUCUCUUGAAUAUUCUAGAAUAGUGUAGGACAUUCUAGAAUAUUCAUGAAUUAUAAGGAACCCUCCAAGGUUCUAGAGAGUUCCAUUGGUGCCUAUAAAUAGGUGAGGGCCUCAUUUGGCCAAGGCACCAAGCAAGUGAGCAUCCAAGCACUUGUAAAGGCUUUCUUGAGAUAAUAAAGCUUCCAUUCUUUAAGGAGUUGCCUACUAAGCUCUUAAGCUUUCGAGUCGCGAGUGUCUUAGCCGAGCAAGCUAAGCACUGGGGAUCAAGGCUGACUUAGCAAGAUCAAGCGUCUUGACUUGCCUAAGUGCCGCACGAGCUUAGUGAACGACUAAGUCCGUGACAUUAGGCUCAUUUAGGCACCCAUAAGCCCAUUUUGGCACCCUAGGUCCACUUAGACACCUUAGGCCCAUUUAGGUACCCUAGGCUCAUUUAGGCACCCUUGGUCCAUUUAGGCACCCUAGGCCUACUUAGACACCCUAAGCCCACUUAGACACGCUACGCCCAUUUAGGCACCCUAGGUCCACUUAGGCACCUUAGGCCCACUUAGGCACCCUUGGCCCAUUUAGGCACCCUAGGUCCACUUAGGCACUCUAGGCCUAUUUAGGCACCCUAGGUCCACUUAGGCACCCUAGGCCCAUUUAGGCACCCUAGGUCCACUUAGACACCUUAGGCCCAUUUAGGCACCCUAAUGUCACAAAAUGCUUCAAAUGACCCUCCCCAUGGCUUAUAUAGGAGGUAAGAAGCUUCUAGAGACCCUUGGAGACAUGCACACUUAGCCACUAGUGGGAAGAGUGUGGAAGGUUCUAGAAAUGCCUAGAGAAGUCCACACAACUCUACACUAUGGUAGAAGGCAUGAGAAGGGUCCAAAGUUUUCUAGAGAAAUCUAGAAGUUUCUUGUAUAUAGGCUUGUACAUAGAAUAGUGUACGACAUUCUAGAAUAUUCAUGAAUUGUAAGGAACCCUCCAAGGUUCUAGAAAGUUCCAUUUGUGCCUAUAAAUAGGUGAGGGCCUCAUUUGGCCAAGGCACCAAACAAGUGAGCAUCCAAGCACUUGUAAAGGCUUUCUUGAGUUAAUAAGAGCUUCCAUUCUUUAAGGAGUUGCCUACUAAGCUCUUAAGCUUUCGAGUCGCGAGUGUCUUAGCCGAGCAAGCUAAGCGUUGGGGAUCAAGGCUGACUUAGCAAGAUCAAGCGUCUUGACUUGCCUAAGUGCCGCACAAGCUUAGUGAACGACUAAUUCCGUGACACUAAGCCCACUUAGGCACCCUUUGCCCAUUUAGGCACCCUAGGCUCAUUUAGGCACCCUAGGUCCACUUAGGCACCCUAGGCCCAUUUAGGCACCCUAGGUCCACUUAGGCACCCUAGGCCCAUUUAGGCACCGUAGGUCCAUUUAGGCACCCUUAGCCCAUUUAGGCACCCUAGGCCCAUUUAGGCACCCUAGGCCCAAUUAGGCACCCUAGGUCCAUUUAGGCACCCUAGGUCCACUUAGACACCUUGGCCCAUUUAGGCACCCUAGGUCCACUUAGGCACUCUAGGCCCAUUUAGGCACCCUAGGUCCACUUAGACACGCUAGGCCCAUUUAAGCACCCUAAGCCCACUUAGGCACCCUUGUCCCAUUUAGGAACCCUAGGCUUAUUUAGGCACCCUAGGUCUACUUAGGCACCCUAAGCCCAUUUAGGCACUCUAGGUCAUAUUAGGCACUCUAGACCCAUUUAGGCACCCUAGGUCCACUUAGGCACCCUAGGCCCAUUUAUGCACCCUAGGUCCAUUUAGGCACCCUUGGCCCAUUUAGGCACCCUAGGCCCACUUAGGCACCCUUGGCCCAUUUAGGCACCCUAGGUCCAUUUAGCCACCCUAGGCUCAUUUAGGCACCCCAGGCCCAUUUAGGCACCCCAGGUCCAAUUAGACACGUUGCGCCCAUUUAGGCACCCUAGGUCCACUUAGGCACCAUAGGCCCACUUAGGCACCCUAGGUCCACUUAGGCACCCCAGGUCCAUUUAGGCACCCUUGGCCAAUUUAGGCACCCUACGCCCACUUAGGCACCCUAGGCCCAUUUAGGCACCCAAGGUCCAUUUAGGCACCCUAGGCCCAUUUAGGGACCCUAGGCCCACUUAGACACCUUAGGCCCAUUUAGGUACCCUAAGCCCACUUAGGCACCUGUGGACACCGCAUUUCGUGCUUGAUGCGUUUCCCACUCGAUGGCGAGCUCGAUUUUUAUUUUGAAAAAUUAAUUUUAUUUAUUGUUUGUUUAAAAAAAUGACUUGGAGUCGCCACUUAUUUUUGUUUUAUUUUUAAAGGGUAAACAAAAUAAGAAAGAAAAACCCUAAGUGUGACUCCUUAUUUUGGAAAAGGCGGUCUGUGAAAAACCGGAUCGGGUUCGGGGGUCAGGUUACUUAUCGGGAAGGUACGGUAAAGACCGUAGCACCCCUCUAAGUCCCUAAAAUCGUGUCUCUACUAAUAGAAUAAAGCUGACGUGGCAAUCAAUGAGGAAAUCAGCGGAUACUCAAAUCAAACUUGCACAUAUGAAAAUAAGAGUAUGCAUAGAGAAUAAUCAAAAUGAGAAUGAGUGCGUACCUGGACCUCCAGUGACAAAUGCGCUAUCAUGAAACAGGAUUAGUGAGCAAUGAACAAGAUAUAAUUAAGCGCAUAUCAAGAAAUAGAGUAAACCAAUCAUGCAUGGCAAAUAAAUCAAUCGAUCUGUCAAUCAAUCAUGAAGUCAAGUAUGUGGGGCCCCCACCAAAGCCCGUUUAUUUUGCAUGAAUUAAUUCCAUAAAUUCCAUUAGUCGGAAUUAUGGAAUUUAAUUCUUGCUUAUUUUUAAAACAUUUUAAAAGAUUAUGAAAGAUUUGAAAAUUGCUUACCGAAUAGAAAGUGGAAGCAAAUUUGAUUAAAAGUGAGACUCUUAGGUGAUCCUAAAAAUUCUAAGGAUGAAAGAGUGUGGAAUUGAAAUUAUUGUUUUAUUGAAAAAUGAGGAACUGGGAAAUUAUUAAAAAAAGUGAGAUUUGAAAAAUUGUUGUCAAAGUCAAAGAGGAUAAAAGGGAAGAUGUCACGUGACCAAAGGUGGCCAUGCAACUGAAUGCUCAUAUGCGCGGACCCAAGGAGGUCACUGGGGCUACUUUGUCGGCGCACCAUCCUCUCUUAUAACUGCAAAUAGGCUCGGUAUGAAAGAAACUUGAGACAGGUCUGGUGACUCAGAAUAUGGAUCAGAACCCACAGAACCUUUGAUCACGAUCACCUAGGAUGUAACACGUCCCUCUCUCAAAGCAAAUCUUUGUCCAGCUUCAAGAGGAACAGCAGAUAUCAACUCGAAAAACUACUGUAACAUCAUUCCCGGGCAUAACCAUCUUAACUUCUUCAAGCAAUUGAACCUUCCUAGUGGCAUCUGCAGUCCUCAGGUGGCUUUGAUUUAUCAGAAGAAUUGAAAGCCGAAGAUUUAGGCAUUGGAGGGGUCACAUGCAUUAGUUGCCUAGAUUGCUUAAAUGCCAAUUCCUCAAGCCGAUGUGUGUUAACAGGCAGCUGUGGUGUAGUGCAAGCCCAUGAUGGAGCCCGUGCCAAUGCUUCAGCCAUAUUAAGACCAACUGUAAUACUUGGAAGCCCAGGUGCUGUGGCAGAACGAUAUUUUGUUGAGCAGAUGAGGAUCCAAUGAGCAAAUUCUGAACAGCCAUGUUCAACCCAGGUGACGAAACCCUCCCAAGAUCCAAUUCGGUUCCAAGUGAAGAGAAAUCCUUAUCAAACACAGUCUUGUGGAUGGUUUCUCACAAAGCAAUCUCAUGGUUUACACUUUCUGCUUAUUUAUGAAGUUUGCUAAUCCUUUCCUUUCUUAUCCUCGGGACGACCUUCUUCCGAUCGAGCCUUCCUAUCCUCGGUGUGGCAUUUAUACGACAUAACCCAACUCACCUAUCAACCCAUAUCUGAAUUUGGCUGCGUCUUAGCAAGAUGCUUCACGGCGUCUUUCUCCAGCUGCAGCCACAACGUGUCAGCUGCCUCCACCCAAAACCUGAUAUGCUGAGAAGUUUCCGUCUAUUAUUGGAUUCGGUAUCUGAUUCCUCAGUCGCUUUCAUUCUCUCAAUCCCUUCCAUGCAUGCAUGAGGGUUGGUGUUAUGUGGUGUAAGGAGAGAAACGGGUAUGGGAUGUGAUCAAAUGGGUGUAUGUGUGAGGGUAUGAAAUAUAGGUGUGGAGACGGGUAUUAUAGGCAAAAGAAGUGGCCAUGCACAUGAGAUGAGUGUGAAGCACGGCCACGGGUAGUGAGAGAAAAUGGGUGGUUAUGUGUUAAGUAUGAGUGGUGAUGAAAUGUGUAUGAAGGUUUAAACAAUGGGUUUGGAGGAUGGAGAUAGGAGUGAGUGGAGUGGGUGGUUGGACGAGUAGUAAGGCUUAGAGAGAUGGUAGUGGGUUUGGAAUAGGUGCAGGGGAAGAUAAUGAAUGAAGAUGAAUGAAGAGAGCGUGAGAUAGAAGAUGGAUGUGAUGGACAAGAAGGUGGCCACGUGCCUGGAGCUUCAUGUAUAUGGGUAUGAAAGAGUUUGAAGAGAGAGAAAAGGUGGUAAUAUGGAAUGGGUUUGGUGGGUGCAAGCAUGAGGCAUGAAGAUGAGGGUUAGUAUGGAAGUGUGGGUAUGAUGAGCGAAAGAGAGAGAUGAGAUGAGUGCAUGGUGGUGUAGAAAGAAAGGUGAUCAUACAAAUGGGCAUAGGUAUGGAGGUAUAAUGGGUAUAGGGUCAUGGGUAUGCUAAAUGGGCAAAAAGGGUAUAAGCCCGAAAUUAAUGGAGUAGGUAGUGGGAGAUAAUAGGAAAUGGGUGUUCAUGGGGAUCCUCUGCGUACAUGGUGGGAAAGGAAACAGUGAAGAGUACCCACAGCCAACUGAACUUUCAUUAUUCCUCUCAUUUUAACAUAAGCUUGACCACAAUAUUUCUGAACUCUCUCUUAGGACUCAUACUUCCGAUGGCUAUUUUGUGGUCUACAAUGCCAAUGGUGAUAUUUUCCGUCUUUCAAAGCCGAAAAGAGGUAAGUGACCCUCAUCAAUCGAACAACUCACUUUCUUAUAUAUUCAGGCAACAACUAGAGCAACUCCAGAUCUAUGAAUAGUAUGGGCCCAAGAAUCUGCUUAACAGAAUGCUCCAAAUCUUCAACAAGUGUAAAUCAGUUGGAUACGAUUGCACAUUGUGUUGUAGCGUGAACAACAGAGAUGGCAAAAGGACUUCAUUGUCAUGACCGAAAAAGCGUCAACUUCUUUCUCAUUGACUGGCAUAAUAUCCUCAGUAACAAACUGAUCCAGAUCAAAUAUAAAUGCAGUAUUCCCACAAGAUACAACCGGAACAGGACCUUGCUUCUUUUCCAUCUAAGAUCUUUGCGCAACCCAGAUCAUCUGGAGGAGUUUUGUUCAUCCUCAACACUCACGAGCUAUGAUCUGUGCUAUCACCACCUGGCUCUCUCAAAUAGGGAUGUACAACCUGAUGUAUAACAAGGUAGGAUGCCGAAAACAGGGGAAUGGCAAAACCAAAUAGAAAACAAACCAGUGAAACAAAUAAAACAACCAAAGCCAUGUUUCAUGUUUAGAUCAACAGGUUUGGCUGUAGGUGAGUGAACUAGAAUGCACCUAAAGAGAUAAGAACAAGACAAAACUCCUAUAUGUGGCAUAGCGAAAACUAAAACAGAGCUGAGCCAUUCUCAAAUCAUCAUAAGGAAAAUAGGCAAGAUAGCCGCCAAGGAAAUCCGAGAACCAAGCAGGAACCAUAAGAUAGAACGUAUACCCAAACAAAUCACAGACAAUAUCAAGCAAAAGGAAUGAAACUACAUACUGAUAAAGAAUAUGAAGGAUCCAUGGCAGUCAUACCUCGCUUUUCUUCCCCCUCAAGCUCUCUGUUCUCUCUGGAUAUCUUAGCCAAAACUCCUCCUAGUUUUCCCUCUGAGCUCUCCUCAAGCUCCCAGAAAAACUCUCCCUCAGGCUCCUCCGGAAUCUCUCCUUUUUCUCUCCUCCUCUCUCAAUAUCCAGCUUGCUCCUUGCAAAAUCAGCACCCUCUCUCCAAAAACAUGCUCUGUUUUUCUUAGCUUCUCCCUGGUCCCUGCAUCCCCUAAAAAUCUCCUUUUCUCCUUUUUCUUUUCUCUCGGAUUUGCCCUUCUAACCAUAUCUGCAGAGACAGCCCCCUUCAUGCAGCUGGCAACCUUCCCAUAACAGAAAAAUACGCUCCCCUGAUUCCAGAAGAUUCUUUCCCUUUACAGGUGUCUUCCCCGGAUUAGUCCAUCAAUUCCACUAUUUUGAUCCCAUAUUGACUAAUUCGGGAGUGACACGUGGCCAGAAUGAGCUGCAUGAAAUAGCACCCAAAUAGGGGUCUACAAAUAUGUCCCUCUUUGGUAGAGUUCACGAGUGUAAAGAAUAUGAACACUGGAGUGAAAAGCAAGUGUGAAUAGUGAGUGCAAUGAAGUGAACUCUACUGAAGAACAAAGGAGACCCCCAAAAGGACACCAGUGGAACCCAAACUCACUCAGGCCAACAGAAUGAACAAUGAGGCUCUAAUCCUAAGAGAGAAAAAUGUCACAAAAUGCCUCUGAAGCCACACUAAGGAUCCAAGCUCCCUCUAAGACAUCUCCAAAAGUGACUCGAAGAUCAAUGUCAAAGAUGAGUAACGGUCGAACCACCCUGGAGUACAAUAAAGAAUGUGCCCGAAGGAGACUGCCCUAUGUGAACUAUACGAGAAUGCCAAGUGUAGGGUGCCCAACAACAUGAUCGAAAUAUGCGUCACGGAUCUCAAAAGACUGUGUCAUGUGUAGUGGAAAGGGAAGUCUAAAAGAGCAAUGAUGAAUAGGCGAUAAGCAUCAAGUAACCAGGUGAGGAGAAUGGCUCUGAACGCCUAAAAUGGAAAUGUGAUCCUGAAUGUCAUACUGAAGCAAAGACCUGGACGCCAAACUGACUUGAUAGGAAGAAUGAAUGACCGAUCUAUAUGGGUGCGGUCCCGACUCAAACUAAACACAAUCUGAUAGGGAAAUGACCGAUCGAUAUGGGUGCGGCCCCGACUCAAACUGAACUGAUAAGAAGAUGGCCGAUUUAUAUAGGUGCGGCCCUAGAAACUAAACUGACAUGACAAGGAGAUGGUCGAUCGAUAUAGGUGCGGCCCCGACUCAAACUGACACGAUAAUGACCGAUCGUAUAGGUGCGGUCCCAGAAACUGAACUGACAUGACAAGCAGAUGACCGAUCGAUAUAGGUGCAGUCCCAGAAACUGAACUGACAUGACAAAGAGAUGACCGAUCGAUAUAGGUGCGGUCCCGACUCAAACUGACACGAUAAUGACCGAUCGUAUAGGUGCGGUCCUGGAAACUGAACUAACAUGACAAAGAGAUGGUCGAUCGUAUAGGUGCGGCCUCGACUCAAACUGACACGAUAAUGACCGAUCGUAUAGGUGCGGUCCCAGAAACUGAACUGCCAUGACAAAGAGAUGGUCGAUCGUAUAGGUGCGGCCUCGACUCAAACUGACACGAUGAUGACCGAUCGUAUAGGUGCGGUCCCAAAAACUGAAUUGACAUGACAAAGAGAUGGUCGAUCGUAUAGGUGUGGCCUCGACUCAAACUGGCACGAUAAUGACCGAUCGUAUAGGUGCGGUCCCAGAAACUGAACUAACAUGACAAAGAGAUGGUCGAUCGUAUAGGUGCGGCCCCGACUCAAACUGACACGAUGAUGACCGAUCGUAUAGGUGCGGCCUCGACUCAAACUGACACGAUGAUGACCGAUCGUAUAGGUGCGGUCCUAGAAACUGAACUAUCAUGACAAAGAGAUGGUCGAUCAUAUAGGUGCGGCCCCGACUCAAACUGACACGAUGAUGACCGAUCGUAUAGGUGCGGUCCCAGAAACUGAACUGACAUGACAAAGAGAUGGCUGAUCGUAUAGGUGCGGCCUCGACUCAAACUGGCACGAUAAUGACCGAUCGUAUAGGUGUGGUCCCAGAAACUGAACUGACAUGACAAAGAGAUGGCCGAUCGUAUAGGUGCGGCCCCGACUCAAACUGACACGAUGAUGACCGAUCGUAUAGGUGCGGUCCCAGAAACUGAACUGUCAUGACAAAGAGAUGGUCGAUCGUAUAGGUGCGGCCCCGACUCAAACUGACACGAUGAUGACCGAUCGUAUAGGUGCGGUCCCAGAAACUGAACUGACAUGACAAAGAGAUGGCCGAUCGUAUAGGUGCUGCCCCGACUCAAACUGACACGAUGAUGACCGAUCGUAUAGGUGCGGUCUCAGAAACUGAACUGACAUGACAAAGAUAUGGUCGAUCGUAUAGGUGCGGCCUCGACUCAAACUGACACGAUGAUGACCGAUCGUAUAGGUGCGGUCCCAGAAACUGAACUGUCAUGACAAAGAGAUGGUCGAUCAUAUAGGUACGGUCCCAGAAACUGAACUGACAUGACAGGAAGAUGGCCGAUCGUAUAGGUGCGGUCCCGACUCAAACUGACAUGAUAAUGACCGAUCGAUAUAGGUGCGGUCCCGACUCAAAGUGAACUGAUAAGAAGAUGGCCGAUCGAUAUAGGUGCGGCCCCGACUCAAACUGACACGAUAAUGACCGAUCGUAUAGGUGCGGUCCCAGAAACUGAACUGUCAUGACAAAGAGAUGGCCGAUCGUAUAGGUGCGGCCUCGACUCAAACUGACACGAUAAUGACCGAUCGUAUAGGUGCGGUCCCAGAAACUGAACUGUCAUGACAAAGAGAUGGUCGAUCGUAUAGGUGCGGUCCCAGAAACUGAACUGACAUGACAGGAAGAUGGCCGAUCGUAUAGGUGCGGUCCCGACCCAAACUGACACGAUAAUGACCGAUCGAUAUAGGUGCGGUCCCGACUCGAACUGAACUGAUAAGAAGAUGGCCGAUCGAUAUAGGUGCGGCCCUGACUCAAACUGACACGAUAAUGACCGAUCGUAUAGGUGCGGUCCCAGAAACUGAAUUGACAUGACAAAGAAAUGACUGAUCGUAUAGGUGUGGUCCCGACUCAAACUGACACGAUAAUGACCGAUCGAUAUAGGUGUGGUCCCGACUCGAACUGAACUGAUAAGAAGAUGGCCGAUCGAUAUAGGUGCGGCCCCGACUCAAACUGACACGAUAAGAUGAUGAAUGACCUGAUCAAGUGACCCAAAACCACCACAAUUCUCCAUGCAAUGACGUGUGAAAAACCACCACUCAAGGUGAAACAAGGAUAAUGUCGAGUAAUCAAUGAGGAAAGGAAAAGACAGAGAACGAAUAUCACAAGUGGUGGUAUGUGAUAUCGAAAAAUAGUGAUGAAAUGAUGUCCAAGCGGAAAAUAUCACAGUGAAGAGUGAAGAAUGAGGCUCGAAUAUGUAUGUCAGGUCUAGAACUCAUGACGUAUCCAAACAUAGCAUGCAAGCACUACAGGGUCCCCAACCCGGUGUAAUAAGUAAAUGAGGUGAUGAAAGAAAAAGCUAUGUGCUCGUGUGAGGCUCAAAGGGCUAGCAACGGGUAACUCUAUAUGUGAGGGUGAUAAAGUAAAUAGGCUCAUGAAAUGAUGGCCACCCAUCCUUUGACCAAAACCUCGAACAUCGUGCUUUUGAGAUCUCACAUGGUCAAUACUAAAGACUGGCAUCCAUCCAACAUAGUCAUGACGACUCCUCUGAAAUCGUGCAAAAGGCUCCCACUGAUGCUCUGUGAUGAUCAUCAAUGUCGUCUGAAAAUCAACUCACUCUAUCAUCACAAGCCACUCACCAUCAUCUCAUAAAAUCACCAUGUCUAAUCAUCCCGACUCUCUGAAGUCAUGUGCAAUGGCUCAAAUCUGGAUGCUCCAUGAUAACCUCUCUAUCUCAACAAUAUCGUCAAACAAAUCAAGCCACUCUCUCAUCGUGAUCCAUCUAUCAUCAUGUAAAGCUCACCUCGGGUCUAACCAUCUCGGACUCUACCUGGUCAGAUCCAUGAAAUGAUGGAAAGGAUAGGCAAUGGUACUGUAGCAUGAUAAGGCGAAUCAAGGGUAGUAAAGGUCGUACGAUGGUACCAAGGGAUGGUGUCAUGUCAAGCUCAAAAUGGGUAGGUCAUCAAGUCCACAAAGUCAAGGUACGAAUAUGGAUAUGGUAUCGCUCUAAUCAAAAGGUGAUAUGAGGCACAGUCUCGAACUCCCUAGGUCGAUCUCCUGAUCCUAGGUCAAUAGACUCAAUAUCCUCCAUGAUAGGUCAGGCCAAAGUGAUCGUGAUGUAAGUGAAAGAUGUAUCAUAUUGAAAGUACAACACAUCAUAUGAAAUAUGGUCCCGUGAUGGCAAUCCUAAACUGGAAAUAUGACAGAAACUCUAAGGUCAUAAAGGUGUCCACUAUGAGAUGGCUACAAAUGUGACCAGAGAAUCUCCAUCAAUAAUCCGAGAUAAAGAGAGGUGUGAAAAACACGCUAUCACGAGAUCGGUACUCCAUCUAUAAACAUAUAUCCUUGAAUCAACCUUCAACUCGAGCUCCAUAAGAGAAAAAUAAUAAGGUGAUCAAGGCGAAUCUCUCGAAGACAGUGUGGAUGUGAAAAAUGCGCCUUUCACCUUUCUGUAAUGAAAAUAUGAGCAUCGAGUCGAAAAUUGAACCAAGGAUCAAACAAAUGAUGAGGUACUGAGCCCGUGAUAAGCAUACAGUGUAAAAAGAUGAUCAAUGAACAUAUCCCAAAGCAUCAUGUGAGUGAUAACAAAGUGAAGGGGUGUGUCGAGCCAAGAAAUGAGAAUGAAAACCCUAGGGAGAAAACAUGCUAAACUCGUCAAGUAAAAAGCAUAAUCUAGAGCGACGAGACAAAGGUGAUCCAAUCGAUACUCAAACUCAUACCGAUCUCCGAGCACUCUCAACUGGAGACUAAAAAGAGGGAACACUGGAUCCGAACUGUAACUAAAGAGGCUCUGAAGGCCCUCAGAUGCACCCACGUGUAGGGAGGGAGUCCUAAUCGAAGGAUCUACGGCUCAACCUACGAGAUCAAGGUGGCUCUAAAUGGAUAUGGGUGGACUUUAAAAAAAAUCCCUAGCAGAAGCGAUCAUACCCUCCAGCGGUACACAACCCUCUGCACGCCUAAAAAAAAGACGGGGCGCUUCCAUGCAAGGUGGACAUCGCAUCCACACAUGCACUACCUCGACAUCCUAGGGGGUUUCCUAUGGUGAAUCCUCUCAAACUCUCAACGCUCAAUAGUCAACUAGGGUGCAUAGUGAUCGGUGUGGGUGCAUCCGAAACCCUAAGAAGCUAAAGCAGAAGAUGAAACAUACUGGUCGCAUAAAUAUCCAUGAAACCUAGCUCGGGGCUAUACAGGUCUUCAAUGAUCGGACUCUAAUCGACAACAAUGCGCCGCUCGCCUCCAGAAUGCUCCCAAACAUCAGUAUAGCCCGUCGCUAGACCCUACUCUUAACUUCUAUCUCAGUCAGAGUACAAGCACACACAAGGCCUCACACUUGCAAAAGUGAGAACCGUAAUGAAGAAAGUGACUGAGACUAGAGAGUGAGAGAUAAGGGGAUAGAUGUGCGACCCACAUAAACAAGCGGCACGAAAUCACACAGAUGAGGGCAAUCAUGCAACACACAGUCAAACAAAACUCAGAUAUAUCAUCAAUGUACACACAAGAUAAGCGAGAAUACGACAAUCAGAUGGAUAGUGAUACAAAGACAACACGCUCAAAGAUGAUCAAAAUAAUAUACCAACAAGUGGAUCAGCAUGUCGAGUCGAAUGAUGUACAGUAGUGAGUGUAUGCACGUGAAGUGAUCAAAACAAUCAUGACAAAAUCAGGGUCAAUGUGCUAAGCAAAGCAAUAAGAUCAAUCAUCAAUGAUCCAGCAUGUCAAUGUCUCAAACAAAUAUAUCAAUGCAACACAGAAGAAAUCAUGGCAUCAGAAUCCUCAAUCAAUAUAAAUCAAUCAACACGAUCGACGUGUCAAAGUCUCAAGUGGAUAUAAAAUCCGAGCAUGCAUCAAAUAUCCUCAAUGUGCAAUCAAGAAAUGGGCAUCCACUGAUUGUCCAAUCGAAUGCCACGUUUGCUUCAUUCUAAGUUCAAGUUUGACCCUCUAAAUGAUCCCCAGUGGAGUCGCCAUUUUGUGGACCCCGCAUUUCGUGCUUGAUGCGUUUCCCACUCGAUGGCGAGCUCGAUUUUUAUUUUGAAAAAUUAAUUUUAUUUAUUGUUUGUUGAAAAAAAUGACUUGGAGUCGCCACUUAUUUUUGUUUUAUUUUUAAAGGGUAAACAAAAUAAGAAAGAAAAACCCUAAGUGUGACUCCUUAUUUUGGAAAAGGCGGUCUGUGAAAAACUGGAUCGGGUUCGGGGGUCAGGUUACUUAUUGGGAAGGUACGGUAAAGACCGUAGCACCCCUCUAAGUCCCUAAAAUCGGGUCUCUACUAAUAGAAUGAAGUUGACGUGGCAAUCAAUGAGGAAAUCAGCGGAUACUCAAAUCAAACUUGCACAUAUGAAAAUAAGAGUAUGCAUAGAGAAUAAUCAAAAUGAGAAUGAGUGCGUACCUGGACCUCUAGUGACAAAUGCGCUAUCAUGAAACAGGAUUAGUGAGCAAUGAACAAGAUAUAAUUAAGCGCAUAUCAAGAAAUAGAGUAAACCAAUCAUGCAUGGCAAAUAAAUCAAUCGAUCUGUCAAUCAAUCAUGAAGUCAAGUAUGUGGGGCCCCCACCAAAGCCCGUUUAUUUUGCAUGAAUUAAUUCCAUAAAUUCCAUUAGUCGGAAUUACGGAAUUUAAUUCUUGCUUAUUUUUACAACAUUUUAAAAGAUUAUGAAAGAUUUGAAAAUUGCUUACCGAAUAGAAAGUGGAAGCAAAUUUGAUUAAAAGUGAGACUCUUGGGUGAUCCUAAAAAUUCUAAGGAUGAAAGAGUGUGGAAUUGAAAUUAUUGUUUUAUUGAAAAAUGAGGAACUGGGAAAUUAUUAAAAAAAAUGAGAUUUGAAAAAUUGUUGUCAAAGUCAAAGAGGAUAAAAGGGAAGAUGUCACGUGACCAAAGGUGGCCAUGCAACUGAAUGCUCAUAUGCGCGGACCCAAGGAGGUCACUGGGGCUGCUUUGUCGGCGCACCAUCCUCUCUUAUAACUGCAAAUAGGCUCGGUAUGAAAGAAACUUGAGACAGGUCUGGUGACUCAAAAUAUGGAUCAGAACCCACAGAACCUUUGAUCACGAUCACCUAGGAUGUAACACGUCCCUCUCUCAAAGCAAAUCUUUGUCCAGCUUCAAGAGGAACAACAGAUAUCAACUCGAAAAACUACUGUAACAUCAUUCCCAGGCAUAACCAUCUUAACUUCUUCAAGCAAUUGAACCUUCCCAGUGGCAUCUGUAGUCCUCAGGUGGCUUUGAUUUAUCAGAAGAAUUGAAAGCCGAAGAUUUAGGCAUUGGAGGGGUCACAUGCAUUAGUUGCCUAGAUUGCUUAAAUGCCAAUUCCUCAAGCCGAUGUGUGUUAACAGGCAGCUGUGGUGUAGUGCAAGCCCAUGAUGGAGCCCGUGCCAAUGCUUCAGCCAUAUUAAGACCAACUGUAAUACUUGGAAGCCCAGGUGCCGGGGCAGAACGAUAUUUUGUUGAGCAGAUGAGGAUCCAAUGAGCAAAUUCUGAACAGCCAUGUUCAACCCAGGUGACGAAACCCUCCCAAGAUCCAAUUCGGUUCCAAGUGAAGAGAAAUCCUUAUCAAACACAGUCUUGUGGAUGGUUUCUCACUAAGCAAUCUCAUGGUUUACACUUUCUGCUUAUUUAUGAAGUUUGCUAAUCCUUUCCUUUCUUAUCCUCGAGACGACCUUCUUCCGAUCGAGCCUUCCUAUCCUCGGUGUGGCAUUUAUACGACAUAACCCAACUCACCUAUCAACCCAUAUCUGAAUUUGGCUGCGUCUUAGCAAGAUGCUUCACGGCGUCUUUCUCCAGCUGCAGCCACAACGUGUCAGCUGCCUCCACCCAAAACCUGAUAUGCUGAGAAGUUUCCGUCUAUUAUUGGAUUCGGUAUCUGAUUCCUCAGUCGCUUUCAUUCUCUCAAUCCCUUCCAUGCAUGCAUGAGGGUUGGUGUUAUGUGGUGUAAGGAGAGAAACGGGUAUGGGAUGUGAUCAAAUGGGUGUAUGUGUGAGGGUAUGAAAUAUAGGUGUGGAGACGGGUAUUAUAGGCAAAAGAGGUGGCCAUGCACAUGAGAUGAGUGUGAAGCACGGCCACGGGUAGUGAGAGAAAAUGGGUGGUUAUGUGUUAAGUAUGAGUGGUGAUGAAAUGUGUAUGAAGGUUAGAACAAUGGGUUUGGAGGAUGGAGAUAGGAGUGAGUGGAGUGGGUGGUUGGACGAGUAGUAAGGCUUAGAGAGAUGGUAGUGGGUUUGGAAUAGGUGCAGGGGAAGAUAAUGAAUGAAGAUGAAUGAAGAGAGCGUGAGAUAGAAGAUGGAUGUGAUGGACAAGAAGGUGGCCACGUGCCUGGAGCUUCAUGUAUAUGGGUAUGAAAGAGUUUGAAGAGAGAGAAAAGGUGGUAAUGUGGAAUGGGUUUGGUGGGUGCAAGCAUGGGGCAUGAAGAUGAGGGUUAGUAUGGAAGUGUGGGUAUAAUGAGCGAAUGAGAGAGAUGAGAUGGGUGCAUGGUGGUGUAGAAAGAAAGGUGAUCAUACAAAUGGGCAUAGGUAUGGAGGUAUAAUGGGUAUAGGGUCAUGGGUAUGCUAAAUGGGCAAAAAGGGUAUAAGCCCGGAAUUAAUGGAGUAGGUAGUGGGAGAUAAUAGGAAAUGGGUGUUCAUGGGGAUCCUCUGCGUACAUGGUGGGAAAGGAAACAGUGAAGAGUACCCACAACCAACUGAACUUUCAUUAUUCCUCUCAUUUUAACAUAAGCUUGACCAUAAUAUUUCUAAACUCUCUCUUAGGACUCAUACUUCCGAUGGCUAUUUUGUGGUCUACAAUGCCAAUGGUGAUAUUUUCCGUCUUUCAAAGCCGAAAAGAGAGGUAAGUGACCCUCAUCAAUCGAACAACUCACUUUCUUAUAUAUUCAGGCAACAACUAGAGCAACUCCAGAUCUAUGAAUAGUAUGGGCCCAAGAAUCUGCUUAACAGAAUGCUCCAAAUCUUCAACAAGUGUAAAUCAGUUGGAUACGAUUGCACAUUGUGCUGCAGCGUGAACAACAGAGAUGGCAAAAGGACUUCAUUGUCAUGACCGAAAAAGCGUCAAGUUCUUUCUCAUUGACUGGCAUAAUAUCCUCAGUAACAAACUGAUCCAGAUCAAAUAUAAAUGCAGUAUUCCCACAAGAUACAACCUGAACAGGACCUUGCUUCUUUUCCAUCUAAGAUCUUUGCGCAACCCAGAUCAUCUGGAGGAGUUUUGUUCAUCCUCAACACUCACGAGCUAUGAUCUGUGCUAUCACCACCUGGCUCUCUCAAAUAGGGAUGUACAACCUGAUGUAUAACAAGGUAGGAUGCCGAAAACAGGGGAAUGGCAAAACCAAAUAGAAAACAAACCAGUGAAACAAAUAAAACAACCAAAGCCAUGUUUCAUGUUUAGAUCAACAGGUUUGGUUGUAGGUGAGUGAACUAGAAUGCACCUAAAGAGAUAAGAACAAGACAAAACUCCUAUAUGUGGCAUAGCGAAAACUAAAACAGAGCUGAGCCAUUCUCAAAUCAUCAUAAGGAAAAUAGGCAAGAUAGCCGCCAAGGAAAUCCGAGAACCAAGCAGGAACCAUAAGAUAGAACGUAUACCCAAACAAAUCACAAACAAUAUCAAGCAAAAGGAAUGAAACUACAUACUGAUAAAGAAUAUGAAGGAUCCAUGGCAGUCAUACCUCGCUUUUCUUCCCCCUCAAGCUCUCUGUUCUCUCUGGAUAUCUUAGCCAAAACUCCUCCUAGUUUUCCCUCUGAGCUCUCCUCAAGCUCCCAGAAAAACUCUCCCUCAGGCUCCUCCGGAAUCUCUCCUUUUUCUCUCCUCCUCUCUCAAUAUCCAGCUUGCUCCUUGCAAAAUCUGCACCCUCUCUCCAAAAACAUGCUCUGUUUUUCUUAGCUUCUCCCUGGUCCCUGCAUCCCCUAAAAAUCUCCUUUUCUCCUUUUUCUUUUCUCUCGGAUUUGCCCUUCUAACCAUAUCUGCAGAGACACCCCCCUUCAUGCAGCUGACAACCUUCCCAUAACAGAAAAAUACGUUCCCCUGAUUCCAGAAGAUUCUUUCCCUUUACAGGUGUCUUCCCCGGAUUAGUCCAUCAAUUCCACUAUUUUGAUCCCAUAUUGACUAAUCCGGGAGUGACACGUGGCCAGAAUGAGCUGCAUGAAAUAGCACCCAAAUAGGGGUCUACAGCACCCUUGGCCCAUUUAGGCACUCUAAGCUCAUUUGGGCAUCCUAGGUCCACUUAAGCACCCUAGGCCCAUUUAGGCACCCUUGGUACACUUAGGCACCCUAGGCCCAUUUAGGCACCCUAAGUCCAGUUAGGCACUCUAGACCCAUUUAGGCACCUUAGGCCCACUUAGGCUUUGUUGGCCCAUUUAGGCACCCUAGGUCCACUUAGACACCUUAGGCCCACUUAAGCACCCUAGGCCCUUUUAGGCACCCUAGGUCCAUUUAGGCACCCUUGGCCCAUUUAGGUACCCUCGGCCCACUUAGGCACCCUAGGCCCAUUUAGGCUCCCUAGGUCCAUUUAGGCACCUAAGGCUCAUUUAGGCACUCAUAGGCCCAUUUAGGCACCCUAGGUCCACUUAGACACCUUACGCUCAUUUAGGCACCCGAGGCUCAUUUAGGCACCCUUGGCCCAUUUAGGCACCCUAGGCUCAUUUAGGCACCUUUGGCCCAUUUAGGCACCCUAGGCCCACUUAGACACCCUGAGCCCACUUAGACACCCUUGGCCCAUUUAGGCACCUUAGGUCCACUUAGACUCUCUAGGCCCAUUUCGGCACCCUAGGUCCACUAAGACACGCUAGGCACAUUUAAGCACCUAAGCACCCUAGGCACAUUUACGAACCUAAGGCUCAUUUAGGCACUCAUGGGCCCAUUUAGGCACCCUAGGUCCACUUAGACACGUUAGGCUCAUUUAGGCACCCGAGGCUCAUUUAGGCACCCUUGGCCCAUUUAGGCACCUAGGCUCAUUUAGGCACCUUUGGCCCAUUUAGGCACCCUAGGCCCACUUAGACACCCUGAACCCACUUAGACAUCCUUGGCCCAUUUAGGCACCCUAGGUCCAAUUAGGCUCUCUAGGCCCAUUUCGGCACCCUAUGUCCACUAAGACACGCUAGGAACAUUUAAGCACCCUAAGCCCACUUAGGCACCCUUGGCCCAUUUACGAACCCUAGGCUCAUUUAGGCACCAUAGGUCCACUUAGGUACCCUAGGCCCAUUUAGGCAUUCUAGGUCCAAUUAGGCACUUUAGACCCAUUUGGGCACCCUAGGUCCACUUAGGCACCCUAGGCCCAUUCAGGCACCCUAGGUCCACUCAGGCACCCUAGGCCGAUUUAGGCACCCUUGGUCCACUUAAGCACCCUAGGCCCAUUUUGGCACCCUAGGUCCAGUUAGCCACUCUAGACCCAUUUAGGCACCUUAGGCCCACUUAAGCAUCCUUGGCCAAUUUUGGCACCCUAGGUCCACUUAGGCACUCUAGUCCCAUUUAGGCACCCUAGGUCCACUUAGGCACCCUACGUCCAUUUAGGCACCCUAGGUCCAUUUAGGCACCCUAGGCUCAUUUAGGCACCCUAGGCCCAUUUAGGCACCCUAGGUCCACUUAGACACCUUAGGCCCAUUUAGGCACCCUAGGUCCACUUAGGCACCCUUGGCCCAUUUAGGCACCCUAGGUCCAUUUAGGCACCCUAGGCCCAUUUAGGCACCCUAGGCCCAUUUAGGCACCCUAGGUCCACUUAGGCACCCUAGGUCCACUUAGGCACCCUAGGCCCAUUUAGGCACCGUAGGUCCAUUUAGGCACCCUUAGCCCAUUUAGGCACCCUAGGCCCAAUUAGGCACCCUAGGUCCAUUUAGGCACCCUAGGUCCACUUAGACACCUUAGGCCCAUUUAGGCACCCUAAGCCCACUUAGGCACCCUUGGUCCAUUUAGGCCCCCUAAGCUCAUUUAGGCACCCUAGGUCCACUUAGGCACUCUAGGCCCAUUUAGGCACCCUUGGUCUACUUAGGCACCCUAGGCCCAUUUAGGCACCCUAGGUCCAGUUAGGCACUCUAGACCCAUUUAGGCACCUUAGGCCCACUUAGGCAUCCUUGGCCCAUUUAGGCACCCUAGGUCCACUUAGGCACUCUAGGCCCAUUUAGGCACGCUAGGUCCACUUAGGCACCCGAGGCCCAUUUAGGCACCCUAGGUCCACUUAGACACCUUAGGCCCAUUUAGGCACCCUAAGUCCACUUAGGCACCUUUGGCCCAUUUAGGCACCCUAGGCUCAUUUAGGCACCCUAGGUCCAGUUAGGCACCUCAGGCCCAUUUCAGCACCAUAGGUCCAGUUAGGCACUCUAUACCCAUUUAGGAACUCUAGGUCCACUUAGGCACCCUAGGCUCAUUGAGGCACCCUAGGUCCAUUUAGGCACCCUUGGCCCAUUUAGGCACCCUAGGCCCACUUAGGCACCCUAGGCCCAUUUAGGCACCCUAGGCUCAUUUAGGCACCCUAGGCCCAUUUAGGCACCCUAGGUCCACUUAGACACCAUAGGCCCAUUUAGGCACCCUAGGCUCAUUUAUGCACCCUUGGCCCAUUGAGGCACCCUAGGCCCACUUAGACACCCUAAGCCCACUUAGACACCCUUGGUCCAUUUAGGCACCCUAGGUCCACUUAGGCACCUUAGGCCCACAUAGGCACCCUUGGCCCAUUUAGGUACCCUUGGCCCAUUUAGUUAGGCCCACCUAGUCUCACCUUAGGCCCAUUUAGGCACACUUGGGCCAUUAAGAAAUUUUUAGCGUGACUUAUAUGACUUGCAUGGUUGCAUGGCUUGUGGGGCUCAGUUUUUUUUUUAUUUAUUUAUUUUUAUUUUUAGUUUUAUUUUUAUUUUUAUCAAUCACUUGUUUAUUUUUAUUUGUUAUAUUCCUUUCUAUAUUAUUUUUCUUAGUUUUUUAAUUAACUUAUUUAUUUAUUAUUGUUUUACCGUUUUCUAAUUUAUCUACUCAUUUAUUUAUUCAUUCAAUUAUUUAAUAUAAAAAAAUUUCAUGCUUUUGCAAGGAAACUUACCAUUGAAGUUUAAGGAAAGUGGGACUCUCCUUGGAAGGUUUUGGAGAGGGAGUUUGAAAUUGGGAGGAUUGUUUUUGAAUGGGAAGAUUGGAAAAAGAGGGAAAAAAAAUGGGGAAUUUCUCAGAGCCAUAUAAGGAGUAGACUGCCAUCAUGAGAUAAAGAAAAAGAAAAAAAAAAAAGUUAGAGAUUUUGAUUUUCUGGGGGAUAGAGAGAACAAUAGGAAUUUUUUAGAAGGGUUUUUUUGUUAGAGAUUCAAGCAUAAAGCAUAAUUUUUUUUAAAGAGAGCACACAGAAUUUUGGAAAAAAAGCAAGGGACUUGAGACGGAGAUCGGGCUGCCAUUUAAUCAUCAAGAGAGGAUUUUCUAUUUCACUUCAAAGGUUAGUUUUCUAUAUAGUACUUUUAUUUAGCCUAGACUUUUUUUUGGAAAUUUUAGUUUUUGAUUAAUUCUUUGUGUUAAAGUUUAUAUUAUUUUCUUUUUAAAUCCCCAAUUAGUUUAAUUCCAAUCUAUCUUUUAGUUUAAGUUUGUUAAUGAUUUUAAUUCUUAAGUUUAAAUAAUCAUAUUGAAUAAAGUUUGUAUUUUUAAUCCUGAUUAGUUUGAUUUCAAUUCGUUUUUAGUUUAAAUGUAUUUUGUUGAUCUUAAUUCUUGACUUUAAAUAAUCACGUUAAAUAAAGUUUGUAUUUUUAAUCCCAAUUAGUUUGAUUUCAAUUCGUUUUUUAUUUUAAAUGUGUCUUGUUGAUCUUAAUUCUUUACUUUAAAUAAUCACGUUAAUAAAGUUUGUAUUUUUAAUCCCAAUUAGUUUGAUUUCAAUUCGUUUUUAAUUUAAAUGCAUUAGUUGAUCUUAAUUCUUUACUUUAAAUAAUCACGUUAAAUAAAGUUUGUGUUUUUAAUCUCAAUUAGUUUGAUUUCAAUUCGUUUUUAAUUUAAAUGCAUUAGUUGAUCUUAAUUCUAUGUUUUAAAUAAUCAUGUUAAAUAAAGUUUGUAAUUUUAAUCCCAAUUAGUUUGAUUUCAAUUCGUUUUUUAGUUUAAAUGUAUCUUGUUGAUCUUAAUUCUUUACUUUAAAUAUCACGUUAAUAAAGUUUGUAUUUUUAAUCCCAAUUAGUUUGAUUUCAAUUCGUUUUUUAGUUUAAAUGUAUCUUGUUGAUCUUAAUUCUUUACUUUAAAUAAUCACGUUAAUAAAGUUUGUAUUUUUAAUCCCAAUUAGUUUGAUUUCAAUUUGUUUUUAAUUUAAAUGCAUUAGUUGAUCUUAAUUCCUUGUUUUAAAUAAUCACGUUAAAUAAAUUUGUAUUUUUAAUCCCAUUUAGUUUGAUUUCAAUUCGUUUUUUAGUUUAAAUGCAUUAGUUGAUCUUAAUUCUUAAGUUUAAAUAAGCACGUUAAUAAAGUUUGUGUUUUUAAUCCCAAUUAGUUUGAUUUUAAUUUGUUUUUAGUUUAAAUGCAUUUUGUUGAUCUUAAUUCUUUAGUUUAAAUAAUCAUAUUGAAUAAAGUUUGUGUUUUUAAUUCCAAUUAGUUUGAUAUUAAUUUGUUUUUAGCCUAAAUACAUUCAUUGAUCUUAGUUCUUUAGUUUAAAUAAUCAUAUUGAAUAAAGUUUGCGUUUUUAAUUCCAAUAAUAGAAUUUAAUUUCAAUUUAGUUUGAUUUUAAUUUAUUUUAUAAUUUGAAUGCGUUCAUGAUUUUAAUUGUUUGAUUAACUCUCUUAGACAAAUUCUAUAUAUUUAAUUUCGAUUUUAUUUUAAUUUUACUUUGUUAAUUUAUUUAUUUGUUUAAAAAUAUUUGCAAUUUCAUUUUGAUAGUUUAGCCAAUCUUAUUAGAUGAUGUUAAUGUUUUUAAUUUAAUCUAGUAUCAAUUAUUUUUAGUAUUGAAUGUGUUCGUGCGUUUCUGAAUUCGCCAUUUUGGAUUGUAAUCCAUUUAUAUCCAAUUUUGUAGUUGAUCAUAAUUUUAGUUAAUUAAUUUAGUCAAUCACAUGAUAUUAUACUCACAUUCUAAGUAUGGAAAUUUCAGCUUUGAUUCGUCAAUAUUUAGUAUGAGUUUUUUGGAAUUUUAGUUAAUUACAUGUUACUCUUUUAGUCAAUAUUUUCAAGUUUGCUAAACUUUGGUUUUUGAUUUAUCAUACUUUGCUAGAAUGUUAAUUUACCUUAAUUGAUUCCCUGUUAUUAUCUUUAUAUGCUAAGCUUGUUGACUUUAAUCUUUGGUUGGUUAUUUUUAUUUUAAUUCAUGUGUUUCUUGAAAUCUAGAUGUUAGUCUUGGAUAAUAUUUGUGUUAGUUUGUUUGAUUAGGAAACCAUUAGUUUGUUGCUUUAGUAAUUGUUGGUAAAAUCUUUUUUUUUGAAGGCCAUUGGAAAAUCAUGAAGAUUGGCAUCUACCAUCACCUUUAUCAUUUUUGUUAAUUACUAAAAAAAUUUUACUUUGAGGUUUCAUUUUUUUUUUUUUUUUUGUUUGGUAUUUUAUAUAUUUUAUUUUUUCCAAAUUAAUUCCUUUUAUUUUAAAAUAAAAUACUUUUCUCAAAAAAUCAUUUUAAAAAUCUAUUUCAAAAACUCAUUUAGAGUCCUCAGGAUCAAUUUUUUUUUUUUUAUAUUUAAAAAUAAUGUGCAACCAUAUCUUGUUCUGUUUGCAUCCUUCUCGGUUUUCAACAAAAAGUUUGGUUUUGAACAAAAACACGAAUCAAAGCUUGUGGUCCCAAAUAAAUGGGAUAAUUCUUGGCUAAAUUUGUGUAUAUUAAUUUGGGGAAUUGGUGAAACCCCUACAUAAGAAAAUCUUUUCAAAAAUUAUUUUUGUUGCCAUAUUUGUCACUUGUUGAAAUUAUGUCUAUCUUUUUUAGGAAUUGUAUACAAGAUGUGUGUGAUAAUUAAUGUUUUCAUAUACUUUGAUAAUUUUUGUUAUGCUAAUUAGAUAACAAGCAUGCUAGGGUUUCUUUAUUUUAUUAUUAUCUAAUCCCUCAUGUCUUAUGGAAGUGCAUUGUAAGUUAUCUAUGCUAUCCAGGUACAUCCCCUAUCACCUACUUUCUAAGUUUUGUAAACAUGAUUGUCACUGAGAACUAUGCUUAUGCUUGAGAAUACUUGGGUGUUCCGAUAUACAUGUUUCAUUGUUUGAUUAUUUCUAAUAAAACACAUGUUGGAUGAUAUAUUGUUUAAAUUAACCAUUGAUGUUUUAUGAUAGCGCUUGAGAAGCAGUCCGGGUACACACCCUAACUCUCCUUUAUUGUGAUUUAAUCUUGUUUAGCAUGUAAGUUUUUUGAAAUCACCUAGCCUACUUAGGUAUCUAUAAUUAAUUGAUUAAUUGCCACACUUCCCUUAACUUUGUCAGUAGAGACCUUUGUAGGGCUUAGAGGGGUGCUACCUUUUAAAGGUGCCUUCCCAAUAAGUAACCUGAUCCCCGGACUUAGACUUAGGUUUUUCAAAGACACACUUUUCCAAAAAUUAUGGAGUCAUUUUUUAGGGUUUUAUUUCUUGUUUUAUUUUCCCUUUUAAAAAAAAAUAAUAAGUGGCGACUCCAACUUUUUUUCAAAAAUCAAUUUUUCACAAAUAAAAAGCGAGUCUCGCCGAUUGAGUGGGGGCGCACGUGAAAAAUGCGGGUCCACAUGGAGUAAUUAGAGAUUAUUGCAUCACAUACGUCAAUGAAGUUGUAGGUAUUAGAGGGUAAGUUUUUAGGAUAAAACGACCAGGUAAAUUUGUGUAACUUGAUCUUGUAUAGUGGAUUUUGAUUAGUAGUCUUAGACCUUGUGGUUUUUUUUAUCUCCACAGUAGUGUGGGGAUUUUCCAUGUAAAAGUCAUUGUGUCCAUUGUUAUAUCUUGUGAUUAUCAUGAUUGUGGGGAUUUUGUUUAUCUCUGAUAUUAUCUCACAGGGUAAAAAUUGAGUAUAACAUAUAAUCUUUUUUUUAGAAUUCUUUUAAUUACACCCAUUCACCUCCGUCCUCUCUUUGGGUGUUACCCUACUAGACUUGGCUUUUUCAGUCUCAAAUUCUACAUUAGCAUUUUUUUACUUAAGUUAUAAAUGGAAAAAGUUAUAAACCCAAGAUAACUUGUUAAAAAAGUGAGAAAUAAUAAAGGACUCAUGUUAGAGUAUAAAUAAUUAAUCUAUUCUAGGCUUAAUAUAGCUCCAAUGUCAAACAUGAAUACUUAAUUAUUUAUUAUAUUUUGAAAAUAAAGUAAGUAUUUUUUAUAUAAAAAAUGAAACAACUUUUCUAGAACAACACAAGGCACUAAUGCAUAUAGUUGGUAACAAGUUGGAGAAAGAAAAUAAUGUGGAGAAAUAAAACAACAUGUACAAAGAAACAAAUUGGAGAUAAAGAAAAUGACUAACAAAAAAGAAAAUAGAGAAAUUAUAGAAUAUAAGAUAAUUAAACUUAUUUUCAUAAAAAUAAUAUAUUUUCGAAAAAUAGAAAAUUUCGUUCAUAUUCUCUUUUUCACUUAUUUUAAAAAUAAAAGUAAAAAUUAAUAUUUAUCAAAUGCAAAUAUUAAUAAUUAUGAAAUUAAUAUUUAUCACAUAUAUAAGAUUAAGAUUGAGAUAUAAACUUUUUAUAAUCUAAACUAUUAUUUUCAUUUUAAACAAGAAAGUUCGAUGUGACAUAAUAAAAUUUGUACACAAAAUUUAAAUUAUCUCUAUUCAUAUAGAAUUAUAUAUAGGUAUAGAUUCAUUUCAAAAUUCAAAUAAUUAUUUGAAAUUUACAUUUAAAUUUUAUUUUUAAAUUUAAAACUUAAUUAUUUUGUAAUAGGGUAUGUGUCAUAAAAUUGAAACUUAUAUAUAUAAAUGCGUCCACUUCCAUACCUCUCAUAAAAUUGGAGCCGACUUUUUUUGUUUUCUUUUGUGUGUUUAUAAAUGUCUCCAAUUCCAUAUCUAGCUGUGAUAUAGUUUUGGAGAUGAUUGUGAUUGAAGUAUAAUUUCUUUUAAUUUUAAUUUUAUAAGAAUUAAAAUCAAAGAAACUGUUGGGUAGAAAGAUGUUUCCCUCCAUACAAAUCUAUUUAAAAGAAAAAAAAAACACAAAGAAAGACAACAAUAGAUGAAAAUAAUUAUUCAUCUGUUAUGUUAGUGCAAAAUAUGAAAGAGAAGACAACAGUGUGCAUCUUCACUGUGACUGAGGAUCAAAUUCUCUUUGAGAUUGAUAUAAAUUAUUUAUAACUUCAUUGUUCAUGGAGAGUUGAUUCAGUAGUGUCUUCCAUUUGAAGACAUACAGAAAUGGUUAGAAUUAUCUAUUCAUUUCAAGAGAUAACUUGCAUCUAUGACCCUUAUACUCCCAUGAACUUUGAGCAUCUAUUAUUUAUAAAAUAUGGAUGAAAAUAGAAUAUAAAAAAAAUAUUUUCAUGGGAAGUGUAUUUUGGAAAAAAUAAUUCUCAUUUGAUACAUUGGAAAAGUGUCUACCUCACAUUACCCAAAAAUGUCGUUAUAUGUGUACAUGGGUCAUCAUCCAUAGUAACCCAAUUCACAUGAGGAUGGUACAUCAUUCAACCAAUAAAGGUACUUUAAGCUCAAAACAGUGGUACAUUAUAAUCAAAACAAUAUUACUUUAAUAUCAAAAUACAUGUAAGGACAUUUUAAGGUAAUGUGAGGUAAAUACUACUAUAAUACAUUAAAUAAGAAUUAUUUUCCCAAAAAUGUACUUCCCAUGAAAAUGAUUUAUGUAGGUUUUCUUUCAUUUAUAUUUUAUAAAUAGUGCAUGUUUACAUAAUUCUCUCAUUAAUAUAAUAUAAUCAUCUAUACCUGAUAAUUAAGGAAAUAAAAAAUAUUUACGUACUAAGCAAGGAUAAUUGAAAUUAAAGAGUAUGUCAAAAGAGAAAAAAAAUAUUAAAGAUAAAUUAAAACUCUAAAAUAAAAGCCUUCAUUUGCACAUAUAGGACAAUAUCUUAGGAGGUAUUUUAUUAAAAUAAUAAUAACAAUGAUUAAAAAAUGGAAAAAAUUAUGGGUCCCAUUUUUUAAGUAUUUUCAAUAACAUAAUUAUAAACUUCUUUAAAUUUAAAAUCAUUUAUUUAAACCACUUUAUUCAUUUAGCAACAAGGACUUAAUUAAUCACUAAGAUCAAACACAAUGAUUUAUAAUUUUUAUAAUAUUUUCUUCCAUUACUAUCAUUUUUUUGUUAAUAAAAUGAAGACUUCUAUUGAUGAAUUUUUAAUAAUAAAAUGUAACUUCUUUUAAAUUAAAACCAUUUAUUAUUAAAAAAAUUUAAUUCAUCUAGGAGAUUCUUUUAACUAAUUCUUUUAGAAUUUUUUACAUUUUUUUAUUUCAUAUUUAAAGAUAAAAAAUUAUUAUGAAAUAAUUUUCUUCAUUAUAAAAUUUAUCUUUCGUUUCUAAAUCAGAAUUUUUGUCAUGUCCAUUCAUAUAAUAAAAUUAAAAUUAUAAAUAAUAAAAAAACCUAUUUUAAUUGACAGCGUCAUGGAAUCUCUCCAUGCACACCUCUUAAACCAAGUGAGCUAUGAAUGCAUGUAAGAUGUAUAUAUAACUAUAAAUAAGGAUUCAAAAUGAGGGGAAAAAUCAUUGAGAAGGGUGAACCAUGGGUGAUAAGCCACUUUCCUUUGGAUAAAUAUUAAAAGUUAAAGAGUAUAAAAUGUCUAUGUAUGUCGUCAUUUUUUUUUUCACUUUUAAGUUAAAUAUAUUUUUAUUGUUAUAAAUGAAGUAAUGAAUGCCACCACAUUUAUUAUAUGAAAUGUUCAUUAAAAGCCUAUAAAAAUGUUUCCUAUCCCCUGUAAAAUGCAUCCCAAGCAAAGAAAUAAAUUUUCUUUCUCUCUUAUUCUUUUUUAUUUUUUUAUUUUUAUUCUCCAUAUCUUUCAUUCUUUCAAUUGUCCUAAUUAUCUUUUAUGAUUCCUUCCUCUCCAUUAUAUAUUAUUAUCAAAAUAAUAUAUAGUUGUUCUUUACUUUUAUUUGUGUUGCAUUUAUCCUCUUUUUACAACACAUAAUUAGCAUGAAUUGCUCUAAAGGUAAUUCUCAUAUCUUAAAUUUGAAGUUAUUUAUAUAGAAUAAAAUUUUACAUAUUUAUAUUGGUAUUGUUAAAUUCAUUUAAUUUGUGUUAUAUAUUAUUAAAAUCUAUAAGCAAAUUAUUUGAUUUUGAUUAUAAUCAAAAGUUAUACCAAUGCUAUUAAUUUAUAACUAAUUCUAGUAAUAUUGUUUUGUCAUAUAUCUAAAGUUAUUUAACAAUGUCAAAUCUCACAAAACUCAAAUUUGUGGCACUUGACAUUUUAGGAAAGAACUAUAUAUCUUGGAUCCUUAAUGCUGAAAUACAUCUUGAUGCAAUGAAUCUUGGAGCUACAAUUAAAGAAGGAAAUCAGGCUUCCUUGUAGGAUCAUGCAAAAGCGUUGAUUUUCCUUCACCAUCAUCUCUAUAAAGGUUUUAAAAAUGAGUAUCUUAUAGUAAAGGACACUUUUACGCUAUUGAGUAAUUUGAAGGAAAGAUAUGACCACUAAAAAAUUGUGAUUAUCCCAAAAGCUUGAUAUGAUUGGAUGCAUUUAAGGUUGUAGGAUUUUAAAACUAUUAGUGAAUAUAACUCUGCACUUUUCAAAAUCAACUCUCAAUUAAAGCUAUGUGGAGAAAAAAAUCAUAGAAGAUGACUAUUAGAAAAAACUUUACUACAUUUCAUGCCUCGAAUGUGCUCUUACAACAAUAAUACCAAGAGUGUAGAUUUACAAAAUACUCUGAAUUAAUAUCAUGUCUUCUUGUUGCUGAACAAAAUAAUGAGCUUUUGAUGAGAAAUCACUAGUCUCAUCCAAUUGGAUCUGAACCAUUCCCUGAAGUGAAUGCAAUAUUGUCCCAAACUCGUGGACAUGGGUGAGGACAAGGAAAUGGUUGUGGUCACGGAAGGAAUCUCCGAUAUAAUGGUUAUUAUGGUAAUAAUUCCUCAAAUUCUCAUAAAAUGAAAGCUUUAUUGCACCACUAGAAAUGGAAUAAUACUGAGGCAAAACAAGAAAAUGGGAAGUGUUUACAAGAUUAACCUCCAAAUAACCAUGAGAAUAAUUGUUAUAAAUGUGGUAUGAAGGGCCAUUGGUUGUGUACCUAUCAUACACUCAUACAUUUGGUCAACCUUUACCAAGCAUCAAUAUAAGUAAAAGGAAAAGAGAUAGAGAUGAAUUUUACCAAUGGUGAUGGAUUGAACCUAACCUACUAUGACAUCGAUUUCUUUGGAGGUCCUAGUGAAAAAAUAGACCAUUUAAUAAAUGAUGAGAAUGCUAACAUUGAUGGGUGUUACUUUAUAUAUCAAAUAAUAUAUUAUUAUGUGUUAUAUUUAUAUCUGAUUAUUACAUUUUCUUUUAUAUUGUUAUUUUAUUAUGCCUUGUUUUUUUAAUAUUAGUUGUAUCUAAAAUCCACGUGUUAUUUGGUCUCAAGAUGAAUGAAGAUGAUGUAUGUUUCACAAAUUGUGAAACCACGCACACAAUUCUUCGAGAUAAAAGAUAUUUCAUUGAAUUGACAUUGAUAAAAGCUAAUGUAAGUACCAUAUUUAGUACUACAAGCUUAGUUGAAGGCUUUGGAAGAGGAAACAUAAUGCUACUAAAUGGAACUAGAUUUCAUAUAAAUGAUGCUUUAUAUUCUAACAAAUCUAGAAGAAAUUUGCUCAGUUUUAAAGAUAUCCACAAAAAUGUAUAUCAUAUUGAAAUUUUGAAUGACUUCCAUUAUAUCUGGCCAAAAGCUUAUGAUAGAAAAACUCUCGACUUUUUCCUCUAGGUUGUAUCAUACAACUAUAAAGCAUAUUGAAUCAUAUUUUGUCAUGAACCAGAAGUUCAACGGCCCAAAAUUUUUUGUCCUUUGGCAUGUGAGACUAGGUCACCCAGGUUUUCAAUGAUGCGUCAAAUAAUCGAACACUCACAUGGGCAUCCACUAAAAAACCAGAAAAUUCUUUUGCAAAAUGAAUACUCAUGUGCUACUUGCUCACAAGGUAAAUUGAUAGUCAAACCAUUUUUUACUAAAGUCAUAUUUGAGUCACGAGUUUUUAAAAAGAAUACAUGAGAACAUAUGUGGGCCUAUCCAUCCACCAUGUGAACCAAUUCGUUAUUUUAUGAUCUUAAUAGAUACUUCUACUAGCUGGUUACAUGUUUGUCUCAUUUUUACAAGUAAUGUUGCCUUUGCUAACUCCUUUCACAAAUGAUCAAAUUAUGAGCACAAUUCCAAGAUUAUCUAAUUAAGAUAAUACAUCUUAAUAAUGUUGGCGAAUUUACUUCUCAAACAUUCAUUGACUACUGUCUAUUGGUAGGGAUAAAUAUUGAGCAUCCUAUUGCUCAUACUCAUACCCAAAAUGGUUUAGUAGAAUUCUUCAUCAAAUGUCUCUAAUUAAUAGCUCGACCAUUACAAAUGAAAACCAAAUUACCUAUUUCUACCUGGGGACAUGUUAUUAUGCAUGCUGCAACUUUAGAUUGUAUUCAACAUAUAGCUUGCCAUGAAUAAUUCCCUCCACAACUCAUACUUGGAAAACAACUAAAUAUCUCUCACUUAUGAAUCUUUGGUUGUGCAGUAUAUGUACCAAUUGCACCUAUGCAAUGGACUAAAAUGGGUCCCCAAUGAAGACUCGGGAUUUAUUUAGGUUUUAAUUCUCCAUCUAUCAUAAGAUAUUGUUAGAAAAAUUAGGCUAAUCCAACCUAAGGUAAUUACCCUAGAAGGAAAAGGAGAGGAUGAAUAGAGUGAUGGUAUUUUUUUUUAAAAAAAAAUUAAAUUAUAUGAAUACAAGAGACAAUUAUAUGCAAAUAUAUAAUAAAACAAUAUAAAGAUAGAUGCAUAUAAAGAUCUUAUCUUGAUCCUUAUACAAAUGAAUAUGAACUAGAAGUUCAAAGGAACAUUUAUUUGCAAAAUCUUGCAAACAUAUUACUAGAUGCAUUCAUUGAUACAAAGAAAGUGACAAAGUCACAUAUCUUGGCUACAAAUACUCCAACAUGGAUUGAUGUCCCUGUAGGACAGUUAACAAAUGAACCUAAGAUAUGCUUGAAGCGUAGUAAACCUGUCGACUCAAAUGAUGUAACUCCCUAGAAGAGGAGAACACAAGAAAAACUUGGCACUUUAGAAGAGUCGUUAAAAUGACUAAUCAGUCUAAAAUUGAUAAAUCUAUAGCCCCAAAAGAGGCACAAAUAAUGCAAAAAGCCCAUGAAGAGGCACUUAUUGAACAAGAAGCCCUUGAAGAGGCACAUAUUGAACAAGAAGCCCCUGAAAAGGCACAUCUACCUGAAAAUUGUGAAAUAUUAGUAAGUUAUGUACACAUGGGAAAAAAAUGGGAUCCAAAUAAUAUUGCUAUCAACAAUACUUUUACUUUUCAAGUGGCCUAUGAUAUCAUAAGAAAUUAAUAAGAUCCCGAAUAACAAAAUAUGGAAGAAUGCCGACAUAGAAAUGAUUGGCCAAAAUGGAAAGAAGCUAUGUAAGCAAAGUUAAACUUAUUAACAAAAUGAGAAGUUUUUGGACCUGUACUCUAAACACUUGAAGAUGCAAAGUUUGUUGGGUAAAAAUGGGUAUUUGUACAAAAGUGAAAUGAGAAUAAUGAAAUCAUAAGAUAUAAAGCGUGAUUAGUAGCACAAGGUUUCUUUUAGAGACCAAGUAUUGACUACGAGGAAACAUACUCUCCUGACAUGGACAUAAUCACAUUUCGUUUCUUAAUUAGUUUGGUAAUCUCAUAAGGAUUGGAUAUGAUCCUCAUGGAUGUUAUUACAACAUAUUUAUAUAGAUCCAUAGAUAAUGAUAUAUACAUGAAAAUCCCUGAAGAAUUUAAACUGCCUCAAACAAAUAAUACAAAGACUUGUAACAUUUACUCAAUCAAGUUACAAUGAUCCUUGUAUGGAUUAAAGUAAGCGGGAUACAUGUGGUACAAUCGCCUUAGAAAAUACUUCCUAAAAGAAGGGUAUGUGAAUAACCCUAUAUGUCCAUGCAUCUUCAUUAAGAAAUCAAAAACUGGAUAUGCAAUUAUUGCAGUGUAUGUUGAUGACAUAAAUCUUGUUGGAACUCCUGAAGAGCUCAUAAGAACAAAAAAUUACUUAAAAAAGGAAUUUGAGAUGAAGGAUCUUGGAAAAACAAAAUUUUCUAUUGGUUUACAAAUCAAGCAUUUUCCAAAUGGAGUUUAGUACAUCAAUCAACAUACAUUAAGAAAAUUUUGAAGCAUUUUUAUAUGGGUAAAGCGCAUCUUUUAGCCUUUCCAAUAGUUGUUUGAUCACUUGAUGUGAAAAAGAACCCAUUUCAGUCUUGCAAAAAAUGUGAAGAAUUAGUUGGUUCUAAAGUACCAUAUAUUAGUGCUGGGUGCACUUAUAUAUCUUUCCAAUUGUACAUGUCUAAACAUUGUUUUUUCUAUCAAUUUAUCAGCAAGAUAAAGUUCCACUCCAACUCAAAGACAUUGAAAUGGUAUCAAACAUAUAUUGCACUAUCUUUGCGGAGCUACUGAUGUGAGUCUAUUUUACUCAAAGGAAUCAAGCAACAAUUGCUUGGAUAUGUAGAUGCAGGAUACCUUUCAUAUCCACAUAAAGAUAGGUCAUAAACAGGGUAUAUGUUUAAUUGCAAUGGUACUGCUAUUUCAUGGAGAUUUGUUAAACAAACAAUGAUGUCACAUUAUCAAAUCAUUCAAAAAUACUUGCAAUUCAUGAAGCAAGUUAUGAAUGUGUUUGACUAAGAUCUAUGAUUCAACAUAUUCGAUAACCAUAUGGACUUUUCUCUAUCAAAAGUGGCACGACAAUAUUAUUUGAAGAUGAUGUUGCAUACAUUGCACAAAUAACAGGGGGUCAUAUUAAAAGAGAUAGAACUAAACACAUUUCAUCAAAAUUAUUUUAUACACAUGAACACCAGAAAAGUGGUGAAAUUGGUGUGCAACAAAUAUGCUCAAGUGAUAAUCUAGCAAAUUUAUUCACAAAGUCAUUGCCAACCUCAACAUUAAAGAAGUCAAUACACAAGAUUGGAAUGCAUCAACUCAUAUCAACAUGAGGGAGAGUUUGCUUGUAAAAGGGUGUUAGUGUACUGUACUUUUUUUCCCUUUGUCCAGAUUUUGUCCUUUUGGGUUUUACUAGCAAGGUUUUUAAUGAGACAGUCCUAACAUAUCAAGAGCAACUUAAAGAAUUAUCACAAUAUUGUACUGUUUUUCCUUCGCUAGGUUUUCCUAUAGGGUUUUUUACUAGCAAGGUUUUAAUGAGACAUAUUCUUCUAAUGUGGUUGACAUUCAAGGAAAAGUGUUUAAACAAAGUAAUGAAUACCACCACAUUUAUUAUAUUAAAUAUUCAUUAAUAUUAUUUAUGACUUCCAUUAAUAUUCAUUAAUGGAAGCCAUUUGGAAAGCCUAUAAAACAACUUCCCAUCCCCUGUAAGAUGCAUCCUAAGGAAAGAAAUAAAUUCUCUCGCUCUUAUUCUCUAUGUCUUUCAUUCUUUCAACUCUGUUAAUUCUCUUUUCUGAUUCUUUCAUUCCCAUUAUAUAUUAUUAUUAAAAUAAUAUAAAGUUGUUAUAUACUUUUAUUUACGUUGCAUUUAUCCUUGUUUUACAACACUUAGUUUUUUCUUUUCUCUAUUUUAUUUUAUUUUUUUCUCUUCUAGUUAUUAUAAUUAUAAUAAUAAUUAUUAUUGUUAUUUUAUAAACAUAAUAUAACCUAUCAAAAAAUAAUAAUAAUAACAUAUUUAUAAAUAAUAUAAUAAUUAAUUUACAAAUUAUUGUUUCAUUUGUUAUUAUUAUUAUUGUUAUUAUUAUUUCAAUUUUUUUUAAAUAUCAUAUAUAACUUAUACAAUAUGAAUAAUAAUAAAAUAAUUUUACAAAUAUUGUUUCAUUCAUGUUUUGAAGACAAAGUUUUCUUAUAUAAACUUUCAUAAAUUUUCAAUUGUUUUUUACAAUAUGAUUAUUAAGAAAAUAUUACAAUAAAAAAUUAGUAUUGAUAAUUAUGAAAAAACAAAAUUAAAGCAUGUGUUAUCGUACUUUUAGUGUACUUAUAUUUUAAUUUCAAUGCAUAACUAUGACACAUACAUUUUGUCACAAACUUAAUAGUGUUAGAAGCAUUGUCUUAUCCUAGUAUAUUGAUUUCUAUAUUAUUAAGGCAUCCCAAUGAAUUAGCAUCAUAUACUAGAUGCAUUCUUAUUAGCAAUAAUUCUUAUAAUGAAACUCAUACACCUUAUAAAAAAAAUGUCUUAUAAGGUUAAUUUAUAGUAGAUGAAAUGUUAAAAAAUAUACAAAAUAUAUGACAAUCAUUUAUCAAUGCUUGUUUAAAAGGAAAAAUUUUAAAAUAAAGUUAGGUUAUGCAGUAAUGUAUAAGACAUUUAAAGUAUUCAUGUUGUAAGAUCAUUAUAUUUUUGUGGUACGAAUACGUUGGCUUUUAUAUUAAUACAUAAUAUCGGUGUACUAGCAUUAUACAUUUAAUGAAUCAUUAUUAUGCAUGAUUUUUAUAAUAAAGCCUAUAAGUUUUAAGAAUUAGGUGAAAGAAAGAUCAUAUUCUAAGAUUGGUUUAUAAUCAAUGACAUUAUAAUAAUAAAAAAUAUGAAUAAUGACACAUAUGAAAUAUUAAUAAUGUAAAACUAAUAUCAUAAAUAAUAAUAUUAAUAAUGAUGAUAAUAAUAAAUAUAUAAUUAUAAUUUUUUUUAAUAAAUAGUAUAGUUAGUCUUAACAUAUAGUAAAUAAAGCACAAAAGGUAGAAAAGAAAAGUAGAAAAGUAAAGUUAUAUGGGAGUAGGAGGAAAAGACAAAAUGAUGUAAUUGGAAUUAUGGAAUGAUCAAGUUAUCAAACUAUAACUUGUGAAUUUGACAAGACUUUGAGACUUGGUGACCCUUAAGGGAGAGCUUAUCAUCACUUCGAGCUAGGUGACCAUUUUUUAAAAAAUUUCAAAAAUAAAGCCCAUGAAAAAUUUAUUUAUUAAGAAUAAUAACAAUUUUGUAUUUUUUUAUAUACAAAUUAGAUAUUUAAUUUAUUAGAAUCAUUUUGAUGGUAAUGACAAACAAAAUAACUCCUUAAAUAGGUGAAAUAAUUCAUUUUCUCAAAUUUAUAUGCAAAAUUAUUUUAAAACAAAAGGGAUGAUACAUUAUUUUUGUUCAACAAUCCACAUUUUGACUUUCAUUUUAAAAUCCAUCUAUAAAAAUCUCUCUUUAUAUAUAUCUGCCUAGAUUGCCUGAUCAUCUAUUCAUUCAUUGUCUAUAACUUCUUGCCUGAUUAUCAAUUUAGAUGUUCAUAUUUGCAUAUAUUUAUUCAUUCCACCAUGUAUUUUGUUGCUUAUUUGUAAUGUUUACAAUUUUGAUGAAAUGUUUGAUUAUUUGAAAACCGAAUUUCCCCAAACCCACUAAUAAAAAGCAACUAAAAGUCUGACCAAUCUAGAGGGGUGUUCUUGGCCGGUGGCCAUCCUGAUAAGUCACCUUAGCCGUAGACUAGAUUUAGAUUUUGCAAUUAGUACCUUUCUUUUCCUUCUAGGAAUCACUAUCAUCUUGACCAAUCUAGCCAUGUACCAAAAAGUCAAUUUUGCCAAGUUUAAAAAGUUUGCUUUAAGCCUGUUCAUCAUAGUUGACAGAAGUUAGAAUUACAAUGAAAUAUCUAGGAGAAAAUGUCCGCAGGAGCAGAGAGAGAGAGAGUGAAGGCAAUACAUUCAGUCAUGAAUUUGAUGCAAAUCCCAACGUACAUAAUUGUAUCGAAUACUCUCACCAUGAUUGUCGAUCUAUCGGAUCAGACGAUUACUAUGUUUGCCAAAAAUGCCUGGGCCGUAUGUGGAAUAAAUCAAUUCCACAAGGAAGGGAAACUGCAAAAUUCCGUACAAGGUCACUGGCAAACAGACUAAUGCUGCCAAGGUAAUAAGAAUCCAUGCCUUCUUUUCACCAAAGAGAAGAUAGAUUGCGCUACUGUAGGCUAUCAUCAUGAAUGUUACGGAGAGGAAUAGAGUAACAAGGCCAAAUAUCAACCUCCUGGGAAGGGCAAAAAGAAAAUCAUCUUCUGCAUAUCGUGCCGUGAGAAUGGAUAGGCAUAUCAGCACCGAAGCAAUGGAUAGUAAGAGGGAAAGAGCAUCGGAAGCUGCAAAAACUUUGAAGGCCUUUUCUUUGGUGAAAUUUGGUAUGCCAGUAUCAUCAUGGUUGCCACCCGGGAUGGUAAUUGCUGCUGCAAACACUACAGUAGCAAUAAGCGCUGCUGCUAAUGUGUAACAUUUUGCUGUGCCUUUCAUCCAUUUCUCCCUUUCUUUUAUCAAUUUUUCAUGUUCCUUUAUAAAUGCCAUUUUCGGUUUAUCUUUUUUUUCAUUUCUCAGAUUCACUGAAGGCUCUCGGGGCAUAUUUUUCAAUUUCCUUUGUAAAAAUCAAAAUGUUUCUAAGAUACAGAAAAAGAGUGGAUAUGUAUAAGAAAAUUAAUUCCCCUUCAAAACAAAAAUUAUUACCUUAAACCAAUGUAACUCGCGUUGCAUUUGUAGAGCUGCACCAGAAACGAGACUGAGCCGGUGCGGAGGGGCCAAUUUUCCAACCAAAUGCAAGAUGUUAUUUAAAUCAUCUUUGGCUCGUAUUAUAAGUUCUCUAUGCAUAUCGGUUCCACAGAUGAGGUUGAAAAUCUUUUCAUAACGAUUUAAUACUGCCAAUUUGAAUACAUCCUCAUCCAGAUACUCGAGGGCAAAAGGAUAUGACUUCAUAAUCUCUUGCAGAAUCUCGGGAAUCCCAUAUUUUGCCCCAGUAAUGAAGGCUAGUUUAAAUAUUUCCUGUGCUCUUGAUGCUUUCAAAACUUCAGUACAUAGGUGGUUAAGCAAUUGAAGAGUCAGAGAAUGCAUUGUUUUUGUUUCUUGGAUGUGCUUGAUGGGUGGUACUGCAAUUAAAAUUAUAUUAAGGACAACAUAACAUUGCAUUCAAAACUUUUGCAUGCUUUAGUGGUAGUUUUGUUGUGUUCCUUACCUAACCAUCCAACCAGUUCCCAGAACAUUGCAUUCACCUUUCGGCAAGUUGUGUGCAAUGAAAAUUGAAGCAGUUCAGAUGCAAAAGCAGGACUAACAGAAGAAAAAACAAAAAAGCAACCCUGAAUCAAGUACCAAUUAAACACUAAUCUAUCAGAGCUUUUUGGGAUUCAAUAGGUUUCAUAUACUUCCCUUAAACCGUCGCACUUGAAUUUAAAGGCUAGAAUCAAGAAGCCUAAUGAAACUUGGUACAAGCUCAAUUACUCGACUUCUUAUUAAUUAACCAGGAGCAUCAGGUGACAAGAUAUUCAUAAAAUCUAUCAGAGCAAUGAAAAUUGUGUAUCCUACAUAAUUCUUUGAGUAGUAGAGUAUUAUCCAUUGGAAUUUGAUUGUAGAGCUGAUUUCAAAUCCAUUACUUGAACUUAAAAGGAAAAAAAUGAACACAAUUUUGUGAGGACAAAUUAAAAUUGUGAGGAUCUCAAAUUCAACAAGUUAGCAUUUCUCUACCAGGUGCAAUUUGGCAAAUUGGUUUGACCUAACUUGAAUAUCGGAGAAGUUGAGAAACCAUUUUUAGUACUCAAGUUAGAAUUUGGUCAAGCUUCUCAACCAAAAGUUAAUUUGGGUUGAGCUCAAUUUUGGGCUGAGUUCAAACCAAUGCUUCAACAAUCUAAGUUGAAUUAAACUCCAUUAAUAUUUUAUAAUAUUUAUAGAAUAUAUUACUAUAUAAUAAUAUCAAUUUUUUUUUCUAAAAUAAUUUUAAGGGAAAAACCAUCAAAAUAUAUUAAGCCAACUCUCAGAAAUUUGCCUACCCCCUUGUGAACACUAUUUGGAAGGAAAAUUAAUUAGGAAGCCUCUUAAGCAAGCCAGAAAGGUAUUUGGUCCUCUGUAGCCUAUGCAUUCCAUAGUACAGGGCCUAAUGAACAUGAGAGCAAAGCAUGGUGCCUACUACUUCAUCACAUUUACGGAUGGUUAUAUCUACAAGUCCAAAUAAUUGCUUUGAUUUAGAUGUUAUAUGAAUAUUGUAAAAAAAUGAAAAGAAAAAACUAUUACAACAUUAAGGAUAAAUCAUGGACAUGAGUAUCCAUUGAAGAGUUUUAAAAAUCUCUAUGAUGAAAAGCAAAUCCAAAGAACAAUCAAUAGCUUCAAGGACUCCACAGUAAAAUGGUUGAACUGAAAAUAGUAACCAUAAACUUUUGGAUAUGGUUCACUCAAAAAGGCACAAGCCAACUAUCUAACAUCUUUCAAGGUGGGAAAGGAGGGUUACUAUUUUGAUUGCAACUUAAAUCUUGAGUGAAGUGCCCUCAAAAUCAAUUACUUCAAAUCCAUAUAGUUAAGAAGUCAAACCUAACUCACUUGUGAUCCUAAGGGUUAGUAGGUUUAGUUCAUGUAAAUUCUCAUAGAUAUUGUGCUAUAAAGGAAACAAGUGCACUUUCAUUCAUUAGAUAUUCUAAGAAAUCAAAGGUUGUGUGAUGCUUAGUGAACAACUCAAUGGGAGUAUAAUUGAAAUAAAGUCAGAUGAAAUCACUUUCUUAUAGGAUGAUAUUUUGAGCAGAGGAGCAUUGAACAGGAGUCUCAAUUUAUUUGAGGCAAUUAAACCAAAGGAAAAUACUAUGAUAUCUCAUAUCGAACAGGGGAAAAAGUUCUUGACAUUAUAUAUAUAUAUAUAUAUAUAUAUAUAUAUAUAUAUUAGCUUCUCUUAAUUAUUUAGACACAUUUUAAUGUUGUGAGGGUGUAGACCCUCAAUUUUGUCCCUUUAACACAUGUCUUUAAAUCCGUUUUCAAUGCUCCGUAAUAGUUCCUUGGUGGCCCAUAGCUACUCAUACCACUUACCUUUUUUUUGAGUCACCUUGGAGACUUUGGUUGAGGGAUUAUUUGAUCCCUUAUUGUGACCCUUGGCAACCCUAACUUAGACUUAGGCUUUUCUUGUUUUUUUUUUAGGAUAGCUUUUAGAUACACUUGGCCCAUUAGGCACCACCCUAGGCCCACUUAGUCUCACCUUAGGCCCGUUUAGGCACACUAGGCCUACGAAGACUUUUAUUUUAUUUUAUUUAUUUAUUUAUUUAUUUUGUUUUAGUUUUAAUUUUAUGAUUAUCAUUCACUUUUUAUUGGUUAUCUUCCUCUUUAUAUUAUUUUCCUUAACUUAUUUAUUUAUUUAUUAUUUUUACCAUUUUCUAAUUUAUUUACUUAUUUAUCUAUUCAUGCAAUUAUUUAACUUAAAAAAUUUCAUGUUUUUGCAAGGAAACUUACCAUUGGAGUUUAAGGAAGGCGGGACCCUCCUUGGAAGGUUUUGGAGGGGAAUUUGAAAUUGGGAAGAUUGCUUUUGAUUGGAAGAUUUAAAAAAAGAGAAGAGAAGAAGAAAGGAAAUAGGAGAAUUCUCCUUUUUGGAAACAAAUUUAGGUCUUGAGGAGUGAUAUAUAAAGAGAAAAAAGGAAAAGAAGAGAAAGAGGGGGCAGCACGCAUUGGAGGAGAUUGGUUUUAGAGAAGAAGAAGGAAGAUAGCAAAAAAAGAGAUUUUUUAAGAAAACUUUCAGCACGCAUUGAGAACGGAGGGGAAUUGGAAAAGAGAAGCAAUCUUUGCCUCUUUAAGAGAAGUUCUAAGGUAAGUUUUCGGAGGAUUCUUUUUAUUUUUAUUUUUCUGGCUUAUAUCCCUAAUCUAUGUUCUUCAUUCUCUCAUUUUAUGAUUUGGGACACUGUUUGCUUGGUGGGUUGAAGAUGUAAGAAACUUCAUGCGAACUUUAUUGAUUUCUGGUUCUUGUUUAUGCUUACUGAUAUGGUUUCAUUCCUCGCUAUUCUUUUUCUUUUUUUUUAUUAUUAUUUUCUAUCAUAUGAACUCAGUGAGACUCUGUUUUAUGGAAUAUUAUUUGAUGAUAUUGGUUGCCCUGUUUCUCUUUUACUCCUCCCACUAAUCCAAGCCCAUGGAUUAACAUUUGAAAUGGGGACAUGUUUAUUGGCAUCCUCUGCUUAUUCCUUCUCCGGUCUACUAUGUGUCUAUCCAUGUCCUCUGUUCCCCUUUCCAUACUGCAUUCCAGUCCUUGUCUGUAUAUUUGGGUGUGUAUCUGAGACCGAUAGAAGUACUGAUGUGAAAGAUAAGGUGUGUAGCACACGCAGUGUGCUCAGUGUAUUCCUGGUGGAGUGCGGAGAAUGAAGGGUAGUGAUGGAGAUUCAAAUCAUGUGAAUUUGGUUGAAUUACAGAAGAAGGCUACCACUUUGAAUUUUCUCUACGUGGCAUAUUGGGAUUAAAAGAGUUCCACGCAUAGUCCAUGAUGAAGACAGCCUGCAAGCAUAAAUGGGUAUCCCACGUGGCUAUGAGACUAAAUGAUAUUCCCAUACAAGUCUGCACCUUUGUGAGAGACGUGUCGCUAUUGAAGAAGCAGCCGCAUCCUUGAGACUGUCUGCGCACAAGGAGAAUCUCCAGGGGUGCUUACCUUAUGUACAGAUUUGCAUGGUGAUUAGCUACGCUCAGGUAGUCCUGAAAUGCUUGCAAAUCUGCAUGGUUCACCAAUUGAGUCCGGGAAUUCUGACAGAUCUUCAGGAAUGGAUGACGAGUCCAAUAACCGCGAGGUGAAUUCUAAUUUAGAAGUUCCUAAUGCAAAUGCUGGUCAUGCUAAUGCUCUGCAUGCCAGCGCUGAUGUUGAUAUGAAUGGUGCUAGUCUUGAAGAUCAAAUUGAGCCAACUGGCCCGGUUUCUAAAUAUGGCACGGGUGAGCCACAGUCAAGGCCAAACACUCUAGUUCCUUGCUAUUGAGAUCUACUAUUUAUCAAAAAGACCUAUCCCCAAAUCAGUCCAACAGAAGCCGAAUCAAUUGAAACAUGAAAGCAAUGAGGGUACAAUAUAAAGGGGCAGUUUUUGGCGAGCCGAAUCCGCACCCUUUCGUCCUUGUUGAUGUUGCAUAGAAACUUACGGUGAAUGAGAAAACCAGUCAGUCAAUUCUGGUUAGUGGUGAAAGUGGGAUGCUUAUGCGUUAUCUCGCCUACAUGGAAGGGAGAUCUGUAGCUAAGGGAAGGACUAUUGAGCAACAAAUUCUAGAGUCCAAUCUAGUUCUAGAAGCAUUCGGUGAUGCAAAGACUGUCAGAAACAAUAAUUCAAGUCGGUUUGGUAAGUUUGUGGAGAUUCAAUUUGAUCAGAGGAGAAGGAUUUCAAGAGCAACUAUCAGGACUUAUUUUCCGGAAAGAUCCUGUGUUUGUCAAGUGCCUAAUCCUGAGAAAUUAUCAUCGCUUCUACAUGCUUUGUGAUGCAUCAGCGGAGAAUGUUCAAAGGUCCAGAUUGGGAAAAGCAGGAAGUUUCCAUUAUCUGAAUCAAUCCAAUCGCUAUGAGCUGGAAGGUUGACAGCAACUAAAGACCUUUGCCAUCUCAUUUUUCCCUCACUAAAAUCUGAACCUAAGGCAUACAUGCAUGCUGUCACCAUGGCUCCCGGUCACUCACAUCUAGAAGAUAAGAACAUAAGGAAAAUUCUUGUGGUAAAUGAGCAAACAGACCUGUUUUUACACAGUUCGUUGAUGAUUCACAUGAAAGCAUUUGAUUCAAGACACCAUCUCGCGGAACUGAAAGCGAUGUUAAGGAGAGAACUGAAGGUUUGGUCUUCUGGUUUGUGCUUGGAGGGGAAUAGGAUUUCUGCUGGAGGUAGUGGGAGCCUUUCUGAUAAUUCUUCCAGAGAUUCUGUUGCAAAUGAAACCAGUGCAGCAUCUAGAACUGACAAACCAGCUUUGGAGCGAAGAGAUAAAAAGUACUCUUCAAAUAAUAAUGGUCCAGAAGUGGAGAUUAGUCGCUGUUGUGUAGUCCUUUAGUCUUCACUAAGACUAUUAGUUGGCAAAGUUCACCAGAUUUUGAGGCAAUUCAAGACUAAUUUACUUGAUAUGGAUGCUGCUCUCCCUGAGGAGGCUCCAAGGCCAUCAAGGCCUGACUUAGAAAAGAAAUUGGCAUGGCAUGCUUUUGAUUAAAUCUGCAGAGACAAUCUUUGAGAUGGUUAAAGCAACAAUCAUGCUCGAGGGCAUGAUUAAGAUUGAAUACUUGAUGAACGGAUGGUGGCAUUGGUCAUCACUCUCUGCUGUUGCCAAGACUUCUAUCGUUUCUUCCCUUGCCCUCUGCAUAUACUCUCUGGAUGCUGCCAUUGCGUAUGAGAAGAUCUCAUUUAAUUUGGAUGACUGGCAGUCCCUCGCUCAACCAGAAAUGACAGUAUCUCCCACUCAGCAGAUGCCACAUGCAGAACAGCCAAUUCCUCCAUAAGUUAACCAUCCUUCCUCAUCUUCAGCUAUUGCAUUAUCAAAUUUUCUCCAAAGUGCUAGUGCAAAUGAAUCAAAAGGAAGCUUAGUUAAAAGUCCUAACCUGCUUUUGUCCGAAUUAUCAGAGUUUUCAAAAGAAACAUUGCAGCAAAUACACGAAUCAAUUGGAUUCAGCUUAUAGUCUCAAUGCUGAUGGUGAAAAAUAGCUAUGCUGAUCCAGAAGAGUAUAGUGAUGAAGAUUACAGUAGUUUCCAGAGGCCAAAAGUAGUAAUUGAAGGAAAACCAGAGAAGACUCUCAAAGCCAAAAGAAUCAUGGGACUCUGAACAGUUUGAGGAUCUUUGAUCAGAUCAGUCCAGAAAUCAAUCCUAAUCAGAGGAUGCAUACUGAUAGAGAUCAGGGAAGGUAUCUGUUUACUAGGACACCGUCCAGACUUGAACUUACUGACAAGCACUCUAAAUUUGGCAUCCAUGUUUUCUACUAAAGAACAGCUACUGCCUCUUUGUGAGUGCUUCCCUGCGUCUGUUGCUUCAGAAAAAUCAAUGAGUGGCAGUGUGCAUUUGAAUUGGUUUGUGAAGCAAUGUAUACUGAGCUGCGAAUUGUUCAUCAAGAUAAGUAUGGCUGGGUCCUCCAUGCUGAAAGUGAGCGGCGAACCUAUCUCCAACGACUCGUACAUGAGCGAGGAAUACUUCCAAUGCACAAAACAAGUCUGAUUGAAGGUCCUGAAUAGCAGCUUUGUCCCAUUGAAAGUCCAUAUAGGACGUGCCAGAAGCUUGAAAGAUGCAAAUUAAAAAUCGAUACCAUCCAAAAUGUUCUAGAUGGACAGUGUGAAUCAGUGGAAAUAGAGCUGUCCGGAGAGAAAAAUGAGAUAGGUUUUUCGAAGCAUCUGAUACUGAUUCUGAGUCAUAUCUCCCUCUUUUAGACAGUGGUGUCAAACAGAUUGAUGACAAAUAUUUUGAUGAAUCAUUCUUUAAAGAAUCAGAUGAUAUUAAAGAUGUUGCUUCCGCAAGGAGUGGAUGGAAUGGUGACCGAGCUAGCAUCAUAAAUAAAGCAAGUCUUCACUCUGCUUUGAAUUUGGUGUCAAGUUUAGUGCAGCCACUGUCCUAAUGUCAGAGCAUUCAUGGGAUAUCUGACACAGGAUCUCCAAGGCAGUCUUCUUCUAAGAAAAAUUGAGGAGGGGAAAGAUAGUGAGGAUAAAGUGGAUAAGGAACCGCUUGAUAAUAGUGGAUACUUAACUAGACCGUACCUGGAACCUCUUGCAAAGAUGAAAUUCAGAUAUAAUUGCGAACAAGUAGUUGGCCUUGACAAACAUGAAGGAAUGCGAAGAUAAACUCUCUGUUAUUGAUUAAGCUUUGGGAGCAAUGAAGAAUAUUAAUUUGCGGGUGUGCCGUGGCAUGAGGGUUGCUGUUUGUGGUACUGUAAGCUCAGACAAGUCAAGCUUACUAUCCUGUAUGUUCUGAGAGGUGUCUAAGAUAUCUGGUAUCUUUAAACUGUGUGGAACAAAGGCCUAUGUUACUCAGUCUCCUUGGAUACAGAGUGGCAAGAUAGAAGAGAACAUCUUGUUGGUAAAGAGAUGGACAGAGAAAGACCAAAAUACGAUUGAUACAAACAUUGCAACAGCCAAUCAAGCCAUCCUUUGCCUCUUAAAACUAUGAUGAAUCCAUUAUGAGAUCGCCACCAUCCCCGAUAUAUUGAACCAUCACAAUCUUUUGAGUCUGAAUUCCCUACACUGCAUGUAUUAUCAAGAAACAACCCUUCAACAUCCUCACCGCUGUCAGCAUCUCAUGCAGAGCUAGAAGACAGCCCACAGCAGAACCCCCAACUUCUGUACAAAAGCAUCUAAAGAUAGCUCCAAUUCCAGGAGUUGAUGAUUUAAUUGAUCAAAUGGCUGUCACAACUGGUCUUCUUUUUUUUUAUUUUACCUUUUAAUGGAAGCCACUCAGCCUUCUGUUGUUGAUGCAAAUUCAGAGCGAGAAAUUGAAAUUGAAGUCUAGAGUGAGAUCCUUUUUUACGAAAAGGAAACAAACAUUGAUGAUAGUGAAUAAUGGUGUUCCCCUUAAUCAAGACUUCAUCAGUAACUUACCCUCUCUGAUCCUGUGCAUGGAACCAUGGAAUUCGUAUCCUCUGCAAUGAGCUUACAGCAUAUGUGCUGACACAAAGCAAAGGGAGAAUCAGAUUAUGAUGAGUACAGAUCAGCAUGGGGACGAGAAGGUCUGGGUUAACCAUCUUCAAAGAGCUUGUGUACCUUACCAAAUCUAAAUAGCAAAGGAGAAAUAAGAGAAUGGUGGAGUACGGUGUCUUCUAGGAGGUCACUCUCGAAAGUCCAGAAAUGUAGGAUCCAUCAGUAAGCUCUAAGUUACUGCCCCUUUGCCUUCACACACGCGAAGAAGUUGCUGAAUCCUAUUGACUGAGAGAUAGUUUCUGAUUCUGGGCAAUUUGAUAUGCCUAAAGAAUGGGAAGUUAUUCGGGAAACUGAACAUCUGAAGAUCAAUAAAGACAUAAGCAUUCAGUUAAUGUUUAGCAGGUUGACGACAGAAACAGAACCCUGAUGUUAAUAUAAGGGAAAUUGCUGAUACACAUUUCCAGAUCAGAUGAUAAGUAGAAAUUGCUUUUCUGCCAGCGUUUCCUCUUUUCUGCCAUGGCGAAGCACCUUUAGGAUGAUGACAAUGGUUCUACUUUCUCCAAUGUGGUGAAUCCAAAUGACUUCUUGUCAUUCUCUGAACCUGAAUUAGAAGAAAUAUUGGAAGAUAUCAGCUGGAGUGCACCAAUCUGGUUUGGGUUGUGAUGCCAGUAGCAUGAAAACAGGAACUUUAGGAAGAGAUGGUAGUGAAAUUUCUUUCUCCACAAUUGUAUGAGCGAAUCGAGUUUGCAGACAGCGACCACUGAUGUAAGAACGCAGAAUUCCAUUUCAGCAAUCUACAGAAACAUCUUCAGGCAACCCAAGUAAUUCAGUCUCAAAAGUAGCCUAGACACUAAUCCAGCUUGGCCACCUCACCACGCAUCAUACUCCUUCUAUUGUUUCUUUUUCUUCUUUUGUGAUUUUAUACAUCUUAAAUCUAGAUUUCAAAACCAUUCUACGUCAAAAUAACUCCAAUUUUCUUUAAACUUCUUUAGAAGCUCCUAGGUACAAAAUCCAGAUUUUAACAUGCAAUUUGCUGCCACUUUACUUCGGGUAUGCACUUUCACUGUUUUCUUUGAUUUUAACUAUUUUCGUGUUUUUCUUGAUUUUCCUAAGCAUGAACAAACUUCAUAAUUCCAAAUCAUGGAAUUUAUGGAAUCAACUCAUGCGAAAUUAAUUAGGGCUUUGGUGGGGGCCCGACAUUCAUGAUACCUUAUUCAAUAUUGUUUGCUUGAUAUGUUGAUUUUUGAUUCUUCUUGAUGAUAUACAUGAAUGUGUUUCGUAUUUAUUGUUGAGAUGCUCUUGAUCCCCAUAGAGGAGUACUAGCUUGCUAUUCAGGUACGCUCUCUUCUCAUCUAUUUUUUUUUAGAACUCUAUAGACUUGUAUGCCAUUGAUAACCAUAUCCAUAUUUGACGUGAUUCUUGGAUGACUUGAUAUAUGCCUGACUUGCUUGAAUAAAACAAAUGUUGUGUGCUACAUUCCUACACUAACUUUUAUGUUUUAUGAUAGCGCUUGAAGAGCGGUUCAGGUACGCACCCUAACUCUCCUUUAUUGUGAUUUGAUCUUGUUUAACAUGCAAUUUUUUGAAAUCACCUAGCCUACUUAGGUAUCCAUAAUUAACCGAUUAAUUGUCAUAUUCCCCUUAACUUAGUUAGUAGAGACCUUUAUAGGGCUUAGAGGGGUGCUGCCUUUCAAAGGUACCUUCCCAAUAGGUAACCUAAUCCCCGGACUUAGACUCGGGUUUUUCAAAGACGCUUUUUCCAAAAAUUAUGGAGUCAUUUUUUAGGGUUUUAUUUCUUGUUUUAUUUUCCCCUUUAAAAAAAAAUAAAAUAAGUGGCGACUCCAACUUUUUUUCCAAAAAUCAAUUUUUCACAAAAUAAUAAAAAGCGAGUCUCGCCGAUCGAGUGGGGACGCACGUGAAAAAUGCGGGUCCACAGAGGGCUCUUUGAGCCCAAAGUGGAUAGUAUAUAUUUACACAGUUGGAAGUGAGUCAUUACAAAUGGUAUCAAAGUGUAUCCCCAGUCAUGAUAUGAGAGUUUAUCUCAUCAUUGUAAUUAUGGGCAUUAAGGUGAAGCUUUCAUGUUUGCAUCAUAAGAUCAUGAUGUUAGGAUAGAUUCUUUAAAAGCAUGAUAUGAUGUAACCAUAAAUGGAAUUCAUUAAUACUUAUAUUAUGACUUUGAAUUUCUAUUCACUAUCCUAUUUAUGAAUUAUGUAUGUUAAGCCUUCAAACCUACAUCACUUGCAUGUACAUGACUUGAGUGAAUUAGGAGUUACAUGAAAAAUCUAAGUCAUAGAUUCCUUGCAAGUUAAUGACUCAUUCACAACUGGUUCAUGGACUUCAAUAAACCAUUUGAGGCUAUAGUGCACUACCUCCUAAUUGGAGGGAUAACUUGCCCUAGUCAUUAGGAUGGGUUUCCCAUGGUGAGUGUACGUACUAGUGUGUUUAGUUAUGUUGGGAAACCUAGAUCUCUCCAUUCCCAUAACCCUGGAUUGUAUAGGUGCAUGCAAAAUACCCUAGGCCUCUAAAUCCUAUGCAACAAAAGCAAAAAUCAAAAUUUUAACAUUCUAUAAUCUAGAGAAAAGUCACCAAAAACUUUGAGAAAAUUAAAGGUUAAUCUUAAUAGAGAAAACACCCAAGAGAGGAGGGAAGGGGGGGGGGGGGGGGGGGGGGUUUGAAUUGAGUUUUUAAAAAAUCAUUUUCAAACACCACAAAUUCAAGAAAAGGAAACACAAAUAUAAAGAGAUAAGGUUAAAAAGAGUAAAAUUAGAUUUUAUAGUGGUUCAGCACUUCCUUGCCUACAUCCACUCUCCUCAACCUCUUAACUGAGUGAAGGUUCCACUAUACUUGAAGCUUCAACUAAGCUUUUAAUCACCUUUACACUUGGAUUCUAGCUCCAAUGGACUAUUACAUAAUCCCUUCAAGUCUUAACUCACUUGAAGCUUUUAGCAUUCAAAAUAACAAGUUUGAAUCUCUCAACCUAGCUCAACAAGGGCUCAAAUACAACUUAAAUGUUAGGAAGAAUCACAAGGGGGCACUAAGGAAUAUGCAAAUGGAUAUUUAAUGCACUAAGGAAAGAAUGAGAGCUUUUGAGGCAAGAAUAAGUAGGCAGACAAAUAAAUGCAGGUGUUCUCUACCUCAUAAAUGAAGUGGAGUUCUCAAUUUGUAGGUUUCUAGCCUCAGGAGUCAAAAAUGCCGAAAAACGGCCUUGACCAGUCGAGUUGGGGUUACUAGCCAUUGGACAAUAAAUGCAUGAUAGGUGAUCGUUACACCUCGACUGGUCCUUGACCAAAUCUUGAUUAGAUCUCAACCGAGAAGGCAUAUCCCUUGAUCGGGAAUGCAAAGCUAUAAGAAGAGAGAGAAGAUUUUUGCAUUUCUGGACUAGACCUCGAUCAAGAAGGUGUAAUCAGUUAACCAGUGCCCUAGCCGGUUGAGCCAGUUGGCUAGUGCCUUGACCAGUUCACCAUUUUUUGCCUGAAAACCUUUUUUUUUUUUUUUUGUUCUUUUCUCUUCUAACACUUAAACAAGGUAUUUAGGUAAAUUAAUAUGCCAAUUUUGAAACAAUUUGCCUAAGGUUCAUAUGAUAAAACUCAUGUUUUGACGAAAAUGUAACUUUAAUGCCUAAACUGAGUUUUUAAAGUGCAUGAAAAGAUAUGAAAAUCCUAAGUGCACCAUGCAUUCAUCUUACAUAUGUUUCCUAUUAUUAAAGGGUCUUCCAAUUGUCUUGAUCUUGCAUCCAUUGGGUCCUUUGAUGAAUUUCCAAACUAAUACUUGAAAUUCUUUAUAAUUCAAACCAAGUAACAACUUAACCAUGGUUUGUUAUCAUCAAAACAUGAUUAGGAGAACCCUUGGGCUAACAAACUUUAGAUUUGAUUUAAAUGGUUCUUAAAUCAAUUUUGCUUAGUGAAGGUGAAUCCUAAAGAGUUCAGAUGUCUCACACACCAAAAAUCUUUUGCUUGAUGACUUGAUCCAUAAUCUUGGCACUCCAAAAUGUGGGCUUUGGAAUAGAGGAAUCCUAGGCUCUCUCUCUUUAGACAUAGAAGAUGAUUGUCUCUCAAAAAGUGAUUGGAACCCUAAGCUUUAAAGGGUAUUUAUAGCAUUUCCCUACUAGGCUUAAAUGACUUGAGCCCACUAAGGCUUGGGCCACUUAAUCUUAUCUAAAAUGGGUCUUAAUUGAUUAAUUAACCAUACAUGAUCAUCUAAUUAACCAAUUCAUGUCAAUGAGAUAAUAAAGAGAAAACAAAAAAUAUAAAUAAAUUUCUAUCUGUUACAUCAUGUCAUGCUUUUUAGGGCUCAAUCCUAAUAUGUUACACAUUAGAUAAGAUUUAUGGUGAGUCAGAGAUUGGUCAUUAGGUAGCCUUAACUUCACCAAGCUACUAUGUUGCAUAAGCUCUCAACCUUGAGAGAAUAUUGAUCUAGUGCUAAGGUCUUCAAAGGCUUUGACCCAUGAGUGAGACCCUAAAGUGGUCAUAUAUUCUCUAUAGAUAGGAUUACUAUGAUUGAGGCAUGUGAUAAUGGGUAUUCUCAAGAUAAGCACCAUGAUAUCUUAAGGGUUUGAGACAUUAUGUCCCCUUAGGUGAUCCUAAGGACAUGUGAUCGUGAAAAUUAUGGCCAUAAUGAUUCCUUAAGUGGAAUUUAACAUAUGCUCUUGGAGGGAUAUAGUAUGUCAAUUGAUCACAUAAUAGGAGGAUCUAAGACUCAAGGAUUGUAGAAGUAAUCUUGAGAGGUUGAUAACAUUCAUUUUGUUAAAUUAUGGAUACCAAUUCAUGAGGAGCUUGCAUGCAAUUGUUAGUAGGUCACAGACUGAAGUUUUCUAUCUCGAUUUAAUAUCAUAAAGAUACUAAAUUGUAGUUUACUCUCUAUAGUUAGAUUUUGAGUCAACUUUAAGAUUGGAUUUUAAGGGAGCCAGUACUUCCCUAUGGAUCCUAGUGGUUCCCACUCAAACUCAUAUUCCUUGGUCAAAAAAUAUUUGAGGAAUAGUUGGAUUAUUUAUUUAUAUGUGUGUAUAAGAGCAUUUUGGUAAAUAUGGAAGGUUGCACAAGUACAUAUAAAUAAUCUUUUAAAUUUAGAUAAUUAAUUAAUUGAAACUCAAUAGAGCAAAUUAGUUAAUUAGGACCCAAUGAGUCAGAUUAAGUAACCUAAACGUAAGAUGAGCUCAAGUCACUCGAGCUAAGAGGUAAGCCUAUAUAAACUCCUUAAAGGGUUUAAGGCUUAGUACUUGUCAGCCAUUCAAUCUUCUACCUUAAUAUCUAUCCCCACAAAGAGGAUUCUAACACCCUUAUGUGUUAGGAUACAAGAAAGAGAGUUAUCAGGCAAAAUAUCAUGAGGUAUUUGAGAUCUUAAUUGACCUCUUCACCAAUUAGAUUUAAUUCCUUGAGCACUUAAAUCUAAUAUUCAUUGUUCUGAAUUCUCCCAUGACAUAGUUCUAGCAUUUCUACGAAGAUAGUGUCAUGCACCUAAUGAUCUAGGGCUUGAAGUUAGGUAAUCUAGAUGUUCCAACACAUGAGAAGUAUAAAUUUUUUAAUAAUGCUCUCUUAUCCAUACUUGUGAAAUAUGGAAAGCUACAGUGAAAUAACAGAUAAAGUUUAUUAUCAAGAACUCUAUUUGAGAAUUAAUUGAACUAUUGUUAAGACAUAAGACCUUAAGGAAUAAGUAGGUUUUUAAGGUCAAACUUUAGGCAAAUGAUGCAAGUUGUUAAACUUAACUCAUGAAGAAAGGAUACAACCAGAAUAAGUGUGUAGAGUAUAAAAAUAAAAAUAAAUAAAAAAAAAUCUCAUGAGAAGUGAGGUUUGCCUCAACUCUCCUUAUUCAAACCAUUAUCACAUCUUUGGAUUUGAAAUUAUAUCAAAUAAACAUUCAAAUCAUUUUUCUCAAUAGAGAACUAAAUAAGAAGAUCUAUAUAGAUCAAUUGACUGGUUUUAUGGCAACUAAAUAGAAAGUCAAAGUUAACAACUACAAAGGUCCAUUUAUAGCCUACAAUAAUCAUCUCAACAAUGGUAUAUUACACUAAUGGGUUUAUGAUGGUCUAAGAACACUAUUGCAUGUUUGUUAAACGGUGUAAGGGUAGAUUUUUUAUCCUUUUUUUUUUUUUUUUGUAUACAAAUGAAAUGUUGGUUAGGGAUGAUAAUGAGAUGGUUACCUCUAAAGUGUGGUGGUCGUCAACUUUUAAAAUGAACAACAUGCUUAAAGCAAACUAUGUUUUCAAAGUUAUGAUCCUAAUCAAUCAAUCAAGGAGACUUUUUGGUUUGUUUUACAAAUCAUAAACAAUGAAUAUUCUUGAAAAAAUUCUAUAUGUAAAAUUGAAAAUCUAUUAGCAUACAUAUACAGAAAGAUAAGACCUUAAGCUUUAACAUGUGUCGUAAGACUUUAGAUGAAUAGGAAAAGAUCACUCAAGGUUCCUAUAUGCUAGCAUUGUUAGUAGCUUAAAGUAUCCAAUGAUGUGUACAUGAACUAAUAUUUGUUAUAUAAUUAGGUUUGUAGCUUCCAAUUAGAUCUAAACCUUGCUUACAAAAAAGCAAUGGAUUGGAUGCUUUUCUACCUCAAAGUCACCAUAGGCUAUAUAAUUUUCUAUUGAGGAUUGAAUUUGGACAUGAUUAGCUAUAACAGUGAUAAUUGGGGUAGCAUCCUAAAUGAAACUAAAUCCACAUAUGGUUAUAAUUUUAUAUGUGCUCUAUGAUGUUAGCAUAUAUUGGUGAAAUAGAAAACAAUCAUGUAUAACAUUGUCUACCAUGCGUGGAGUUGGGAGUACCUUACUUGUUGUUUAGGAAAGUGACUAGUUUAUGAUGUUCAUACAUAUUUUUCACAACAUUGCUUGUUCUUUUGAGCAUACUACUAUUUAUUGUGAUAGCAUGGAAACUUUAGCCUAUGUCAAAGACCCCCNNNNNNNNNNNNNNNNNNNNNNNNNNNNNNNNNNNNNNNNNNNNNNNNNNNNNNNNNNNNNNNNNNNNNNNNNNNNNNNNNNNNNNNNNNNNNNNNNNNNCCUUGCUUACGAAAAACCAAUGAACUGGAGGAUUUCAUACCUAAAAGCCCCCAUAGGCUAUAUAAUUUGCUAUUGGGGAUGAAAUUGGGACUGGAUUAGCUACAACAAUGAAAAUUGGGGUGGCAUCCAAAAGGAACCAAAACCCACAUAGGGUUAAAAUUUUAUAUAUGCUCUAGGAUGUUAGCAUAUAUGGGUGAAAAAGAAAAAAAUCAUGUAAAAUAUUGUCUCCCAUCCAGGGAGUGGGGAGUACAUUAGUUGUCGUCUAGGAAAGUGACUAGUUUAUGAUGUUCAUACAUAUUUUUCUCAAUAUUGCUGGUUCUUUGGAGCGUACUACUAUUUAUGGGGAUGGCAGGGAAACUUUAGCCUAUGCCAAAGCCCCCCCCCCCCCAAGUAUCAUAGUUGAACCAAACACAUCAAUCUUAAAUGUUAGUUUAUAUGAGACAUGGUUAAAAAUCCUACCCUCACCCCCCUUGUUGACUAAGCUAAUACGUAAAGAUGUUUAUUAGGGUCAAGUUGAGAGUAUUGGAUUAUGUAGAUCAUGAUUAUGUGGAAGUUAAGUUGAGAGCAUUGGAUCAUGUAGAUUAUGAUUACAUAUUGUGUAUUUCAAUUAACCAUUAUACCUAUGAUUUAUUCAUUGUCCAAUCUUGUUUGAUGGUGACAUUUAAUUAUUUGUUUUACUUUAUUGACAUACACUUUCAUUACUUUGCACAACUGAAACAUAAUGAGUCCAAAACCACUUAGAUAGUGUGUUAGGUCAUUGAUAUUUAUAAGACUCCUUUUUGUAUCCAAUAAAACUUGCAUGUUAGUAGCGACCAAGUAUAGAUAGUCUUAUAGUCCACAUUUGUAAUGGAGUCAAUUGCCAAAUCUUGUUAAUGUAGUGCUUGAUUAAGUAAGCAUGUGCAAAACUUGAGUUCUUUGCUCGAUGCAAUUAAACUAAGAUUUGUACAAUAUAGAAGAUCUAAGGUACACUCAUAAUGAAGAUCUCCAUGUUAGCAUAUAUUUUCAUACUAUAUCUUCUUGGCAAUCAAACAAGAAUGAAUGAAUAUAUUCCUAGCUACUCCCUCAUCAUGUGCAUUAAUCUUAUUGGUGAUUAUAUAGUAUAACUUUUAUGCCCUUGUGAUUUUCAGUCAUAAGUUACAAGUAUGGUGUAGUUUGAAAUAUUUUUCUAGGGGGAUUCACCAUGUUUAACUCAAUGUGAAUAAAAGUGUUUAAGAUAUAACGAGACACCUUCUAGGGAUGAAUUACACUGGUUAAGAUGAAGUUUAGUUUGAUACUCUUGCACCUUUCUUAUCAAUGUGUUCGACAGUUGCAUAAUCCAUUAGUCAAUAUGAACAUGGAUGACAAUGAUAUAGUUGAGAAAAAUGCAUGACGUUAUUUUGCCUACUAUGCAUGAGUGGGAGACAAUGGAGUUUCUAUUUCAUGAGAUACUCUUAGUAGGGCUUCAUUAGCUAAAAGCUUGAGAGUAAGUUGCAUACUUAUCAGUUAAGAUUCCUCAUGGGAGAAAAGUUUAGUUAAGAUUCCUCUCAUGGGAGGAGGUUCACAUUUAGAUUUUGUGAGAAUCUAUAAGAGUUUUUUGUCUUUUUCAAUUCCAAUUCUAGUCCUUUUGCAUGUUUUGAAUUUAGUUUGUGGCAGUUGUUAAAUACUUCUACUUUAAUUUUUAGCAAUUAUAAUUUUUUAAAGCUUACUAUUUAGGUUUAGAUUUAUUACAUGCUUAUUAGAUAUCUUAAUUCCUAUUGUAUUCUCCUUGGUUAAUAAUCUUCCAAUUUGAUUGUGGAGUUCAAAGAUUUUUACCAAAAUAAGGAUCAGGGUUUUCAAAGUUAGGAAAAGUAUUUAAUAAAAUUAAUUUUUGAAUAAGUUUGCAAGCUAAAUCUUUCGAUUGAACCUAAUAAGUUUACAUACUAAAU
rnacentral:lncRNA from 1 species